rnacentral:lncRNA from 1 species
GACGAUCAGUACUCCAUCAACAAUACAAGCACUGACUCAGAAGCCACCCAGUUUAGCAUUCCGCUAAUAGACCUUGAAGACCAUGGUAAUCCAACUAAGCGCAAUGAGAUUGUUGCAAAAGUUGGAGAGGCAUCAGAGACUUGGGGCUUCUUUCAAAUAGUGAAUCAUGGGAUACCUGUAGGUGUUCUGGAGGCGAUAAAGGAUGGGGUACGUGGGUUUUAUGAGCAGGACACUCGAGUCAAGAAAGAGUUUUACACUCGUGAUCACUCUAAACCUUUGUUUUACAAUAGCAACUUUGAUCUUUAUAGUUCACUGGCAACGAAUUGGAGGGAUACUUUUAAGUGUUACAUGGCUCCAUAUCCUCCUAAGCCAGAAGACUUGCCAGAAGUAUGCAGGUAUUUGACAACCCAAUUCUCUGGUUUAAUUGGUGACAUUAACCUGGUGCAGAUUCCUUCCUUGAUGGAUUAGAUCAUUAAACUCCAUACUUUUGACAAGUUUAAUGUGCUUUCCUGGUUUUCAACUUGCAGAGACGUACUGAUCGAGUAUUCAAAGCGAGUAAUGGAGUUGGGGAAAUUGUUGUUCGAGUUGUUGUCGGAGGCCCUUGGGCUAAAGCCAAGCCACUUGAAUAGCAUAGAUUGUAGUAAGGGGCUACAGGUUUUUAGGCCAUUUACUAUCCUGCUUGUCCACAGCCAGAGUUAACUUUGGGCACAAGCAAGCACGCUGAUGAUUCCUUCCUUACGGUCCUUCUGCAAGAUCAUAUUGGUGGUCUGCAAGUUGUUGAUCGUCAAAAGAAGUGGAUAGAUGUACCCCCUGUGCCUGGGGCUUUAGUGGUGAACAUUGGAGAUCUUUUACAAGUAAGCACACGUAUUACAAUUGCCCUUUUUUUUUUCUCCCUAAAAACUACUAUUAAAUUAAGAGAAUAGUAUCGUAAACUAAGCUAGUUUGUUAAUGACUAAUACUCGAGACAAGCUUUGGUCGCAUGUUAGCGUUUCUCUUAGAAUAUGUCUUAGAAUUCUUCGAUUAUCAUAAUUAGGUCUUUUAUGUUCAAUUCUUUUUGGGAUUUUCAGCUCAUAUCAAAUGAUAGAUUCAAAAGCGUAGAACACAGGGUAUUGGCGAACCGUGAAGGUCCAAGGAUAUCCAUUGCCAGCUUCUUUAGCACAGGUUUGCUACCAUUUACAAAUCUCUAUGGACCUAUUAAGGAGUUGGUAUCAGAAGACAACCCUCCAAAGUACAGGGAGACUACUGUGAGGGACUACGACACCCAUUUCUAUGACAAAGGCCUAGAUGGAACCUCUGCCUUAUCUCAUUUUAAGAUCCCAACUUAGACAUGGAGGAGCACAGACCGCAACGAACAAAUCCUGUCUACUAAAUAAUUUUGCAUGAAAAUAUAUAUUGGUUGUUUAAUCUGAAAGCGCUUUCGCACCACAAAAUUCUGGAUAUGCAUAUUAUUUUGUUUUCUGUUUGCAUAUGGUCUAAUAUACUUGUAGAAAGGGUUGGGCUUCUACCCAUGCAUCUCAGGUACAAACUUCCCCUCCUAUAAAUUAUUGUAAUAGUUUCGAACUCUCUAUCUUCCGCAAAAAAAUUUAAAAAGUAAAUAAAGAAGUAAAAUUUAAAAAAUAAAAGGGGGUUUUCUAACACUUUUAUUCAUCAUGUUUACAGUUUUUGUGGCAUGCUGCUUAGCGCUUAACGAAUUCAACUGUGGUUGUGGUUGCGGUUGCGGUUGCAUAUCAAUACUAUUAUACCAUAAGUGUGGGCUUGUUUGAGAAUGUUUUUAUUUGUAAGAAGCGGUUUUACACAAUUGUGUCGAAAACCUGUUAAAGUAUUUAUUAUAAUCCAACUGCUUCUUGGAGAAUCACUCUCCGUAAAGUCAGCUAAAAAAAGUAGCCAAUCCCGUCCAUCCUCCACACUAUAUAACCCGUACACGAAAGAGGAAGCUGAGGAGAAAGCAGCCAAAAAUGCUAAGAAGAUUAUAUUUUUAUACUAUAUUGAUGUAUGACAAGUGAUAUGUACAUUUCCGGUUGCAAAUUUUGGUUCGCCGGUGUAGUGCACAUGGGAGGGGAUUGUCUAGCAUUGUUCCAAGCAGUUAGAGGCGGUCGGUUGCGAUGAUGUGUUUUCUACGGCGAGAACAUACAGGAGUCAUCAGUUAUUCUCGCAACCGUCUUCCAUAAUGAAGGACGAGAGAGAAAAAAACGAAUGUAGAAAGAAAACAUACAAGUUGGUUGACAAAAGGGGAAGAAAAAUUGAGAGAUACAGAGAAUAAGAAAAGAAGAAAAUCGAUGCAAAUUUUAAUACAUAUGUAGUAGAUCCAGGUAUCCAAAGGAUUCGGGGCUAAUGUACCUGCAUUGGUGAAAAAACAAAGAUGAGAUUUUUGGAAACGCAUCACAUGGUAGUUAAAACAUCCGGCCGUAAAUGAAGGGUUUGAGAUACGGCCAUAAUGGCAUCCCUCAGGUGUGAGUUUCUCCAUCGGAUCACUUAUUGUAAGAAUAUCAGUAGUGAAAGUUAAAUACCCAUGUCAGGAAAGGAAGUCGAUGAUGACAGAAGAGAGAUUUGGCUUGAAAAAUGUAUGAUGUUUGCAACAUGCGUCACCGGAGUAUGAACUUGAAGCUCUCCCUCUCUCCGUCGUUAAAUGUUUCGUAAGCAGCAUUGUUAAAGUUCUCUAUGUCAGGGGGGAAUCUGAAGAUGGUUUUGAAUGAAGAAGAAUGGAAAAUAUAAUUUAGAAAAUGAGAAAGAAAAUUAUAAUUGAAACUUAAAAAAUGAGAAAUAUAAAAAGAGAUUUACUAUUUUCUAGGAGGUCUUGGAGUUGGCCGUGACUGUAUGAGAGGAUAAGCUAAGUUCCAAUGGAAAGUGGAAAUUUUCAGAGCGAGAGGGUAGCGGUUUUUUCGCUUGCUCUCUUGGACUUUGGGCUUUUGGAUUGGAUUGGGCCAAUUACUUACUUAGGCCCCAUCCCAACUUAUGACCUUUUGUCGGUCUGUAUUGACUCAUGAGUCAGACUUGUAAGGCUGUCUUUAAUAAGUUGCCGCGUUUUGUCAAAACUGGUCCAUCUAAUUACAAAAUUGUAACCAUAUUAGUUGAGUGCAUAUUCUAAAUCACAUUUAGUGAAUAUUCAGUACGGGUGACACGUGGUCAAACUUGUAAGGUUGUUCAAUAAGAAGUUAUCACGUUCUCAAGAGUGGAGCUAGAGGGGAGCAUUUCCCUACCAAAGUGUUUUCCUUGUCCCCUUUACAAGGGAUUUAUGUCACCAUUAGACAGGAGAUUUGAACACAAAACCUUGAAUUGAGAGGUAAACGCUAUUACAAAGCUUCUACGAGCACCUUCUUGUUUACCAAACUUAUUGAGACUAAAUGAGGCCUUAACGCUUAUAUCUUAGGUCUUAUGAGUGCUCGUAAUACACUAAAAUGACACUUGUUUUCUGGCCAGGACAGAAACAAAAUCAUGCAGGAAAUUGUCAUGAAAACUUAAGUGUAAAAUGUGACCGGAAGAACACUAAACAGGAUAGCUAUGCUCUCUUAGUGUAAACCUUAACAAGAAAGACCAUACCGUAUCUGUCACAGUGAUAUGCGACCAUAAGCCCAACUCCAAGGAUCACCUUUCCAAGAGCUUUGAAGGCUACAAAUCAAAAGUUACAUGCAGUGAUGACAUACUCAUGAAAAAAUACAAUCAUAAAUUGAAGGAAAACAUACCGACUUCUAGUUCUGGCAAUUCACUAUCGGGCCAUAUAUUUGAACCACAGUAUGAGGGAUACCUACAAUACAGAUCACAAAUAAAAUCUGAGCAGACACAAAGUAUUAUGUUCUGUUUACGCAAAAUCUGUCAGUUCUCAGAUAGGAUAAAUAAAGAUAAACAUAUCCGAGCAUAAAGACGAUUUGUCCUGGCUAAUUCUGAAAAACCUUGUAUCAAAUGUAUGAUAGUUAUUCAUAACUAGCACAAACAACAGUUUGGCCAAACAUUACUGGUCGAGCCAUAUACUGUGUGACCUCAGACAAAACAGAUCCCACAUGUACUCAGAUUAUGAUUGAUGUCCGUAUAGACUUUUACCUUUGAAUUAGAGAUUCAUCUGUUGUAGGGGUAUCCAAUAUUGGAUUUGCAUAAAACGAGCCUUUUAACGUAUCUGCAAAACCAGAACACAAACGGACAAUGAUUGAUCCUAAGUUCUUAGAGUUUCCAAAGAAACAAAAUUUAAAACAAAGAACAUAAAGUGAUAUCAGGCUUUCCAGAUUUCUUUUCCAUGACUCCAUCCAAAAUUUAUGAGUUAUGAAUGGAAUAAUGGAGCAAAAUAUCGUCGCCAAAACAGCGCAAUCUACAAUGUACAUGAUGGAGAAAGUACAGCAACAUUACAUUAAGUUCAUGUAACCUUUGGUUUCACAUGUAAGCCUUUGGUUUAUAUUUUUAACCGAUUCGUUAAUAAAUUCUUCCUGCACAUAUAGUUUCAACCCGAAACCGAAAAUUCCAUUGUCAAACAAAUAUGUAUAAUACCAGAAUUAAGUAAAUUACAACAUAUCACCAUACCGAUACUGAUGUGAUUCAGAAUUAAGCAUUUUUAACUUAUCAUAACUGGUAAUGGAAGAGAGAAUCAGUAAUUAACACUGGUGAUUCAGAAUUAAGCAUUUUUAACUUAUCAAAACGCGUAACGGAAUCAUACACGAGUGAUUGAUAGAAUUCCCAACCCAUUUGGUCCAAAUCCUUCUUCAAUCUUCACUGACAAGUCUUUGUCCUUGUCCUGUAUCAAUCAAUCCAAAAUCAAAAAACGCAAAACUAGAAAAAUUGAAUCCUCGACAUGAUCGACGAGUUAAAACAAAACUAUGAAUAAAACAAUUAUAUUCUGUUUGGUUGCUGAGAAAAUGAAGAGAAUAACAACCAAAAAGUCAACUGAAAUAAAAUUUUGCUCAACUUUCAACGAAUUCUCUUGAGUUUCUGACCACCCAAACAGAAAAUAAAUUAAAGCCAAUUAAACCAAACUCUCAUGCUCAAUUUUCUCGGCAACCACAAACAGAACUUAGAGGGGGGAGGAGAGAGUUACUUGGAGCUCGGAGUAGGAUAUGGUGACCGGUGUGACGGUGGGGACGGCGGGGUCGGAGGACGGAGGCAUAGUUCGACAAGAAAUUUGGCGGGAAACACGGCGGUUGGACUUUGACGGUGGGGAAGAAUCCGUGGGACAGAAGAGGAAUUUUGGUGCGGAAGGAGGCAUUUUAUAUAGGAGGGAGGGAGAGAGGUUGAGAGCGAAAGGCGUGAUUGUCAAUUUCUUUUUUUUUUUUAAGGAAUAAAGAAAGAAAAGAGGUUGAGCAUCAAUUGCUUUUCCCUCCAAACCAAAGAAUAUAGAGAGUUUUAACGAAAAGUCCACGAUACUAUUUACUUUAAUGAAAAAUUAUAUUUUUACACUAAAAAAUCAAACCUGCUAUUAUUCACUUUAACCUUUAUUUUGUCUUUAUCGUUGAAACUCAAAGUUUUCAAAUCAUUUUCAUUAGUUUUCCUAAGAAUAUAUUCACGAUCACGAUGUGCGGCAAAAAUUGGUGGUGAGGACAAAUAUAUUAAAUACAUGUAAGUAUUAGUUAAAUUUAAAAUUAUUUGUGUACUAUUAAGGAUUUGUUUGAAAGUGUUUUUAAAAUGAUUGAAAGUAAUUUUGGUUAAAAUGUUUUUUAUAUCAACUUUUAGUAAAACCAAGUGGAUCCCAAAAAAACAUUUGGUGUACUUUUUUACAAAAAAUGCAAUUUUAGAAUCCAAAAUUAAUUUAAUAAAAGUGGGUUUAGUCUUUUUUUAUUAUUUUUUAUUUUAACAAAGGAUAUAAUCUAUCUUGAAGGUGAGAGGGUAGACUUAACCUCACAAUGAGCUAGCACAUUAAUAAUGUGAUUCAAAUUCGCCUUUGCGAAAAUUGAAUUUAAGACCUCUCACUUACAAGUGAGGAGGAAUGCCUUAAAUCGUAGUACUAAGUAAUGUGUUUAAUCAUUUUUAAAAGACUUUAAAACGAGCCCUAAUUUGUAUCAAAUUAAAAAAUGUUGAAUUGGCCGGAUGUAAUAUGUAUUGGGUAUUUCCUCAUUCAAUAAUAUUUACGUUGUUUUCGGCAAAAAAAGAAAGAAUUCAAUUGGAAAAAAUAAAAAAAUGGGAAAUAAGGAUAUUCUAAUUAAGGUUUUUAUUCAUUGUUUUAGGUGGAUGGUUCAUAUGAAGAUUAUGAAACACUUUAAUUCUCUAAUGUGAGGUUCCGCCUCGAUCCAAAGUUAAACAGUGAAAAAUAUAAUUAAGAUUGUUAUUAAUUAUCAAUUCAUGUAUAUUUCCCCAUGUAUUACGUUUACUAAGUUAGACAAUGAAAAAUACAUAUAAGGCGUUACGAGAAUAUGCGUGGCUGUCAAGUCUGACACGCAAAUAGCAUGCUCAACUUGUAUUACUCCCUAAGGAUUUUAUCCAAAAUUGACGAUGAGUGAACAAGUUGAAAGAUUAUGCACUACUUUAAUUAUGUAACAAGUGAAGAGUCAAUAUUCGCCAACCCGACAAGUUCCACUUUUUGUUCAUUUUCUUGACGAAACAAUCACAUUUACCCUUACGAUUCCGGGCAUAGAGUAUGUGUUGGGUUCCGUUACAGUUCCAACACUACUUAGCACCGUAGAGAAGGAAAUAAAAAGACAACUUUGGAUUUCUUACAACGUAUUGAGUCUCUCUUCAUGGCUCUUGCUGUGUUGUUCUUAUCUCACGUCCUGUUUCUCGAGCUUGGUGUUUCCGGUUGCAAAUUUUGGUUCGCCGGUGUAGUGCUCAGGGGAGGGGACUGUGUCACAUUGUUCCAAGCAGACAGAGGCGGUUGACAACGAUUGCGAUAAUGUGUUUUUCUACGGGGAGAACAUACAGCAGUCAGCAGUUACCUUUUCACAACCGUCUUCAGUAUUUGGAGGCACCUCAAGAAAUUGUCGAGGACAGAAUGUAGAAAAGAACAAAUAUCGAAGUUGAUUGACAAAAGGGGACGAAAAAUUGAGAGAUACAAAAAAGAGGAAGAUAAGAAGAAAUUCGAUGCAAAUUUUAAGCUUGAUUAGUUAUUUUUCAUUAAUGAGCGAUACAGAGAAGAAGAAACAGCUGCAUUUGGAGAUAGCCGCUUUAGUUGCCUAGUUUGUAACAUUAGCUUUAUGUAAAUCCGGGGAAGAAACAGGAGUAAAAAAAACACAAUCAGGCAGUACCAAAGAAGAAAAAUGUACAGUUAGGAACAAUCACCACUUCUCAAACUUUGUAGUAGAUCCAGGUAUCCGAAGGACUCGGGGCUAAUGUACCUGCAUUAACCAGAAACAAAUAUCAGAUUUGUGGAAGGGAGUCGCAUAGUAGUUAAAAUACUUGGCCGUGCGUGAAUGGUUUGAGAUACCACCAUAGAGGCAUCCUCCAGGUGUGAGUUUCUCUCGUAUCCGAUAACUUAUUGUAAGAAUAUUAGCAGUGAAAAAGAAAUACCUGUGUCGGGAAAGGAAGUCAAUGACAAAAAAGCAAUUUGGCUUGAAACAUUGUGUCCCCGUAUGGAGCUUGCAACAUGCAUCACGGAAUCAACUUGAAGCUCUCCACCUCUCCAUCUGUUAUGUUUCAUAAGCAGCAUUGUUAAAGUUCCAUCUGUUUGUGGGGAUAUACCUACAGAUCCUCCUCCUGGAUUCUUUGCCUCUAUACGUGAAAACCCAACAUCUGGGAACAAACAAAUUACAUUCUCUGGCAUAGCAAGAACAGUCCUCUGAAAUGUAUCCAUACAAAGUUAGGACACAACAAAUUCAAUAAGGCAAUGUAAUUCACAACAUUGACAAUCUCUGUCUGACAAGGCAAUAAUACCUCUGUAAUGAUCCGGUAGCGACCGUGACCUGAUAGGCCAAUACCAAAGCCCACUGUUAUGCCAUCCAUGAAGCUUAUAUGGGCUUCUUGAACUCAGAGAGUUUGCAUAUUAGAGAAUACUCAGCAGUGAAUACCUGAAAAACGUGCAGCACAAAUAUCAUAUCGGCAGCCUCUCAAAUCUUAAGAAAACUACAAAUGGUAUCUUAGAAUAGAAAUGAAUCCUCUCCAACCAAUACAAAUCAUAUUACCCAAGUUCAAGCAAAAUCAAGAUUAAACAAAUGAUCAGAUUUGUAGGUUGCCCGAGAAUGUCAAACAUGAUAUUACAAAAGAAAAAAAAAUAUUGUAUGUAUUGAUAUUAAUAAAUACAUGCUGAAAGCACAAUCUUAGCCGCAAUUUUCGCCCAUGAGCGGUAGGUCUCGGGUUCGAGACUUGGGAGCAGCCUCUCCAUAAAUUGGGGUAAGGCUAGCCGACAUUCACCUCUCCCAGACCCUGCGUAAAGCGGGAGCCUUGUGCACUGGGUACGACCUUUUUUUUUAUACGAGAUUGAAUAGCCAAAGCAAUUAAAGAAGUAGCAGAACUCAUAUAAGUGACUUUCACAUUGAACUUUUAGGCUUAUCAACAAAUACAUCAUUAUGAUUCUAAUACAUGAAUUUUGUUAAAAGGGCUUGCUUGCUUGUAUUAAGGCUUAAUCAUCAAUGAUUUUGCAAGGGUCAAUCGUAUUGCUAGUUAUAAAUAUAUUCACUAUGAAAAUUACCAAAAUUACAUCUAAUAUGGUAGUGAAGGAAGUCAUCUUAUAUUAUCUUGAUUUUAGAAAACUGUGUAAGGUUAUAAGUCUGCUAUUAUAUAUAGUUAAAAGGACACAAUUAGACCUCAAUCAUAUUCGGUGGUUGGUUUUUGGUCGUGAUCUGCUUCACAUCACCGCCUGCAGGUAAUCUAAAUCUGGGUUAUUACUUAUCAACAUAGUUGCCAGAUACGGAUACAGUUCGAGUUCCUGAUUCGGUUCGGGUACGGAAUUCGAUGGUAACCUAAAGUAUCAUUCGUUAGAGAGUAUACAUAGACAGCACGAUAUUUAGUUCGAUCCGUUCUUAAUUCGUUAAAAAUAUAAAUUAAAAAUAUUUAUAAUAUACAUUUUACAAUAAUAUUUAUAGUUAUUGUAAACAACUAUUUUUGUUUAAAUUGAUUAUUUUAUAAGCAACUAGUUAUUUACCCAGAUGGGUCCCCCCCCCCCACUAACACAAUAAAAAAAUGUAAAAAUUACAAUUAAACUAAACAUUUUCUCUUCGUCUGCCCUCUACCUGAUGGAGAGCUUCCCAAAAUUCCAGUUGUUUCCAUCCUCUCUUCUCAAAAAAUUAAAGGUGUUUUUUCUUUUCUGUAUUCUGAUUAAAAAUUAUUAAAGAUUAUUGGAUGAAUCACCGAACUGACCACCGAAUCCAAAAAGUACUGGUGCGUACGUACCGAUACGGGAUUCGGACACCAUUUCACCGAAUCCGGCAACUAUGCUUAUCAAUGAAUCAACGUGCCAACUUAAUGGACACCAUCUAUCUCUAUAUGGCAAAAAAACAACACAAAAAUGAACAAUGAAGUGAAACAAUAAACAACAUGACGUGAAACAGCAUGAACAUCAAAGACUAACUUUGGUUCAAAGCAAAGCGUAAUGUAGAAACCUUCGGCAGAACAGGGGUGUUUUUGUCCUUUUGAAACAACCACUUUAAUAUCCUUUCCUGCAUUUACCAUGAUUGGUCACUCUUAAAACCUUACCUAAGAGACCCAAAAACAAAAAUAACCGCCGAAAGAGCUAAACAUACAUAUCUAGAAAAACUUAUUUAACUGCAUGCUAAAAUGGAAGUGUAAAAUUGCCAGGAAAGAUAAGAAACUAUUCAAAUACGAGUUCUGGGCGUUACCGCCACAAAAGGCACGACCCGAGCGGCUAUCAACAAGAACACACUUCACAUUUGUGUCAGCUUCCCCUUCAUCUAGAUAGCUCUUGUAUUUCACAUCCAUAUCUGCAUUUUCCAACAAUUCCCACUUAAACUGAAACACAUAAUUCUUUGGAAAAAAGCUAACUUCUUCGAAAUUUGAAUCCAACGUUUCGUCUUAUAACAAAUGCAAUACCAUAGAUUUGUAAUCAAUACGAUGCCAUAAAGUUCAAGCUCAAAAAUUCAAAUCAGCUCCAAAUCAAAAGCAUUUACAGAUACAUACAUAUAUACAUGUGCGUGUGUGUGUGUUUAUCUACAUACCUAGGUUCAUGGCGUUGAGAGCUCGGGGGGCGACCGAGGGUGAUGACGGCGACGCCAAUUGGGUGGAUGCUGCUCUUGACGAACGCGUCGGCGGCGGCCAUGAUCCCGAAGGGGCGGAGGAGGCGAGGGGAUUUGGAGGGUUUGUAAAGAGGGAGGUUCGAAUUUGGAUUGAGGAAGAAGAAAGCGGACGACGAUUUGCUCAGAAUUUGGGUCGCUCCUCCCAAUAAGCUUCCCAUUACUUCCGUUCGAGAGUGACUCUGUCAGUGUAGAGAGAGAUAUAAUUUUUGUGCUUCUAGACCGGACUACCCUUGAUAUUUCGAUUAAAUUACCGGGAAAAAAGAACUGCCGCGGUGGCUCCAGAGGGAAACUUGAAAUUUGAAAGAAAUUUGAAAGAAAUAUGAAAUAUGGACUUGCCUUCAUUUAUCGAACUGAUUGUGAUGAUGACGAUGCAUCACCACCUUGAUUGUGCCUCUGGAUCAAAAACACAUCUUCAGGAUCAAAACCGUGCAUAUUUUCCUUCAGAGGUUUGUCCCAUACUAGAUUAACCCCUGUUCCCUUAAUUGUCACAUAAUGAAUUUUUUUGAAUGCCUCUGGCAUUUCAAAAGUUACAUCAACUUUAUCCCCGCUUUGCAAAUUGAGCUUAUCGUUCGAUAUUUGUCCUUGCCAAAGAAAACAUUCUUUAAAUACAAUAUCGCGCAUUUUUAUAACCCAAUCUUCCUUGCUUAUGCAGGUGUGCAACUCGAUACGCUUGGUAUUAUUUAUAUCAAUACUGGCACGAUGAUGACCAUUCCAUCUGAUACAAGUUCUUGGCUGAUAAGGAUUGAAGCAGUAAAGGCAUAACAGAGUCAGCCCUUCAAACUUACGACCAUCACUCAGGGGGAUAUCAAAACUGACUUUAUUACCAUCGUUGACAAACUCGAACCAAUCAGGAACAUAAUUCCCAUUGAGAAAAAUGCCACCAUAUCCGCAAGAAGUCCAUCCCUAUAUACACAGUGCAAGUGUCAUAUAUAUAUACAUGUACAUGUGCGUUGUGUGUGUGCAUGUGCCCAAUAGGAAGACAAUUAAAAAGAGAGAUACCUUUAGGAUGUUCCUCCUUAAAUCAAUCCUGAGUUUGGUGCAGUUACUCAUAUCAAUCCAUGUCAUGGAGUUUAAUGACUUAUCCAAGUCUGGAACCUCAGUGAGUGCGUGUGAAUCACUUACAUCCAGUUCUCUCAUAUUCGACAUUUUCGAAAAAUUGGGCAUUGUUACCAAACAAUAGCAACUAGAUGCACCCAGAAAUUUCAAAUUUGUUGGUAAAUCAUAGAUUGUAUGAAGGUAACGGCAGUUACUUAACUGCAAACUUUCAAGAUUUGAAAGAUCACUGAGGAUGGGUAGGGUAUGAAAAUAAUUACCCGAAAGAUUCAAACCUUGUAAAGAAAUUAGACUCCCAAAACCUUUUGGGAAUGCAUCAUCGCUUAAUCUGCACCAUGAGAUCUAAAUUUCUUAAAGAAUCUAAGCCGUGUAACGAAUCGGGAAAUUGCAAAGGAAACUUCGAUUGCACACGCUCUAGAGAUAAAUAAGUGAGAUUUUUCAAUCUUACUGUGGAACGCGGUACUUGUCUUAUGGCUGUGGUAGAUGCUCUAAGUUCUCUCAAUGAUGUCAUCUUCCCUAAAUCCUCGGGCAGUUCACUGAAUUGACAACAUAGAUAAAGAUCAAGAAUCUGAACGGAUUUGGACUCGUAGAAAUCCCCAGGAAGAGAAUUAAGAUUCUUGCAGGCUAUGAAGUUCACAAAAGAGAGUUUUUUAAGAUGACCAAUGGAGGGGUGAAUCUCGGACAAUCUCUCACACCUUUCCAAUAUCAAAUCUUCAAGAUUUGGGAGAUUUGAUAAGUCUGGUGAUUUUUUUAAGUCCUGGCAAUAACUGAGAUUAAGGAUUUUCAAGUUUCCAAGCGACUGUUGCAAAAUCAAAGGAAUAUUAAAAUUAAUAUCCAAAAGGAAUAUCUCAUAUAAAAAAGAGAAGUAAAUAAAAAAAACAAAUAGAAACAUAACAUCAUGAUGUGUAAUCGAUUGUACCUUGGAGCCCUCCCAAACUUGUACCAGUUUGCUAUUCGUUAUCUCUAAAAUAACUAGUCUUGGUUGAUCAAAGAAGUCAUCUGGUAUAGACUUUAAGGGGCAUCCUUCCCAAAGCAACCAUAUUAACUCUUUGGGGAGAUGUUUGUAUUCUCCAUUGAGCUGCACGUUGUAGAGCCUGAGCAGUCUCAGUUUCUUCAUGAUGGCAAAUGCUUCUGUACUGAAACUAGGCAUGUUAGAGCUUGGAGGCAAAGAAGGGAAAUAUGGUGCUAGCCAUUCAGGGAAAGGAGGGAAAUAUAGUGCUAGUCCUUCAACUUCUUCAGUUCCCUGUUAACAAAAGGUUAUAUUAAUGUGUAAGAAACGGAUUAUUUGCAUACGUUUACAUGUAUGAGUACAUGCAAGUACUAUCGUUGGCUAAUUGAGAUGAAUGUUACUUAUUGUAUAAUUCACACCCGUGAGUUAUAUGUGCUUUUCGUGUACAAUGCAUUAAUUCAGAAUUUUAUUGGGAAUGUACUUACAGAUUUAUCUCUCAAUACAUUAGUGACAUCUUGAUGGUUCCACAACCUACUCCAUUCUCUAGGGGGACGACGGUAAUUACCAGAAAUGAUUACUUUGGCCAUUUCUCGAAGCAAAUCAUGCAUAUUCAACUUGUUGUCUUCAACAGUUAUAAGGCAUCGUUCACGGAGGUCAUUGAUUCCUAUUGUUGCAAAAAAGUUACAUCCAUCUAAUAUUUUUGCGACAUAAUCCUUUUUCCAUCCAAUAAAGAAACAAGAUAUGUCAAGGAAUAUAUCCCUCUGGGUAGGAUCUAGCCUUUCAAAGCUUACUCUUAGCGGUUUCAUUAUUCCUUCAUUAGGAAUUUUUUUCAAUUUCUCCAACUGGCUUUUCCACUCUGUUGGGGAUCUUUCAACCAUAGAAGAACCUAAAACUUCAAGGGCUAGUGGCAAACCACCACAGUAAGAAACAACCUCUUUUGAGAGUUCAAGAUAUCCUUCAUUAGGCCUACUAUUUCCAAAGGCAUGCCAACUAAAGAGCUUCAGAGCUUCUUCUUCAUUCAUUUCCUUAAGUGGAUAUGUCUUGUCCACUUUCAUGUUCACUUGCUUUAGUAAACGUUCAUCUCGUGUCGUUAUGAUAAUUCUACUUCCUGGGCCAAACCAAUCACGAUUUCCAGCUAUUGCAUUUAGUUGUUCCACUUUGUCUACAUUGUCAAUAAUGACAAGUACGCUUCUACGUUGGAGAUGAUUUUUUAUCAGACUGAUACCUUCAUCAACACUGGUUAUCUUAGACUUGUUCCGUUUCAAGAUGUCAGAAACAAGUUUGCCUUGCAAAUCAGCCAGAUCAUAUUCACUAACGUUGGCAAGGAAGCUUUUGAAUUGGAACUUAUGAUGAAUUUGGUUAUAAAUGGCUUUGGCAGCUGUUGUUUUACCCAAUCCGCCCAUCCCCCAAAUUCCAACCAUGCGAACUUCUGAUCCACCACUUGAAAGAUAACUGAUAAUAUCUUGAACGCGAGAAUUGAUUCCAACCGGGUGCUUGGCCACAUGUAAUUUGUUUGUGCUUAGAAGCCAUUCCGGAAUAAUCUUAUCAACAAUUUCUCUAAUCAGCUGUGCUUCGCACCUGAAAAUUGAAUUGGUAAGCUUAGUAGGCUUAGUAGGAGCCAUUAGAACAUAAACAAUUUUCCUUCUUUCCUUCGUGUGUGUGUGUAUACACACACACACACACACAAUAACUAGCUACUAGCUAAUAUGUGAUUUUGUGACCAACUUGAAUAGAAGAAACAAUUUCAUGCAUUGAUUUAUUAAAGUUUGGUGUAUCAAUUAAACUCCAAUUAUGGUUUAGAUUUUAAAGGAAAUUGGAGAAAUGGUCCCUGAACUAUGAUCAAAUUGUGGCUUUGGUUCUUAAAACUUUAAAUUAUUAAAGUUAACUCUCUCCCACCUCCCUCCCACCUCACCUCCUCCAAACCCCAGCCACACCAUUGUAGCACUUUCCCAACAGCCAAAACAAAAGAAAGUUUCUAAUCCAAAUUUGGAACACAUCUCCCCUUGCAAACAAAUUCACAAUGACAUCCAUCCACGCUAUCUCGAAAGGUAAAAUUCAAGAAAUUUGUGGGAUGCGGGAUCGGGGUUAAAGUGAAGGCUGUGGUCCAUGGGCUAUAGGUUGGGGCCGGCUGGGGAGUGGGGAUUAGGGAUUGGGGGUUGGAAGUGGGACGUUGACGAGGUGUGAAUCAACGAUUGAAGGUGAAGGGGUGGGCUGCGAGCCUGCGAAUGUUGGUGGGACGAGGUAGGCCUGCAAUUAUAUAUAUAUAUAUAUAUAUAUAUAGGUGAAACUAACAUGUAAAGUUGUAAACACUUUCAACUAAAACUUAAAGAUAUUGGUUACGAAGGACUAACGCUCCAUAUUAUCAAGUUCAAGGACAAAAUAUAAUGAAUUUUUAGUUUAGGAACCAAACUACAAUUUUCCUGUAGAUUUUAAAUGAGAGAUUAAGGUGUAUUAAUUAAGCAUGUUAAUUAGAGUAAUACAACUUAAAUAUUGAAAUGUAGGAGAAUGAUUACCUAUUAUCAGUGAUUUGAAGAUGGUGGCCAGACAAAUUUGCAGCUUUUGUAAGAGCCUCUCCCCACUGCUUUACCCCUUGUUUAGCUUCACGUUUCUUGUCAUCCUUUUCUUCACCGAUGCCUUCUUUGUGCUUCUGAAAUUCUUCGGCCAACUUUGCAGCUGUUGUAAGAGCCUUUCUCCACUGCUUUACCCUUUCUCGUUUAUCUUCACGUUCCUUGUCAUCUUUUUCUUCACGGAUGUCUUGUUUGUGCUUCUUAAACGCUUGGGCUAAAACUCCGUUCUGCUUCCUGACAUGUGAAGGAUCAACAUGAUAGAAUAUUGGCAAAACAUGUCGCCCCAGUUUGUCUCUGCACUCCAUGAUCUUCACCAGCUCGUUAAGACACCAACUCGAAUCCGCAUACCUCUCUGAGAAGACAAUGAUAGAGAUCUUCGAUUCUUCGAUUGCCUGGAACAGUUCUUUUUGUAUUUCUUCCCCUCUUUCUAGAUCAUCCUCAUCGAUAUAAGCCUGGUAUCCCUUGUCUGUUAAUGCCGCAUGGAGGUGGCCCGUGAAACCAUUGCGUGUGUCUACACCGCUGAAGCUCAAGAACACGUCGUAAUUCCAAAGUUUUGACUUGGAGGAGAAUGAAGAGGAGGCUUCGUGGGUUGUCAUGGUGGUAUCCACCGUUAUGGCACUGUAGUUGUUCAGAUCACGACUAAAAAAUGGCAGUAGUUGUGUUCAUACUGUCGAACGGAUGAUCCUGAAAUACCUAAACCCAAGUCAAGCUCCUUCAGUCAACAAGAACAAAUAUUAUAUAUAAUAAUGUUGGCCGGAAGGUGCAGAGAAAGGGAGAGGAAAAGAGAUAAGAAAGGAACGAAAGGAAUGAAAGGACAAAGACUAUCCAAAAGAUUCUUGGCUGUGAUUACAGCUAUUCAUAGGAGAAACAACGGACAUAUUUUUAUAGGAGAAACAACCUGCCCAUCUUCAUAUAUAAUGCAUUUCAAUAGGAGAAACAACUUUAGUUUGUACUAGAAUUUUUUACCCGCGCGUUGCUGUGGGAUUUGAAAUUGUAUGAAAGAUUAUCUUUGAAAUAUAUAAUAGAUUGUGUGAUCGAAGAUUAAUACUAUUUACAUUGCAAAUGUUGAAAAAAGUUUUACAUACAAAAGAUUUUACGAUACAAUCCACAUACAAAAGAUGGUAAAUUUUUUUCUAUCUACAACAUGCAUUAUGUUAUGGAAUGAUAUAUAUAACUAAGUGCCAGAAUACAUAACUUCAUAACUUAUAUUUUUUUUGACAAAUUAAUCACAUUCAACUGUGGGAUAGCAAGGUUGCCUAUAAAAUUGUGAAGUCAUGGAAGCAUAAAGGACAAAUAACAAAUGAGUUUUGAGAAAUUAUUCCACAAAUGUCAUUCUGCAAAAUGUAUUAAAGACGAUUGGUAUAAGAUUAGUAAUCAUGAGUAGUGUAACAACAUCAACAAAGUAACUAUAAACCAUAGUUGAACAUAAUCCAAAUAUCGUUUGCAAAAACAAAAGAAAAAGAAAACAGACUUACAAUAAUUCAGCCUUCAAUCCUGAAGUCCUACUCAAAGAGCCAAACUUGAAUGCAAGCUUUCUGAAAUCUUCCAAACAAUACAGAUAAAAAGGUAACACCCUAGUCAGAAAUGAACCGAGCUGCUAGCUUUCAAAGAAACCCAGAUGACAAAAUAAAAAAAUAGAAUGGAAAAAUGACUUGCACAUUUAAGGCUUGCUCGAAUCUUGAUCUAAAAUUGGUGGCGGGUUGAUUGUUGGUCACCAACUCUAAAUAAAGAAUUCAUCAGAACCUAGAAAUUUAAACAAAGAAUUUUCCAAAAUCAACAUUUACUAAAAACCAGUUACUUGGUUAUCAUGCAUGAUGGCUUGCCAAAGACUGAAUUAAGGAAUGCACAACUUUACUUUUAUGAUUAUUUUCAAUGACAGCUAAAAGGUCAGAUCCAAAUGACAGUUAAAUUCCUUUUCUACAAAGUUCGAAAUUAUAUGGCAGUUUGGCAUCUGUUGAAUAACAUGGUUGAAAGAUUUAAAAUUGAUACAUUCAAUUUUUAUGUGUAAAACUAUAACAUAUACCUAAAGCUAUUUGGUCUAUAUAUCCAUAUCAAUCAUGUUGUAAUUAAAUGUUUAUCGAUGUAAAUAGAUGAUUUCAGUCAUGUGAUAACAUGUUUCUUGAUGGUAUACGCUGAAGUUUGGUCUAAGUUGGAUAAAAAUCGACCAAAAUCUUAGUAAGAGACUCUUUUAACUUUUAACCAAAAAAUGAGCACCACAAUACUACACUUAUAAGUUUUUAUCAUGCACAAAAUAUACAGCACUGAUAGCCACUUUUAGAGCAAGAACAAUACUUUACCAGACGAAAACAACAAAACACUCAAAACCCAGAAACAAAAACACACUUAGGACUCAAACUCCUCAAAAACAUGAGAAAGAGAGUGCGUGAGGAGAGAGAAUAAAAAAAAAUAUUAUUUUUCACAAACUCAAAAUUGUUUAUAAAAUUACAAAUCAAAACAAAUGAAAAUCCAAAAUUGCCCUAAAUUAAAUCUGUUUAGUUAAAUGUUUAUUGCCCUUCAAAUGUUAUUACACCUGACAAUUGCUUUGAAGUUGAUAUUUUGGUCAAUCCAGGGGAAAAGGAGUUAUUGCUUUUGGAGCAGUUGUCAUGGAGAAUCCCAUCUCCAUGUUAAAUAAAAAAAGGUCGUACCCAGUGCACAAGGCUCCCGCUUUACGCAGGGUCUGGGAGAGGUGAAUGUCGGCUAGCCUUACCCCAUUUUAUGGAGAGGCUGCUCCCAACUCUCGAACCCGAGACCUACCGCUUAUGGGCGAAGACACUUGCCAUCGCACCAAGUGGCCACAAUAAUUUAGGAGGCCCUUCUCUCCAGAUUUUCUCAAUAACUUUCCUUUUCGUAGCUGGUAAGAUUGCAACUCCAAGAAUUGCUCUGAAGAGAUAUAUACAAACAAAAUCAAACUAAAACUAAGCUAUUGGAAGAAAUUUACAAAACAAAAACACAAUUUCAACUCAGAGUUAAAGUCAACAGAAACCAAAUGGUACAAGUUGACAAAAUAUAUGGUCAUGAAUCGAGAACUUCAUCAAACUAACAGCAAUAAAAUCUCCUAUAAUCUGUCUAAAACCAAAAAAGAGAGAGGUAAUUUCAAGACCUUGUAACGCUGAGGCCUCGUACAGUUGUAGUAAUAAUAUAUGGUUGAUGCACCUGUUGCUCAAUCAAAUCCUUUGUCUGGCUAAAAAAAUAAAAAUCUAUAAAUACAUUCACGUCCAAUUUAUGAGAAAUCAUGGGAAAGCAAAUGCACUGAUAACGGAAUCAUGAAUAUGAAGAACUUGCCAAAAAGAAAAAGAAAACUUCUUGUAGUGUGCCAAGAACAUCCUCCUACUCCUAGCAAAUUUUUUAUGGCAUUAUCCACUUCUCAAUUCAUAAUUCAACCAGUAACUCAAAGUCUAUAGUGUAUGAAAAAGUGAUAUCUUAGUUGAUCUCGAUGAUAAUUAAGUAGAUUAAAUGACGACCCAUAAAGCAUACAAAUUCAGAAAAGAAAAGGUUGAAAACUGCCAUAAGAAAACGCAGAAUAUAUAAAUGGGAAAUCAAAAGAAGAGAAGCGAAAAAGGAAGAAAAAACCAAACAAAAUUAUUAGGUUUGGGAUAUACCUUUAUCCGAAAGGCCACAACCAUCAAAGUCAAACAUAAACAAUCCAAAAAUUUGUGGAAAAUAACAAUAAAUGCUUAACUAAAAAUGAAAGAAAACGUAGAAUAAGUUUACCUGUUCUCCCCCUAAUUAAACUGGAAUACAAUUCACCACUAAUAUUCUUGUCAUCCUCUUCAGCCUGAAAAAUUUAGUAGAAAUAUUCAAUGAAGACGCUUAAUGGAGACAGUAAUAUUAGCAAUGGAGGAAUUGAAUUGAUAACUAAAACUGCAAGACCAAAUGACUACAAUAGGUUCAAAACAGAAACUCGUCUGUUAGAUGUCUCAUCUUUAGGCAGUGCCUUGUUCUUUGUUGCAUGUCUUGUGAAGUUCAUGUAAAUCAACAAAAUUGAUACUUUGGACACACCAACAAUGGAGAGGUAAAAAGUGAAAAACAGAAGGAAUGUCUUCAGAUUUGUAAUGGAUUUUGCAAGUCAGAAAUUCUGUUCGAGAAUUUGCAACCCAGAAAGUCCACCAGCAAUUAUUAACAAUCACAGAUAAGCACCGAAUGAAGGCCAAUCUAAUACAACAACAACAACAACAACAACAAAGCCUUUUCCCACUAAGUGCGGUCGGCUUGAAGGCCAAUCUAAUACGCCAAAAUAUUCAGGGCACUAAAGAACUUAUUGCCCAGUAUCAACGAUAGAUAAGCACAUGUGAAACUAAAGAAAUUUUUCAUUACUAUCAACUCCAAAAAAGAUAACCUAUGCAAUCCAAAAAAUGUUGAUACAGAGUUGGAGUAUCGAUGCUUGAAAUUGGUAUUUGAACCACCAACUACCUCCGUGAAUAUGUUUGUUUGCUUAAUGGUUUGGGUUGAAGUUGCGAAAGGAAAUAUAAUUUCUUAAAAGGAGAGAAUGCAGAGACAAUACAGAAUGGUUCACGUGGCCACCUCAAAACAGAUUGACAAUUAAGCUUCAUUAUGAAUGGAAAGAUUAAUAGAUGAUAAUUAAGAAGGCCUGAUACCCAAGCCGAAAUCAGAGAUAUCCUUUGUAAACAAAGAGAUUGAGCAUUUCCACUAAAAAAUAACCUUUUUUGUGAGGGGUGGGAUUGGGUGGAAGGCUAGAUAAAGACAUCAAAUUUUAUACUUAUUGCAUGCAAGGUAUGCAACAGCCUCCCGCCGAUUAAAAAUCCCAGAAAUAAAAGAAAUCGAAUCAAGAAAGAAGAUAAUUGCACAAUAAUUACACCUUCACUAAGAAAAUAAAUUAUAAAAUCGAAGACCGUGAGAAUAAUGUCUUAUACAUUAAGCCUGCCAAUUACUAAAAACAAAACAUUUUGCCAUGAGGAGAAGUAAGAACAUACCCAAACUUGUUUGCAAAUAGAUGAGAAAAAUUUAUACCUGAAACAGAUGGAAAAUUUAUUAGGAAAGAUAAAUCAGCCCACAUGUGUGUAAUCUAUAUACAAAAAACCACUCUUUUCAUUAACCAAAUCGUUUCACAAAUCCAAAAACACAGAAUUAUAUCUUGAACAAUGCCAAUUAAUGAUUUCCCAUUUACUUAAGCCCAACAUCAAAGCCAAUGAACUGAUGAAAGAGCGAAAAUGAGAAACAUAAAACCUCAAUUAAGCAAUUAAAUGGAGUAUUACUUGAUAGAGCUGGAAAAUUACCCAGUAAGAUUAAAAAAAAGAGAGAUGAGAUGGAGUGAGAAUCACAUACCGGCAUCACCUUUAAAUAUGUAGUGCUCCUCAGAGAGAGGAUCAAGAGUGACUGAUGAGAGGGCAGAGAACGAAUGAUUGAGAAAUUCAAGCUCUGAGCUCAAAGUUGGGGCCUCCACUUUCCAACUGGGGAAGAAAUAACAGAGAAAACACAGAGAGCCAAUCCACCAAAACUAUUAAUCAAAUGGGUUCCGUCUAAUUCAAAAUUUGGACCACCCAAAUUCCGAUGAAGCAAUAACCAUUCAAAAUUCCAACAGAUUGAAGCCCUCACAGACUACAAAUUAUCAAUACCCAGCAAUAAAAAAUUUGAAAACAGUAAUAAUGAAGGAAAAAGAAAUUAAAGCCGCAAGCCAUUCUCUAAAUCUCAGGCACCAAUCCAAAUCACCAGUAAUUUGCACAUAAUGAUAAGAAUCUAGCAGUAUUUCCAUUGUUUAAAACCCAAAUUCAAGAAAUCAUGAAAAAUGGAAACUUUAUAUAGAAAUUGAAGCUUUACCUGCAGAUCAGCAGCAGCAAACGGAAUCCAACGGCAUGUACCUCAAAAGUGAGAGAGAGCUGAGAGAUGAGUAAGAGAAUCGGUAAACAAAACCCCCAAAAUCACAGAAGGAAAUUUAAACAGAAAACAAAUUUGCAAAUCCAAAAUCACAAAAACGAAAUUGAAACACGAAAGCUGUAAAACUGACCAGGAACGCUAGCUUUUCUGGGUAAAAACUUUAUUCGAAUCGAAUAGAAGAACCGAGGAAAGUUCUACUGGUUCAGUGGUUAUUCCAGCAAGAAAGCACCUUGUUUGUAAUUCGUGAGAGGUUGGAACUUGGAGAGCGAGAGAAGCCGAUUUGGGAGCCAAAGAAAGCGAGGUUGGAGAACGACGGAAGCUGAGAAUUGCGAGAGAGAAAAACGAAAAGGAAAGGAAAAGCGGAGAAAAAGUCACGAUUAUCGAAGCGUGCGAAAAUGAACGGGGAAUGGGGAUCUGGCUGAGGGAGACAGAAUUCGAGAAAGCGGAAUGAAGAGAAUCGAGAAGAGGAGGAAUCAUUUUAAGCGGAUGAUCGACGCGUGGGAAGUAAACUAUUAUUUACAAAUCUAAAGCAUUACCCGAACUUAUAAUACAAUAGCUACUUUGACAGAAGAAAAGAUGGAGAGUGAGAUGAUUGCAUUCCUUUUCAAAACAACUUUUAAGAUUCCAUAAUAAACUAAUAUAUAUGAAGAUGUGCCCCGUGGUAAAAGAGAGGAAGGAAAGAUUAUCAAAAGUUUAUUGUUCGUGAAUCGUGAUUACAGCUAUUCAACUUUUGUAAAUUUUCUUAACAUGAGUGAGAUUUGCAUUCUUUUUCAACCGAACUUCUUUUGAUUUCAUAAUAGAUUAUUAUACGAAGGAUAAAUGCUUAACAGAUUCUCUCAAAAUCGAUGCUUUUCAUGAACUUUUUAGCUAUCUUAUGUUUUUAGACUUAAUUACACUAACACUUUCUGUGGUUUAAGAUAGUCUUACGUUUGAAAUAUUACACUAACAUCCUUUUAAUGUAAUGUCUCAAACGUAAAGGAAUUUUGUGAAAACUCGACUAACUUUAGGAGUGUUAGUGUAAUUAAUCUAUUUUGUGCAAAUAUUGUAAAAUAUUUUACCAAAUACAUUAAGAGCUCGUUUUGAUGUGUUUUUAAAAUGACUAAAAACGUUUUUAAAUAAAAUAUUUUUUUGUUCCAAAAGCACUUAAAUUGUUUUAUGCAAGAAGCACCAGUUAUGUGCUUAUUCCAGAAAGCACUUUAAAUGUUUUUCUAGAAUUUACUUACAUUUUUAUUAAGGAUUGGUUUAAAAAACAUUUUCACAAAAAACGUUUUCAGUUAUUUUAAAAACACAUCCAAACAAGCACUAAGUAGCGGAUAGUUUAUAGACACUUUCACUUUAAAAAGUAGGGAACUUUAACGAAAAGCACCCGGUACUGUUCACUUUAACGAAAAACCAUAUUUUUACACUAAAAAAUCAAUCUUGGUACUAUUCACUUUACCCUUUAUUUUGUUCUUAUCAUUAAAACUCAAAAUUUUCAAGCCAUUUUCAUUAGUUUUCUUUAAAAAGUAUUCUUGCAUAUUUCUAACAGACAUGUACGGUGGAAAAAGAUCACUUCAUAAUUAAAUAUUAUGUUGUUGAUUACGCCUCUCUCUAUUUGAUUAAGUUUCUUUUCACUCUUCUCUAAAAAAUAAUGGUUUCUUUUCACAUUAUUAAACCGUUGUAAAGUAAACUUUUUUUUUGUAAAAGUGUUUUUAAUUAAAAAAAGUAAUGUCAAAGUGUUUGGUAAAUUUUUAUAUAAAUUACUUUGAAUAUAUUAAAUAACUAUAAAAUAUAUACUAUUUAAUGUGAUAUAAUAAUUGUCAAAGACAAUAAUGUAUGAGCAAAAAUUGUAAUUUGUAAAACAUGUAGAGGUAUACUAUUUGAAAAGUUCAUUAAAUGAGCGUUAAUUAUUAUACUUUGAAAAAGAAAAAAAAAUAUACUUUUUUAGAAGCAUAGUACACCCUACUUCUCAUUUUCUGUACUUUUUUCUACUUUUAUUGACAGUAGUUUAAUAAGUUGCUUUCUUUGAGAGUACUCAAACCAAUCCUUAAUAAGUGACCAUUUUGAACUUUCUUGGCGCCAUCGGUGUGGAGGGAGAGAAAAGAAACUAGCGCAAAACUACAGACACUCGAUUCGUUGUAAUAUAUAAUAAAAAAUAAUAGUCACGUAUAAAAUAUGGUACAAUUAUAGUUCUGGCAUAUGUCUCUACCAAAGAUAAUCGCCGUGUCUUUCAAAUUUGUUGUUAAAUUGGGGACAACAUGAAGAUUUUCACACUAAUCUAAGUACAACGUUUCAAACCUUGAAAGACCACUAAAGCUUUGAAAAGUCUGGUGAUUUUGUUAGGUCAUGUGAAUGACUGAAAUUAUCGAUUUUCAACUUCCCAAGCAACUAUUACACAAAAUAUAAUUUAAAACUCAAGAGGAGGAAUCAAAAUCGAUAGUGUCUUCAACUUAACCACUAAUAAGUGUAGAGUACAAAAGACCAUGCAAUUAGUAGUUGUGCCCUUCAACAAAAAGAGAAUCACAAUGUUAGUUGGUCACAUCACAUGCCCAAGGAAAACACGGUACAAAAGCACUAAAAGCGUCCAAGCGAAAGUGCUUUCUUCUCAUGUAGUUUCAUUUAACUUAUUUUACCACAACAGUAAAUAUAUUUUACCACUGCGCCAAUUACGAAAAUGAACGGGGAAUGGGGAGCUGGCUGAGGGAGACAGAAUUCGAGAAAGCGGAGUGAAGAGAAUCGAGAAGAGGAGGAAUCGUUUUAAGCGAUGAUCGACGCGUGGGAAGUAAACUAUUAUUUACAAAUCCAAAGCAUUACCCGAACUCAUAAAGAUGCUCUAAAAACUUUCAAAGAUUCCACAAUUUCUGUUUGAUUUCAUAAUAAACUAUUAUACGAAGGAUAAAUGCUAAAAAUUAGUCUCAGGAAAGCACUUUGUUUGUAAUUCGUGAGGUUGGACAGCGAGAGAAGCCGAUUUGGGAGCCAAAGAAAGCGAGGUUGGAGACAGAAUUUGAGAAGCAGCUUCCUGAUUUUUUUUUUUUUAUGAGAGAAGGCGGAAUGAAGAGAAUCGAGGAGAUGAAUCAUUUUAAGCGAUGAUCGACAUGUGAGAAUUGAGACGAUCUUAUAGCAACGCGAUAUUCAGUUUCAUCACACCAGUUAACUUGUAUUGGUCGAGUAAAGCACAUGUUACUUUCUGAAAAUUUGAAAUACUACAACGCAAAACCUAUCAAGAGGAUGCUACCAUGUGAUGCAAGAAACGAAAAGGUACAAAGUCCAGACUCACUCUGGUUGUCAUUUUCCCCAAGCGCAGAUGCAACUUUAGCGAAUUAAGUUUGUCUCAAAGAAAGUGUCUUUCCAAAAAAAAAAAAAAAAGUGAAAACGGAGCACCCUUCCCCAGACAUUAAGGGCGUGUUUACGUACACGUAAUCAGAAUAAGAAUGUGGAAUUGAAUUUCGAUUACGGAGUACUCUGAUGUUUACUAAACAUGGAGAAUAAAAAAAGCAAUGGGGCCCACACAAAUUUUGGAAUUCAAUUCCUUGUAUUGGUGGAAUUUGAUUCCCUAGAUAUAUGUUGUAAUUCAAUUCCUGCUUGUUUGGACAAUCGGAAUAACACUUUUGUUCCCUUUAUGUCCUCACUUACUUUUUUUAUUUCCAAGACUAUCCUUUAUAAACUCAUUAAAGUAUAUAAAAUAUUUGAUUUGGGACAAGGGUAUUUUAGUAAUCAUACUGGUUUAUAAUUCGAUUCUGCUGAAUUAGUAAAAAUCUUUAUGGAAUUAUAUUCUGAUUUCAGAACAUUUAAGUAAACAGUUUCAACAAGAAUCUGAUUCUGACUUCUCUUCAUUCCAACUCCUCCUUAAUUUAAUUCCUCAUUUUUUUCAUUACCGUUAUAUAAAUGUGCCACAAAGAGCUUCAUUAGCCCACUCACCACUGCAAUAGAAACAAUUUGAUAGAAAAUACUUGAUAGCAACAUACAAGCCUCUAUUUUAUUGGAAAAAUCAAAAUACAAAAUCAAUGUUAUCAAUUUUCUAUCUAAAUGAGAAUUACGGUUUAAGCGAGUUAUGUGGAUACCUAAGCAGGUCUAGCGCACUUUCUUAAUUUUCAAAUGCUUAAGAACUAAUUAGGACGCUGAUCAGCAGCCUAACGUUAGGCGAAGAUUUUUAGAACAUUAAUUACUUGUUCUCCUAGAUCUCCGAGUCCAAGAAAAUUAUGAUCACCCAUUGUUCAAUCUUAAUAUAGUCAGUACGUGGUUAUUUAACCAUUUUGUUAUAUUUAUCCUUUCUCGUUAAAUUAAGUAAGUGAUAAUAACUUUCCUGGAUCCUGUAAUCUAGAAGAACAAGACUAUAUAUCACAUGGAUAAACAUAAUCAGGCAUAAGAAAAAGUCGAAGAAUUCAUAACAUAGAGUAAUGCUAAAAAUACUAAAUUUGUAAACUAAAUGACAUAGAAGUUGAUCGUUAAAUUAUUAUUUAAAUAUUAAUAAACGUGUUCAUGCUCACACAUCAUUUAAUUUGUAAAUUUUAUUUAUAAAUCUUAAGCAUUACCUGAACGCAUAUAAUACAAUAGCUGCUUUGACAGAAGAAAAGAUGGAGAGUGAGAUGAUUGCAUUCUUUUUAAAAGCAACUUUUGAAGAUUCCAUAAUAAACUAUUAUGUAUGAAGAUGUGCCGUGGUAAAAGAGAAGUAAAAAGGAGGGAAGGAUUAUCCAAAAAAUUAUUGACCGUGAUUACAAUUAUUCAACUUUUAUACAUUUCUUCGAACGGAGAUCCAAGAAAAGAUGGAGAGAGAGAUUGGCAUUGUUUUUCGACACAACUUCUGUUGAGUCCAUAAUAAACUAUUAUAAGAAGAAGGAAUGCUAAAGAGAUUCUUUCAAAAUCAAAACUUUCUCAUGUUUUUGGGGUUAGUUAUACUAACAUUUUUUCUUUCGUAUAAGAUAUUACGCCAACACUCCUUUUAGUGUAAUGUCAAACGUAAGGGGAUUUUGUAAAAUUUGAUUAACUUCGACGUUAGUGUAACUAACCUAUUUUUAUGCAAAUAUUAUGUCAAAUACAUUAAAUGGCGGAUAAUUUAUAAACAAUGUCACUUUAACAGAGUUUUCUUACAUCUUUUUUAUAGAUAUGGACGGUGGAAAAAGAUCACUCCAUAAUUAAAUAUUGUGCUAUUGAGCGCGCUUUCGGGGCGCUUUCGGUGCGGGGUUUUGGCCUCCGCCGCUCCGCGUGCUGUUCUUUUACCUUUUUAUCUGCCAUUCGCGUGCUCCGCUGGUCCCAGACCCCUGAACAAUGUGAUGAUGCCAACUAACGUUAACCCCACUAAAGCAUCGGAAAUUGCGUCUGAGGAUAGAAAAGGCAUACAUGCAGAUCCUCCUCCCGGACUCUUUGCCUCUCUAUAUGUGAAAACCCAUCUGGGAACAAACCAAUUCCAUUCUCUGGCAUAGCAAGAACGGUCCUCUGAAAUGUAUCCAUACAAAGUUCGACACACAAAAUUCAAAAAGCCAUUGCAAUGUAAUUGACAACAUUGACAAUCUCUGUCCGACAAGGCAAUAAUACCGAAGCCCACUGUAAUGAUGGUAACCUGAUAGGCCAAUACCGAAGCCCACUGUUAUGAAAUCCAUGAAGCUUAUAUGGGCUUCUUGUACUCUCAGAUUUUGCAUAUUAGAGAAUACUCAGCAGUGAAUACCUGAAAAACGUGCAGCACGAAUAUCAUAUCGGUAGCCUCUCGAAUCUUAAGAAAACUACAAAUGGUAGCUUAGAAAAGAAAUGAAUCCUCUCCAACCAAUACAAAUCAUAUUACCCAAGUUCAAGAAAAAUCAAGACUAAACAAAUGACCAGAUGUUGUAGGGUGCCUGAGAAUGUCAAACAUGAAAUUACAAAAGAAAAAAAUAAUCGUAUGUAUUGAACAUUAAUAAAUACAUGCUGAAAGCACAAUCUUAGCCGCAAUUUAUGACAUUCAUACAAGAUGGAAUCGCCAAAGCAGUUAAAGAAAUUGCAGAGCUCAUAUAAGUGAUUUUCACUAUGAACUUUUAAGCUUAUCAACAAAUACAUCAUUUCGAUUCUAAGGCUUAAUCAUCAAUGAUUUUGCCGUUGGAUAGUGGCCAAAUUAGCGGCCGACUGAACAACAAGCCAACUCUCCUUUCGGCUAUUAAACAAAGAAAAGUUUGGUGGACAUCAUCAUGAGUAAAGACACAAUGAUGAUGUUUGUUGAAAAGAAAAAGGAAGGUCAUAAUGAUGUUUGUAACUUUGGAUUUUUUAUAGUCAAAUGGAAUUGGGUUUAUUUGGCUCCUUCCUUUGCAACUUGACAAAAGAGCUUUUUUUUGGUAUUUUCUAAGGCAGCAGCAGCUGCUAUAUGUUUGAGGAGAAGCCGAGAGAUACCAAGAAGAGCGUUCGGCUCUCCCAUUUGAAAUUUUGUUAGUAAUCACUCAAUCAAAGAUGUUGGUGCUACUUGUGUAGCUUUUGGGAGAGAAGGAUUUUGAUAUGUGUUUCUUCUUCUCCAUUUGUUUCUUAGUUUGAGUGAGAGCUAUUGGUUGUAUGUGGGAUUUAGGUUUGAGAGUUAAAACUCUAUUUGUAAUUUCCUUUUGAUAUUAGUGGAAUUUCCUCGCCGUCUCGGAACUGGACGUAGGCUUACGCCGAACCAGUAUAAAUCCUUGUGUUUUUUGGAUUAUUUGUCUUGUCAUAUUUUGCCGUAUUAGCUUUGGUUUCAUAUUUGAAGCUUUCACACAACAUUUGCAAGGGUCAAUCGUAUUGCUGGUUGUAAAUCUAUUCACUAUGAAAAUUACCAAAAUUACAUCUAAUAUGGUAGUGAAGGAAGUCAUCUUAUAUUAUCUGGAUCCAAAAUUGUACCUAAACAUGCAUGACAGGUAAAAAGAAGAUGAGCAAUAAAACAUUAUAAAGAUUCCCAAGAAAAGCAAUAAAACUACGUAAAUAUUAGUUAAUAAUGUCAAGACCAUAGUCUGUGACAAAUCCAAGAGUUGAGAUGAGACUAUCUUUCCGGCAGGAAUUUUUGGAAUUUUUCUCUAUUGUAAGGAAAACAUAGAUUGAUGUUUGUGUUUACACGAAAAUUAUGCCAACGGCUUAGGAGAAAUCAAAGCAUAACAAUGGGACUAAAAUGACUUACCUACUAUGAGGAUCUUCAAGUUCCUUCUUCACCUCUUCGGGCAGAUUGGCUAAUCUAAUAAACGAAAAGAAAACUCCCAUGAGCAGUGCUAUAACAAACUAUCUUCCUAAAUUCAUUAUGAAUUGCAGUUAAAACUUAAAAUGAACAUGAAAAUCCUACGUAGAAGGGAUAUACCUAGGUGACAAGCCUAGAAGAUUCCCGCGCAAGGAAGAAUAUCCCGGAACCUGCAAUUGGAAACUCAAAGAAACAAUUACAAAGAUGCUAGAAAGAAAAUACGUAUCAGUUUACAACAAAACGCUAGCGCUCAUGAGAAUCGAUUAGGUAUGAAGCAUCAAAACAAUAGCAUGAGACAUCAUAACUUAUGAGCUAUGAAUGGAAUAAUGGAGCAAAAUAUCGUUGCCCAAACAGCACAAUCUACAAUCUACAUGACGGAGAAAGUACCCCGACAUUACAUAUGCAAGUUCAUGUGGUUUAUCUUUUUAACCGAUUCGUUAACAAAUUCUUUCUGCACAUAUAGUUUUAACUUACCAAAACUGGUAAUGGAAGAGAGAUAAUCAGUAAUUAAAAACGGUAAUCGCAUAACGAAAUCAUACUUGAGUGAUUGAUAGGAUUCCCAACCCAUUUGGUCCAAAUCCUUCUUCAAUCUUCACUGACAAAUCUUUGUCCCUGUCCUGUAUCAAUCCAAAAUCAAAAAACGACAAUUAGAAAAAUCGAAUUCUCGACAUGAUCGACGAGUUAAAACAUAGCAAUUAAACAAAACUAUGAAUAAAACAAUUAGAUUCUGUUUGGUUGCUGAGAAAAUGAAGAGAAUAACAACCAAAAAGUCAACUGAAAUAAAAUUUUGCUCUAACUUCAACGAAUUCUCUUGAGUUUCUGAGCACCCAAACAGAAAAAAAAAAAUUAUAGGCAAUCAAACCAAACUCUCAUGCUCAAUUUUCUCGGCAACCGCAAAAAGAACUUAGAGGGGGGGGGGAGAGAGAGAGAGAGUUACUUGGAGCUCGGAGUAGGAUAUGGUGACUGGUGUGACGGUGGGGACGGCGGGGUCGGAGGACGGAGGCAUAGUUCGACAAUAAAUUUGGCGGGAAAGACGGCGGUUGGAGCGUGACGAUGGGGAAGAAUCCGUGGGAACGAAGAGCAAUUUUGGUGCGGAAGGAGGGUUUUUAUAUCGGAGGGAGGGAGGGAGGGAGGGAGGUUGAGAGCGAAAGGCGUGAUUGUCAAUUUCAAAUUUUUUUUUUUAGGAAUAAAGAAAGAAGAGAGGUUGAGUAUCAAUUCCCUUUCCCUCCAAACCAAAUAAUACAUUCACGUUCAUGAUGUGUGGCAAAAAAUUGAAGGUGGAGACGAAUAUAUUAAAGGGAUGUGCUAUCCACACACCUUUUUUACUUCUCACACACCAUUUGUUAAUUUCUGUCCGUUGAUCUUCUUCAUUUCAUCUGAUCUAACGAUCGAAAAUUAAAAGGGUGUGUGAGAAGUAAAAAGGGGUGUGUGGAUAUCACACCCCUAUAUUAAAUAGGUAUAAGUAUUAGUUAAAUUUAAAAUUAAUUGUGUACUAUUAAAAAUUUGUUUGAAAAUAUUUUUAUAAUAACUGAAAGCGUUUUUUAUUAAAAUGUUCUUUAAAUCAAUCCUUAGUAAAACCAAGUGGAUUCUAAAAAGUCAUUUGGAUUACUUUCUACAAAAAUCACAUAUCUUGAGCACUUGAAGCGCUUUUGGAACCCAAAAUUAAUUUAACAAAAGUGUGUCUAGUCUUUUUUAUUUUUGAACAAACGAUAUUAUCUACUUUAAGGGAGGGGAUGAGCUUAACCUCACAAUGGACUAUCAUAUUAAUAAUGUUCAAAUUCACCUUUAUUCAUUUUUAAAAGACUUUAAAACCAGCACUAAUUUGUAUUAAAUUCUAAAACUUUGAAUUGGGAUGUAAUAUGCAUUGGGUCUUUAAUAAUAUUUAAGUUGUUUCCGGCAAAAAAGAAAGGAUUCAAUUGGGAAAAAUAACAAAAUAUGAAAUAAGGAUAUUCUAAUUAAGGUUUUUAUUAAUUAUUUUAGGCGGAUGGUUCAUGUGAAGAUUAUGAAACGCUUUAAUUCUCUAACGUGCGAUUCCAUUUCGAUCCAAAGCUAAAUUUAUAAAUUUCUAAUUUUUACUUUCUAAUUUUUACAAAUUUCUUUUCAUAAGAGUAUAAAUUUAUAAAAUUUGGUUAAAGGAUCAAGAAGUUUAAUUAGAAGCAAUGGUUUUUGUUGUUUAAAAUUAGCAAGAGGUCCUAAGUUCGAAACGCUUUGGGCAUGUUUAUUUUUUUCAAUUUUAACAAAUUUUUGUUUGGUUGUUAAUUUAUUUUUAGUUACUAGCUAGUAGCUAUGUAGGUUGUUAUUUAAAUAUUCGUUUCAAUUCAAGUCCAAUCUUCAACAAUGAGUAAUACGUAAACCAAAUUUGUAGCGCAAAUUUGUAAAUUAUAUGACGUGUUAUCAAAAUAUUUAAUUUAAUGCUCAUUCAUUACUAAUACAUAUCAAUUAAGGACUCGAAAACAUCAUUAUUGUUUUUAGUCCCAUAUUGACAAGGUUAGUAAAUAAGAAAAAACACCUCAUGAUUUAUACAAAAACACUUUCAAAGUUCAAAUGGAAAACAAAACUCAUCGUCUAUCUACUUAUAAGCCCAGAGUUGUUUGGUUUUCUUCUCUCAAUACAAAAUAAAUUAGUCCUUUUGUGUUUCUAAAUUAUUGAGUUUGAAGUGCUUUUCUAAGUAUAAUUUUAUUAAUGUCUUACGUGUGAAAAUAAAUAAUUUUCUUAUAUGAAGUUAGGGCACUUUUUUUUGUGUCGUCCCGAGCCUCAAAAAUCUCUGGACCGGCCCUGGAUGUUAUGAGAAUAUGUGUGGUUGUCAAGCCCGACACGUGAAUAACAUGCUCUCUACUACUUUAUUACACUGUGAAGAUUUUAUCCAAAAUUAAUUGACGAUGAGCGAAUAAACUGAAAGAUUAUGCGCAACUUUGAUUAUGCAACGAGUGAAGAAGCAAUUUACACCAACCUCCAGUCAAGAAUUUGGGCUCACAAUCACUAGCCAAUAUGCUUUUUUCUCAUGCCUUAAGUUCAUAGUUCAAUAUUCUGGUGUCCGAUGACCCUGACACGACAAGUUCCACUUUUUGUUCAUUUUCUUGACGAAACCAUCACAUUUACCCUUACGGCACGGCACAGUUCCGGGCAUGGAGUAUGGAUUGGGUUCCGUUGCAGUCCCGACACUAUUUAGCACUGUAGAGAAGGAAAUACAAAGACAACUUUGGAUUUCUUACAACGUAUUGAGUCUCUCGUCAUGGCUCUUGCUGUGUUGUUCUUAUUUCACGUCCUGUUUCUCGAGCUUGGUGUUUCCGGUUGCAAAUUUUGGUUCGGCAGUGUAGUGCUCAGGAGAGGGGACUGUUUCACGUUGUUCCAGGCAGACAGAGGCGGUUGACAACGAUUGUGAUAAUGUGUUUUUCUACUGGGAGAACAUACAGCAGUCAUCAGUUAUCUUUUCACAACUGUCUUCAGUAUUUCGAGGCACCUCAAGAAAUUAUCAAGGACAAACGAAUGUAGAAAAGAAGAAAUAUCGAAGUUAGUUGACAAAGGGGACGAAAAAUUGUGAGAUACAGAGAAAAAGAAGAUAAGAAGAAACUCGAUGCAAAUUACUUGAGUCUAAAGUAGGAGGGGAAAUCGUACUAUUCAUAUGAACAGUGUUUUAGACCACAUUUCAGUUUAUUUACAAGAUUGCCACUCAGAUGCUUUUAGCUUUUAACGAAGAUGCCAUCAGUUCGAAUGAUGGGAAUGCCCGUAUGGGGUUAACAUCACACGGUUGGGGGUAAAAGUUGUGUUUGGAUCAAAACUUAACUUUGGGCCCAAGCAAAAGAAUGCCCAAAAGAAGGCCUGAAGGAAGAGUCGGCCGAAGCCCAGCCGAGACCCAGAAAAGCAGGAAAGGGCCUCCUCUGACUUGGUGCAGCUCAUGAAGACCACUUGCCCACCUACCCAAAGGUCAAGUGGUAUAGACUGACCAGCUACACAGCCCGUAAAGUACUUUAUGGUGGCAUUACAUGUAAAAAAACUGAUGAGUCAUCACCCUCAAACCGCAUUCGGGCAAGGCUGUUGCUACAGGAGGACAUGCUGGGUUGUCUAUAAAAAAAGAAAGAGAAAUCAGGAUUAAGGACACUCAAUCAAACAAACAAAUGCAAGCACAAACUCUGCUCAAAAGCUAGAUUUGCCUUCAAAACGAAGUUGUAGUCAGCCCAAGCCUUCAUCCCUCGCGGGAUAACCUUUCCUUCAAACCUUUGUAAUAGCUCUGCUACCUUGUUCAACCUUGUUGUAGUAUCGAUUCACCUUUUGUAAUCUUUCUCCCUCUCUCAAAACUUUCAGACCUUUAACAAAACUACAAAGAUAGGAGCCUGCAAGACGAGCAGCCUUGCCUGAUAAGGUUUAACCUUGCCCGACCUUCUAUGCUUUGUAUUUUUUGUCUUUUCAUUCAUUAAGCCUAGUAAUAUGUUGUAUGAUCCCAGUUAUAUGCAAGUUAUUUCUAGCAAGAUGACCAUUAAAAAGCUUUCUCAGUACAUAGACCCGAUUUGAAUAGAUCUUCAGUAUUCAAAUCAGAUCUAAGUCAUAAGCCCUCGGGCAUGUAUAUUUGAUCAGUUAAAAGUCCUUGGCCUCCAGGCAUAAAAAAGAACCUUAUGUGGACUUAACCCAUCCACAACAAUCCUUGAUAAACGAGAAGUCCAAAGUUACUUGGGGCGCAAGUAAUCGACCUACCAUUUAGUUUUAUUUCUAUUAUAUGAUGAUUAUCAUAGAACGUUUAUGCAUGGAAUGGAUUCUGAUAGGAAGCCUCAAGGCCUACACCUAAGGCCCCACAAAGGCACCUAUUUGGGUUCAUUCCGUUCUGCGGUCUAGAGCGUUCUGAGUAGAAAGAACAAAUUCUGAUAGGAAGCCUCAAGGCCUACACCUAAGGCCCCACAAAGGCACCUAUUUGGGUUCAUUCCGUUCUGCGGUCUAGAGCGUUCUGAGUAGAAAGAACAAAUUUCUGAUAGGAAGCCUCAAGGCCUACACCUAAGGCCCCACAAAGGCACCUAUUUGGGUUUGUUCUAUCUCUCGGACGCAGGUAAUCAGAAGUAUAAUAGUUAUAAAACUCCUGCAAUCAAUGGAAUAAGUAUUAUGUAUUCGAGUACUGGUUUAGUAACCGAUGGGAAGCCUCAAGGCCUACACCUAAGGCCCCACAAAGGCACCUAUCAUAACUAACCCGGUUCCUCGGGCACAUAUAUAUAUACAUACAACUAAAACUCGACAUCCAUUUCAUAUCUGCCAUGCUGAAGAUGGCAGUGGCACGCCUGAGUACCUAAAAGUUAAUUUUGAUUGUGAGCCUCAAGGCCUACACCUAAGGCCCCACAAAGGCACAUUUCAAAGUUAACUUUGUCCUUUUCUUUCAGCCUUGCCCGACGAGCCUUGCCGACGAGUCUUGCCCGAUAAAGAUUCGCCUGACGAGACUUGCCCGACAAAGCCCAACCGUGAAGCAGAAGCCCGACAGCAGCCCUCAACCGACGCAAAACCUCCAGGGGAGCUGUGCAUUUCGCCGACCAGGAUGGAAGAAUGGACAGCCUACUAAACCGAUGGGAGCCUACUAAACCGAUGGGAGCCUCUAUGAUCAGGAGAGUUCAAAGGCAGCACAAAGCCUACAUGAAUUCUCUGAAGACCCCCGCAACAUCUGAAGCCUCCCAGAAUAAAAAACUGGAGAAGACAUCAUCUGGGGGAAGUAAUCAGCUCCGCUGGAGAAGUAAGAAAGAGGUGGAAAAUGCCAGCAGCAAAAAAGAAGGUGUGGGGAAUCAUGUACCGCAGAACCAGCACCCUGGGAAGUAUAGGAUCUUGAGGAGAGCUCAAGAAGAUCUGAUCAUGGUGCCAACCCCUGGAUGGAAGCCAAAGCCUACUUGCGUUGGAGCUGUUUCAUCUGAAAGGAAACCACCUUCUCUGCCAUUGGUAGAUCCUUUUGGUGAAGUUCCAAAACAAACACUAUAUGCGGGCAUGAAUCAACAGCAACAGGAGGGGGCACCAGAACCACUACUUCCAGCCGAUGCCAUGGCCUGGUUGGAUGAGUUUAUGGACCAGAUUGGGAGCAAGAAAGAAGAUUUGCUCGAGCCUAGUAAUUUCCAUAUCAACAUGACAUACGUAUUAUCUGCCACGUUUGGUGCCCGACCUGAUCAGCCAGCUACUAUGGAAGGUGAUUACUUGACAACUGAGCCAAUGAUGGCACAUGUCAAUAUAGAGGAAGUCAAAGAAGGAGAAUCGGGCAAGGCUGAAACUUCUGAAGCAUCCAAAAGUGGUCCUUUAAGGAUUUAUACCGAUGAAAUGGUGUUCAGCCGCCCGAACAUCUCGCUAGCCAACCAUCUGAAGCCCAUAUACGUUACAGCUCACCUGGAAUGUGUGCCCUUCAAAAGAAUUUUAAUAGAUGGUGGAGCAGCUGUUAAUGUGUUACCAGCCAAGCAAAUGAAGAAAAUGGGAAGAGGAACGGAGGAUCUUAUUCCGACAGACCUCACGGUCUCUAGCUUCUCAGGCGCUAUCACCAAGACCCAUGGGAUAUUGCCUUUAGAAGUGGAUUUGGGGUCUAAGCAAAUCAUGCUGGCAUUCUUUGUGGUGGACUGCACCUCCACUUAUGGAGCCUUACUCGGAAGAGAUUGGAUCCACCAAAGUCUGGCCAUACCCUCCACUCUUCAUCAACAGGUAGCUGUUUACCAUGAGGCGGGCACAGAAGGACCAGGUUUUUGGGAGAUGGUGGAGGCCGAAUCAGGGCCAUUUCUCCCCACAGCCAACGUUGCGGAAACAAGUUUCUACAACCCCAACGUAGGAAUCUUGAAAUGUUCAGGAGCUGAUGAGAACGGCCGCCCUACCAAUGUGACGACCCAAAAGCUUUUGGAACAAGGAAUGCUCCUCACAAGAGAUGAGUGAGAUAGACCUUGUAUCAUCCCAAAUCCCCUACACCAUCAAUGACUGGACAGAAGAAAAAAGAUCAGGUAAUGGCAGUCAGAUCCCUGAUUAAAAGACUGUUGGUGUAUGAGAAUGGAAGAAGGCAAGAAAGAGAGCUCUUGGACAAGGAAGAGCAGGAAUAGCAGGUGGGAGAUACGAUCUAGACGGGCCAGAAGACCUGCCCGAGAGCCCGGAGUUGGUCGAGUUUUUGUGUGCAGAACCGGAUAAGCCACCACCAGAAGUCCAGGAUCCUCUGGAAGUUAUUGCUAGGAACAAAGGAGGAUCCGAGACCAAUACAAAUUAGUGGUUUAUUGGGGGUUGAUGAUCGGGCAAAGGUUGUCGAUCUGUUGCGAGAGUUCAAAGACUGUUUUGCUUGGCAUUAUACUGAGAUGCCAGGGUUAGAUUCAGCCUUGGUGGAACAUAGAAUGCCCAUCAAGGAGGGAUAUAAACCAGUUAAGCAAGCACCACGAAGGAUGUCAAAGGAGAUAGAAGAAAAUGUCAAAGAAGAGAUCGAAAGGCUAGUAAAAGCUGGCUUUAUCAGACCGGCCAAAUAUGUAGAGUGGUUAGCCAACAUUGUACCCGUUUUAAAAGCUAUAACAAAAGCAGUACGAUGUUGUGUUGAUUACAAAAAUCUUAAUAGUGCUACACCAAAAGAUGAGUAUCCUAUGCCCAUGGCCGAUCUAUCCAUAGAUGCAGUAGCAAAACAUAAAGUCUUAUCUUUUAUGGAUGGGAAUGCCGGGUAUAAUCAGAUAAAGAUGGCUUCAGAAGAUAUACAUAAAACAACAUUCAAGUGUCCCGGUCAUGUGGGGGUAUAUGAAUAUCUGGUCAUGCCAUUCGGGCUCAAGAAUGCUGGUGCCACCUACCAGAGGGCAAUGAAUGUCAUCUUUCACGAUCUGAUUGGCCAGAGUAUGAAAGUAUACAUUGAUGACAUCGUAGUGAAGUCUAAGACAGAAGAGCAGCAUUUGGAAGACCUCAGACAAGCAUUAACAAGGAUGAGGAUCCACAAAUUGAAGAUGAAUCCAAAGAAGUGCGUGUUUGGAGUGAGAGCAGGCAACUUCUUGGGAUUCCUGGUGCAUCAAAGAGGUGUAGAAGUAGACAAGAACAAGUCUCGGGCAAUAAUGGAGUCACCGUCACCCACCAACAAGGUACAACUCCAGAGGCUAUUGGGCAAAAUCAAUUUCUUGAGGAGAUUCAUUGCCAAUUUAGCGAGCAAGAUCCAGCCGUUGACUCCUUUAUUAAGACUGAAAGAUAAAGAAAACUUUGAGUGGGGACCACCACAUCAACAAGCCUUUGACAGCAUCAAGGUCUAUUUAACUUCUCCACCAGUGUUGGUGCCACCUCAAAGGGGAAAACCCUUAAAGCUGUAUAUUUCUGCCUUAGAGAAGUCAAUCGGGAGUUUGCUAGCCCAAAAUAAUGAAGGCGGGAAGGAGCAGGCAUCGUACUACCUCAGUAGGAUUCUGACCGAGGUAGAAACUAGAUAUUCCCCAGUGGAAAGAUUAUGCUUGGCUCUAUAUUUCACUGCCAGCAAGCUAAGGCAUUACAUGUUACCUUGUCACGUACACAUCAUCGCCAAGACAGAUGUGAUAAAGUACAUGUUGUCAAAGCCAAUGCUAACAGGGAGGAUUGGGAAGUGGAUUCUAGCAUUGUCAGAAUUCAGUUUCCAGUAUGUACCCCAGAGAGCGGUCAAAGGCCAAGCAAUUGCUGACUUCCUGGCCGAACAUCAAGAAUCUCAAGACGAAGUAAUCAAUAUCCCAGGAAGCCUGGAGGUCACUAGCAUUUGGAUCCCGCUAAGAGAAGAUAUCUCGGGCAAAGAAGAUUGGGUCCAGCAAGAGAUAAGAAGAGUGACUGGUCUCUGGAUCACUCCUUGGAGGUUAUAUUUUGAUGGAUCUCACACUCAGAAGGCUUAAGAAGCAGGGAUUGUGAUUAUAAACCCUCAUGGGGUCUAUCAUUAUUAUUCAUUCCUCCUAGACUACCAAGGAAAUACUAAUAAUCGGGCAGAGUAUGAAGCUUUGAUAAUUGGUCUGGAAAUCUUGAUGGAUCUGGGGGCAGUAGAGGUGGAGAUCUUUGGAGAUUCAGAGUUAGUAAUAAACCAGCUAAAUGGGGAGUUCAAGUGCAGACAUAUUACCAUGGCAGGAUAUUACUUGACGGCUACGCAAUUACUGAGUUUCUGGGAUUCUGAGAUAUCAGUCAAUCAUGUUCCCAGGGAAUCCAACUUAGCAGCCAACGAGAUGGCACAACUAGCCUCAGGAGUGCCAAUACAGGAGAGAAGAUAUGGGGUAGAUGUCGAGAUCCAAAGAAGGAACCUCCCUUCUAUCUUAGAAAGGGGAUUCAGCCUGGAUGUAAUAGCUCUAGAAACCGAAAUAGAAGAUUGGAGGUCCCCUAUCAUUCGUCAUUUGAAGGAUCCCUCUUCACCUACAAGCAAGAAGAAUAGACAGCAAGCAACCAAGUAUGUCUUGUGGGCGAAGAACUUGCUAAGGAAAACUCCAGAUGGAUUACUAUUGAAAUGCUUGGGCCAAGAAGAAUCCAUGAGGGUAAUGGCCGAAGUACAUGAAGGGGUAUGUGGAGCACAUCAGGCAGGAACUAAGAUGAGGUGGUUGCUUAGAAGAUAUGGUUAUUUCUGGCCCGACAUGGAAAAAGAUUGCAAGUCUUAUGCCAAAGGUUGUGAAGAAUGUCAACGGCACGGACCUCUCCAGCAUGUGCCCUCAGUACCUUUAAAUCCAGUAGUCAAGCCUUGGCCUUUCAGAGGAUGGGCAAUGGACUUCAUCGGGCAAAUCUAUCCAGCUUCUAGUAAAUGGCACACUUUCAUAAUUGUGGCAACGGAUUACUUCACCAAGUGGGUGGAAGCAUCAACAGUAAAAUCCAUAACUUCGGCCGAGGUCAAGAAUUUUAUCGAGACCAAGAUUCUGCACAGGUAUGGGGUGCCCGAAACUAUAGUAACGGAUCGUGGGCCAUCUUUUAUCUCAAAAGAAGUUGAGGAGUUUGCAAGCAAGUACAAAAUAAAGAUGAUCCAAUCCAGUCCAUACUACCCUCAAUCAAAUGGCCAAGCAGAGGCCAGCAACAAGAUCUUGGUCAACAUCAUCAAAAGAAUGGUGGUAGAUAGUCCAGAAAAGUGGCAUGAAAGGCUGGGGAACACUUUGUGGGCAUACAGAACUUCCAAGAGGGCAGGAACAGGGACAACUCCUUAUGCUUUAACUUUCGGGCAAGAUGCGGUACUCCCUAUGGAGAUCAAUGUAAGUUCGGUCAGAAUUCAGAACCAAUUUGGGUUACAUAGUGAAGAAUACAUCGAAGCCAUGUGUCAAGGAAUUGAAGACUUGGAUGUAGCCCGAAUUGAAGCCUUGAACCAGAUUCAAGAAGGAAAGAAAGUUGUUGCCCGAGCUUAUAACAAGAAGGUGAAGAUAAAGUCUUUCAAAGAAGGAGAUUUAGUGUGGAAAACAGUCAUCCCGCUAGGAGCUCAGCUCAGGGGCUUUGGAAAGUGGAGCCCGACAUGGGAAGGUCCUUUCAUUAUUAGUCGAGUUUUGAAUAAAGGAGGAUACUACCUAGCAUACCUCGAAGGAAAUGGGCAGAAACAUCCCAUUAAUGUUAAAUUCUUAAAGAAAUACUGUCCUACAUUAUGGGAUGUUAGAGAUUGUUACAUUGAAGAGGGGGCAAAGUAAAGCAGGCGUCGGGAGUUUCAUAUGCAGUGUUUGUUCAUCAACCAUUCAAAGAAAACAAAAAGACAAAAGUUGCUGAAAUAAUUUUUAUUUCAUGUCGACAAAUUGGUGAAAUUAACAAAAGAUUCAAUUUCUACAUAUUACAUUUGAUUCUCUCUAAGUAUAGUGAUUUCUUCAGCUGGUUUUCCGAUGUCUUCAUGGAUGGAACCCGAUCAGGUGAUCGGGUUGUGCGGCCAACAUAUGCUUGGUAGAGGAUCAUCCGACAGAGCCACCACCAUAUGUGAUGGUGAAGCCUGACUUAUGACGGCAGCAAGCAGGAAAUCAAGCCUUCGUGAAGAACUCGCCUGACCAAGGGUGUUGGGGAUAGCAGGGUGUUCGACCAAUGGUGUUGGAGAUAGCAGUCAUUUGAUGAAACCCCCUUUUUUCUCACGAAAAGGGAGUUUUAGGAAACUCCACUCAAAAUCUGAAGAACCCAUUUCUCAGUUUUUUUUUUUCCGAGGAAGAUUAGAUGGUUUUGACAGGAGGGGUUCCAAGCCAGAAUUUAUAGGACCCAGAGGACAGUUCAAAGGUCGUGGGAAGAUCAAGAGACUCCGGGUGCCAUUAAUUUCAUCCAAAAAACACAAGUUCCAAGGGCAAAGAUGCAGCCGCAUGAAGAACUUUUCAAUUAAUAUUGGCGCCUGGAAUUCCAGGCUAAAUAUCAAUUGAAGGGGGCACUGUUUGGAUCAAAACUUAACUUUGGGCCCAAGCAAAGAAGGCCCAAAAGAAGGCCUGAAGGAAGAGUCGGCCGAAGCCCAGCCGAGACCUAGAAAAGCAGGAAAGGGUCUCCUCUGACUUGGUGCAGCUCAUGAAGACCACUUGCCCACCUACCCAAAGGUCAAGUGGUAUAGACUGACCAGCUACACAGCCCAUAAAGUACUUUAUGGUGGCAUUACAUGUAAAAAAGCUGAUGAGUCAUCACCCUCAAACCACAUUCGGGCAAGGCUGUUGCUACAGGAGGACAUGCUGGGUUGUCUAUAAAAGAAGAAAGAGAAAUCAGGAUUAAGGACACUCAAUCAAACAAACAAAUGCAAGCACAAACUCUGCUCAAAAGCCAUAUUUGCCUUCAAAACGAAGCUGUAGUCAGCCCAAGCCUUCAUCCAUCGCGGGAUAACCUUUCCUUCAAACCUUUGUAAUAGCUCUGCUACCUUGUUCAACCUUGUUGUAGUAUCGAUUCACCUUUUGUAAUCUCUCUCCCUCUCUCAAAACUUUCAGACCUUUAACAAAACUACAAAGAUAGGAGCCUGCAAGACGAGCAGCCUUGCCUGAUAAGGUUUAACCUUGCCUGACCUUCUAUGCUUUGUAUUUUUUGUCUUUUCAUUCAUUAAGCCUAGUAAUAUGUUGUAUGAUCCCAGUUAUAUGCAAGUUAUUUCUAGCAAGAUGACCAUUAAAAAGCUUUCUCAGUACAUAGACCCGAUUUGAAUAGAUCUUCAGUAUUCAAAUCAGAUCUAAGUCCUAAGCCCUCGGGCAUGCAUAUUUGAUCAGUUAAAAGUCCUUGGCCUCAAGGCAUAAAAAAGAACCUUAUGUGGACUUAACCCAUCCACGACAAUCCUUGAUAAACGAGAAGUCCAAAGUUACUUGGGGCGCAAGUAAUCGACCUACCACUUAGUUUUAUUUCUAUUAUAUGAUGAUUAUCAUAGAACGUUUAUGCAUGGAAUGGAUUCUGAUAGGAAGCCUCAAGGCCUACACCUAAGGCCCCACAAAAGCACCUAUUUGGGUUCAUUCCGUUCUGCGAUCUAGAGCGUUCUGAGUAGAAAGAACAAAUUCUGAUAGAAAGCCUCAAGGCCUACACCUAAGGCCCCACAAAGGCACAUAUUUGGGUUUGUUCUAUCUCUCGGACGCAGGUAAUCAGAAGUAUAAUAGUUAUAAAACUCCUGCAAUCAAUGGAAUAAGUAUUAUGUAUUCGAGUACUGGUUUAGUAACCGAUGGGAAGCCUCAAGGCCUACACCUAAGGCCCCACAAAGGCACCUAUCAUAACUAACCCGGUUCCUCGGGCACAUAUAUAUAUACAUACAACUAAAACUCGACAUCCAUUUCAUAUCUGCCAUGCUGAAGAUGGCAGUGGCACGCCUGAGCACCUAAAAGUUAAUUUUGAUUGUGAGCCUCAAGGCCUACACCUAAGGCCCCACAAAGGCACAUUUCAAAGUUAACUUUGUCCUUCUCUUUCAGCCUUGCCCGACGAGCCUUGCCCGACGAGUCUUGCCCGAUAAAGAUUCGCCUGACGAAACUUGCCCGACAGAGCCCAACCGUGAAGCAGAAGCCCGACAGCAGCCCUCAACCGACGCCAAACCUCCAGGGGAGCUGUGCAUCUCGCCGACCAGGAAACUUGCCCGACGGGAAUUCCUGAAGCGAACAAGUUAGGUGGGCAUUGUUGUCAGUUAGGGUUGCAUUCGGUGGGAUCGAUGGCUCGGUGUGGGAUUUGGUGGGAAUGCAUGUUGCUUGCAAAGAGGAGGAGAGAGGGAAUGAGGGAGGGGGAGGGAGAGAUAUGGGUUUGGUGAGGGGAAGGCAUGCGACUUGCAGAGAGGAGUGAGGGAGAGAGGAUGAGAGAGGGAAUGAGGGAAGGGGAGGGAGAGAGAGAGGGGUUUGGUGAGGGGAAGGCAUGCGACUUGCAGAGAGGAAGGAGGGAGAGAGUUGGAGAGAGAGGGAAGGAUGGAGGGGGAGGGAGAGAGAGAGGGGUUUGGUGAGGGGAAGGCAUGCGACUUGUAGAGGGACGGAGCGAAGCUUAAAAGCAACUGCAAAAAGUUCAAUGGACAGGGUCGCAGCAAUGGAGACACCUCGCUCUGAACCAUUUCCCCUCUCCUCAGGCGAAUGCUGAACAAAGUUUUGAAGGAACAAAAAGAAGAAGAGCUACACAUAAUAGAAUCCGAUUUGCAAGGAAAAGAAGAAAGCCAGCUUUUCAAUGAAAAAGCUAAAAUCAAUCCCUUCAACCUCCUCAUCGGCAGCGGCACCCACGACCACCAGGUUCACUUUUAAUUUAAUUUUAAUUUUAAUUUUUUGCUUUUUUAGUGGAUUAAAGAAUAUGAAACGAAUUAUAAUUUAAAAUGGGGAAAUUUUGUUGAUUUUUGCGUUCAGUGUUCUGACUUUUGAGUGAUCAUCGAGCUGUGAUGGGUUGGUGUUGGAUUUGAUUCAAUUGAGGUAAAAGCUCUGCAUGAUUGUGAUACGGAGAAAAUGCUAGAAUCUUACCUUCGAUCCAAAUAUCUGAUUUUUGUUACAAUUGCUAUUUUCAUUGCAGGAAAAUGUGGCGGAGACAAUAAUUCCCAAAUCCUCGAGUUUUAUAAAUGCAUUCCAAUUGAUAGCCAUGUCAAAUGAUCUCGAUUUGUCAGGUAUGUUCGAGGAACAGGCAAGUUUACAAGAAAUAGAUUUACUAAAAUAACUAAUCCUACUUUUUUAGCUUAUAACGAAUAAUGUUGAACUGUUAACUUAAUUUAGGAUGAGAAAUAGAAGACAACAAGAAUUGGACCCAAGCAUACCAUUACUGAAACCAUGAAGAAAAUAGAAGCGGCUGCAACAGAUGCGAGUAUUCUGUAGCAAGAACAAACAACUUCAGGGUACAUGAAACUUAUAUUCAAUCGUACUUCUUUAUCUGCUUAUCAAAGUUCCUUCCUGCCAACUAAUGAUGUAUUAUUUUUUCAUCAGAUGUAAAUGCAUGCAAAAAUUCCAAUGGAAACGUAAAUCACCAUAUCCAGGUAAAUCCGAAUUGUAGAUCAGACUUAUAUUACAAUUUGCUUUCUUUGUGAAAUUUUAUUGUAAUCUCUGGCUUUUGAAAUUCUAUAUGAAAUUGUGAAUGUCAUUCGGAAUCAAGUCUGGCCGAGUUCUUUACUAAAUAGUGCGAAAAUAUGCAUGAUGAAACUAAAUUACUUUUGUAUCAUCUAUAUUUACCUGUUAUCAUAACAGGAUUUAAAAUAUAGAAACAUACUGCUUAAUGUAUAAUUGAGUGAAAUGCUAGUUUACAUAGAUAUUGUGCUUAUUUGUUUUAGGUGGAUUACCAAAAGGAGCUCAUCAAGUAUUCUGCGAGCACGAUCGACCUUGAUCAUUUGGAUAUUUAAAGGAGCCAUUGAUAAAGGGAAGACGACGAGUUGUGAACCUGUGUGCCAAUUUUGCCAAUUUUGCAGACAAGCAGAAACUCUGGCACUUGCCUCUGUCCUAUCCUCCUCUCGCCGCCGUCUCCCUUCUCUCACCUCCGUCGUCUUACUCCUCCUUUCUCUGUCUCUGGAAUCCUAUCGUCAUCUUCCUCGCAUGCAAGGCUCUGGCCCUUUCAAUUGAAACCAAAACGUGUUUCAGGUGCCUAACACAACCUCUCACUACUCACUCACAUCAGUUGGUUUUUGUAAUUUGAACUUUUUUUUCUAAUAAAUUUGUAUGCUUUCUGGAUUUUUAUGGCAGUUUUGGACCUUAUCUUUUCUGAAUUUGUGUGCUUCUCUGGGUUUUUUAAUGGCAGUUCUGAGGAAGAGCAAGAAAAAGGAAGAACCAGUAUUAGAAGAUCUUCCCAAAGAGUACUGUGAUGAUGUGAGUGCCUUUAUUCUUUAACUUGGCCAAAUGGGUGCUCAAAUUUCACGUUUUUCUGUGAUUAUACGAGUAAAUUUAUGUUUUUUGUUUUUGGGUUUUGCCAAAUUCAAUGGUGGUAUUUAUGGGUUUGGUAUUGAUUUUCAGAUUAACAAUGACUUUGGGGAAAUUGAUUGAGUCUGCAUUCAAUGUAACUUUUCAUGCAGUUACAUACUGAUGAAAUAGAAUUCAAUUUUUUCAUUCCUUUUUUUUUAAAUGCAGUUACAUUUAUAUGAUGAUUUACAGCAUAUAUUUAUCUUUUAGAUUCUAAUUCUUCAUGCAGUCUAAGCCAUGAAGGAUUUGAUAAACCCACAAUUGAUAACAAUGUGCGGCGGCACCAACGGUUUUGGACAAGGAACAAGUAAGUACCAUUUUGUUUCAUUGUUUCAAAGUAUUAUGUAGAGAUUGCUUUAAUAUCUUGGCUUCUUUGCUGUUUGUGGGGUGUAUGAGAUAGGAUUUAGGAGAUCUGGUUUAGAUUUUGCAAAGAGAGUGUGUCCGAGAGAAAUGUGGGAGGAUUUAGGCGAGGGAUUUCAGGGAUUUGUUUAGGGUUUCUUUUCUGCGAUUUGCAGACAGAGAGAUGGGACAAGGGUGAGAGAGAGAUGGGAGGAUUUUCUGCGAGGGUAGAGGGAACGGGUAAGGGAGGUAUGGGUAUGGGUAGGGGAUGGAAAAACAUUUCGUUUUCCAUUUGCUUCCUCAAACCCGAGGGAUUGCUGCAAUUGCAGAGAGAGAUGGGGGUGUUCGUUAGGUCCCCUUUCAGUGUCACAUUUGUGCUUUGUCCACCCUUGAUUGUUGUGUGAUUCAUUCUCACGAACGUUCUAUGCACAAGGUUUCAUGUUAUUCCUUCCUUUUAAUUUUGAUAUUAUUGUGCUUAAUUUCUAUUUUAUUUUAUUGGGUGAUUAGAUUAACAGACUUUGGAUAUUUGGUAUAAUAAUUUCACAUCACGUGUUGCCCUUUUGCAUCACCUUAAUUGUUCAUCAGAUGCUAACUUUUAAUUAUGUUUUCUUUGGGUCAGUCUCCAUCUGGUACAUGUGUCCAUCCUUCUGGAGUGGAGCACUAUCUUUCUGACAGCAUAAAUGCUCUGAGAAGCUACUAUGGAGACAAGCAGUUGUUUACUCCGUUCUAGGUAUGUUUUUCUUUAGUAUUUUAGAGGGAUUCUUAACUAUUCCCCAUUGUAAUCUUUACCUUUGUAUCUAUCUCUCUCAAAAGACGAUGAGAGUAGCAACUGUUGCAAAGCAAAUUCUCAGAUGUAUAUAAGCAUAUACAUACAUUGGACAAAAACCGAAUCUUAAAUUGGGGCAGUGAGUUCUGCAACAUCUUGGUGCUGCAUAUAUUCUCACACUUUUAAAAGUUGUAUUUCUCAUAUACAUUGGGAAUUUUAAUUAGUUUUAUUUCAUUUUUGUAGGGCAAUUUAGUAGAUAUUUAGACAUAAAAGAAGAUGCGUGAAUCAAUACAAUUAACCUAAUAGUGAUUUGGUUCAGCGUAAAGACCAUUGCUAGGGCACUCAAGCCAUUUUCUUAAUUUAUGCGCAUAUAUAUUAUACGUAACCAGAACAUGUUUCCAAAGGAUGUUAGUUAGUGUUCAUGCUCUGCUGAUAUUUUAUUCUGUUCAUUUUGAUUUUGUUUUUCAGUUGUGGUUAUAGGAUUGUUUUGUCUCUCUUUUUUUCUUUUUUGUUUUCCCUCGUACAACUUUUCUAAAAUUGAACUGUAGUUCUCAAUUUGGUUCUUUGAACCGAGGCCAAUUGGGCUGUGCCUUUGGAAGGUCUCACUGCUAUUAAAGUUGAAUGGUGCUAACUGAAUAUAAUGCGUUCAUUCUUCGGUGUGUGUGAGUGUAUGUGUAUGCAGUCUAUGCGAGUGCAUGCAGUGCGGUUAGGUUCAUUCCCGCAUGGGUUUUCGUCUUUUUUUCGUUAAAUGGUUAGGUUCAUUCCCGUAUGGGAGAGGUGUGUUUUUGCCAUCAAAUUGGUAGAGACUGAUCUUAAUCAAAUAUCAUGCCAUAGUGUUAUUUUGUUUGCAUCUAUGGAACUAUAUAUUUACUUCGUUGUUGUUGACAGCUUCGCAUGUUCCUUCCAGAUAAUGCUGCCUUUUUGGAUUUCGUAUGAGUGUCCCGGGUCGGUUCUGGACCAACAAAAGAGGGAUGAUCGCUGUCAUUCGGACUGCAGGCGUCCACUUCAAAAUCCCGGUAAACACAUCCUUUUCUUGAUUUCAGGCCAUGCAAAAUUCAUGGUGAAAAAACUGAGCUCAUGUCGUUGGUUUGUGCCUCUGUCCUAUUUCUUAUUUAUUUAUUUAUUUUAUCAAUCCUUUUCCUUCUUGGUUCUAUUUGUUGCUGCUGGUUCCGAUAUUUCAUUGCCCUAUGUGUGCAUGAUAUCAGUGCUGCCACUUUUCAUAUUCUUAUCAAUGCUUACAUCUUCACUCUUUUCCUUCUGUUUCUUUUGCUUAACAUGGUUUCGGCUUUUUGAGAUUGUGUGUUUGAUUAACAUUUGAUCGUAUGGUGUUAGAUUUUAAAUUUGAUGUGAAUAAAUUCUGCCAGCGGGGAUUUUGGUCUCUGGAUUUUUCAUGGUGUAAUUUUUAUGGCAUGAUCCAUUGGUGUUGUGUGCAUUUUUAUCAACAAUAAUAAGCUUUUUCUCAGCAUUGCAAACAAGUUUUCUUAUAACUAAGAGACGAGUGCAUGGUGCAUGUGUCUUAAUUUAUUCAGGUUAAAUAUAUCUUAUUUAUGCAGUUAAGGUGGGUGCAUUCAAGUCCCGCAGCAACACGCGGGCAUAUUUUCUCGUUGAGACUAAAGGAGGUCUUAACGCCAAAUACUGUUCUGUAUAUUUACGAAUGGUUUAAAGUUUGGGUUUAAUUGGAUAAUCAGAGAGUAGUGCGUCAGACUAUGGAUAUUCAGAAACUGAAAGCAUAAUUCAUAUUCUUCUAACAAGUCCACGCAAAUAACCACAAUCACAAUGUUAUUUAUAACUGGCCAUGUAGAACGCAGUACAAAAGCACUAAAAGCGUCCAAGUGAAAGUACUUUCUUCUCAUGUAGUUUCAUUUAACUUAGUUUUGACAUGCCAAUCAGUCACACACUCAAGUCCUGAACGUUCGGGCUCAAUGGCUCCAAGAGAGCUUCCACUUCACUCUGAUUCACCUCCUCUAACCUUGACAGGUUCCACUUCGGAUUCUGCAUUGACAAGAAACCGAAGCCAAAGAUAAAGAUCCGUUCUGAUAUACAGAAAGUAAGAUGAUUAUAUAACUGUAGGUCUUGUAGAGGCGAUCUUAUAGCAACUCAGUCCACAAAGACGAUCUUAUAGCAAGGCGAUAUUAUCACAUCAGUCAACUUUUGUUGGUCAAGUAAAGCACAUGUUACUCACAGAAAAUGUGAAAUACUACAAAACAAAACCUAUCAAAAGGAUGCAACCAUGUGAUGAAAGAAACGAAAAGGUACGAAGUCCAGACUCACUGGAUAAUUCAUAAUUGGUUGUCAUUUUUCCCAAGCGCAGAUGCCAACUUUGGAGAAGUAAUUUUUUGUCAAAUAAAGUGAAAAAGGAGCACCCUCUCCAAGACCUUGAAGAGCUUUGUUAGCCCACUCCACUGCAAUAGAAACAAUUUGGUCGAAAAUACUUGACAGUGACAUACAAGCCUCUCAAUAGAAGAGUACGACAAACUUACCAGUAGCAUCUGAACUCAGCUGCUGCUUUUUAAGUUCAUCAAUUGUCUCAAGAACCGACUUAUUUACACCAAAUGCUGAAGUUAUUUGAGGCAAAAGCCUCUUGAGUUGCGUUCCAGAAUCUGGGUUGCUGCUGAAUUUGGCCACAGUUGUUUCAAUGUUCUGAAGGGGAUCCUGGGAACUGCAUCAACAAUGGAGUUGCUUUUAUCUCAACAAACGCAUUAGACAAUGUGAUGAUGCCAACUAAAGCAUCGGAAACGCAUAGCAAGAACAGUGCUCUGAAAUUUGAAAAGCCACUGCAAUGUAAUUGACAACAUUGACAAUCUCUGUCUGACAAGGCAAUAGUACCUCUGCAAUGAUCCGGUAGCGACCGGUGACCUGAUAGGCCAAUACCAAAGCCCACUGUUAUGUCACCCAUGAAGCUUAUAUAGGGCUUCUUGCACAGAGAUUUUGCAUAUUAGAGAAUACUCAGCAGUGGAUACCUGAAAAACCUGCAGCACAGAUAUCAUAUCGCUAGCCUCUGAAUCUUGAGAAUACUAUAAAUGGUAGCUUAUAAAAGAAAUGAAUCCUAUCCAACCAAUACAUAUCAUACUACCCAAGUCAAAGCAAAAUCAAGACUAACAAAUGAUCAGAUGUUGUAGGUUGCCCGAGAAUGCCAAACAUGAAAUUACAAAAGGAAAAAUCGUAUGUGUUGGACAUUAGUAAAUAAAUGAUGAAAGCACAAUCUUAGCAAUUAAAGAAAUGUUGAAAUUUUACAUGGGUUUUUGUAAUGUUGAAAUGUUUCCGGAUGCAAUAUGUCUUCAAAAUUCAAAACAAUUACUUACUGGAAAAUCAUAAGAAUCUGAAAGAAGUAUGAAAUGUUGACUUGCUGAUGAUGAAGCUGGAGGUAAUCUGUAGUCCAGGAGCUCAGAAUGUGAUGAUGAGGAUGAGUCUGAUGAUGACAAUGCAACACGACCUUGAUCGUGUCUCACCAUAGAACCGAUCUGGGUGUGACUUAAUCUUGACAGAAGAUGCUUUCACUUCAAAAUUUUUGCCUUUUCCCCUUUCUGUCAUCUGUAGUAAUUCUCAUUUGAUUACUGGGAUUACUAUUAUCAGAUGAUUCAUGGCUUGGUUCUGCCUCAUCAUAGAACCAAGCUGGAUGUGGGUCAGAAACAUAACCAGCACUAUUCAUAGCAAGCAUAUUUUCUUUCAUUGGCUUAUCCCACGCUAGAUUAACUCCUGUUCUCUUAACAGUAAAUAAAUAAUAAGGAUCCACACUUACAAAAGGUUCUUCAAAAAUUAUAUCAACUUUAUCCCCGCCUUGCAAAUUGAGCUUAUCGUUCGAUAGUUGUCCUAGCCAAAUAUAAUCAGGUUCAGGCAUGUCGUCUAUUUCUUCUCCGUCUAUUUCUUCUCCGCGUAUGGCUAUGCAGGCUCGCAACUCAGUACGCUUGGUGUGAUUUAUAACAGUAAUGUGAAGAGAAUAAUAAUUAUUUUUUGAGUGGUAAAAGCAGAAUAGAGUCAGGCCUUUAAAAUUACGAACACUCCGGGGAAUAUCAAAACUGACUUUAUUGCCAUUGUUGACAAACUCAAACCAACCAGGAACAUAAUUCCCAUGGAAGAAAAUGCCACCAAAUCCGCAAGAAGUCCAUCCCUAUAUAAACAAUGCAAGUGUCAUAUAUAUACAUGUACAUGUGCGUUUGUGCGUGCAUGCGCACGAUAGGAAGGCAAUUAAAAGAAAGAGGGAGAGAUACCUGUAGGAUGUUCUUCUUAAAAUUAUCUGUGAGAUUGGUGCACCUUUUCAUAUCAAUCAAUGUCAUGGAGGAUAAUGACUUAUCCAAGCCUGGAACCUCAGUGAGUUUGGACGAAUCACUUAAAUUCAGUUUUCUCAUCUUUGACAUUUCCGAAAAAUUGGGCAUUAUUUUCAAUGUAGGGCAACCAGGUGCCUUCAAGACUUCCAAAUUUGUUGGUAAAUUGGGGAUUGUAUGAAGAUUUCUGCAUUUACUGAGCUUCAGAGUUUCAAGCUUUGAAAGAUCAUUGAGGCUCGGUAGGCUACAAAAAGAAUUCCCUUUAAGAUUCAAAUCUUGUAAGGAAAUUAGACUCCCAAGAUCCUUAGGGAUUUUAUUAUCAUCUAAUUUGCACCAUGAGAGAUCUAACCGAGUGAGAUUGUUCAAUCUUACUAUGGAAGGUGGUACUCGUUUUAUGGCUGUGGAAUCUGCAUCAAGUAUUUUCAAUGAUAUCAUCUUCCCUAAAUCCUUAUGCAGUUUUUUGAAAUUUGAACAGAACGAAAGAAAAAGAGUCUCAACAGAUUUCGACUUAUAGAAAUCCCCUGGAAGAAAAAUAAGAUUGUCACAGAAUCUAAGGUUCACCAAAGAAAGUCUUUUAAGAUAACCAAUAGAGGGGUGAAUUCCGGACAAUUUAUUGCAGUAUUCCAAUAUCAACUCUUCAAGAUUUGGGACUUGUGAAAAGUCUGGUGAUUUAAUUAGGUCACUAGAAAAACUGAGAUCAAUGAUCUUCAACUUCUGGAGCGAGAGCGACUAAUGCACAAAACCAAAGAAAAAUUGAAAUUAAUAUCCAAAAAGAAAAUCUUAUAAAAAAGAAGGAAUCCAAAAACAAAUAGAAACAGAACAUUAUGACGUGUAAUUGAUUAUACCUUGGAACCCUGCCAAAACUGUACCAAUUUACUAUCGUGCAUCUGUAUAGCAACUAGUUUCUCUUGAUUUAAAAAGUCAUCUGGUAUGGACUGUAAAGGGAAUUUACUCCAACAGAACCAUAUUAACUCUUUGGGAAGAUGUUCGUAUUUUCCAUUGAGCUUAUUAGCGUAGUCGAGCCGAAGUAAUCUCAGUUUCUUCAUAUUGGCAAAUGCUUCUGUACUGAAACUAGUCUUGUCAGAGCUUGGUAACCCGGGAUAAGGGAUAUCUAGAGCAAGUCCUUCAACUUCUUCAGUUCCCUGUUAAAAAAAAAAAAAAAAAGUUUAAGUAAGAAAUAGAUUAUUUGCAUAUGUUUACAUGAUUUUGCAUAAUGAAUUAUACUUGCAUUCCCCCUUUGGGGUGACAAGCUCAUUCUGCCGCUUGCAAAUAACAUUUCUUAAUCGUACAAAUUUUCAUUGUGGAACCAUUCAAUUUCUUACUCUUAUAAUCAUUACAAAAAAUUUGAAUCAGAGAUCACUUAAUUUAGACAUCCAAAUGUAUCAAUAAAUGGAUAAUUCAUUAUUGAUAUGUUACUUAGGCAAAAUCACGUACUAUGAAUAAAUGCGAGUACUAUUGUUGGCUAAUUGAGCUUUCCUUGUGCAACUAACAUAUAUACACAUGAAUGUUGUCUAAUGUAUAAUAGACAUUUUGUUAAAGAAAAAAUGUAUAAUAGACAUACGUGGGUUAUAUAUGCUUUUCCUGUACAAUGCAUUAAUCCAAAAUUUUAUUGGGAAUAUACUUACAAAUUUAUUUGUUAAUACAUUGGUGACCUCUCGAGAAUUCCACAACCUGCUCCAUUUUCCAGGGUGACCGGGGGACUUUUCAGAAAUGAUUACUCUGGCCAUUUCUCGAAGCAAAUCAUGCAUAUACAAUAUGUUGCGUUCAACAGUUACAAGGCAUCGUUCACAGAGGACACUGAUUUCUAUUGUUGCAAAAAAUUCACAUCCAUCUAAUACUUUUGCGACAUAGUCCUUUUCCCAUCCAAUAAAGAAACAAGAUAUGUCAAGGAAAGUAGCCUUUUGUGUACGAUCCAGCUUUUCAAAGCUUACUCUUAGCGGUUUCAUUAUUCCUUCAUGAGGAAUUUUUUUUAAUUUCUCCAACUGACUUUUCCACUCUGUUGGGACUCUUUCAAUCAUAGAAGAACCUAAAACUUCAAGGGCUAGUGGCAAACCACCACAGUGAGAAACAACCUCUUUUGAGAGUUCAAGAUAUCCUUCAUUAGGACAACUAUUUCCAAAGGCAUGCCAACUAAAGAGUUUCAAAGCUUCUUCUUCAUUCAUUUCCUUAAGCGGAUAUGUCUCGUCCACUUUCAUGUUCACUUGCUUUAGUAAACGAUCAUCUCGUGUCGUUAUGAUAAUUCUACUUCCUAGGCCAAACCAAUCACGAUUUCCAGCUAUUGCAUUUAGUUGUUCCACUUUGUCUACAUUGUCAAUAAUGACAAGUACUCUUCUACUUUGGAGAUGAUGUUUUAUCAGACUGAUACCUUCAUCAACACUGGUUAUCUCACGCUUGUUCUGUUUCAAGAUGUUAGAAACAAGUUGUUCUUGCGAAACAACCAGAUCUUUUUCACUAACGUUGUUAAGGAAACUUUUGAAUUGGAACUCAUGAUGAAUUUUGUUAUAAAUGGCUUUGGCAGCUGUUGUUUUACCCAAUCCACCCAUCCCCCAAAUUCCAACCAUGCGAACAACAUUUGAUCCACCAUUUGAAAGAAAAGUGAUGAUAUCUUGAAUGCGAGUAUAUAUUCCAACUGGGUGCUUGGCCACAUGUAAACUUUCUGCGCUCGGAAGCCAUUCCGGGAUAAUCUUGUUAACAAUUUCUCUAAUAAGCUUUGCUUCGCACCUGAAAAAUUGAAUUGGUAAGCUUAGUAAGUAGGCUCAGUAUGAGCUAUUAGUAUAUUUCCUUGUUUCCUUCGCGCGCGUGUGUGCACACAAACUAUCUACUAUAGCUAGUAUGUGAUUUUGGGACCAACGUCAAUAAAAGAAACAAAUUCAUUCAUGGAUAUAUUAAAGUUUGGUGUAUCAAUUAAACUCCAAUUAUGGUUUAGGUUUUACAGGAAAUUGGAGAAAUGGUCCCUGAACUAUGAUUGAACUGUAGCUUUGGUUCUUAAACUAAAAAAUUCAAUAAAUCUUGUCCUUGAACUUAACAAAAUAUGGAGCAUUCAUCCCUCCAUGUUAACACCGUAAGAUUUUCUGUUAAUUUGAUGACGUCAUCUUUGUGGGCUCUAUAUUUUUGUUUACUAGAUGCCACGUGGCUUGAAAAUUCAAAAUAAAAGAAAAUAAAUACAAACAUAGAGAAAGAAAAAGAAAAAAAAAAUAUUUCAAUUAUAAAAGUUAACUCUCUCCAAUCCUCCCUUCCGCCUCCCCUCCUCCAAACCCCAGCCACACCAUUGUAGCACUUUCCCAACAGCAAAAACAAAGAAAGUUUAUAAUCCAAAUUUGGAACACAUCUCCCUUUGCAAACAAAUUCACAAUGACAUCCAUCCACGUUGUCUCGACAGGUAAGAUUCAAGAAAUUUGUGAGAUGUGGGUUUGGGUGACGGCUGUGGUCCAUGGGCUACAGGUUGGGGCCGGCUGGGGAGUGGGGAUUAGGGAUUUGGGGUUGGAAGUGGGAGGUUGACGGGUGUGAAUCAAAGAUUGAAGGUGAAGGGGUGGGCUGCGAGCCUGCGAGUGUUGGUGGGAUGAGGUACGCCUGCAAUUAUAUAUAUAUAUAUAUAGUAGACACUUUUAACUAAAAUUUAAAGGAAUUGGUUACGAAGGACUAAUGCUCCAUAUUUUAUCAAGUUCAAGGACAAAAUAUAAUGAAUUUUUAAUUUAGGAACCAAAGCUACAAUUUUCCUCAAGAUUUUAUAUGAGAGAUUAAGGUGUAUUAAUUAAGCAUGUUAAUUAGAGUAAUACAACUUAAAUAUUGAAAAGCACAAUGAUUACCUGCAAUUAUAUAUAUAUAUAUAUAUAUAUAUAUAUAGUAGACACUUUUAACUAAAAUUUAAAGGAAUUGGUUACGAAGGACUAACGCUCCAUAUUUUAUCAAGUUCAAGGACAAAAUAUAAUGAAUUUUUAAUUUAGGAACCAAAGCUACAAUUUUCCUCUAGAUUUUAUAUGAGAGAUUAAGGUGUAUUAAUUAAGCAUGUUAAUUAGAGUAAUACAACUUAAAUAUUGAAAAGCACAAUGAUUACCUCUUAUCAGUGAUUUGAAGAUGGUAGCCAGACAAAUUUGCAGCUUUUGUAAGAACCUCUCCCCACUGCUUUAUCCCUUCUUGUUUAGCUUCACGUUUCUUGUCAUCCUUUUCUUCACCGAUGCCCUCUUCGUGCUUCUGAAAUUCUUCAGCCAACUCUGCAGCUUCUCUAAGAGCCUCUGUCCACUGCUUUACCCUUUCUCGUUUUUCUUCACGUUUCUUGUCAUCUUUUUCUUUACUGAUGUUCUCUUCGUGUUUCUUAAAUGCUUGGGCCAAAACUCCAUUCUGCUUCCUGACAUGUGAAGGAUCAACGUGAUAGAAUAUUGGCAAAACAUGUCGCCCCAAUUUGUCUCUGCACUCCAUGAUCUUCACCAGCUCGUUAAGACACCAACUCGAAUCCGCAUACCUCUCUGAGAAGACAAUGAUAUAGAUCUUCGAUUUUUCGAUUGCCUGUUCCAGUUCUUUUUUUAUUUCUUCCCCUCUUUCUAGAUCGUCCUCAUCGAUAUACGCUUGAUAUCCCCUAUCUGUUAAUGCCGCGUGGAGGUGGUCCGUGAAGCCACUGUGUGUGUCUACACCGCUGAAGCUCAAGAACACGUCGUAAUUCCAAAGUUUUGACUUGGGGGAGGAUGAAGAGGAGGCUUCAUGGUUUGUCAUGGCGGUAUCCACUGUUAUGGCACUGCAGUGGUUCAGAUUAUGACUGAAAAAUGGCAGUAGUUGUGUUUGUGCUAUUGAACAGAUGAUCCUGAAACACCUAAACCCAAGUCAAGCUCCUUAAGUCAACAAGAACAAAGUUUAUAAUAUAAUAAUGUUGGCGUAUGGAAACGACAUAAUGUUGGCCAGAAGGUGCAGAGACAAACUUGAAUGCAAGCUUUCUGAAAUCUUCCAACCAAUACAGAUAAAAAGGUAACACCCUAGUCAGAAAUGAACUGAGGUGUUAGCUUUCUAAGACACCCAGAUGACAAAAUCAACAAAAUAGAAUGGAAAACUGACUUACACUUUUAAGGCAUGCUAGAAUCUUGAUCUAAAAUUGGUGGUGGGUCGAUUGUUGGUCACCAACUCUAAAUGAAGAAUUCAUCAGAACCUAGAAAAUUAAACAAAGAACUUUCCAAAAUCAACAUUUACUAAAAACCAUUUACUUGGUUAUCAUGCAAGAUGGCUUGCCAAAGAUUGAAUUAAGGAAUGCAAAACUUUACUUUUAUGAUGAUUUCCAAUGACAGCUAAAAGGUCAGAACCAAAUGAAAAUAAAAGUUAGGACUUCACAAAACCAAUUAAAAUCUAAUUCCAAAGUUACAAACACCCACCAAAUGAUUCCAGAUAAAGUUUUAAACUCAAGGUCAGACCCAAAUGAAAUUAAAAGUUAGGACUUCACAAAACCAAUUGAAAAUCUGAUUCCAAAGUUUCAAACACACACCAAAUGAUUCCGAAUAAAGUUUAAACUAAAAAACCCAACAGAAACAAAAGCAUUGGUGUGAAUUAACAGUAUCUAAUUGAAGAAACUAAAACAAAAGUAAAGUAAAGUAUAUACCUCAAAAUAUCAAGCAAUUAAGUUCUUCCUCCGAUGACCCAAAACUCUGAAAAUUCCACACAAAAAAAAAGGUAAAUCCAUUAGCAAUUCAUAGCUUUCAAAAUCAGCAAAAACUUGGGCAACAAUAAAGAUGCGUUGAGAACCAUCACUCUUUCUCCUUAUGUAUUUGAAAAGAUAUUUUAUAAGCAAUUUAUGUAGUCAUUCUGAUCAUGUUGCAUAUAAAUUCCUUUUCUACAGAGUUCAAAAAAAAUAGGGCAGUUUAUGGCAUCUGUUGAAUAACAUGGUUGAAAGAUUUAAAAUUGAUAAAUUCAAUUUUUAUGUGUAAAACUAUAACAUAUAGCUAAAGCUAUUGGGUCUAUAUAUCCAUAUCAAUCAUGUCGUAAUUGAAGGUUUAUCGAUGUAAAUAGAUGAUUUCAGUCAUGUGAAGUAUAUGCUGAAGUUUGGUCUAAGUUAGAUAAAAAUUGACCAAAAUCUUAAUAAGAGACUCUUUUAGCUUUUAACCAAAAAAUGAGCACCACAAUACUACACUUAUAAGUUUUAUCAUGCACAAAAUACAUAGCACUGAUUGCUACUUUUAGAGCAAGAACAAUACUUUCCAAGAAAACAACAAAACACUCAAAACCCAGAAACAGAAACACACUUAGGACUCCAACUCCUCAAAAACAUGAGAAAGAGAGAGAGUGUGUGCGAGGAGAGAGAAUAAAAAACCAUAUUAAUUUUCACACAAACUCAAAAUUGCUUAUAAAAUUACAAAUCAAAACAAAUGAAAGCAAAUCCAAAUUGCCCUAAAUUAAAUCUGAUUAGUUAAACGUUUGUUGCCCUACAAAUGUCGUUACACCCGACACAACUUGCUUUGAAGUUGAUAUUUUGGUCAAUCCAGGGAAAAAGGAGUUAUUGGUUUUGGAGCGGUUGUCAUGGAGAAUACCAUCUCCCUGUUGAAUGAUCUAAAAAAGGACUUACAGCUUCUGCUGGCCAUAAUAAGGCCCUUCUCUCCAGAUUUUCUCAAUAACUUUCCUUUUCGUAGCUGGUAAGAUUGCAACUCCAAGAAUUGCUCUGAAGAGAUAUACAAAAAAAUCAAACUAAAACUAAGCUAUUGGAAGAAAUUUAGAAAACACAAACAUCACUACAACUCAGAUUUAAAGUCAACAGAAACCAAAUGGUAGAAGUUGAAAAAAUACAUGGUCAUGAAUCGAGAACUUCAUCAAGCUACAACAACAACAACAACAACAAAGCCUUUUCCCACUAAGUGGGGUCGGCUAUAUGAAUCCUAGAACGCCAUUGCGCUCGGUUUUGUGUCAUGUCCUCCGUUAGAUCCAAGUACUCUAAGUCUUUUCUUAGAGUCUCUUCCAAAGUUUUCCUAGGUCUUCCUCUACCCCUUCGGCCCUGAACCUCUGUCCCGUAGUCACAUCUUCGAACCGGAGCGUCAGUCGGCCUUCAUCAAGCUAACAGCAAUAAAAUCUCAUAUAAUCUGUCAAAAACCAAAAAAGAGAGAGAGGUAAUUUCAAGACCUUGUAAUGCCGAGGCCUCGUACAAUUGUAGUAAUAAUAUAUGGUUGAUGCACCUGUUGCUCAAUCAAAUCCUUUGUCUGGCUAAAAAAAAUAAAAAUCUAUAAAUACAUUCAUGUCCAAUUUAUGAGAAAUCAUGGGAAAGCAAAUGCACUGAUAACGGAAUCAUGAAUAUGAAAAACUUGCCAAAAAGAAAAAGAAAACUUCUUAUAGUGUGCCAAGAACAUCCUCCUACUCCUAGCAAACUUUUUAUGGCAUUAUCCACUUCUCAAUUCAUAAUUCAACCACUAACUCAAAGUCUAUAGUGUAUGAAAAAGUGAUAUCUUAGUUGAUCACGAUGAUAAUUAAGCAGAUUAAAUGACAACCCAUAAAGCAUACAAAUUCAGAAAAGAAAAGGUUCAAAACUGCCAUAAGAAAACAUAGAAUAUAUAAACGGGAAAUCAAAAGAAGAGAGGCGAAAAAGGAAGAAAAAACCAAACAAAAUUAUUAGGUUUGGGAUAUACCUUUAUCUGAAACGCCACAAUCAUCAAAGUCAAACAUAAACAAUCCAAAAAGUUGUGGAAAAUAACAAUAAAUGCUCAACGAAAAACGAAAGAAACGUAGAAUAAGUUUACCUGUCCUCCCCCUAAUAAUACAAUUCACCACUUAUAUUCUCGUCAUCCUCUUCAGCCUGAAAAAUUUAGUAGAAAUAUUCAAUGAAGGCGCUUAAUGGAGACAGUAAUAUUAGCAAUGGAGGAAUUGAAUUGAUAACUAAAACUGCAAGACCAAUUGACUACGAUAGGUUCAAAACAGAAACUCAUCUGUUAGAUGUCUCAUCUUUAGGCAGUGCCUUGUUCUUUUCUUUUUUUUGUUCUUUUUUUUUUUUUGUUUUUGGUUGCACGUCUUGUGACGUUCAUGUAAAUGAACAAAAUUGAUACUUUUGACACAACCAACAAUGGAGAGGUAAAAAGUUAAAAACAGAAGGAAUGUCUUUUGUUAUGUAAUAGAUUUUGCAAGUCAGAAAUUCUGUUCGAGAAUUUGCAACCCAGAAAGUCCGCCAGCAAUUAUUAACAAUCACAGAUAAGCACCGAAUGAAGGCCAAUCUAAUAAGCCAAAAUAUGUAGGGCACUAAAGAAAUUAUUGCCCAGUAACAAAUGAUAGAUAAGCACAUGUGAAACUAAAGAAAUUUUUCCUUACUAUCAACUCCAAAAAAAUAACCUAUACAAUUCAAAAAAUGUUGAUACAUGCCUGAAAUUGGUAUUUGAACCACCAACUACCUCCGUGAAUAUGUUUGUUUGCUUAAUGGUUUGCGUUGAAGUUGUGAAAGGAAAUGCAAUUUCUUAAAAGAAGGAGAAUGCAGAGACAAAUACAGAAUGGUUCACGUGGCCACCCUCAAAACAAUAAUGUCGUAUACAUUAAGCCUGCCAAUUACUAAAAACAAAACAUUUUGCCAUGAGGAGAAGUAAGAACAUACCGAAACUUGUUUGCAAAUAGAUGAGAAAAAUUAUACCUCAAACAGAUGGGAAAUUUAUUAGGAAAGAUAGAUCAGCCCACAUGUGUGUAAUCUAUAUACAAAAAACCACUCUCUUCAUUAGCCAAAUCGUUUCAUAAAUCCAACAACACAUAAUUAUAUCUUGAACAAUGCCAAUUAAUGAUUUCCCAUUUACUUAAGCCGGACAACAAAGCCAAUGAACUGAUGAAAGAGCGAAAAAGAGAAACAAAAAACCUCAAUUAAGCAAUUAAAUGGAGUAUUACUUGAUAGAGCUGGAAAUUACCCAAUUCCUCAGAGAGAGGAUCAAGAGUGACUGAUGAGAGUGCAGAGAAACGAAUUAUUGAGAAAUUCAAGUUCUGAGCUCAAAGUUGGGGCCUCCACUUUCCAACUGGGGAAGAAAUAACAGAGAAAACACAGAGAGAGCCAAUCCACCAAAAAUAUUAAUCAAAUGGGUUUCUUCUAAUUCAAAAUUUGGACCACCCAAUUUCCGAUGAAGCAAUAACCAUUCAAAAUUCCAACAGAUUGAAGCCCUCACAGACUACAAAUUAUCAAUACCCAGCAAUAAAAAAUUUGAAAACAGUAAUAAUGAAGGAAAAAGAAAUUAAAGCUGCGAGCCAUUCUCUAAAUCUCAGGCACCAAUCCAAAUCACCAGUAAUUUGCACAUAAUGAUAAGAAUCUAGCGGUAUUUCCAUUGUUUAAAAACCCAAAUUCAAGAAAUCAUGAAAAAUGGAAACUUUAUUUGGAAAUUGAAGCUUUACCUGCAGAUCAGCAGCAGCAAACGGAAUCCAACGGCAUGUACCUCAAAAGUGAGAGAGAGAGAGAGAGUUGAGAGAUGAGUGAGAGAAUCGAUAAACAAAACCCCCCAAAAUCACAAAAGGAAAAUUGAACAGAAAACAAAUUUGCAAAUCCAAAAUCACAAAAACGAAAUUGAAACACCCACACUGAGAAAGCUGCAAUACUCACCAGGAAGCUAGCUUUUCUGGGUAAAAAAAUUGUUCGAAUCGAAUUGAAGAACCGAGGAAAAUUCUACUGGUUCAGUGGUUUUUCCAGCAAGAAAGCACCUUGUUUGUAAUUCGUGAGAGGUUGGACGGCGAGAGAGAAAAACGUAAAGGAAAGGAAAAGCGGAGAAGAAGUCACGAUUAUCGACGCGUGGGUUGCAUUCCACUGUGCCAAGUUCGAAAAUGAACGGGGAAUGGGGAGCUUGGCUGAGGGAGACAGAAUUCGAGAAGCAACGUUCUGAUUUUUUUUUUUAUAUGAGAGAGGGAAAGAGGAAUGAAGAGAAUCGACAAGAGGAGGAACCAUUUUAAGCGAUGAUGGACGCGUGGGAAUUGAGGGCAAAUUUGCCAUUUUGCUGUGAACCCAAAAGUCAAGACUUGGCUUGGUUUAUAUAAUUAAUCAAUAAUAUUUCAUAACAAGAGCUAGGUCCAUAUAUUAUACAAGGUUCUAAUAUAAUAGAUGUUGUGGCUAGGCGAGGCUUAUUGUCUAUGCGAAUUUAAGUAAAUUUACUCUAUAUUAAAUAAAUAAAUAUAUUUUUACACUUAAAAUGACACAUAAUUGUAUUGUGAUAUAUAAAUUAUAAAAUAAAAUGAUAUAUAUAUUAUAAAGUAUUGGAGACCCAAAUGUGAAAUGACAACUAUAAACAAUUAUUCAAGGUGGACGGUAAAUGAUUCAGCCAUUUACAAGAUUCAAAACGUAGGAUCACGAUCUACUGGAUGAUUGUAUUAACUAUUAGGCGGUGCUCUAAUAUAAUACAUCCAAAUGGGGGUGGACCACAUAAUACACCCAAUAGGUCGUUUUAAGCUACUCCACUGCUAAAACUAUUGCAAAAUGCGCAUUAGGAUUUAUACUUCUAUUAGCUACGCCUUUCCUUACUAGGCAAAUGAACCAUAUAGUACACCAAGAUGGAUGUUAUACACGUUGGAGUUUGAGCAGAAUUCUUUUUGUUAUCAUGUCUCACAUUGCUAGAAUUGAAAAGUUCAUAAUAUAAUAACAUUCACGUAUGAACUUGAGAAACAACAUACUACUGGUUGGCCUGGAAGGUGCAGUGAAGGAGAGGAAAGAAAGUAACAAACACGAAAGGAUAAGGACUAUCCAAUAGAUUAUAAACAAUGACUUCUUGGGGGUGAUUACAGCUAUUCAACCAUCAAUAAUGCAUUAUUUUAGUUUGGAAUUUGGAAGCAUUUGAGAAGUAACAUGACAACAACCACAUAAUAAACAAAGAUGAUUAGAAAAAAGACCCGAAUGUGAAAGAAUAAUUAAAAACAAUUAUUCAAGAUUAGUGAUAAAUGAUUCAACCAUUUACAAGAUAUGAACUUAGAACAACAAUCUAUUAGAUCGUUGUAUUAAUUAUUAAGUGGUGCUCUAAUAUAAUAGAUCCAAAUCGGAACGGACCACAUAAUACACCCAAAUGGAUCAUUUUUAGGCUCCACUGCUAAAAACUAAUGCACCAUGGGCAUUAGGAGUAGACUUUUAUAGCUAUCUUUCCUUACUAGUCAAAUGAACCAUACAAUACACCCAAAUGGAUGCCAUCAUGCCAUAUAUAAACAAUGUUUUGAAAGGACAAGGUAGCUAACGCUGUCUUUUUAUAUAUGUAAGCAACAACCCUAAAUGAAUCUUAUUGGAGCUAAUUAACUAAUGUAUUUAUUAGACAGUUGGAUUCCUUAGCAAGGGGUUAACUAUUUUUGUUUAGAUUAGUAGUCAGGUGGUAAUUAAUUAGUCAAAUGAACCAUAUAAUACACCCAAAUGGAUGUGCAUAUAUAAACAAUGUUUUCGAAGGAUGAAAUGACUUUCUUGCCGGUAUGGGGGAAGAGGAUUGCGCGAAAAUUUUCGCACUAAUCUAAAUAUUGUGUUUCAAGCUUUGAAAAACCAUUGAAGCUUUGAAAAGUUUGGUGAUUUUGUUAGGUUAUGUGUAUGAGUGACAUUAAUAAUUUUCAACUUCCCAAGCAAUUGUUACACAAAAUUAAAUUUAAAAUCCAAGAGGCCGUGGUUACAGCUAUUCAACUUUUGUAGAUUUUCCGGUUUUAUGAGAUUGGCAUUCUUUUUCAACACAACUUCUAUUGAGUUCAUAUAAACUAUUAUAUGAAGGAGAAAUGGUAAAAAGACUCCCUCAAAAUCCCAAAUGUGAUAGGAGAAAAGACACAAAUAUGAAACAAUUAAAAACAAUUAUUCAAGGUGGGUAGUAAAUGAUUCAGUCAUUUACAAGAUUCAAACAUGGGACCACGAUCUACUGGAUGACUGUAUUAACUAUUAGGCGGUGCUUUGAUAUAAUACAUCCAAAUGGGGGUGGACCACAUAAUACACCCCAAUGGUUCGCUAAAAACUAUUGCAAAAUGCGCGUUGGGCUUAUACUUCUAUUAGCUGCGCCUUUCCUUACUAGGCAAAUGAACCAUAUCCAAAAUGGAUGUUAUACACGUUAGAGUUUGACCAUAAUUUUUUUCGGUUAUCUCAUUGUCUCACAUUGCUAGAAUUGAAAAGUUUUAAUAACGUUUGUGUAUGAACUUGAGAGACGACAUACUAUCGGCCGGCGGGGAAGGUGCAGUGAAAGAGAGGAAAGGAAGAAAGAAGUCAACACGGAAUGACAAAGACUAACCAAUAGGUUAUAAGCAAUUACUUCUUGGGGUGAUUACAGCUAUUCAACUAUCAACAACGCAUUAUUUUAGUUUGGAAUUUGGAAGCAUUUGAGAAGUAACAUGGCAACAACCACAUACUAAACUAAAGUGAUUAGAAAAAAGACCCAAAAUGUGAAAGAAUAAUUAAAAACAAUUAUUUAAGAUAAGCGAUAAAUGAUUCAACUAUUUACAAGAUAUGAACUUAGAACAACAAUCUAUUUGAUCGUUGUAUUAACUAUUAAGUGGUGUUCUAAUAUAAUAGAUCCAAAUGGGGACCGACCAUAUAAUACACCCAAAUGGACCAUUUUUAGGCUCCACUGCUAAAAACUAAUGCAAAGUGGACAUUAGGAUUAAACUUGUAUUAGCUAUCUUUCCUUACUAGUCAAAUGAACCAUACAAUACACCCAAAUGGAUGGCAUCAUGCCAUAUAUAAACAAUGUUUUGAAGGGACAAGGUAGCUAACGCUGUCUUUUUAUAUAUGUAAGCAACAACCCUAAAUGAAUUUUACUGGAGCUAAUUAACUAAUGUAUUUAUUAGACAGUUGGAUUCCUUAGCAAGUGGUUAACUAGUUUUGUUUAGUUUAGUAGUCAGGUCGUAAUUAAUUAGUCAAAUGAACCUGCAUAUAACACACGCAAAUGGAUGCCAUAUAUGCAUACUAUUUUUGUUUAGUUUAGUAGUCAGGUCGUAAUUAAUUAGUCAAAUGAACCUGCAUAUAACACACCCAAAUGGAUGCCAUAUAUGCAUAUAUAAACAAUGUUUUCAAAGGAUGAAAUGACUUUCUUGCCGGUAUGGGGGGAAGAGGAAAGAAACUAGCACGAAACUGCAGACCCUAUCGAUCCAUUAUAAUAAAUUUCAAUGGUCCAAGUUGUAAGUUAAUUGUGUAACGUAAAAACUUAUUUACAGUUAUCAACUUAACCACGUACAUGUGGAAGACAUUAUCUCAGAAAACUAGAAAGUUCAAUUGCAACUCUACACAACUGAAAGCAAGGCUCGCUCAAUAGGGCUUGAGUUUUUUUGUAAACUUGCGUAUUUUUGUAAACGCAUCACAUAGUAGUUAAAACAUCCGGCCGUAAAUAAAGGGUUUGAGUGUCACAUCCUAGCUCGGGGCAGACCACUUCCCGGGCUCACUCCACUACCGUAGCAUGAUAUUGUCCGCUUUGGGCCCCGACCACGCCAUUACGGUUUUGUUUCUAGGAACUCACGAGCAACUUCCCAGUGGAUCACCCAUUAUGGGAGUGCUCUGGCCACCUUCUCGCUUAACUUCGGAGUUCCGAAGGAACCCGAAGCCAGUGAGCUCCCAAAAGGCCUCAUGCUAGAUAGGGAUGAGAAUAUACAUUUAAGGAUCACUCCCCUGGGCGAUGUGGGAUGUUACAAUCCACCCCCCUUAGGGGCCUGACGUCCUCGUCGGCACACUUCCGGCCAGGGAUUGGCUCUGAUACCAUUGUCACAUCCCGGCCCGGGGCAGAACACUUCCCGGGCCCGCUCCACCACCGUAGCACGAUAUUGUCCACUUUGGGCUUACCAUUCCCUCACGGUUUUGUUUUUGGGAACUCACGAGCAACUUCCCAGUGGGUCACCUAUCCUGGGAGUGCUCUGGCCCCCUUCUCGCUUAACUUCGGAGUUCCUACGGAACCCGAAGCCAGUGAACUCCCAAAAGGCCUCGUGAUAGGUAGGGAUGAGAAUAUACAUUUAAGUAUCACUCCUCUGAGCGAUGUGGGAUGUCACAAUCCAAUUGUAACAGUGUCAUGAUCAGACUUGUAAGACUGUCUUUAAUAAGAAGUUGUUGCGUUUUGUCAAAACUAGGUAUGGGCAACGGUUAUGGCGGGCGGGUAACCGCGGUUAAUUAUCCAUAACCGUUUAUUCUCAUACAUGCAUAACUGUUUACCCGUUGGGUAAUUGUCUAAACGGUUAUACCCAUACCCAUAACCGUUUAUAAACGGUUAACCAUAACCAUAACCGUGUACCCAUUUAACCGUAACCGUUUAGUACCCAUUUACCCAUUUAUCAUUUUUAAACCCGUUUAUCCUUUCUUUUUUACCAUUUACUCAUUUUUCACGCAUCUACGUGUUUUUUUAACAACUUGAAAAUUAAAAAAGAAAAAUUUGUCAUAAUUUUCUUUUUCUAACAAUUAAACACCGUUGUAGUAUUCAUCAUACAUUUCCGUAUUUUAAUUUUUAAGUCCUUAUACCAUUUCAAUAAUUGAAAUAAUAGUUUACAGACAAUAUUUUUAAUUGUUAGCAAUGAAGGUAAUAUAAAAUUUGCUAAGUAUUCUUUGGUUACGAAAACUGUUAAAAGACAGUAUUCUUGGGUUAUUUAACUCAGAAUGUAUAAUAUAUAUAAUGGACCAUGAAAUUUAAAGUGGUUAAGGAAAACUAUAUUAUAUUAGCUAUAGAAAUCAUGCACUAUAGUCAAUAGCAUUGAUCUAAGUUUUGUCCGAUAGUGAACAUGGUUUGUGUUAAUUUUACAUAUAUAAAAUAAAUGGGUAAAUGGUUACCCGUUUAUAACCACGGUUAAUACCCAUACCGCCCAUUUAAAUUUCACGAGUAAACGCCCAUAACUGUAACCGUGAAAUUUAAAUAGGCGGAUAACCGCAGUUACCCAUAACCAAUGAGUAUUUACCCAUCCCUAGUCAAAACCGGUCCAUCUAAUUACAAAUUGUAACCAUAUUAGUUGAGUGCAUAUGCUACAUCACAUUUAGUGAAUAUUCAGUACGGGUGACACAUGGUCAGACUUGUAGGUUGUUCAUUAAGAAGUUAGUUACCACGUUCUCAAGAGUGGAGCUAGAGGGGAGCACUUCCCUACCAAAGUGUUUUCCUUCUCCCCUUUGCAAGGGAUUUGUGUCACUAUUAGAUAGGAGAUUCAAACACAAGACCUUCAAUUGAGAGGUAAACGCUUUUACAAAGCUUCUACGAGCACCUUCUUGUUUACCAAACUUAUUGAGACUAAAGGAGGUCUUAACGCCAUUUUGGCUAAUACUAUUCUGUAUAUUUACGAAUGGUUUUAAGUUUGGGUUUAAUUGGAUAAUCAGAUAGUAGUGCAUCAAACUAUGGAUAUUCAGAAACCGAAAGCAUAAUUCAUAUUCCUCCAACAAGUCCACGCAAAUAACCACAAUCAGAAUGUUAGUUCAUAACUGGCCAUAUAGAACGCAGUACAAAAGCACUAAAAGCGUCCAAGUGAAAGUGCUUUCUCCUCAUGUAGUUUCAUUUAACUUAGUUUCACAUGCCACUCCGUCACACACUCAACUCCUCAACGUUCGGGCUCAAAGCAUUCUUUAUCCCUUCUGCACGAGAGACAAUAAGUUUAAAGUUCUUGUGAUGAAAUCAUGUAAAACAUUCAGAAAUCUUGAUUUAACCCUUUAUCAAGAUCAUAGGUUGUGUCAUCUCAACUUAUAUCUUAGGUCUUAUGAGUGCUCGUAAUACACUAAUAUGACACUUGUUUUCUGGCCAGGACAGAAACAAAAUCAUGCAGGAAAUUGUCAUGACAACUUCAGUGUAAAAUAAAGGUCGUACCCAGUGCACAAGGCUCCCGCUUUACGCAGGGUCUGGGAGAGGUGAAUGUCGGCUAACCUUACCCCCAUUUAUGGAGAGGCUGCUCCCAAACAACUUCAGUGUAAAAUGCGACCGGAAAAACACUAAACAAGAUUGCUAUGCUCUCUUAGUGUAAACCUUAACAACAAAGACUAUACCGUAUCUGUCACAGUGAUAUGCGACCAUAAGCCCAACUCCAAGAGCUUUGAAGGCUACAAAUCAAAAGUUACAUGCAGUGACGACAUAAUCAUGAAAAAAUACAAUCAUAAAUUAAAGGAAAACAUACCGACUUCUAGUUCUGGCAAUUCACUAUUGGGCCAUAUAUUUGAACCACAGUAUGAUGGAUACCUACAAUACAGAUCACAAAUAAAAUCUGAGCAGACACAAAGUAUUAUGUUCUGUUUACACAAAAUCUGUAAGUUCUCAAAUAGGAUAAAUAAAGAUAAACAUAUCCCAGCAUAAAGACGAUUUGUCCUGGCUAAUUCUAAGAAACCUUGUAUCAAAUGUAUGAUAGUUAUUCAUAACUAACACAAACAAUAGUUUUGCCGAACAUUUCUGGUCUGAGCCGUAUACUGUGUGACCUCAGACAAAACAGAUCCCACAUGGACCCAGAUUAUGAUUGAUGUCCCUAUAGACUUUUACCUUUGAAUUAGAGAUUCAUCUGUUGUAGGGCUUCCAAUAUUGGAUUUGCAUAAAACGAGCCUUUUAACGUAUCUGCAAAACCAGAACAGAAACGGAAAAUGAAUGAUCCUACGUUCUUAGAGUUUCCAAAGAAACAAAAUUUAAAACAAAGAACAUAAAGUGAUACCAGGCUUUCCAGAUUCCAGCUUCUCUUUUCCAUGACUCCAUCCAAAAUUGUACCUAAACAUGGAUGGCAGGUAAAAAGAAGAUAAGCAAUAAGACUUUGUAAAGAUUCCCAAGAAAAGCAAUAAAACUACGUAAAUAUUAGUUAAUAAUGCCAAGACCAUAGUCUGUGACAAAUCCAAGAGUUGAGAUGAGACUAUCUUUCAGGCAGGAAUUUUUGGAAUUUUUCUCUAUUGGGACUAAAAUGAAAGCAUAACAAUGGGACUAAAAUGACUUAGCUACUAUGAGGAUCUUCAAGUUCCUUCUUCACCUCUUCGGGCAGAUUGGCUAAUCUAAUAAACGAAAAGAAAACUCCCAUGAGCAGUGCUAUAACAAACUAUCUUCCUAAAUUCAUUAUGAAUUGCAGUUAAAACUUAAAAUGAACAUGAAAAUCCUACGUAGAAGGGAUAUACCUAGGUGACAAGCCUAGAAGAUUCUCACGCAAGGAAGAAUAUCCCGGAACCUACUGCCAUUAAGGUUGUUAUUAAUAUCAAUUCAUGUAUAUUUCCGCAUGUGUCAUAUUAUUAAGUUAGACAGUGAAAAAUAUAUAUCGGAUGUUAUGAGAAUAUGUGUGGCUGUCAAGCUUGACACGUGAAUAACAUGCUCUCUACUACUUUAUUACACUGUGAAGAUUUUAUCCAAAAUUAAUUGACGAUGAGCGAAUAAACUGAAAGAUUAUGCGCUACUUUGAUUAUGCAACGAGUGAAGAGGCAAUUUACGCCAACCUCCAGUCAAGAAUUUGGACUCACAAUCACUAGCCAAUAUGCUUUUUUCUCACAUUUCCCCUGACACGGCAAGUUCAUUGUUCAAUAUUCUGGUUCUGGUGUCCUAUGACCCUGACACGGCAAGUUCCACUUUUUGUUCAUUUUCUUGACGAAACCAUCACACUUACCCUUACGGCACGGCACGGUUCCGGGCAUAGAGCAUGGAUUGGGUUUCGUUGCAGUCCCGACACUACUUAGCACUGUAGAGAAGGAAAUACAAAGACAAGUUUGGAUUUCUUACAACGUAUUGAGUCUCUCGUCAUGGCUCUUGCUGUGUUGUUCUUAUUUCACAUCCUGUUUCUCGAGUUUGGUGUUUCCGGUUGCAAAUUUGGUUCGGCAGUGUAGUGCUCAAGAGAGGGGACUGUCUCACAUUGUUCCAAGCAGACACAGGCGGUUGACAACGAUUGCGAUAAUGUGUUUUUCUACUGGGAGAACAUACAGCAGUCAGCAGUCAUCUUUUCACAACCGUCUUCAGUAUUUGGAGGCACCUCAAGAAAUUAUCAAGGACAAACGAAUGUAGAAAAGAAGAAAUAUCGAAGUUAGUUGACAAAAGGGGCCGAAAAAUUGUGAGAUACAGAGAAGAAGAUUAGACGAAACUCGAUGCAAAUUUUAAGCUAGAUUAGUUAUUUUUCAUUAACGAGCGAUACAGAGAAGAAGAAACAGCUGCAUUUGGAGAAAGCUGCUUUAGUUGCCUAGUUUGUAACAUUAGCUUUCUGUAAUUCCGGGGAAGAAACAGGAGUAAAAAAAAAACACAAUCAGGCAGUACCAAAAAAGAAAAAUGUACAAUUAGGAACAAUCGCCACUUCUCAAACUUUGUAGUAGAUCCAGGUAUCUGAUGGACUCGGGGCUAAUGUACCUGCAUUAACAAGAAACAAAAAUCAGAUUUGUGGAAGGGAGUCACAUAGUGGUUAAAAUACUUGGCCGUGCAUGAAUGGUUUGAGAUACCAUCAUAGAGGCAUCCUCCAGGUGUGAGUUUCUCUCGUAUCUGAUCACUUAUUAUAAGAAUAUCAGUAGUGAAAGUGAAAUACCCGUGUCGGGAAAGGAAGUCAAUGAUGACAAAAGAGCAAUUUGGCUUGAAAUAUUGUGUCCUCCGUAUGAUGCUUGCAACAUGCAUCACCGAAUCCACUUGAAGCUCUCCACCUCUCCAUCUGUUAAAUGUUUCAUAAGCAGCAUUGUUAAAGUUCUCUCUAUUUGGGGGGAUAUUGCAGAUGGUUUUGAAUGAAGAAAGGCAAAAAUUCAUGCAGAAGGCAUAAUUUACAACUAGUUUUGUAAAAGCUAAGCUCUAAAGGUCUCACCUUGAUUCUUUGGCACAAAUAGCUAAAGUUUUGAGAUGGGACAAAAUGGGUCCCAAGACCCACAUACAGCGCAUCCGAUGGUGUUGAAAUCCUUUUCCCAGUAAGUCAAAGAUAAGCGCCAAGAAAGACAUGACAGUGUUAAACUUAAAACAAAUACAGAACUAAGAAUUGAUGCAUGAAUCAAACAGAGAAAUGGUACAGGCCAUUCUCUUUAUAUUCUUAUAAUCUAAACAUUUCUCCUUAUCAACACUGGAAAAACAGCUUGCUUCAGUCAUAGGAAAUAAAUUGCGCCUGGAGUAUAGAAAAGACAUACCUACAGAUCCUCCUCCUGGACUCUUUGCCGCUAUACGUGAAAACCCAACAUCUGGGAACAAACAAAUUACAUUCUCUGCCAUAGCAAGAACAGUCCUCUGAAAUGUAUCCAUACAAAGUUAAGACACAAAAAAUUCAAAAAGGCAAUGUAAUUCACAACAUUGACAAUCUCUGUCUGACAAGGCAAUAAUACCUCUGUAAUGAUCUGGUAGUGACCGUGACCUGAUAGGCCAACACCAAAGCCCAUUGUUAUGCCAUCCAUGAAGAUAGGGCUUCUUGUACUCAGAGAUUUUGCAUAUUAGAGAAUACUCAGCAGUGAAUACCUGAAAAACAUGCAGCACAAGUAUCAUACCGGUAGCCUCUCAAUCUUAAGAAAUGGUAGCUUAGAAAAGAUAUGAAUCCUAUCCAACCAAUACAAAUCAUAUUACCCAAGUUCAAGCAAAAUCACGACUAAACAAAUGAUCAGAUGUUGUAGGUUGCCCGAGAAUGUCAAACAUGAAAUUACAAAAGAAAAAAAAACAAUCGUAUGUAUUGAACAUUAAUAAAUACUUGCUGAAAGCACAAUCUUAGCUGCAAUUUAUGACAUUUAUACGAGAUUGAAUAGCCAAAGCAAUUAAAGAAGUAGCAGAACUCAUAUAAGUGAUUUUCACUUUGAACUUUUAGGCUUAUCAGCAAAUACAUCAUUACGAUUCUAACGCAUGAAUUUUGUUAAAAGGGGCUUGCUUGCUUGUAUUAAGGCUUAAUCAUCAAUGAUUUUGCAAGGGUCAAUCGUCUUGCUAGUUGUAAAUCCAUGCACUAUGAAAAUUACCAAAAUUACAUCUUAUAUGGUAGAGAAGGAAGUCAUCUUAUAUUAUCUGGAUUUUAGAAGACGGUGUAAGGUUAUAAGUCUGUUAUUCUAUAUAGUUUAAAGGACACAAUUAGACAACAAUCAUAUUCGGUGGUUGGUUUUUGGCCGUGAUCUGCUUCACAUCACCGCCCGCAGGUAAUCUAAAUCUGGGUUAUUACUUAUCAAUGAAUCAAAGUGCCAACUUAUCGGACACCAACUAUCUCUCUAUGGCAAAAAAAUAACACAAAAAGGAACAAUGAAGUGAAACAAUAAACAACAUGACAUGAAACAGCACAAACAUCAAAGACCAACAAUCUAUCACAUAAGCACCUAAACAAGAAACAACUUUAGUUCAAAGCAAAGCGUAAUGUAGAAACCUUCAGCACAAGAGGCGUGUUUUUGUCCUUUUGAAUUUCGGCAACAACAACUUUAAUAUCCUUACCUGCAUUUACCAUGAUUGGUCACUCUCAAAACCUUACCUAAGAGACCCAAAAACCAAAAUAACUGCUAAAAGAGCUGAACAUACAUAUCUAGAAAAACUUAUUCAACUACAUGCUAAAAUGGAAGUGUAAAAUUGCCAGGAAAGAUAAGAAACUAUUCAAAUACGAGUUCUGGGCGUUACCGCCACAAAAGGCACGAGCCGAGCGGCUAUCAACAAGAACACACUUCACAUUUGGGUCAGAUUCCCAUUCAUCCAGAUAGCUCUUGUAUUUCACAUCCAAAUCUGCAUUUUCCAACAAUUCCCACUUAAACAGAAACACAAAAUUCUUCCAAAAAGAGCUAACUUCUUUGAAAUUUGAAUCCAACGUUUCGUCUUAUAACAAAUGCAAUAACAUAGAUUUGUAAUCAAUACGAUGCCAUAAAGUUCAAGCUCAAAAAUUCAAAUCAUCUCCAAAUCAAAAGCAAUUACAGAUAUAUACAUAUAUACAUAUGCGUGUGUGUGUUUAUCUACAUACCUAGGUUUAUGGCGUUGAGAGCUCGGGGGGCGACCGAGGGUGAUGACGGCGACGCCAAAGGUGCGGAGAAGGCGAGGGGAUUUGGAGGGUUUUGUAAAGAGGGGAUUUGCUCAGAAUUUGGGUCGCUCGUCCCUCUUAUGAGAGUGAUUCAAAAAUCGAAAAAGUUGAAAUUUAUUGAUUGUGAUCUGACUCAAACAUGUGAUGAUGACGAUGCAUCACAACCUUGGUUGUGCCUCUGGAUCAAAAUCCUGUUCCAUCAAAUUCGUGCUCAUUUUCCUUCAUAGGUUUGUCCCAUACUAGAUUAACCCCUGUUCCCUUAAUUGUCACAUUACCAUAUUUACUGUAUGGCUCUGGCAUUUCAAAAGUUAUAUCAACUUUAUCCCCGCUUUGCAAAUUGAGCUUAUCAUUCGAUAUUUGUCCCUGCCAAAGAUAACAUUUUCCAGAUACAUUGCACAUUUUUAUAACCCAAUCUUCUUUGCCUAUGUAGGUCUGCAACUCAGUACGCUUGGUAUUAUUUAUAUCAAUAUUGGCACGAGGAUGACAUUCUCCACAACUGGCAUAAGGGCUUCUUGACUCAUUAGUAUUUGAGCAGUAAAAGCAUAAUAGAGUCAGUCCUUCCAAAUUACGACCAUCACUCGGGAGGAUAUCAAAACUGACUUUAUUACCAUCGUUGACAAACUCGAACCAAUCAGGAACAUAAUUCCCAUUGAGAAAAAUGCCAUCACUUGGGAGGAUAUCAAAACUGACUUUAUUACCAUCGUUGACAAACUCAAACCAAUCAGGAACAUCAGGAACAUAAUUCCCAUUGAGAAAAAUGCCAUCACUCGGGAGGAUAUCAAAACUGACUUUAUUACCAUCGUUGACAAACUUGAACCAAUCAGGAACAUAUUUCCCUUUGAAAAAAAUAUCCGCAAGAAGUCCAUCCCUACAUAUACAGUGCAAGUGUCAUAUUUAUAUAUAUACACACACACAAUGUACAUGUGCGUUGUGUGUGUGCAUGUGCGCAAUAGGAAGACAAUUAAAGAGAGAUACCUUUAGGACGUUACUCAUAAAACCAGCGGUGAGUUUGGGGCAGUACCUCAUAUUAAAAUGUCGUGGAGUUUAAUGACUUAUCCAAGUCUGGAACCUCAGUGAGUGCGCGUGAAUCACAUACAUGUAGCUCUCUCAUAUUCGACAUUUUCGAAAAAUUGGGCAUUGUUACCAAACGGGAGCAAUCAGACGCAUACAGAAAUUUCAAAUUUGUUGGUAAACCAUAGAUUGUAUGAAGGUUACGGCAGUAAUUUAACUGCAAACGUUCAAGCUUUGAAAAACCAAUGAGGCUGGGUAAGGUAUGAAAAUCAUUACAUGUGAGACACAAAUCUUGCAAAGAAAUUAGACUCCCAAAAUCUUUUGGGAAUGCAUCAUCGCUUAAGCGCUGGAAUGAGAGAUCUAAAUUUCUUAAAGAGUCUAAGCCGUGUAACGAAUUGGGAAAUUGUGUGACAUGCCCCCUUAAAAUGAAAUCAGUGGUAAACCAUGAUUUCCGUAGAAAUAAAUGAGUGAGAUUCUUCAAUCUUACUGUGGAACGCGGUACUUGUCUUAUGGCUGUUUCAGACGCUUUAAGUACUCUCAAUGAUAUCAUCUUCCCUAAAUCCUCGGGCAGUUCAUUGAAUCGCCUACAAAAAUCAAGAACAAGAGUCUGAACGGAUUUGGACUUGUAGAAAUCCCCAGGAAGAGAAAUAAGAUUAUGGCAGCAUGUGAGGUUCACCAAAGAAAGUUUUUUAAGCUGACCAAUGGAGGGGUGAAUCUCGAACAAACUCUCACACCUUCCCAAUAUCAACUCUUCAAGACUUGGGAGAUUUGAUAAGUCUGGUGAUUUUUUUAAGUCACAGCAAUUACUGAGAUUAAGGAUUUUCAAGUUUUCAAGCGACUGUUGCACAAAAUCCAAAAGGUCAUACCCAGUGCACAAGGCUCCCGCUUUACGCAGGGUCUGGGAGAGGUGAAUGUCGGCUAGCCUUACCCCCAUUUAUGGAGAGGCUGCUCCCAAGUCUCGAACCCGAGACCUACCGCUUAUGGGCGAAGGCAUUUGUCAUCGCACCAAGUGCGACCUCUUUGGGGAAAUCCAAGAAAAAUUAAAAUUAAUAUCCAAAAGGAAUAUCUCAUAAAAUAAAUAAAUAAAUAAAUAAAUAAAGAGAGAAGGAAAUCCAAAAACAAAUAGAAACUUAACAUCAUCAUGUGUAAUCGAUUGUACCUUGGAGCCCUCCCAAACUUGUACCAGUUUGCUAUGCUUUAUCUCUAAAAUAACUAGUGUUCUUGGUUGAUCAAAGAAGUCAUCUGGUAUGGACUCUAAAAGGUAUCCUUCCCAACGCAACCAUACUAACUCUUUGGGGAGAUGUUUGUAUUCUCCAUUGAGCUGCACGUUCUGGAGCAUGAGCAGUCUCAGUUUCUUCAUAUUAGCAAAUGCUUCUGUACUGAUACAACUAGACUUUAAAGGGAAUUCUCCACGGAGCUGCACGCGGUGGAUCAGUCCCAGUUCCCUCGAAUUGGUAGGGAAACUUACAACAAGUCCUUCAACUUCUUUAGUUCCCUGUUAACAACACAUUAUACUGGGUAAGAAAAGGAUUAUGUGCAUCUAUUUUACGUGAUUUUGCUAAUUGAGCUUCUUAAUGCAAAUACAUAUAUUUACACAUGAAUUUUUUAAUGUAUAAUAGGCAUACGUGGGUUACAUAUAUGCUUUUCUUGUACGAUGCAUUAAUACAAAUUUUUUUUGGGAAUCUACUUACAGAUUUAUUUGUUAGUACAUCAUAGACAUCUCCAGGGAUCCACAACCUGCUCCAUUCUCCAGGGGGACGAGUGGAUUUUUCAGAAAUGAUUAAUUUGGCCAUUUCUCGAAGCAAAUCAUGCAUAUUCAACUUCUUGUCUUCAACAGUUAUAAGGCAUCGUUCACGGAGGUUACUGAUUCCUAUUGUUGCAAAAAACUUACAUUCAUCUAAUAUUUUUGCGACAUCGUCCUUAUCCCAUCCAAUAAAGAAACAAGAUAUGUCAAGGAAUAUAUCCUUCUGCGUAGGAUCUAGCCUUUCAAAGCUUACUUUUAGCGGUUUCAUUAUUCCUUCAUCAUGAAAUUUUUUCAAUUUCUUCAAUUGACUUUUCCACUCUGCUGGGGUUCUUUCAGUCAUAGAAGAACCUAAAACUUCAAGGGCUAGUGGCAAACCACCACAGUAAGAAACCACCUCUUUUGAGAGUUCAAGAUAUCCUUCAUUAGGCCAACUAUUUCCAAAGGCAUGCCAACUAAAGAGCAUCAGGGCUUCUUCUUCAUUCAUUUCUUGAAGCGGAUAUGUCUUGUCCACUUUCAUGUUCACUUGCUUUAGUAAACGUUCAUCUCGUGUCGUUAUGAUAAUUCUACUUCCUGGGCCAAACCAAUCACGAUUUCCAGCCAUUGCAUUUAGUUGUUCCACUUUGUCUACAUUGUCAACAAUGACAAAUACGCUUCUACGUCGGAGAUGAUUUUUUAUCAGACUGAUACCUCCAUCAACACUGGUUAUCUUAUUAGACUCGGUCUGUUUCAAGAUGUCAGAAACAAGUUUUCUUUGCAAAUCAACCAGAUCAUAUUCGCUAACGUUGGCAAGGAAACUUUUGAACUGGAACUUAUGAUGAAUUUGGUUAUAAAUGGCUUUGGCAGCUGUUGUUUUACCCAAUCCACCCAUCCCCCAAAUUCCAACCAUGCGUACAUCUGAUCCACCAUUUGAAAGAUAAGUGAUGAUAUCUUGAAUGCGGGUAUAUAUUCCAACUGGGUGCUUGGCCACAUGUAAUUUUUCUGCGCUCGGAAGCCAUUCCGGGAUAAUCUUGUCAACAAUUUCUCUAAUAAGCUUUGCUUCGCGCCUGAAAAUUGAAUUCGUAAGCGUUAGUGGGACUCAAUGAACAGUAGGAGCUAUCAGUACAUAGACAAUUGUCUUUACUUCAUAAAAGAAAGAAAUUCAUUCACUAAAAUGUUUCAAAACUUGAAAAGCAGGUGAAUGAUUACCCAUUGUUAGUGAUUUGAAGAUGUUGGCCAAACAAAUUUGCAGCUUCUGUAAGAGCCUUUCUCCAUUGCUUUACCCUUUCUUGUUUAGCUUCACGUUCCUUGUCAUCUUUUUCUUCAUGGAUGCCCUCUUCGUGCUUCUGAAAUGCUUGAGCUAAAUCUCCGUUCUGCUUCCUAAUGUGAAGGAUCAACAUGAUAGAAUAUUGGCAAAACACGUCGCCCCAGUUUGUAUCUGCACUCCAUGAUCUUCACCAGCUCGUCAAGACACCAACUCGAGUCCGCAUAACUCUUUGAGAAGACAAUGAUAGAGAUCCUCGCCUCUUUGAUUGCCCGGACCAGUUCCUCUUUUAUUUCUUCCCCUCUUUCUAGAUCGUCCUCAUCGAUAUAAGCCUGGUAUCCCCUGUCAGUUAAUGCCGCAUGGAGGUGGCCCGUGAAACCAUUGCGUGUGUCUACACCGCUGAAUCUCAAGAACAUGUCGUAAUUCCAAAGUUUUGACUUGGAGGACGAUGAAGAGGAGGCUUCGUGGGUCGUCAUGGCGGUAUCCACCGUUAUGGCACUGCAGUGGUUCAGAUCACGACUGAAAAAUGGCAGUAGUUGUGCUCAUGCUGUCGAACGAAUGAUCCUGAAAUACCUAAAACCCAAGUCAAGCUCCUUCAGUCAACAAGAAUAAAGUUUUAAUAUAAUAAUGUUGGUGUAUGGACUUGAGAAACGACAUAAUGUUGGCCGGAAAGUGCAGAGAAAGAGAGAGGAAAAGAGGAACAAAAGGAGAAAGACUAUCCAAAUGAUUCUUGGCUGUGAUUACAGCUAUUCAUAGGAGAAACAACGUACAUAUUUUCAUAGGAGAAACAACUUGCCCAUCUUCAUAUAUAAUACAUUUCAACAGACAUAUUUUAAUAGGAGAAACUAGGGGUGGGCAAACGGGUCCAGGAACCGCAGGUCGGGGCGGGUAAUGGCGGUUCAGGGCGGGUACAGGCCGGGUCUUAUUUUUUUAAAGAAGAAACGGGGUGGGGGCGGGGAGGUGGUAUUUAUGGGGCGGGUCGAGUUCAAAUUUGUACAAGCAUGGGGCCCCGGGCCGACCCGUUCCUAAAAUGGACUGAUUGGAACCUGGACAAUAUGUUGUGGGCUUACUACACAAGGCAAUGGCCCAUGUGGGCUUACUGCUCGAAUACUCUAGAAACUAUGAUCCGACUCCUAUCUCUCCUGGAUCGAUCCCCAAAUCCCACUACUCUCUCUCCUCGUCGGCAUCACCGAACACAGAACCACCGAUUCACCACCAUCGUCACCCAUCACCGCCGUGGCGACCAUCACCAUCGCAGACGCUAUUAACCGUUAGUUUCACCCUAGGUCUCCCCUAUGUCUAUCACUCAAGUCCUCGAUCGUUUCUCUCCCGCGUGCGUCAUUCCCUCCACGGUUCUUCCACUACACUCUGUCACUCUCCGUCACUCUCCGUCAGUCACCUCCUCCACCACCCCGACAUCAACCCCGUCGCGAGUCUGGGCCCUGGCGACCACCACGACGAGCCAGCAACCUCGAUUGUCUUCCUCGAGUCCUCGAUGGCAUCCCAGAUUUAGAGAACUUUAGGGUUCUCUUUCUCCCUCCCACCCCUCGAAUCGACUGCGUCGACAUCAAAUCAGCCACCACACGAGUCACGAGGCUUCAAAUUCGGCUGGUGACUGCCCAAUCUGGUGCGACUCAACCGAUUCCGAGCGCUCUUGACUCUGUCGACGAAGAAGAAGAAGAGAAGAAAAAAAAAAAUAACCCGUGGACCCGGGCCGGGUUAGGUCAGGUUUCUGUGUUAAAAUUAGUUGUACCCGCCCCUGCCCGACCUGUUUCUUUUAAACCUGGGUCCGGCCGGUCCCUUCAAAAUUGGGCCCGGCCCUGGGCCCGGCCCGGCCCAUGCCCAGCCCUAGGAGAAACAACUUUAGUUUUUACUAGAAAUUUUUACCCACACGUUGCUACAGGAUUUGAAAUUGUAUAAAAGAUUAUCUUUGAAAUAUAUAAUAGAUUGUGUGAUUGAAGAUUAAUACUAUUUACACUGAAAACGUUGGGAAAAGUUUUACAUACAAAAGAUUUUACAAUACAAUCCACAUACAAAAGAUGGUAAAUUUUUUUCUAUCUACAUGCAUUAUGUUAUGGAAUGAUAUAUAUAUAACUAAGUUCCAGAAUACGUAAAUUUCAUAAUUUCGAAUUUUUUUGACAAAUUAAUCAGAUUCAACUGUGGGAUAGAAAGGUCGCCUAUAAAGUUGUGAAGUCGUGGAAGCAUAAAGGACAAAUAACAAAUGAGUUUUGAGAAAUUAUUCCACAAAAGUCAUUUUGCAAAAUGCAAAUGUAUUAAAGACGAUUGGUACAAGAUUAGUAAUCAUAAGUAGUGUAACAACAUCAACAAAAUAACUAUAAACCAUAGUUGAACAUAAUUCAAAUUUCGUUUGCAAAAACAAAAGAAAAAGAAAGAAAACAUACUUACAAUAAUUCAGCCUUUAAUCCUAAAGUCCUACUCAAAGAUCCAAACUUGAAUGCAAGCUUUCUGAAAUCUUCCAAACAAUACAGAUAAAAAGGUAACACCCUAGUCAGAAAUGAACCAAGGUGCGAGCUUUCUUAGAAACUCAGAUGAAAAAAUCAACAAAAUAGAAUGAAAAAAUGACUUACACUUUUAAGGCAUGCUCGAAUCGUGAUCUAAAAUUGGUGGUGGGUCGAUUGUUGGUCACCAACUCUAAAUGAAGAAUUCAUCAGAACCUAGAAAUUUAACAAAGAAUUUUCCAAAAUCAACAUUUACUAAAAACCAGUUACUUGGUUAUCAUGCAUGAUGGCUUGCCAAAGACUAAAUUAAGGAAUGCACAACUUUACCUUUAUGAUAUUUUCAAUGACAGCUAAAAGGUCAGAUUCAAAUGAAAAUAAAAGUUAGGACUUCACAAAACCAAUUAAAAAUCUAAUUCCAAAGUUACAAACACCAACCAAAUGAUUCCAGAUAAAGUUUUAAACUCAAAGUCAGACCCAAAUGAAAUUAAAAGUUAGGACUUCACAAAACCAAUUGAAAAUCUGAUUCCAAAGUUCCAAACACCCACCAAAUGAUUCUGGAUAAAGUUUAAACUCAAAAACCCAACAGAAACAAAAACCCAAAGUUCCAAACACCCACCAAUUGGUGUGACUUAAUUGUAUCUAAUUGAAGAAACUAAAACAAAAAUAAAGCAAAGUAUAUACCUCAAAAUAUCAACCAACUAAGUUCUUCCUCCGACAACCCAAAACUCUGAAAAUUCCACACAAAAAGGGUAAAUCCGUAAGCAAUUCAUAGCUUUCAAAAUUAACAAAAACUUGGGCAACAAUAAAGACACGUUGAGAACCAUCACUCUUUCUCCUUGUGUAUUUGAAAAUAUAUUUUAUAAGCAGUUUAUGUAGUCAUUCUGAUCAUGUUGCAGUUAAAUUCCUUUUCCACAGAGUUCAAAAUUAUAUGGCAGUUUAUGGCAUCUGUUGAACAACAUGGUUGAAAGAUUUAAAAUUGAUACAUUCAAUUUUUAUGUGUAAAACUAUAACAUAUACCUAAAGCUAUUUGGUCUAUAUAUCCAUAUCAAUCAUGUUGUAAUUAAAUGUUUAUCGAUGUAAAUAGAUGAUUUCAGUCAUGUGAUAACAUGUUUCUUGUUAGUAUACGCUGAAGUUUGGUCUAAGUUGGAUAAAAAUCGACCAAAAUCUUAGUAAGAGACUCUUUUAACUUUUAACCAAAAAAUGAGCACCACAAUACUACACUCAUAAGUUUUAUCAUGCACAAAAUAUACAACACUGAUAGCCACUUUUAGAGCAAGAACAAUACUUUACCAGACGAAAACAACAAAACACUCAAAACCCAGAAACAGAAACACACUUAGGACUCAAACUCCUCAAAAACAUAAGAAAGAGAGUGCAUGAGGAGAGAGAAUAAAAAAAAAUAUUAUUUUUCACAAACUCAAAAUUGCUUAUAAAAUUACAAAUCAAAACAAAUGAAUGCAAAUCCAAAAUUGCCCUAAAUUAAAUCUGUUUAGUUAAAUGUUUGUUGCCCUUCAAAUGUCAUUACACCUGACAAUUGCUUUGAAGUUGAUAUUUUGGUCAAUCCAGGGGAAAAGGAGUUAUUUCUUUUGGAGCAGUUGUCAUGGAGAAUCCCAUCUCCAUGUUGAAUGAUCUAAAAAAUUACUUACAUCUUCUGGUGGCCACAAUAAUUUAGGAGGCCCUUCUCUCCAGAUUUUCUCAAUAACUUUGCUUUUCGUAGCUGGUAAGAUUGCAACUCCAAGAAUUGCUCUGAAGAGAUAUAUACAAACAAAAUCAACCUAAAACUAAGCUAUUGGAACAAAUUUGGAAAACACAAACACCACUACAACUCAGAGUUAAAGUCAAUAGAAACCAAAUGGGAGAAGUUGAAAAAAUAUAUGGUCAUGAAUCGAGAACUUCAUCAAACUAACAGCAAUAAAAUCUCAUAUAAUCUGUCUAAAACCAAAAGAGAGAGAGAGGUAAUUUCAAGACCUUGUAACGCUAAGGCCUCGUACAGUUGUAGUAAUAAUAUAUGGUUGAUGCACCUGUUGCUCAAUCAAAUCCUUUGUCUGGCUAAAAAAAUAAAAAUCUAUAAAUACAUUCACGUCCAAUUUAUGAGAAAUCAUGGGAAAGCAAAUGCACUGAUAACGGAAUCAUGAAUAUGAAGAACUUGCCAAAAAGAAAAAGAAAACUUCUUAUAGUGUGCCAAGAACAUCCUCCUACUCCUAGCAAAUUUUUUAUGGCAUUAUCCACUUCUCAAUUCAUAAUUCAACCAGUAACUCAAAGUCUAUAGUGUAUGAAAAAGUGAUAUCUUAGUUGAUCACGAUGAUAAUUAAGCAGAUUAAAUGACGACCCAUAAAGCAUACAAAUUCAGAAAAGAAAAGGUUCAAAACUGCCAUAAGAAAACACAGAAUAUAUAAACGGGAAAUCAAAAGAAGAGAAGCGAAAAGGAAGAAAAAACCAAACAAAAUUAUUAGGUUUGUGAUAUACCUUUAUCCGAAACGCCACAAUCAUCAAAGUCAAACAUAAACAAUCCAAAAAUUUGUGGAAAAUAACAAUAAAUGCUUAACUAAAAACGAAAGAAAACGUAGAAUAAGUUUACAUGUUCUCCCCCUAAUUAAACUGGAAUACAAUUCACCACUAAUAUUCUCGUCAUCCUCUUCAGCCUGAAAAAUUUAGUAGAAAUAUUCAAUGAAGACGCUUAAUGGAGACAGUAAUAUUAGCAAUGGAGGAAUUGAAUUGAUAACUAAAACUGCAAGACCAAAUGACUACAAUAGGUUCACAACAGAAACUCGUCUGUUAGAUGUCUCAUCUUUAGGCAGUGCCUUGUUCUUUUUUUUUCUUUUUUGUCCUUUUGAAUUUCGGCAACAACAACUUUAAUAUCCUUACCUGCAUUUACCAUGAUUGGUCACUCUCAAAACCUUACCUAAGAGACCCAAAAACCAAAAUAACUGCCAAAAGAGCUGAACAUACAUAUCUAGAAAAACUUAUUCAACUACAUGCUAAAAUGGAAGUGUAAAAUUGCCAGGAAAGAUAAGAAACUAUUCAAAUACGAGUUCUGGGCGUUACUGCCACAAAAGGCACGAGCCGAGCGGCUAUCAACAAGAACACACUUCACAUUUGGGUCAGAUUCCCAUUCAUCCAGAUAGCUCUUGUAUUUCACAUCCAAAUCUGCAUUUUCCAACAAUUCCCACUUAAACAGAAACACAAAAUUCUUCCAAAAAGAGCUAACUUCUUCGAAAUUUGAAUCUAACGUUUCGUCUUAUAACAAAUGCAAUAACAUAGACUUGUAAUCAAUACGAUGCCAUAAAGUUCAAGCUCAAAAAUUCAAAUCAUCUCCAAAUCAAAAGCAAUUACAGAUAUACACAUGUAUACAUAUGCGUUUGUGUGUUUAUCUACAUACCUAGGUUUAUGGCGUUGAGAGCUCGGGGGGCGACCGAGGGUGAUGACGGCGACGCCAAAGGUGCGGAGAAGGCGAGGGGAUUUGCUCAGAAUUUGGGUCGCUCGUCCCUCUUAUGAGAGUGACUCAAAAAUCGAAAAAGUUGAAAUUUAUUGAUUGUGAUCUGACUCAAACAUGUGAUGAUGACGAUGCAUCACCACCUUGGUUGUGCCUCUGGAUCAAAAACCCACCAUCACCAUCAAAAUCGUGCUCAUUUUCCUUCAUAGGUUUGUCCCAUACUAGAUUAACCCCUGUUCCCUUAAUUGUCACAUUAUCUAAUGUAACGUAUGGCUCUGGCAUUUCAAAAGUUAUAUCAACUGUAUCCCCGCUUUGCAAAUUGAGCUUAUCGUUCGAUAUUUGUCCCUGCCAAAGAAAACAUUCUUUAUAUACAACAUCGCGCAUGAGGUUUUUUCUUUUUUUGGCGUAACAAUCGCGCAUUUUUAUAACCCAAUCUUCCUUGCUUAUGCAGGUCCGCAACUCAGUACGCUUGGUAUUAUUUAUAUCAAUCCUGGCAAGAGGAUGACUAUCUUUACAUCUGAUAUAAGGGCCGAACUGAGAAGGACUUGAGCAAUAAAAGCAUAACAGAGUCAGCCCUUCAAAAUUACAACCAUCACUCGGGGGGAUAUCAAAAGUGAUUUUAUUACCAUCGUUGACAAACUCGAACCAAUCAGGAACAUAAUUCCCAUUGAGAAAAAUGCCACCAUAUCCGCAAGAAGUCCAUCCCUAUAUACACAGUGCAAGUGUCAUAUAUAUAUACAUGUACAUGUGCGUUGUGUGUGUGCAUGUGCCCAAUAGGAAGACAAUUAAAGAGAGAGAUACCUUUAGGACUUUCCUCAUAAAAUCAGCGGUGAGUUCGGCGCAAUACGUCAUAUCAAUCCAUGUCAUGGAGUUUAAUGACUUAUCCAAGUCUGGAACCUCAGUGAGUGCAUGUGAAUCACGUACAUUUAGCUCUCUUAUAUUCGACAUUUUCGAAAAAUUUGGCAUUGUUAUCAAACGAUAGCAACGAGACGCAUCCAGAAAUUUCAAAUUUGUUGGUAAACCAUAGAUUGUAUGAAGGUUAUGGCAGUAACCUAACCACAAAUUUUCAAGCUUUGAAAGACCACUGAGGCUGGGUAGGGUAUGAAAAUCAUUAGAUGAGAGAUCUAAAUUUCUUAAAAAGUCUAAGCUGAGUAACGAAUCGGGAAAUUGCAAAUGAGUGAGAUUCGUCAAUCCUAGAGAUAAAUGAGUGAGAUUCUUCAAUCUUACUGUGGAACGCGGUACUUGUCUUAUGGCUGUCUCAUAUGCUUUAAGUACUCUCAAUGAUAUCAUAUUCCCUAAAUCCUCGGACAGUUCACUGAAUUGCCCACAAAAAAUCAAGAACAAGAGUCUGAACGGAUUUGGACCUGUAGAAAUCCCCAGGAAGAGAAAUAAGAUUCUUGCAGCCUGUGAGGUUCACCAAAGAAAGUUUUUUAAGAUGACCAAUGGAGGGGUGAAUCUCGGACAAACUCUCACACCAUUCCAAUAUCAACUCUUCAAGACUUGGGAGAUUUGAUAAGUCUGGUGAUUUUUCUAAGUCAGAGCAACCACUGAAAUCAAGGAUUUUCAAGUUUUUAAGCGACUGUUGCACAAAAUCCAAGAAAAAUUAAAAUUAAUAUCCAAAAGGAAUAUCUCAUAAAAUAAAUAAAUAAAGAGAGAAGGAAAUCCAAAAACAAAUAGAAACUUAACAUCAUCAUGUGUAAUCGAUUGUACCUUCGAGCCCUCCCAAACUUGUACCAGUUUGCUAUACUUUAUCUCUAAAAUAACUAGUCUUGGUUGAUCAAAGAAGUCAUCUGGUAUGGACUUUAAAGGGCAUUCAUUCCAACACAACCAUAUUAACUCUUUGGGGAGAUGUUUGUAUUCUCCAUUGAGUUGCACGUUGUAGAGCUGGAGCAGUCUCAGUUUCUUCAUAUUGGCAAAUGCUUCUGUACUGAUACUUGGAGACAGAAGAUCAGGGAAACCUACAACAAGUCCUUCAACUUCUUUAGUUCCCUGUUAACAACACAUUAUACUGGGUAAGAAAAGGAUUAUGUGCAUCUAUUUUACGUGAUUUUGCUAAUUGAGCUUCUUAAUGCGAAUACAUAUAUUUACACAUAAAGGUCGUACCCAGUGCACAAGGCUCCCGCUUUACGCAGGGUCUGGGAGAGGUGAAUGUCGGCUAGCCUUACCCCCAUUUAUGGAGAGGCUGCUCCCAAGUCUCGAACCCGAGACCUACCGCUCAUGGGCGAAGGCACUUGCCAUCGCACCAAGUGCGACCUCUGAAUACAUAUAUUUACACAUAAAUGUUUUUAAUGUAUGACAGCUAUACGUGGGUUACAUAUUUGCUUUUCUUGUACGAUGCAUUAAUACAAAAUUUUAUAGGGAAUGUACUUACAGAUUUAUCUCUCAAUACAUCAGUGACCUCCUGCUGGUUCCACAACCUACUCCAUUCUCCAGGGUGACGAGGGGAUUUUUCAGAAAUGAUUAAUUUGGCCAUUUCUCGAAGCAAAUCAUGUAUAUUCAACUUGUUGUCUUCAACAGUUAUAAGGCAUCAUUCACGAAGGACACUCAUUCCUAUUGUCGCAAAAAAGUCACAUCCAUCUAAUAUUUUUGUGACAUAGUCAUUAUCCCAUCCAAUGAAGAAACAAGAUAUGUCAAGGAAUAUAGCCUUCUGUUUAUCAUCUAGCCCUUCAAAGCUUAUUCUUAGUCGUUGUAUUAUUUCUCCUUCAGGAGUUGUUUUCAAUUUUACCAAUUGAUUUUCCCACUCUGCUAUGGUUCUUCCAAUUAAAAAAGUGCCUAAAACUUCAAGUGCUAGUGGCAAACCUCCACAGUAAGAAACGAUCUUCCUUGAGAGUUCAAGAUAUCCUUCAUUAGGCCAACAAUUUCUAAAGGCAUGCCAACUAAAGAGCUCCAGAGCUUCUUCUUCAUUCAUUUUAUGAAGCGGAUAUAUCUUGUCCACUCCAACUUGGCGUAGUAAAUGUUCAUCUCGUGUCGUUAUGAUAAUUCUACUUCCUAAGCCAAACCAAUCACAAUUUCCAGCUAUUGCAUUUAGUUGUUUCAUUUUGUCUACAUUGUCAAUAAUGACAAGUACGCUUCUACGUUGGAGAUGAUAUUUUAUCAGGCCGAUACCUUCAUCAACACUGGUUAUCUCAGGCUUGGUCUGUUUCAAGAUGUCAGAAACAAGUUUUUUUUGCGAAACAACCAGAUCUUUUUCACUAACGUUGUCAAGGAAACUUUUGAAUUGGAACUCAUGAUGAAUUUUGUUAUAAAUGGCUUUGGCAGCUGUUGUUUUACCCAAUCCACCCAUCCCCCCAAAUUCCAACCAUGCGAACAUCAUCUGAUCCACCACUUGAAAGAUAACUGAUAAUAUCUUGAACGCGAGAAUUGAUUCCAACCAGGUGAUUGGCCACAUGUAAUUUGUUUGCUCUCCGAAGCCAUUCCGGAAUAAUCUUGUCAACAAUUUCUCUAAUACGCUGUGCUUCGCAACUGAAAAUUGAAUUGGCAAGCUUAGUAAGCUCAGUAGGAGCUAUUAGUACACAAACAAUUUUCUUUCCUUCGUGUGUGUGUGUGUGUGUGUGUGUGUGUGUGUGUGUAUACACACUAACUAGCUACUAGCUAGUAUGUGAGUUUGUGAUCAACUUCAAUAAAAGAAACAAAUUCAUUCACUGAUAUAUUAAAGUUUGGUGUAUCAAUUAAACUCAUUAUGGUUUAGAUUUUAGAAGAAAUUGGAGAAAUGGUCCAUGAACUAUGAUCGAAUUGUAGCUUUGGUUCUUAAACUAAAAAUUCAUUAAAUCUCGUCCCUGAACUUAACAAAAUAUGGAACAUUGGUCCCUCCAUGUUAACACCGUAAGAUUUUCUGUUAAUUUGAUAACGUCGUCUUUGUGGGCUCCAUAUUUUUGUUUAUUAGAUGCCACGUUGCUUGAAAAUUCAAAUAAAAGAAAAUAAAUACAAGCAUUGAGAAACAAAGAGAAAAAAAAAUACUUUAAAUUAUAAAAGUUAACUCUCUCCCAUCCUCCCUUCCGCCUCACCUUCUCCAAACCCCAGCCACACCAUUGUAGCACUUUCCCAACAGCCAAAACAAAAGAAAAGUUCCUCAUCCAAAUUUGGAACACACCUCACCUUGCAAACGACUUCACAAUGACAUUCAUCUACGCUGUCUCGAAAGGUAAGAUUCAAGAAAUUUGUGGGAUGCGGGUUCGGGGUUCGGGUGAAGGCUGUGGUCCGUGGGCUAAAGGUUGGGGUCGGCUGGGGAGUGGGGAUUAGGGAUUGGGGGUUGGAAGUGGGAGGUUGACGGGGUGGGAAUCAACGAUUGAAGGUGAAGGGGUGGGCUGCGAGCCUGCGAGUGUUGGUGGGAUGAGGUAGGCCUGCAAUUAUAUAUAUAUAUGUAUGUAUGUAUGUAUGUAUGUAUGUAUGUAUAUAUAUAUGUAUGUAUGUAUAUAUGUAUAUAUAUGUAUGUAUAUAUAAUAUAGGUGAAACUAACAUGUAAAGUUGUAAACACUUUUAACUAAAACUGAAAGGAAUUGGUUACGAAGGACUAACGCUCCAUAUUUUAUCAAGUUCAAGGACAAAAUAUAAUGAAAUUUUAGUUUAGGAACCAAAGCUACAAUUUUCCUCUAGAUUUGAUAUGAGAUUUAAGGCGUAUUAAUUAAGCAUGUUAAUUAGAGUAAUGCAACUUAGAUAUUGAAAAGCACGUGAAUGAUUACCUAUUAUCAGUGAUUUGAAGAUGGUAGCCAGACAAAUUUGCAGCUUCUCUAAGAGCAUUUCUCCACUGCUUUACCCUUUCUUGUUUUUCUUCACGUUUCUUGUCAUCUUUUUCUUUACGAAUGUUCUUUUUGUGUUUCUUAAAUGCUUGGGCUAAAACUCCAUUCUGGUUCCUGACAUGUGAAGGAUCAACGUGAUAGAAUAUUGGCAAAACAUGGCGCUCCAGUUUGUCUCUGCACUCGAUGAUCUUCAUCAGCUCAUUAAGACACCAACUCGAACUCGCAUACCUCUUUGAGAAGACAAUGAUAGAGAUCUUCGAUUCUUCGAUUGCCUGGAACAGUUCUUUUUGUAUUUCUUCCCCUCUUUUUAGAUCGUCCUCAUCAAUAUAAGCCUGGUAUCCCCUGUCCGUUAAUGCCCUGUGGAGGUGGCCCGUGAAACCAUUGCGUGUGUCUACACCGCUGAAGCUCAAGAACACGUCGUAAUUCCAAAGUUUUGACUUGGAGGACGAUGAAGAGGAGGCUUCGUGGGUCGUCAUGGCGGUAUCCACCAUUAUGGCGCUGCAGUGGUUCAGAUCACGACUGAAAAAUGGCAGUAGUUGUGCUCGUGCUGUCGAACGGAUGAUCCUGAAAUACCUAAACCCAAGUCAAGCUCCUUCAGUCAACAAGAACAAAGUUUUAAUAUAAUAAUGUUGGUGUAUGGACUUGAGAAACGACAUAAUGUUGGCCGGAAAGUGCAGAGAAAGAGAGAGGAAAAGACGAAUGAAAGGAGAAAAGACUAUCCAAAUGAUUCUUGGCUGUGAUUACAGCUAUUCAUAGGAGAAACAAUGGACAUAUUUUCAUAGGAGAAACAACCUGCCCACUUCAUUUAUAAUAUAUUUCAACAGAGAUAUUUUAAUAGGAGAAACAACUUUCGUUUGUACUAGAAAUUUUUACCCGCGUGUUGCUACGUGAUUUGAAAUUGUAAGAAAGAUUAUCUUUGAAAUAUAUAAUAGAUUGUGUGAUUGAAGAUUAAUACUAUUUACAUUGAAAACGUUGGAAAAAGUUUUACAUACAAAAGAUUUUACGAUACAAUCCACAUCAAAAGAUGGUAAAUUUUUUUCUAUCUACAUGCAUUAAGUUAUGGAAUGAUAUAUAGAUAUAUAUAUAUAACUGAGUUCCAGAAUACGUAAACUUCAUAACUUGGAAAUUUUUUGACAAAUUAAUCAGAUUCAACUGUGGGAUAGCAAGGUCGCCUAUAAAGUUGUGAAGUCGUGGAAGCAUAAAGGACAAAUAACAAAUGAGUUUUGAGAAAUUAUUCCACAAAUGUCAUUUUGCAAAAUGUAUUAAAGACGAUUGGGUACAAGAUUAGUAAUCAUGAGUAGUGUAACAACAUCAACAAAAUAACUAUAAUCCAUAGUUGUUGAACAUAAUUCAAAUUUCGUUUGCAAAAACAAAAGAAAAAGAAAACAGACUUACAAUAAUUCAGCCUUCAAUCCUGAAGUCCUACUCAAAGAGCCAAACUUGAAUGCAAGCUUUCUGAAAUCUUCCAAACAAUACAGAUAAAAAGGUAACAUCCUAGUCAGAAACGAACCGAGGUGCAAGCUUUCUUAGAAACCCAGAUGACAAAAUCAACAAAAGAGAAUGGAAAAAUGACUUACACUUUUAAGGCAUGCUCAAAUCUUGAUCUAAAAUUUGUGGUGGGUCGAUUGUUGGCCACCAACUCUAAAUGAAGAAUUCAUCAGAAACUAGAAAUUUAAACAAAGAAUUUUCCAAAAUCAACAUUUACUAAAAACCAGUUACUUGGUUAUCAUGCAUGAUGGCUUGCCAAAGACUGAAUUAAGGAAUGCACAACUUUACUUUUUAUGAUUAUUUUCAAUGAUAGCUAAAAGGUCAGAUCCAAAUGAAAAUAAAACUUAGGACUUCACAAAACCAAUUAAAAAUCUAAUUCCAAAGUUACAAACACCCACCAAAUGAUUCCAGAUAAAGUUUUAAACUCAACGUCAGACCCAAAUGAAAUUAAAAGUUAGGACUUCACAAAACCAAUUGAAAAUCUGAUUCCAAAGUUCCAAACACCCACCAAAUGAUUCCGGAUAAAGUUUAAACUCAAAAACCCAACAGAAACAAAAGCAUUGGUGUGAAUUAACUGUAUCUAAUUGAAGAAACUAAAACAAAAGUAAAGCAAAGUACAUACCUCAAAAUGUCAAGCAACUAAGUUCUUCCUCCGACGACCCAAAAUUCUGAAAAUUCCACACAAAAAAAGAGUAAGCCCAUUAGCAAUUCAUAGCUUUCAAAAUUAGCAAAAACUUGGGCAACAAUAAAGACGCGUUGAGAACCAUCACUCUUUCUCCUUAUAUAUUUGAAAAGAUAUUUUAUAAGCAGUUUAUGUAGUCAUUCAGAUCAUGUUGCAUAUAAAUUCCUUUUCUACAGAGUUCAUAAAAGUAUGGCAGUUUAUGGUAUCUGUUGAAUGACAUGGUUGAAAGAUUUCAAAUUGAUAUAUUCAAUUUAUGUGUAAAACUAUAACAUAUAGCUAAAGCUAUUGGGUCUAUAUAUCCAUAUCAAUCAUGUCGUAAUUGAAUGUUUAUCAAUGUAAAUAGAUGAUUUCAGUCAUGUGAUAACAUGUUUCUUGAUAGUAUACGCUGAAGAUUGGUCUAAGUGGGAUAUGAAUCGACCAAAAUCUUAAGAAGAGACUCUUUUAACUUUUAACCAAAAAUGAACACCACAGUACUACACUAAGUUUUAUCAUGCAUAAAAUACACAACACUGAUUGCCACUUUUAGAAAACAACAAAACACUCAAAACCCAGAAACAGAAACACACUUUAGGACUCAAACUCCCCAAAAACAUAUGAGAGAGAUAGAGAGAUAGAGAGAGAGAGAGAGAGAGAGAGAGAGAGAGAGAAUAAAAACAAUAUUAUUUUUCACACAAACUCAAAAUUGCUUAUAAAAUUACAAAUCAAAACAAAUGAAAGCAAAUCCAAAAUUGCCCUAAAUUAAAUCUGAUUAGUUAAAUGUUUGUUGCCCUACAAAUGUCAUUACACCCGACAAAACUUGCUUUGAAGUUGAUAUUUUGGUCAAUCCGGGGGAAAAUGAGCUAUUGCUUUUGGAGCAGUUGUCAUGGAGAUUACCAUCUCCCUGUUGAAUGAUCUAAAAAAGGACUUACAGCUUCUGGUGGCCAUAAUAAUUUAGGAGGUCCUUCGCUCCAGAUUUUCUCAAUAACUUUCCUUUUCGUGGCUGGUAGGAUUGCAACUCCAAGAAUUGCUCUGAAGAGAUAUAUGCAAACAAAAUCAAACUAAAACUAAGCUGUUGGAAGAAAUUUAGAAAACACAAACACCACAACUCAGAGUUAAAGUCAACAGAAACCAAAUGGUAGAAGUUGAAAAAAAUAUAUGGUGAUGAAUCGAGAACUUCAUUAAACUAACAGCAAUAAAAUCUCAUAUAAUCUGUCAAAAACCAAAAAAGAGAGAGGUAAUUUCAAAACCUUGUAACGCUGAGGCGUCGUACAGUUGUAGUAAUAAUAUAUGGUUGAUGCACCUGUUGCUCAAUCAAAUCCUCUGUCUGGCUAAAAAAAUAAAAAUCUAUAAAUACAUUCACGUCCAAUUUAUGAGAAAUCAUGGGAAAGUAAAUGCACUGAUAACGGAAUUAUGAAUAUGAACUUGCCAAAAAGAAAAAGAAAACUUCUUAUAGUGUGCCAAGAACAUCCUCCUACUCCUAGCAAUUUUUAAUGGCAUUGUCCACUUCUCAAUUCAUAAUUCAACCAAUAACUCAAAGUCUAUAGUGUUUGAAAAAGUGAUAUCUUAGUUGAUCACGAUGAUAAUUAAGCAGAUUAAAUGAUGACCCAUAAAGCAUACAAAUUCAGAAAAGAAAAGGUUCAAAACUGUCAUGAGAAAAUACAGAAUAUAUAAACAGGAAAUCAAAAAAAGAGAAGUGAAAAAGGAAGAAACAACCAAACAAAAUUAUUAGGUUUGGGAUAUACCUUUAUCUGAAACGCCACAAUCAUCAAAGUCAAACUUAAACAACAACAACAACAACAACAACAACAAAGCCUUUUCCCACUAAGUGGGAAAGUCAAACUUAAACAAUCCAAAAAUUUGUGGAAAAUACCAAUAAAUGCUCAACUAAAAACGAAAGAAACGUAGAAUAAGUUUACCUGUUCUGCCCCUAAUUAAACUGGAAUACAAUUCACCACUAAUAUUCCUUGGUGUAUGCUUUUCGCAGACGAUAUAGUGUUGAUAGAUGAAACUCAGGAAGGGGUAAAUGCAAAGCUUAACCUUUGGAGAGAAGUGUUGGAAUCUAAAGGUCUUCGCCUAAGCCGAUCAAAGACAGAAUAUAUGGAGUGCAAGUUCAGUGCAAAUGGAGGCCAAAACGAGUUAGGGGUGAGGAUCGGAGAUCAAGAAAUACUAAAGAGCGACCGUUUUCGUUACCUAGGAUCUAUCUUGCAAAAGAACGGAGAAUUAGAUGGAGAUCUCAACCAUAGAAUACAAGCUGGAUGGAUGAAGUGGAAGAGUGCAUCCGGCGUGUUAUGUGACCGCCGUAUGCCACUGAAGCUCAAGGGAAAAUUUUAUAAGGACGGCAAUAAGGCCGGCGAUGCUGUAUGGCACAGAAUGUUGGGCGGUGAAACAUCAAACACGUACACAAAAUGGGUGUAGCGGAGAUGAGGAUGCUUCGUUGGAUGUGUGGGCACACGAGAAAGGAUAAGAUUAGGAAUGAGGAUAUCCGGGGUAAAGUAGGAGUAGCCGAAAUUGAAGGAAAGAUGAGAGAAAAUCGGUUACGGUGGUUUGGACAUGUGCAAAGAAAGGCCUACUGACGCUCCGAUUAGAAGAUGCGACUAUGGGACAGAGGUUCAGGGCCGAAGGGGUAGAGGAAGACCUAGGAAAACUUUGGAAGAGACUCUAAGAAAAGACUUAGAGUACUUGGAUCUAACGAAGGACAUGACACAGGAUCGAGCACAAUGGCGUUCUAAGAUUCAUAUAGCCGAUCCCACUCAGUGACUUGGAUUUUCCAAGUCUCCAACCGAGAAGUUUUCCUCACUCGGAAAAUUAAGGGAACACUACCCCAACCUACAUGCUCCACUCAGAAAGCUUCAACAUACAAGCUUCAACAAAAGAAAAUUCAAAGAACUUAGCGAAGAAGGCUUUGGUGUAUUAACACAAUACGUUGAAAUGAAGGAAAGCUUAUUUAUUGAUAUCCCCGAUAAGCUACAAAUAUGUACAUAUACAUGAGUCAAAAUAAACACACAAGAGGGAGCCUUCACAAAGGUUGCUUAGGAGAAGUCUCAGCAGUCGGUAGAGCCCCAGAAAGAGAAGGCACCGGAGGGGGAUCAUUUGGAGCCUCAGUACUGGACAGAACCCUAGAAGGAGGAGGCAUCAGAGGUUGAUCAUUUGGAGCUUCAUUACGCGGUACAGCCCCAGAAGACGAAGGCAAUAAAUGCCUUUGGAACAAACCCACAAAUCUCUGAUGAUCAAGUAAAACCUGACCAUCAGUUUCCUUCAUCUGGUCAAGCUUCCUCUUCAUGUUUGUAGCAUAGUCAUGUGCGAGCCGGUGCAACUGUUUAUUCUCAUGCUUGAGCCCUCUAAUCUCCUGUUUGAGACUCAUCACUUCAGCCGCCAAUGAUUCAACUUGGCGGGUUCGAGCAAAUAGGCGUUGGGCCAUAUUAGACACAGAACCUGCACACUGAACACUGAGAGCCAGCGAAUCCUUAACAGCUAACUCAUCAGACCGUUUGGAAAGUAGUCUGUUAUCUUUGGGAGUGAGAAGGUUCCUGGCCACCACCGCAGCGGUCAUAUCAUUCUUCAUCACGGAAUCCCCAACGGUAAGAGGACCAGUAGGGGAGACGAAGGAUGGGCGCCAUAUGUUGUCUGGAGAAGGCGGGGCUGCCUCUUCAACAAGGUUCAAGUCAAAACGACGGUCGGAGGGGCCAGACAUUUUCAAAGGUGUUGAAGAGAGAAGAGGUCGGACAAAUCAAGAUCUUAGAAGUGCAAGAAUGAAGCUUCUACUGGUGGAGAUUCAAGUGUGCUUUGGAACUUAAUGCCAGCCCCUAUAAAAAUCUGCACUCGACGGAGCUUCAGAAAAUCGAAGAGGCGCCUGCUCAGAAAUCGAAGAGGCGUUUGCUUUCUCAAAAGCUGGGCUGCUUAGAGAUCACGAGGGUUGAUCUCAGAAAUCGAAGAGGCGUUUGCUUUCUCAAAAGUUGGGCUGCUCAAAGACCACGAAGGCCGAUCUCAGAAAAUCGAAGAGGCGCUCGCUUUCUCAAAAGCUGGGCUCCCCAGAGACCACGAGGGCCGAUCUCAGAAAUCGAAGAGGCACCUACUUUUCCAGCCUUGUCAGCACCUGUCACACGCACACUCAGCUUUGCGGAAAUUAUGGGCAUUCUGUCGAAGACUUCUGGGGAAGUAGAAAACACAUGAAUCUUACUGUUCAAUCACCCACUUCCCACACGCAACAAUAGCUCAUGGGUACCACAGAUAACUUUGCCAAAGUUCUCUGCCAAAGUUGAGCACGUGAAGCUUGCAGCUCCCACUACAUCGCUCUGACCAAGAAGGGUAAAAGAAUAGCAAAGAAACAGCACUAACAAAGUUUAGACCCAUAAAUUUUGAAGGUCUAGCUACCAUAUUAUUACCCACAAGGGUAAAGGAACAGUACCACUGCUGGAUAAUUGGAAAGUCCCUGUGUGUCAACCUCUGUGCUUCGUGGCAAGGUAGACUAGCAAACAUGCCCAACCUUUACUCACAUUCGAGAAAACACUCCCAAUAAGAUUGCUUGCUCCAAAAUCGAAGAGGCACCGUCCUCCGAAUCUCGAGAGCCAGACUCCCAACAUGACUACUUUCUUAAAAAUCGAAGAGAGGGUAAAGGAACAGUACCAUUGCUGGAUAAUUGGAAAGUCCCUGUGUGUCAACCUCUGUGCUUCGUGGCAAGGUAGACUAGCAAACAUGCCCAACCUUUACUCACAUUCGAGAAAACACUCCCAACAAGAUUGCUUGCUCCAAAAUCGAAGAGGCACCCGCCCUCCGAAUCUCGAGAGCCAGACUCCCAACAUGAUUACUUUCUCAAAAAUCGAAGAGACACUGCUCCCCGAAUCUUCGAGAGCCAGACCCCCAGCAUGAUUGCUUUCUCAAAAAUCGAUGAGGCAUCGUUCUCCGAAUCAAUCGAAGAGGCGCUCGCUUUCUCAAAAGCUGGGCUGCUCAGAGACCACGAGGGCCGAUCUCAGAAAUCGAAGAGGCACCUACUUUUCUAGCCUUGUCAGCACCUGUCACACGCACACUCAGCUUUGCAGAAAUUAUGGGCAUUCUGUCGAAGACUUCUGGUGAAGUAGAAAGCACAUGAAUCUUACUGUUCAAUCACCCACUUCCCACACGCAACAAUAGCUCAUGGGUACCACAGAUAACUUUGCCAAAGUUCUCUGCCAAAGUUGAGCACGUGAAGCUUGCAGCUCCCACUACAUCGCUCUGACCAAGAAAGGUAAAAGAAUAGCAAAGAAACAGCACUAACAAAGUUUAGACACAUAAAUUUUUGAAGGUCUAGCUACCAUAUUAUUACCCACAAGGGUAAAGGAACAGUACCACUGCUGGAUAAUUGGAAAGUCCCUGUGUGUCAACCUCUGUGCUUCGUGGCAAGGUAGACUAGCAAACAUGCCCAACCUUUACUCACAUUCGAGAAAACACUCCCAACAAGAUUGCUUGCUCCAAAAUCGAAGAGGCACCGUCCUCCGAAUCUCGAGAGCCAGACUCCCAACAUGACUACUUUCUCAAAAUCGAAGAGAGGGUAAAGGAACAGUACCAUUGCUGGAUAAUUGGAAAGUCCCUGUGUGUCAACCUUUGUGCUUCGUGGCAAGGUAGACUAGCAAACAUGCCCAACCUUUACUCACAUUCGAGACAACACUCCCAACAAGAUUGCUUGCUCCAAAAUCGAAGAGGCACCCGCCCUCCGAAUCUCGAGAGCCAGACUCCCAACAUGAUUACUUUCCUCAAAAAUCGAAGAGACACUGCUCUCCGAAUCUCGAGAGCCAGACCCCCAGCAUGAUUGCUUUCUCAAAAAUCGAAGAGGCAUCGUUCUCCGAAUCUCGAGAGCCAGAUACCACAGACCACUUUUUCAAAGUGCUCUGACAGAGUUAAAACAUGUGAAACUGGCAGCUCCCACUACCGUGCUAUGACCAAGCAGGGUAAAGGAAUAGCAUUACUACUUGUUGUUAGGGAGACUCCUAUAUAUGUCGACCUCCAUCCCCAACGGACAGGCAGACCUGCAAAAAUGCUCAACCCUUCAUCAUAUCUGAGAGGGCACUCCCAACGAAGCCUUUCGAAAUAUUCAGCUUUCUUUCCCCCCGAUAAUACCUCUGCAAACAAGCUAUACUACUAGAGCAAGAAUAUCUCAUAUCAUCAGGGUUAAAAGCAAGAGUAUCCCAUAUCAUGCUUUUUCCCUGUCUUUUCCUUUGGCCUUGUUUUUUACCUGCAAGACAAGGAGAAAGAGAGAGCAAUCAGUCAGCACUUGGAAUCAAGCUUCCAGCCAGGAACUGACUGCCUGGAACCCCUUACCUGAUUACUUACCUGGCAUUGCUCUCGAGUACUCAUCUUCAACAUCUUAUGUUUCCAGGGAAGAUUCCGCAUCUGCUUGAGGAACAGAUAGGGCAAGUGCGAAGGAUACAAGGAAGCAUGUGGAGACAAGCGUAACAGCACACGUGCCGAUACAUCCAUUACUCUGUCAAAAGCAAAAGUAUCCCAUAUCAGCAGGGUGGAACGUACUCUAGAUUUGAUGGACUUGUUUUGACCCUCAAAUUCUUCAGUCGGCCUUAUACUCUGGAGGAAACCAGAAAACCCUCCAGCUCAGUUCAAGAAUAAGCCUGUGGAAAGUUACUUCUUCAAAAGCAAAAGUAUCUCUCAUAUCAUCUCUUCUCAUUUUUUCUUCUCUUUAUCCUUCAUGCUGCUGCAAGAUGGGGAGAAGGUGAACAAUCAGUCGGAGCUCUGAUUGCUUACCUUGUCUGUCACCUCUUUCAGCAGACCCCCUAGCUCGGCGACUUGGGGGACUCCUACUACAUGGUUUGUAUCGCGCUUGACCAAGCCUGAAACUACAAGUAAGCUUCAAGUGAAAUUGAUACAUUACCUUGUGCAUCUCCACCAGUUAAAGAUACCACCCCUGGAUGGAGGAAGAGUACUUCCAGAGAAGAUGCCACAUCUACCUAUGAGACAGAUAAGGCAAGUCAAGACGACACCACACUCCGAUACUUAGAAGUUUCGUGAUUACGAGAUCAUUCUCCCACAAUAUUUCCUAAUGUCAUUUGUACUAAAUCAUUCACUUGUACUCACUAAAGGAGAGCUUGAACCUAUGUACUUGUGUAAACCCUUCACAAUUAAUGAGAACUCUUCUAUUCCGUGGACGUAGCCAAUCUGGGUGAACCACGUACAUCUUGUGUUUGCUUUCCUAUCUCUAUCCAUUUAUAUACUUAUCCACACUAAUGACCGGAGCAAUCUAGCGAAGAUCACAAAAAAGCGACCGUUUUCGCUACCUAGGAUCUAUCUUGCAAGAGAACGGAGAAUUAGAUGGAGAUCUCAACCAUAGAAUACGAGCUGGAUGGAUGAAGUGUAAGAAUGCAUCCGGCGUGUUGUGUGACCGUCGUAGGCCACUGAAGCUCAAGGGAAAAUUUUAUAGGACGGCAAUAAGGCCAGCGAUGUUGUAUGGCACAGAAGAAUGUUGGGUGGUGAAGCAUCAACACGUACACAAAAUGGGUGUAGCGGAGAUGAGGAUGCUUCGUGGGAUGUGUGGGCACACGAGAAAGGAUAAGAUUGGGAAUGAGGAUAUCCGAGGUAAAGUAGGAGUAGCCGAAAUUGUAGGAAAGAUGAGAGAAAAUCGGCUCCGGUGAUUUGGACAUGUGCAAAGAAGGCUGAAUGACGCUCCGGUUCGAAGAUGUGACUACGGGACAGAGGUUCAGGGUUGAAGGGGUAGAGGAAGACCUAGGAAAACUUUGGAAGAGACUAUAAGAAAAGACUUAGAGUACUUGGAUCUAACGGAGGACAUGACACAAAACCGAGCGCAAUGGCGUUCUAGGAUUCAUAUAGCCGACCCCACUUAGUGGGAAAAGGCUUUGUUGUUGUUGUUGUUGUAUUCAAUGAAGAUGCUUAAAGGAGACAGUAAUAUUAGCAAUGAAGGAAUUUAAUUGAUAACUAAAACUGCAAAACAAAAUGACUACAAUAGGUUCAAAACAGAAACUCGUCCGAUAGAUAUCUCAUCUUUAGGCAAUGCCUUGUUCCCUUUUUUUUUUUUUUUUUUUUUUUUUUUUUUUGUUGCAUGUCUUGUGAACUUCAUGUAAAUCAACAAAAUUGAUACCUUAACCAACAAUGGAGAGGUAAAAAGUUAAAAACAGAAGGAAUGUCUUCAGUUUUGUAAUGGAUUUUGCAAGUCAAAUUCUGUUCGAGAAUUUGCAACCCAGAAAGUCCCAGCAAUUAUUAACAAUCACAGAUAAGCACCGAAUGAAGGCCAAUCUAAUAAGCCAAAAUAUGUAGGGCACUAAAGAAAUUAUUGCCCAGUAACAAUGAUAGAUAAGCACAUGUGAAACUAAAGAAAAUUUUCAUUACUAUCAACUCCAAAAAAAAUUACCUAUGCAAUCCAAAAAAUGUUGAUACAGAGUUGGAGUAUCGAUGCCUGAAAUUGGUAUUUGAACCACCAACUACCUCCGUGAAUAUGCUUGUCACUUAAUGGUUUGGGUUGAAGUUGUGAAAGGAAAUGUAAUUUCUUAAAAGGAAGGAGAGAAUGCAGAGAAGAAUACAGAAUGGUUCACGUGGCCACCGCAAAACAGGUUAAUAAUCAAGCUUCACUAUGAAUGGAAAGAUUAAUAGAUGAUAAUUAAGAAGGCCUGAUACCCAAGCCGAAAUCAGAGAUAUCCUUUGUAAACAAAGAGAUUGAACAUUUCCUCUCAAAAAAUAACUUUUUUUUUUGUUUUGGGGGGGAGGUUGGGAAGGCUCAGAAAAAGACAUCCAAUAUAAUACUUAUUGCAUGCAAGGUAUGAAACAGCCUCCCCCCGAGUAAAAUCACAGAAAUAAAAGAAAUCGAAUCAAGAAAAAAGAUAAUUACACAAGAAUUACACCUUCACUAAGAAAAUAAAUUAUAAAAACGAAGACUCUGAGAAUAAUUGCCUGUGAUUUGCUGCCAAAAACAAAAAUAAUGUCGUAUACAUUAAGCCUGCCGAUUACUAAAAACAAAACAUUUUUCCAUGAGAAGAAGUAAGAACAUACCGAAACUUGUUUGCUAAUAGAUGAGAAAAAUUUAUAACUGAAACAUAUAGGAAAUUUAUUAGGAAAAGAUAAACAAAACACCUAAAUUAAGCAAUUAAAUGGAGUAUUACUUGAUAGAGCUGGAAAAUUACCCAGUUCCUCAGAGAGAGGAUCAAGAGUGAAUGAUGAGAGUGCAGAGAAACGAAUGAUUGAGAAAUUCAAGCUCUGAGCUCACAGUUGGGGCUUCCACUUUCCAACUGGGGAAGAAAUAACAGAGAAAACACAAGGCCAAUCCACCAAAAAUAUUAAUCAAAUGGGUUUCUUCUAAUUCAAAAUUUUGACCACCCAAAUUCCGAUGAAGCAAUAAUUGUUCAAAAUUCCAACAGAUUGAAGGAAAAAGUAAUAAAUUUUUUUAAAACAGUAAUAAUGAAGGAAAAAGAAAUUAAAGCUGCGAGCCAUUCUCUAAAUCUCAGGCACCAAUCCAAAUCACCAGUAAUUUGCACAUAAUGAUAAGAAUCUAGCAAUACUUCCAUUGUUUAAAACCCAAAUUCCAGAAAUCAUGAAAAAUGGAAACUUUAUAUGGAAAUUGAAGCUUUACCUGCAGAUCAGCAGCAGCAAACGAAAUUCAAGAAGUCACGAUUAUCGACGCGUGGGUAGCAUUCCACUGUGCCAAGGACGAAAAUGAACGGGGAAUGUAGAGCUGGCUGACGAAGACAGGAUUCGCGAAGCGCUCUGAUUUUUUUUUUCACGAGAAUGCGGAAUGAAGAGAAGCGAGUAGAGGAGGAAUCAUUUUAAGCGAUGAUCGACGCGUGGAAAUUGAGGGCAAAUCUGCCAUUUUGCUGUGAACGAAAGUGAAAAAAGGCACAAUCAAAGAGUAAUUUGAGGGCAUUCUAGCCACUUUAAUAAACAGUAGCUUUGUGUUUGAGAUUUAAUAUAGGUAUAUAUAGAGCCCUACAGAGCAACUCCACCCAUGGAGCCCUCCUCUCUGACAAUCUACUAUUGAAUUCACCUUUUUGAACAGUAACUGCCUUUAAUAAAUAGUAACUACCAUUAAUGAACAAUAAUUGUCAUUUGCAUCUCCACCCUUGGAGCCCUCCCCCCUGGCAAUAGGCAAUAAAAUAUUAAUUUUUUUUGUUUGUUUAAAUAAUACAAAAUAAAAUUAUUUGUAAUUUUGGAUAAGAUUUUUUAAAUCGUUCUCGUUGCGCCACGUGUCAUUUUAUAAAAAAAACAAUUAUUUAGCGAUGGAUUUCGAUAAGAUUUUUAUCCAAUGUCAUCGUGUCACAUGUCGUUAUCUUUUGAUAAUCUUUGACGAUAUCUUUCGAUCAGAUUUUAACUCGUUCAAAAUUGCGUCACGUGUCAUUAUUCGAAAAGAUAAUUAUUGGAGAUCGAUUUCGAUAAGAUUUUUAUCCAAUACGAUCUUGUCACGUUUCAUUAUCUUUCAUAAUAUUUGAGGAUAGAUUUCGAUCAGAUUUUUAACGAAUGACGGCAUGCCACGUGGCCUUAUCUACAAUCCAAUCCUUUCUGAAUCAUCCAUAUAAUCCACCAUCCAUCCUCACAAAUCUCACACCAAAUUUCUCAACAUUUCUAUCUCAUUAUUCAUAGUUUCUGCUUCUUCUUCACCAUCCAUCAUUACAAUGUCUUCUUCUUCAUCAAGGAUGAUGUGGGAAAUCGAUCAGCAAGAGGAAGAAUUGUUUAACCAAUCUGAAGGAAUGUUCAACCUUCAGAUAGCCGAAAAUGAGAUGGAUGAGGAUGAGGAGCGUAGAAGGAGAGACGACGAAACAAGAAUGGCCAGAGCCUCACAUUCCCGUUGAGUCAUCCAGACUGUUGCUCAGAUAUGCAUGCCCAACCGUUCAAGAAACCUUGGUAGAAGCAGGCAACGAUGGGGUGAAGAGCUAUUGGACGAUUACUUUGUCCAUAACAGUGCAUUUCCUGAUACGUACUUCAGACGUCGUUUUAGAAUGGAACGACAUUUGUUCAACAGAAUCAUGACUGAUGUUUACAACCAUGAUUCUUACUUUGUGCAAAAGAAUGAUGCUUGUGGUGUUAUGGGUUUCCUGCCUGAGCAAAAAAUCACUGUUGCGUUGCGGAUGCUUGCGUAUGGAGCAUCUGUAGACCAAGUGGAUGAGAUAACGAGGAUGGGGAAAUCAACCAUUCUUGAGGCCCUUAUGAGGUUUUGCGGAGCAGUCGAAUCUUUGUACACCGCAUAGUACCUCCGAAAACCUACUUGUAGGGACUUGCAAAGGCUUCUGAAGAAGGGCGAGAUGCGAGGUUUUCCUGGGAUGAUAGGAAGCAUCAAUUGUAUGCACUGGACGUGGAAAAAUUGUCCAAGUGCAUGGCAAGGCGCAUAUGGGGACAUAAAAGGAUCAAAAACUAUCAUUUUGGAGGCAGUGGCAUCUUUUGAUACAUGGAUAUGGCACGCCUUUUUCGGGGUUCCGGGGGCUCAAAAUGAUCUCAACGUCCUUGCCCAAUCCCCAGCGUUCAACGACAUCCUGCAAGGAAAGGCACCAAAAGUCACGUACAUCGUCAACGGACGUAGGUACGACGGGCCAUACUAUCUAGCUGACGGCAUUUACCCACGGUGGGAAACAUUUGUCAAAACAGUGCCACGUCCGCGAAGUGCAAAGGAAAAACACUUUGCAAGCUGUCAAAAGGGGUGCAGGAAGGAUGUGGAGCGUUGUUUUGGUAUCCUUCAAGCUCGUUGGGCGAUCGUCAGGGGUGCUGCCAGAAUGUUCGAUGUAGAGUCACUUUGAUCCAUCAUGAUGACAUGCGUCAUUCUUCACAAUAUGAUUGUGGAAGAUGAGUUCGAUUAUGAUGCGGUUGAUGAAUAUGAGCCAGAGCCAGACACGAUGAACAAUUCAAGAACACGGAUAUAUUGUGCGCAUGAUGCCACCAAAGAACCCGUGCAACAUGAGCCAUUAGAAAGGGAUGAACGUUACAAUGAAAUGGUCAUUCAACGAUAUACUGCACUUCAAAUGUCAUCUAUGCACAAUGAUCGGCAAAUUGACUUGAUAGAGCACCAGUGGACAUUAAAACAAGCUGAAGAUACUUAAGUUUAUUUAGUAUGUUUGUUUGUAUUUGGUAUGUUUAUGUAAUUUUAUUUGGUGUGUUUUUUGUAGUGAGUUUUUUAUUAUUUCGUAUGUUUAUGUAAUUUUAUUUGGUGUGUUUAUGUAAUUCCAAUUGGUAAGAAAAUAUGAAAUUGUGGUGUAAGGUAGAUGGAGAAGAAGUGGUAUUUAUAGAAAAGUAAAAACAAUUUUUUACAAAUUUUUUUUUUUAGAUUUUUUACAAUUUUUUCGGAUUUUUUCCAUUUUUUUUAAUUUUUUUUUCAAAUAAUUAAUCUCUGCCGUUGGAUUUAAAAAAAAUUGAAUUCCAACACUCCAGAUUGUGCCACGUGUCACAACGGUAAUUUUUCUUAAUUUUAAAACUAUUUUUUCUUUAUUUAUAAAGCAUAUUAAUAUCGACCGUUGAUCUGAAAUCGAACGGUUGAUAUUAAAUAAGAUUUGUUUUAUUUUUUUUACCGUUGAGAUCCAACAGUCCAAAUGAAAGAGCCGUUGAGAUCGAACGGACCGUGGGAAACCACGUGGCUUCCCAAUGGUAACUGAGACAACUGCAAAAGUGGGCUGCUUUUCUGAAAAGCUGUCAGGCGACGCGCCCCCACGCGCGAGUGGGGUGCACGCGCCUGACAAAAAAAAAAAAAAUGGGUGAAGAGCUCGGGCUCACGGCUGUCACAAAUUGACAGGCCUUCUGCUCGGGCCUUCUCCACGAGCUCGGGCUCUUCAAGACUGGAGCUGAUUGACUAGCCCUCGGGCCUUUCUUUUCCCCUGUCCCCCGGCCUACAUGCAUGGGUGGAGUUGCUCUAAGAGAAGGGAUUUCCAUUCUUGUUUUUUUAAAUGUGGACACCUUUUUUACUGUUAGAUUUGACUUUAACGAAAUUUUGUGGUUGAGAUUAAAUCACAAACCACAGAAUCUCAACCAUAGAAUUUCAUUAAAGCUAUAUUUAACGAUCAAUAGGGUGUUCCCAUUUUUUUUGAAAAAUAGGAAUCCCUUCCCUUAAGGCUUUCAGUAUAUUAUAUACACUAAAACUCAAUUGAUGAACACUGUUCAUUAACAGUGAUUUUACGUUUUAGCCCCUGUUUUGCUGUUUGUUUGCCCUUUUAUUUUUCGAUCUUAACAGUAAAAUGACAGUUUUGCCCGUUCUUUCCACGCGUCAGUCAUCGUUGAGCUCUUCACUUCAAGAGUCUUCUUUUAGGUUUAGCCUUUUCUUUGCACUGGUGAUUCUCUGAUUUCGUCUCUUCGUCUCGCCCUCUGUUUUUUCUCAAAUCCUCCAUUCCUCUCAAAUAUUCCGUUCUUUAUUUCACAAAAUAUUCAGGAGAAAGUUCCUGAUUUUCGUGUUUUAAGGGAUAUAAUGAUUUGGUGUUGUUUAUCUCAAACAGCGGGCUUGCAGGUAAAAUGUUAAGCUUUAUGUCCAAAGCAAUCUUUCUCUGCAUGCUGACUGUGUGUUGAUUUGAAGGGGUGGUUUAGUGAAUGGGUGCUUCUUAUUUUUGGCCUUUCUCUAUUAUCAUAUAUGUUUCUCUAUUCUCAGGUAUCAGAUCAUUCGAAACAAAAACAUUUUAACGUUAUUUUUGCAGGUUAAUGUUGGGUUUGAGUCCAACACGAUAUACACUUGAACAGAGUAGAGUAGAAGACAGUAUGCAAACAUGAUUUAGGACACAGUUUACCUAAUUGUAAACACUCUGUGAAAUAUUAUUAGUUAUGAACAUCCAAUUUGAAUCCCCCACAUGCUAAAUUAGGUACCAUUAAAUUAGUUUUAUGUCUUUUUUUUAUUUGAAAGCUGCUUCUUAUUUCUGUCUCUAUUAAGAUUCUGGGGUGUGCUUUGGAUUUGCUACAUAUGGUCAUAUUUUUUGUCAUUGGCUUUUUGUUCUGCUUAGUUUUUUUUAAUCGAGUGUUUUAUCUGGUAUUUCAUUUUGUUUUGUUUAUUUGUUUCCUUUUUAUGUUUAAAUGUUUUUUGUUCUUUCUAAAUUUGGGCUUCUGGGAAAUUCUUGCUCACUGUUUGGAUUCCGAGAAAAUUUAGGGGAUGUCCAGUAAUAUUCACAUCCUGAAAACUCAGUGAAAAUAGAUACCAAUUUAUGUGCAGCUGAAAAUUUUGUUAUCUGAUUCUGUUCUAAAUAACAUGAUUUAUUUGUUUUUUAAACUUUUAAUUAUUUCGUAUUUAUUUUGUGAUUGCAGAUGUUUAAAUGAUGGAGAGUUUCGCAAAGCUGUUACUCGGAGGAGACAUGUCUAGAUGAGGGAAAGGUGUCUCCACUGCCCUUGCUAUCUCAAAUGCCAUCACCAAUCUCUCUGGUUAGUCACAUUCCUCUUGGAAUAUGCAUAUUCUUAUGUGAUGUUGGCUGAUACCUUGGUGAGUCAACUUAAUAAAAAAUGUGAGAUGGACAAAUUGAAAAGUCUAUUUUCUUCUCAUAUGCAUCCUUUAACAUAUGUCAGUUUUAAUUAUUGAUGAGCAAUUGAAAAUUUAGUUUUUCUUCUCAUGGUACACUUACAUUGGUAGUUCAACAUAUGUUUGUUUAACAUAUCUUAUUAAAUGCAUUUGAGAAUCGAUUGAAGAAACUCAGUUCUUUUAGCAAUUAAGAACAAGGUAAACAUAGUUGUAAAUAUGUGUAAAUAAGAUAGGAAUUUUGAUGAAUUUAUGUUUUUUCCUCCGUUUUUCAGUGUUUUCAGGCAUUGAAGCUAAAUAUGGAGAGGGUUUUGAGACUUUUAGACCUAUUGGACCUCUCAAGGUUUGCGUGGUAAGGAGUUUAUGGAGUUAUACGCAUAGUAGGCAUUAUAUUUUAUGUUCUGUUGAAUUUAAUUUAAUGGUUAUAUUUUAUGCUCCUAUGAGUUAUUACUGUUAUGUUUACUCUGAGUAGGAUUUGUUGAACGACAAACUGCAAGGAGGUUUUCUUAAACGAAUAUGAUAUGCUAUGAAACCGAAUGAAGCUUACUGUCUUCUAUUCUCUUUUGUUAAUUUCGUGGUAAGUUUCUAUAACACUGAUUAGUUAUGUCUUCGAGGUUCUAAUGGCUAGAUAUGCUAAUGUAAUGAACUAUGGAAUAUUGUAAUAGUUUAUGGUCAAUGUGAUCCCAUAUCUGUUUGAUUGAAAUAUUGUUCUAUAACAGGUUUAAACUUUGUUUUUCCAAUACCUUAUCACAAAAUAAUUCCACCUUGGACAAAUUACAAGGUAUGCUGCAACAUGUGCUUUGAUUAAUUGCAUUCAAAUUGAUACUGCUUAAGAAUGCAUUUGAACAUGUUGAAUUUCACGCCCGCAGCAUCGCGCGGGCAAUAUUGCUAGUAUAAUAUAUAAUUGGGUGAUAAAGAGAGUAGGUGAAAGAACACAAUUUGCUCUUAAAAAUGUUGUUUUUAAGAACGAGUGAUUUUUCUUUUCUGACUCUUUCUGUCUAACCCAAAAGCAUACUGGUAAUAGGGUCCAGUAAGAAAAUUAUUUUUAGAAAUUAAACAUGAAAAAAUACAAAAUUUACAAUUUCGAAUUAUACAAAAAAGACAAAAAAAGCGCAAAAUAAAAAGAGCAGGACAGAAAAACAGAAACAAAAGAAAGGAGACACUAAGAAUACAAAUAGCGUGAUUUGAGCCCUCAAUUUUGGCAGGCAACAUGAUUGUUAACGCAUGAUUGUGAACCCAUCCAUUGAAGAAAGAAGCAUCAUAAUACACAAGAGUCAAGACUGGGCUUGGUUUAUAUAAUGAAUAAUGUUAGGGAGAUCAAAUUUUUUAAACUAAAUUUGUAAAUUAAAUGAUGUAGUUAUAGAUGAUUGGGUUAUUACUAAGUGUCGAUUAAUAUGUUUAUUUCUUAUUGGUGACAUAUCAUUUGGUUUAAAAAUUUGGUCUCCCUAGCAUUAUCCUUAUAUAAUUAAUCAAUAAUAUUCCAUAACAAGAGCUAGGUCCAUAUAUUACGAGGUUAUAAAAUAUGCUAGGUGCUAGUCGAGAGGCGGGCGGGGCCUAAGCAGAUUUAAGUAAAUUUAUUAUAUAUUGUAUAAAUAAAUGCCUUUUUAUACUUAAAAUGACACACAAUUGUAUCGAAAUAUAUAAAUUGCAAAAUAAAAUGACAUAUAGAUUAUAAAUUACUAGAACAUAAUGAACAAUCAUAUAAUGAGGGUUUAUCCAAAUAUUUAUUGGAAAACAAAAAACAAAAUGAGUGUUAUCGAUUUUCUGUCUAAAUGAAAGUUGCGGGCUAGGCAGGUUUAAGUGGGUUAGGCGGACGCCUAAGCAAGUCUAGAGCACUUUCUUAAUUUUUAAAUGAUUAGGGACUAAUUAGGGUGGUGGACAACUGCCUAGCGCUAGACAUGGGUUUUUAGAACAGUAAUUACUUGUUCUCAUAGAUCUCUGGGUUCAAGAAAAUUAUGAUCACCUAUUGUUCGAUCUUAAUACCGUCGGUAAGCGGUUAUUUAACCAUUUUUUAUAUUGAGUAAUUUUCCUGGAUCCUGAAAUCUAGAAGAACAAAACUCUUAUGUCACAUGGAUAAACAUAAUCAGGCAUAAGAAAAAGGUUGAAGAAUUCAUAAGUCAUAUAGGGGGCGUUUGUUUGCCCUCACUAAGUAUCACUGGACUAACUAUUAGUCCAGUCCCGUGUUUCUUCUGUAGAGGGAUUAUGUUUCAUGAGACUAAAGGGGAGUCACACGGACAAACUCCUUCACUAGGAGUUCUUAGCGAGAUCCCCCAAUGCCCAUGGGAUUGCUAAGACCUCGUAUACUCCAUCUUUGUAUGCUAUGUCUCAUCCUCUCUAUGCUCUCUAUUAUCUUGAGCACCAUCACACCACAACUCACCAACUCCAGUGAGAUCACACCACCAACCCACCACCACUUUCUCCCUCUCUCUUCACAUGAACCCAAAAUUUCGAACUGAGGAAGAUCCCGUUCUUACAGUAAUUCGUCCAGCUCUAGCUGUCUGCUUCGCUUCGCUGCACUUCAAACUCGACCUUGGACUCGUCUGAUUCGCUUUGAACUCGACCUCGUAUUUGUCGACUUUACGCAAUUGACGAGAUCUUGUGAACUUGAUGAUGGGUGAGCCACCCAGUGCACUUGAAGGAAUAUGGGAGGCCAAGAACGCCAAAGCCUACGACGGCAAUGAAGACGUUGGCUGGAUUGGGAUGACAGCGACGUGUUCCACAUCAAGGGCAGCGGCUUGGGAUUCUUGUUUUCAUUUGGUUUUGAUUUAAAUUAGGUUUUGAUUUCGAAUUGGGUUUGAUGUGAUCUGGUAUUGGCAUUUGAUUUGCUCUGUAAUUGUUUGAAUGUGUGGAAUAAAUUUUGGGGAAAGAGGAAGAAAAUUUAGAAAAAGAAAAAUAGACUAAAUAAUAAAAUAUUAAUAUAUAUUAGAUUAAAUAAUAUCAUAUUAGAAUUUAUUAUUAUCCUACUUCUUGGUCCGACACUGCACCAAACGCUUUACUAAGCUAAUCCAACUUAGUCUAGUCUAAGUCAAUCCAGCUUAGUUCCUGAAGUUAGUCUAGUCCAAGACAAUCCGGUGCAACAAACACAUUCAUAGAGUAAUUAUAGGGAUACUAAAUUUGUAAAUAAAAUUUUGUAAACUAAAUGACAUGGAAGUUGAUCGUUGAAUUAUUACUUAAACGUUAAUAAAUGUACUCAUUAUCACUAAAGACACGUUAUUUAAUUUGUAAAUUUUAUUUAUAAAUCUAAAGCAUUACCCAAACUCAUAAUACAAAUAGCUACUUUGAGAGAAGAAAAGAUGGAGAGUGAUAUGAUUGCAUUCUUUUUUAAAGCAACUUCUGAAGAUUCCAUAAUAAACUAUUAUUAUAUAUGAAGAUGUGCCGUGGUAAAAGAGAGGAAAAAAUGAAUGGAAAGUUUAUCCAAAAGAUUCUUGACCGUGAUUACAACUAUUUAACUUUUGUAAAUUUUCAUGGACCGAGAUCCAAGAAAAGAUGGAGAGUGAGAUUGGCAUUCUUUUUUGUAAAGGGAUUUUUUUUCCGAUCCCUUCCAUCUAAUUCACCUGAGUCAACCAUUUGAGUUCUUGAAAUUUAUUUAAACAACUAAAAUUAUUAUAACUUUUAAUGAAGCCCCUAUUUGUAGUCGUUAAAUCAAAUUUUAAAGAUUCGAAUUAGUGAAUUAGGUGGAUUAGGUGGAAGGGAUCCGAAGAAUAUCAAUUUCCUUCUUUUUCAACACAACUUUUGUUGAGUCCAUAAUAAACUAUUAUAUGAAGAAAGAAUACUAAAAAGACUCUCUCAAAAUCGAAACUUUUUGCGAACUUUUUAGCAUCUCAUGUUUUUGAGAUUAAUAACUAACAUUAUCUGAGAUUUAUUAAGUUUUCACAAAAUUCCCUUACGUAUGAGAUAUUACGCUAACAACACUUUAGUGUAAUGUCUCAAACGUAAUGGGACCUUGUAAAAUUUGAUUAACUUCGACAGUAUUAGUAUAUUUUUAUGUAAAUAUUAUAAAAUAUUAUGUUAAAUACAUUAAAUAACAGAUAGUCUUUAAGAGAGAUUUCUUACAUCUUUCUAAUGGAUACGGACGGUGGAAAAAGAUCAUUCCAUAAUUAAAUAUUGUGCUGUUGAUUACGCGUCUCUCCAUUUGACUAAGUUCCUUUUCACAUUCUUCCCUAAAUAAAAUGGUUCACUUUUCACAUUAUUACAAUAUUUAUAUUUAUAUUUUUACAAAAGGGAUUCGUCUAAAUUAAAUUUUUCGAAAAAUUUCGUAUAGUGAGUGAAAGUGAAACACUCCCUUUGUUAUGAUUAUGACAAUAUUUAUAUUUUUACAAAAGGGAUUUAUCUAAAUUAAAAUUUUCAAAAUUCCGAACAAGAUUUGAACUUUCGUGUAUAUGAAUAUAUGGAGUAAAUUGAUCAUGGCUGAAAAUAUGGCAGUGGUUGUGUUUGUGUUGCCUAACGGAUGAUAUUGAAAUACCUAAACACAAGUCAAGCUCCUUCAGUUAACAAAAACAGAAGUUUAUAAUAUGAUAAUGUUGGCGCACGGACUUGAGAAACAACAUAGGCCGGGAAUGUGCACAAAAAGUAAGAGAGAGGUAAAGAGGAAAGAAACGAACAUGAAAGAACAAAGACUAUCGAAUACAUUAUAAAACAAUGACUUCUUGGUAGUCAUUACAUCUCAACCAUCAAUAAUGCAUUAAUUUUGGUUGAAAUGUAGAAGUAUUUGAGAAGUAGCAUGACAACAACCACAUAAUAAACAAAAGUGGACGCAAAUGUGAAAGGAUAAUUAAAAACAAUUAUUCAAGAUGGGCGGUAGUUGAUUCAGCCAUUUAGAAGAUUCAAACCUAGAAUCAUUAUUGUAUUAACUAUUAACAGGUGCUAUAAUAUAGUUCUUAGGGAUUUCAAGGAGGCAUAUGGGGGACUACAUAAUGUGCAAUAGGAUUAAACUUUUUUUGUUACUAGGCAAAUGAACCAUAUUGAAAAAAGUUGAGGUUUAACCAUAAAAUUAAUUGACGAUAUAAAAAGUAGCUCAACCUCUUAUAAGCGUUUGCAAGAUUUCUCUUUUGACCUAUACAAGACUCUUUUACUUUCACAUCCUCGAACAUAUAAUACACCCAAAUGGAUGCCAAUAUAUAAACAUUGUUUUGAAAGGACAAGGGAGCUAACAGUGUCUUUUUAUAUGACUUGGACUUGGAGUACGGGCUGCAAAUUGCAUGCAAUUGCAACGAGAGCCAAAGAUAAUUGCCUUGUCCUUCAAAUUUGUUGGUAAAUUGGGGAUUGCACGAAGAUUUUCGCACUAAUCUGAAUACAGUGUUUCAAGCUUUUAAAGACCACUGAAGCUUUGAAAACUCUGUUGAUUUUACUUCCCAAGUAAGUGACAUAAAACUAAAUUGGGCAGUUGCAUGACAACAACCACUUAAUAAUCAAAAGUGAUUCGAAAAAGACCGAAAGUGAGAUGACCGCAUUCUUUUUCAGACAACUUUGGUAGAUUCCAGAAUAAACUAUUAUACAUGAAGAUGGGCGGUGGUAAUUGUCCUUUUGAUUAAAGUUUUUUGAGUCGAAAAUCAUUUUUCUAUAAUUAAUUCUUAACUAGAAAUUUGUACCAGUACACCGUUGUGGGACUGAAAAUCUUAUGAAAUAUUUUAUAACUUUAAUUUUCAUAAAUAAUGUGCGAGUGAAAAACAAAAAAUUACGAAUGGUAAUGCAAUUUAUAUGUAACCUUAUCAUGAACGGAACAAAUUUAGAUACUAAAAGAAAAAUUAAAAAUCUAUUUUUUCAAAGUGCGAAGAGAUAAUUGUUUAUUAAAAAAGUUGGACCAAUGAUAACUGCAUAAAUUACAAAUGCAAUAUUAAGAGUAUACCAGUCAAACUAAGCUUGCUACAGGCUAAACAAUGUUGAAAAACAUCAUUAGCUUUUUCAAGUGUUAUAUGCAAUGAAUGUAAUUAGCACGAAACUAGCACGAAACUGCAGAGGCUUUCGAUCCAUUAUAAUAUAAAAUAAAUAAUAAUAUUUACGUAUAAAAUAUGAUAUGAUUAUAUGAAAGUAACGACCCAAAUCUUAUUGGAGCUAAUUAACUAAUGUAUGCUCAUCAGGCAGCUGGAUUCCUUGGCAAGUGUUUAACCCCUACUUUCUUCACGCUCACAGAAUCACCAUUUGCAAAGUCAAUCGGCCUCACACCAAUAAAAACUUAAUCCCCGGCUAGUAAACUGAUCAGCUUAUCGUCCGAUAUAUGUCACUGCAAAGAUAAUCACCUUGUCUUUCAAAUUUGUUGGUAAAUUGGGGAUUGCGAGAAGAUUUUCGCACUAAUCCAAAUAUAUUGUUUCGAGCUUUGAAUGACCACUGAAGCUUUGAAAAGUCUGAUGGUUUUGUUAGGUCAUGUGUAUGACUAACGUUAAUGAUUUUCAACUUCCCAAGCAACUGUUACACAACUAAAUUUAAAAUCCAAGAGGAGGAUAUGAUCAGAGAAGAAAGAAAUGCAAUCCACUAAUAAUCAACAUCGAUAUUGUCUUCAACUUAAUCAUGAAUAAGUUUUAAGGCACAAAAGACCUCAUGCUUUUGUAGUUGAGCCAUUUAAUGUAAGGAGAAUCACAAUGUUAGUUAACCACAUCACAGUACAAAAGCACUAAAAGCGUCCAAGUGAAAGUGAAAGUGCUUUCUUCUCAUGUAGUUUCAUUUAACUUAAUUUUCCACAAUGGUAAUUAUGUUUCAAUGGUUCUGUUUUCACAUGCCAGUCGGUCAGUCACAUACUCAACUCCUUAAUGUUCGGGCUCAAUGGCUCGAAGAGAGCUUCCACUUCACUCUGAUUCACCUCCUCUAACUUUGACGGAUUCCACUUCGGAUUCUGCAUUGACAAGAAACAGAAGCCAGAGAUAAAGAUUCGUUGAUAUACGGAAAGUAAGAUGAUUAUACAACCGUAGGUCUAGUAGAGGCUGUAAUGGUUUAUGUUGCAGCAACUGCGUCAGCAAGUGAUUUUAUAGCAAGGAAUCUUGAGCAUAAUUAACGAACCUGAUCCUUGUCCACCAAAACUGCCGUACACCUUCAGCAAAAUCAUUCCGUAAAGACGAUCUUAUAGCAACGUGAUAUUCAGUUUCAUCACACCAGUUAACUGGUAUUGGUCAAGUAAAGCACAUGUUACUUUCUGAAAAUUUGAAAUACUACAACGCAAAACCUAUCAAAAGGAUGCAACCAUGUGAUGCAAGAAACGAAAAGGUACAAAGUCCAGACUCACUCUGGAUAAUUGAUUGUCAUUUUUCCCAAGCACGGAUGCAACUUUAGCGAAAUAAUUUUGUGUCAAAAAAGUGAAAACAGAGCACCCUUUCCAAGACCUUAAAGAGCUUCGUUAGCCCACUCACCACUGCAAUACAAACAAUUUAUACAAAAUACUUGACAGCGACAUACAAGCUGCUCAAUAGACAAAUGGCAUUAAAAAACUUACCAGUAGCAUCUGAACUCUGAUGCUGCUUUUUAAGUUCAUCAAUUGUCUCAAGAACCAACUUAUCUGCACCAAAUGCUGAAGUUAUUUGAGGUAAAAGAGUCUUGAGUUGCGCUUCAGAAUCUGGGUAGCUGGUGAAUUUCACCACAAUUGUUUCAAUGUCCUGAUGGGGAUCCUGGGAACUGAUUCAACAAUGGAGUUGCUUUUAUCUCAAGAAACGCAUUGGACAAUGUGAUGAUGGCAACUAAAGUUAAACCCACUGAAGCAUUGGAAAUUGCGUCUGAGGAUAGAAAAGGCAUACCUGCAGAUACUCCUCCCAGACUCUUUGCCUCUAUAUGUGAAAACCCAUCUGGGAACAAACCAAUUCCAUUCUCUGGCAUAGCAAGAACAGUCCUCAGAAAUGUAUCCAUACAAAGUUUGACACACAAAAUUAAAAAAGCCAUUGCAAUGUAAUUGACAACAUUGACAAUCUCUGUCUGACCGGGCAAUAAUGCCUCUGUAAUGAUCCGGUAGCGACUGUGACCUGAUAGGCCAAUACCAAAGCCCACUGUUAUGCCAUCCAUGAAGCUUAUAUGGGCUUCUUGUACUCGGAGAUAUUGCAUAUUAGAGAAUACUCAGCAGUGAAUACCUGAAAAACGUGCAGCACAAAUAUCAUAUCGGUAGCCUCUCAAAUCUUAAGAAAACUACAAAUGGUAGCUUAGAAAAGAAAUGAAUCCUCUCCAACCAAUACAAAUCAUAUUACCCAAGUUCAAGCAAAAUCAAGACUAAACAAAUGACCAGAUGUUGUAGGUUGCCAGAGAAUGUCAAACAUGAAAUUACAAAAGAAAAAAAUAAUCGUAUGUAUUGAACAUUAAUAAAUACAUGCUGAAAGCACAAUCUUAGCCGCAAUUUAUGACAUUUAUACAAGAUUAAAUCGCCAAAGAAAUUAAAGAAAUUGCAGAGCUCAUAUAAGUGAUGUUCACUAUGAACUUUUAGGCUUAUCAACAAAUACACCAUAACGAUUCUAAUGCAUGAAUUUUGUUAAAGGGGGCUUGCUUGCUUGUAUUAAGGCUUAAUCAUCAAUGAUUUUGCAAGGGUCAAUCGUAUUGCUAGUUGUAAAUCUAUUCACUAUGAAAAUUACCAAAAUUACAUCUAAUAUGGUAGUGAAGGAAGUCAUCUUACAUUAUCUGGAAUUUAGAAAACUGUGUAAGGUUAUAAUAUAUGGUUACAAGGACACAAUUAGACCUCAAUCAUAUUCGGUGGUUGGUUUUUGGCCGUGAUCUGCUUCACAUCACCGCCUGCAGGUAAACUAAAUCUGGGUUACUACAUAUCAAUGAAUCAACGUGCCAACUUAACGGACACCAUCUAUCUCUAUAUGGCAAAAAAAACAACACAAAAAGGAACAUGAAGUGAAACAAUAAACAACAUGACAUGAAACAGCACGAACAUCAAAGACCAACAAUCUAUCACGUAAGCACCUAAACAAGAAACAACUUUAGUUCAAAGCAAAGCGUAAUGUAGAAACCUUCGGCACAACAGGUGUGUUUUUGUCCUUUCGAGUUUCGGCAACAACCACUUUAAUAUCCUUUCCUGCAUUUACCAUGAUUGGUCACUCUUAAAACCUUAACUCCGCCGUGUAAGUUUAUCUUACAUUGCCGGUCCCAAGCCCGGAUAAAGGAGGAGGGGGAGGGCGUCAGGUAGUCGACAGCCGGCACUCCAUGAUUACGUCGAAUCCUUACGAAAAUGAAUCCAGAACGAAAUCGCGCUAAAGCUAGGGCGUCACCCGUAAGUGGCGCGCUGUGUGGCCCGAGCACAGUGAUAAGUGAGCAAGGGUCGCUAUAUCUCCAUCGGCACCCGGAUGCAGUGUUAAAUGAGCAAGGGGGCUAUAGAAACUUCUUUUCGAACGACUCCACUCAAAGUUGUUUGGGAGCAUAUGCUCCUAUCAACUUUACACGGGACACACAAAAGAAGUACUUUGAUCCUAUUAGACGGGGAAGGGUGAAGAAGCUAGGACAGAAGGGUAGAGUUCAAGAGAGCAAAAUGCGUUUAGGAACGUGGAAUAUAGGAACCUUGACGGGAAAAUCUAUGGAAGUAGUAGCAGUUAUGGUGAGGAGAAGGAUAAAUAUUAUGUGCCUACAAGAAACUAAGUGGGUUGGGCGUAAGGCAAAGGAUCUAGAAAACUCAGGGUUUAAACUAUGGUAUUCGGGCACAAAUAGAACGAGAAACGGUGUUGGCAUCAUCGUGGACAAGACCUUGACACAAGAUGUUGUAGAUGUUAAGAGGGUAGGAGAUAGAAUCAUGUCAAUCAAGAUUGUAAUAGGACAAGAACUUAUCAAUGUGAUUAGUGCGUACGCACCUCAAGUAGGGUUGGAUACGAGUUCGAAGGAGAAAUUUUGGGAAGACCUUGGAGACUUGGUGCAAGGAAUUGCUCAGACGGAGAAGUUAUUUAUAGGAGGAGAUUUAAAUGGACACGUGGGCAGGGAGACAGACAACUAUGGAGGUUUUUAUGGUGGCCAUGGUUUUGGGGAGAGAAAUGAGGAUGGGGAAGCUAUCUUGAAUUUUGCAAUGGCAUAUGAUCUCUUCUUAGCCAACACCUUCUUUAAGAAGAGAGAAGAACAUGUGAUCACCUACAAGAGUGGGUCGUCAAAAACACAAAUAGAUUUUCUCCUAAUGAGGAAAGGGGAUCGUAUAACUUGUAAGGAUUGCAAAGUUAUACCAGGAGAGAGCGUGGCUAAUCAACAUCGCUUGUUGGUGAUGGAUGUAAAUAUCAAAAGAGUGAGAAAAAAGAACAAGACUUGGAAGUGCCCAAGGACUAGAUGGUGGAAUCUAAAAGAAGAAAAACAAGCCAUUUUCAAAGAGAAAGUAAUCACCCAGUGUGUGUGGGAUAGAGAGGGGGAAGCUAACCAAAUGUGGGAUUCCAUGGCUAGUUGUAUCCGAAAAGUAGCAAAAGAGGUAUUAGGAGAGUCCAAGGGCUUUGCCCCACACCAAAAGGAAUCUUGGUGGUGGAAUGAGGAGGUACAAACAAAGGUGAAGGCUAAGAAGGAAUGUUGUAAAGCCUUAUACAAGGAUAGGACCGAUGAAAAUGGUGAAAGGUAUAGAAAAGCGAAGCAAGAGGCGAAGAAAGCUGUGAGAGAAGCUAAGUUAGCGGCUUAUGACGAUAUGUAUAAGCGACUAGAUACCAAAGAAGGAGAGUUGGAUAUCUAUAAACUAGCUAGAGCAAGGGAAAAGAAAGACAAGGGACCUAAACCAAGUGAGGUGCAUCAAGGAUGAGGAUGGAAAGGUUCUUGCUACAGAGAACGCGGUUAAAGACAGAUGGAAAGGUUAUUUUCAUAAUCUUUUCAAUGAAGGACAUGAAAGGAGUGCUUCUUUAGGGGAGUUGAGUAACUCAGAAGAGUGUAGAAACUACUCUUUUUUAUCGUAGAAUUCGGAAGGAAGAAGUGGUUGUAGCUUUGAAGAAGAUGAAGCAUAGAAAAGCAGUAGACCUAGACGAUAUACCAAUUGAAGUGUGGAAAGUUUUGGGAGAGACAGGUAUAACAUGGCUCACUGACCUUUUCAAUAGGAUUUUGAAAACGAAGAAGAUGCCAAAUGAGUGGCGAACGAGCACUUUGGUGCCUAUCUACAAGAAUAAGGGUGAUGUACAAAAUUGCAUGAACUAUAGGGGUAUUAAGCUAAUGAGUCAUACAAUGAAGCUCUGGGAGAGAGUCAUUGAGCAUAGAUUGAGGCAAGAGACACGGGUUUCGGACAACCAAUUCGGGUUCAUGCCAGGGCGCUCAACCAUGGAGGCAAUCUAUCUCUUACGAAGAUUGAUGGAAAGAUAUAGAGAUGGGAAAAAGGAUUUACACAUGGUCUUUAUAGAUUUGGAAAAAGCGUAUGAUAGGGUCCCAAGAGACAUUCUUUGGAGGAUUUUAGAGAAGAAAGGAGUACGAGUAGCAUAUAUCCAAGCUAUACAGGAUAUGUAUGAAGGAGCAAAGACUGCCGUAAGAACUCAUGAAGGACAAACCGAAAGCUUUCCCAUAACUGUAGGAUUACAUCAAGGCUCAUCCUUAAGUCCUUACCUUUUUGCGUUGGUAAUGGAUGAGUUAACAGGACAUAUUCAAGAUGAUAUUCCUUGGUGUAUGCUUUUCGCAGACGAUAUAGUGUUGAUAGAUGAAACUCAGGAAGGGGUAAAUGCAAAGCUUAACCUUUGGAGAGAAGUGUUGGAAUCUAAAGGUCUUCGCCUAAGCCGAUCAAAGACAGAAUAUAUGGAGUGCAAGUUCAGUGCAAAUGGAGGCCAAAACGAGUUAGGGGUGAGGAUCGGAGAUCAAGAAAUACCAAAGAGCGACCGUUUUCGUUACCUAGGAUCUAUCUUGCAAAAGAACGGAGAAUUAGAUGGAGAUCUCAACCAUAGAAUACAAGCUGGAUGGAUGAAGUGGAAGAGAGUGCAUCCGGCGUAUUGUGUGACCGCCGUAUGCCACUGAAGCUCAAGGGAAAAUUUUAUAGGAACGGCAAUAAGGCCGGCGAUGCUGUAUGGCACAGAAUGUUGGGCGGUGAAGCAUCAACACGUACACAAAAUGGGUGUAGCGGAGAUGAGGAUGCUUCGUUGGAUGUGUGGGCACACGAAGAAAGGAUAAGAUUAUGGAAUGAGGAUAUCCGGGGUAAAGUAGGAGUAGCCGAAAUUGAAGGAAAGAUGAGAGAAAAUCGGUUACGGUGGUUUGGACAUGUGCAAAGAAGGCCUACUGACGCUCCGAUUAGAAGAUGCGACUAUGGGACAGAGGUUCAGGGCCGAAGGGGUAGAGGAAGACCUAGGAAAACUUUGGAAGAGACCCUAAGAAAAGACUUAGAGUACUUGGAUCUAACGGAGGACAUGACACAGGACAGAACACAAUGGCGUUCUAAGAUUCAUAUAGCCGAUCCCACUCAGUGACUUGGAUUUUCCAAGUCUCCAACCGAGAAGUUUUCCUCACUCGGGAAAUUAAGGGAACACUACCUCAACCUACAUGCUCCACUCACAAAGCUUCAACAAAAGAAAAAUUCAAAGAACUUAGCGAAGAAGGCUUUUGGUGUAUUUAACACAAUACGUUGAAAUGAAGGAAAGCUUAUUUAUUGAUAUCCCCGAUAAGUUACAAAUAUGUACAUAUACUUGAGUCAAAAUAAACAAACAAGAGGGAGCCUUCACAAAGGUUGCUUAGGAGAAGUCUCAGCAGUCGGUAGAGCCCCAGAAAGAGAAGGCACCGGAGGGGGAUCAUUCGGAGCCUCAGUACUGGACAGAACCCUAGAAGGAGGAGGCAUCAGAGGUUGAUCAUUUGGAGCUUCAUUACGCGGUACAGCCCCAGAAGACGAAGGCAAUAAAUGCCUUUGGAACAAACCCACAAAUCUCUGAUGAUCAAGUAAAACCUGACCAUCAGAUUCCUUCAUCUGGUCAAGCUUCCUCUUCAUGUUUGUAGCAUAGUCAUGUGCGAGCCGGUGCAACUGUUUAUUCUCAUGCUUGAGCCCUCUAAUCUCCUGUUUGAGACUCAUCACUUCAGCCGCCAAUGAUUCAACUUGGCGGGUUCGAGCAAAUAGGCGUUGGGCCAUAUUAGACACAGAACCUGCACACUGAACACUGAAGAGCCAGAGAAUCCUUAACAGCCAACUCAUCAGACCGUUUGGAAAGUAGUCUGUUAUCUUUGGGAGUGAGAAGGUUCCUAGGCCACUACCGCAGCGGUCAUAUCAUUCUUCAUCACGGAAUCCCCAACGGUAAGAGGACCAGUAGGGGAGACGAAGGAUGGGCGCCAUAUGUUGUCUGAAGAAGGCGGGGCUGCCUCUUCAACAAGGUUCAAGUCAAAACGACGGUCGGAGGGGCCAGACAUUUUCAAAGGUGUUGAAGAGAGAAGAGGUCGGACAAAUCAAGAUCUUAGAAGUGCAAGAAUGGAGCUUCUACUGGUGGAUAUUCAAGUGUGCUUUGGAACUUAAUGUCAGCCCCUAUAAAAAAUCUGCACUCGACGAAGCUUCAGAAAUCGAAGAGGCGCCUGCUCAGAAAUCGAAGAGGCGUUUGCUUUCUCAAAAGCUGGGCUGCUCAGAGACCACGAGGGUUUGAUCUCAGAAAUCGAAGAGGCGUUUGCUUUCUCAAAAGCUGGGCUGCUCAAAGACCACGAAGGCCGAUCUCAGAAAUCGAAGAGGCUUGCUUUCUCAAAAGCUGGGCUGCUCAGAGACCACGAGGGCCGAUCUUAGAAAUCGAAGAGGCACCUACUUUUCCAGCCUUGUCAGCACCUGUCACACGCACACUCAGCUUUGCGGAAAUUAUGGGCAUUCUGUCGAAGAUUUCUGGUGAAGUAGAAAGCACAUGAAUCGUACUGUUCAAUCACCCACUUCCCACACGCAACAGUAGCUCAUGGGUACCACAGAUAACUUUGCCAAAGUUCUCUGACAAAGUUGAGACACGUGAAGCUUGCAGCUCCCACUACAUCGCUCUGACCAAGAAGGGUAAAAGAAUAGCAAAGAAACAACACUAACAAAGUUUAGACACAUAAAUUUUGAAGGUCUAGCUACCAUAUUAUUACCCACAAGGGUAAAGGAACAGUACCACUGCUGGAUAAUUGGAAAGUCCCGGUGUGUCAACCUCUGUGCUUCGUGGCAAGGUAGACUAGCAAACAUGCCCAACCUUUACUCACAUUCGAGAAAACACUCCCAACAAGAUUGCUUGCUCCAAAAUCGAAGAGGCACCCGCUCCUCCGAAUCUCGAGAGCCAGACUCCCAACAUGAUUACUUUCUCAAAAAUCGAAGAGACAUCCGCUCUCCGAAUCUCGAGAGCCAGACCUCCAGCAGGAUUGCUUUCUCAAAAAUCGAAAAGGCAUCGUUCUCCGAAUCUCAAGAGCUGGAUCCCUGACAGGAUUGCUUGUUCGAAAACCAAAGAGGCACCACUUUCCCAACUUCAAGAGCUGGAUCUCCUUGGAUAAAGCUUGUCUGUAAUCUUCACACACGCAACAUCAGCUUUUCCAGAUACCACAGACCCACUUUUUCAAAGUGCUCUGACAGAGUUAAAACUUGUGAAGCUGGCAGCUCCCACUACCGUGCUAUGACCAAGCAGGGUAAAGGAAUAGCAUUAUUACUUGAUGUUAGGGAGACUCCUAUAUAUGUCGACCUCCAUCCCCAACGGACAGGCAGACCUGCAAAAAUGCUCAACCCUUCCUCUUAUCUGAGAGGGCACUCCCAACGAAGCCUUUCGAAAUAUUCAGCUUUCUUUCCCCCCGAUAAUACCUCUGUAAACAAGCUAUACUAGAGCAAGAAUAUCUCAUAUCAUCAGGGUUAAAAGCAAGAGUAUCCCAUAUCAUGCUUUUUUCCCGUCUUUUCCUUUGGCCUUGUUCUUACCUGCAAGACAAGGAGAAAGAGAGCAAUCAGUCAGCACUUGGAAUCAAGCUUCCAGCCAGGAACUGACUGCCUGGAACCCCUUACCUGAUUACUUACCUGGCAUUGCUCUCGAGUACUCAUCUUCAACAUCUUAUGCUUCCAGGGAAGAUACCGCAAUCGCCUGAAGAACAGAUAGGGCAAGUGAGAAGGAUACAAGGAAGCAUGUGGAGACAAGCGUAACAGCACACGUGCCGAUACAUCCACUACUCUGUCAAAAGCAAAAGUAUCUCAUAUCAGCAGGGUCGAACGUACUCUAGAUUUGAUGGACUUGUUUUGACCCUCAAAUUCUUCAGUCGGCCUUAUACUCUGGAGGAAACCAGAAAACCCUCCAGCCCAGUUCAAGAAUAAGCCUGUGGAAAGUUACUUCUUCAAAAGCAAAAAGUAUCCCAUAUCAUCUCUUCUCAUUUUUCUUCUCUUUAUCCUUCAUGCUGCAUGCAAGAUAGGGAGAAUGUGAACAAUCAGCCGGAGCUCUGAUUGCUUACCUUGUCUGUCAUCUCUUUCAGCAGAUCCCCUAGCUCGGCGACUUAGGGGACUCCUACUACAUGGUUUGUAUCGCGCUUGACCAAGCCUGAAACUACAAGUAAGCUUCAAGUGACAAUUGAUACAUUACCUUGUGCAUCUCCACCAGUUACAGAUACCACCCCUGGAUGGAGGAAGAGUACUUCCAGAGAAGAUGCCACAUCUACCUAUGAGACAGAUAAGGAAAGUCAAGACGAUACCACACUCCGGUACUUAGAAGUUUCGUGGUUACGAGAUCAUUCUCCCACAAUAUUUCCUAAUGUCAUUUGUACUAAAUCAUUCACUUGUACUCACUAAAGGAGAGCUUGAACCUAUGUACUUGUGUAAACCCUUCACAAUUAAUGAGAACUCCUCUAUUCCGUGGACGUAGCCAAUCUGGGUGAACCACGUACAUCUUGUGUUUGCUUUCCUAUCUCUAUCCAUUUAUAUACUUAUCCACACUAAUGACCGGAGCAAUCUAGCGAAGAUCACAAAAAGUGACCGUUUUCGCUACCUAGGAUCUAUCCUUGCAAGAGAACGGAGAAUUAGAUGGAGAUCUCAACCAUAGAAUACAAGCUGGAUGGAUGAAGUGUAAGAGUGCAUCCGGCGUGUUGUGUGACCGUCGUAGGCCACUGAAGCUCAAGGGAAAAUUUUAUUUUAUAGGACGGCAAUAAGGCCAGCGAUGUUGUAUGGCACAGAAUGUUGGGCGGUGAAGCAUCAACACGUACACAAAAUGGGUGUAGCGGAGAUAAGGAUGCUUCGUGGGAUGUAUGGGCACACGAGAAAGGAUAAGAUUGGGAAUGAGGAUAUCCGAGGUAAAGUAGGAGUAGCCAAAAUUGAAGGAAAUAUGAGAGAAAAUCGGUUCCAGUGGUUUGGACAUGUGCAAAGAAGGCCUACUGACGCUCCGGUUCGAAAAUGUGACUACGGGACAGAGGUUCAGGGCCGAAGGGGUAGAGGAAGACCUAGGAAAACUUUGGAAGAGACCCUAAGAAAAGACUUGAGUACUUGGAUCUAACGGAGGACAUGACACAAAACCGAGCGCAAUGGCGUUCUAGGAUUCAUAUAGCCGACCCCACUUAGUGGGAAAAGGCUUUGUUGUUGUUGUUGUUGUUGUGGUCACUCUUAAAACCUUACCUAAGAGACCCAAAAACAAAAAUAACCGCCGAAAGAGCUAAACAUACAUAUAUAGAAAAACUUAAUUAACUGCAUGCUAAAAUGGAAGUGUAAAAUUGCCAAGAAAGAUAAGAAACUAUUUAAAUACGAAUUCUGGGCAUUACCGCCACAAAAGGCAUGAGCCGAACAGCUAUCAACAAGAACACACUUCCCAUUCAUCCAGAUAGCCCUUGUAUUUCACAUCCAUAUCUGCAUUUUCCAACAAUUCCCACUUAAACAGAAACACAAAAUUCAUCGAAAAAAUGCUAACUUCUUCGAAAUUUGAAUCCAACGUUUCGUCUUAUAACAAAUGCAAUAACAUAGAUUUGUAAUCAAUUCGAUGCCAUAAAGUUCAAGCUCAAAAUUUCAAAUCAGCUCCAAAUCAAAAGCAUUUACAGAUACAUACAUAUAUACAUAUGCGUGUGUGUGUUUAUCUACAUACCCAGGUUCAUGGCGUUGAGAGCUCGGCAGGCGACGGAGGGUGAUGACGGCGACGCCAAUUGGGUGGACGCUGCCCUUCGAAUUGGGUCGCUCCUCGCAAUAAGCUUCCCAUUACUUCCGUUUGAGAGUGACUGUCAGUGUAGAGAGAGGGAUUUUUUUUUUGUGCUUCUGGACCGGACUACACUUGAUGUUUCGGUUAUAUUACCGGGAAAAAGAACUGCCGCGGUGGCUACGCAGGGAAACUUGAAAUUUGAAAGAAGUAUGAAGUAUGGACUUGCCUUCAUUUAUUGAACUGAGAAAUCGAAAUCUGAAAGAGGCGUUUGACGAAGUGAUUGUGAUCUGACUCAAACAUGUGAUGAUGACGAUGCAUCACCACCUUGGUUGUGCCUCUGGAUCAAAAACAUACCAUCACCAUCAAAAUCGUGCAUAUUUUCCUUCAUAGGUUUGUCCCAUACUAGAUUAACCCCUAUUCCCUUAAUUAUUGCAUAAUAAGAAUUAUAGCAUGUCUCUGGCAUUCCAACGGCUAUAUCAACUUUAUCCCCGCUUUGCAAAUUGAACUUAUCGUUGGACAUUUGUCCCUGCCAAAGAAAACAUUUUUCAGGUAAACCAUCGUGCAUUUUUAUAACCCAAUCUUCCUUGCCUAUGCAGGUUUGCAACUCAGUACGCUUGGUAUUAUUUAUAUCAAUACUGCCACGAGGAUGACAAUAUUUAAAGCUCAUAGAAGGGCUUGAGGGACAAGUUAAGUGAUAAAAGCAUAACAGAGUCAACCCUUCAAAAUUACGACCAUCACUUGGGGGGUAUCAAAACUGACUUUAUCACCAUCGUUGACAAACUCGAACCAAUCAGGAACAUAAUUCGCAUCGAGAAAAAUGCCAGCAUAUCCGUAAGAAGUCCAUCCCUAUAUAUACAGUGCAAGUGUCAUAUACAUACAUACAUACAUACAUACAUACAUAUAUGUAAAUGUGCAUUGUGUGUGCAUGUGCGCAAUAGGAAGACAAUUAAAGAGAGAGAUACCUUUAGGACCUUCCUCCUAAAAUCAGCUGUGAGAUUGGUGCACUUUUGCAUUACAAUCCAUUUCAUGGAGUUUAAUGACUUAUCCAAGUCCGGAAUCUCUGUGAGUGCGUGUGAACCAGUUACAUUCAGUUCUCUCAUAUUUGACAUUUUCGAAAAAUUGGGCAUUUUUACCAAACAACAGCAACCAUAAGCAUCCAGAAAUUUCAAAUUUGUUGGUAAAUCAUAGAUUGUAUGAAGCUGGGAACAAUAACUUAACCACAUACCUUCAAGCUUUGAAAGACCAUUGAGGCUGGGUAGGGUGUGUAAGAUACUGCAGUGACUUAACUCCAGAGUUUUAAGAUUUGAAAGACCAUUGAGGCUGGGUAGGGUGUGUAAGUUACUGCUGUGACUUAAUUCCAGAGUUUCAAGAUUUGAAAGACCAUUGAGGCAGGGAAGGGUGUGUAAGUUACCACAGUGAUUUAACCACAUAGUUUUAAGAUUUGAAAGACCAUUGAGGCUGGGUAGGGUGUGUAAGUUACUGCAGUGACUUAACCACAGAGUUUUAAGAUUUGAAAGAUCAUUGAGGCUGGGUAGGAUGUGUAAGUUACUGCAGUGACUUAACCCUAGAGUUUUAAGAUUUGAAAGACCAUUGAGGCUGGGUAGGAUGUGUAAGUUACUGCAGUGACUUAACUCCAGGGUUUUAAGAUUUGAAAGACCAUUGAGGCUAGGUAGGGUGUGUAAGUUACUGCAGUGACUUAACCAUAGAGUUUUAAGAUUUGAAAGACAAUUAAGGCUGGGUAGGGUGUGUAAGUUACUGCAUUGACUUAACCCCAGAGUUUUAAGAUUUGAAAGACCAUUGAGGCUGGGUAGGGUGUGUAAGUUACUGCAGUGACUUAACUCCAUACCUUCAAGCUUUGAAAGACCAUUGAGGCUGGGUAGGGUGUGUAAGUUACUGCAGUGACUUAACUCCAGAGUUUCAAGAUUUGAAAGACCAUUAAGGCUGGGUAGGGUGUGUAAGUUACUGCAGUGACUUAACUCCAGGGUUUUAAGCUUUGAAAGACCAUUGAGGCUGGGUAAGGUGUGUAAGUUACUGCAGUGACUUAACCACAGAGUUUUAAGAUUUGAAAGACCAUUGAGGCUGGGUAGGGUGUGUAAGUUACUGCAUUGACUUAACCCCAGAAUUUUAAGAUUUGAAAGACCAUUGAGGCUGGGUAGGAUGUGUAAGUUACUGCAGUGACUUAACUCCAAAGUUUUAAGCUUUGAAAGACCAUUGAGGCUGGGUAGGGUGUGUAAGUUACUGCAGUGACUUAACUCCAGAGUUUUAAGCUUUGAAAGACCAUUGAGGCUGGGUAGGGAGUGUAAGUUACUGCAGCGACUUAACCCCAGAGUUUUAAGCUUUGAAAGACCAUUGAGGCUGGGUAGGGUGUGUAAGUUACUGCAAUGACUUAACCCCAGAGUUUUAAGAUUUGAAAGACCAUUGAGGCUGGGUAAGGUGUAUAAGUUACUGCAGUGAUUUAACUCCAGAGUUUUAAGUUGUGAAAGACCACUCAGGCCGGGUAGGGUAUGAAGGUUACAGCAGUUACUUAACUGCAAAUUUUCAAGUUUUGAAAGACCACAUAGGCUGGGUAGGGUAUGAAAAUAAUGUUUUGAGAGAUCUAAAUUUCCGUCUAACGAAUUGGGAAACUGCAAAGUAAACUUCGAUUCCACAGACGCUAGAGAUAAAUGAGUGAGAUUCUUCAAUCUUACUAUGGAACAGGGUACUUGUCUUAUGGCUGUGGAAGAUGCUAUAAGUACUCUCAAUGAUGUCAUCUUCCCUAAAUCCUCGGGCAGUUCACUGAAUUGCUGACAUCCAUUAAGAACAAGAGUCUGAACGGAUUUGGACUUGUAGAAAUCCCCAGGAAGAGAAAUAAGAUUCUGGCAGCCUGUGAGGUUCACCAAAGAAAGUUUUUUAAGAUGACAAAUGGAGGGGUGAAUCUCGGACAAACUGUUACACCAUUCCAAUAUCAACUCUUCAAGAUUUAGGAGAUUUGAAAAGUCUGGUGAUUUUUUUAAGUCAAGGCAAUAACUGAGAUUAAGGAUUUUCAAGUUUCCAAGCGACUGUUGCACAAAAUCAAAGGAAAAUUAAAAUUAAUAUCCAAAAACAAAUGGAAACAUAACAUCAUCAUGUGUAAUCGAUUGUACCUUGGAGCCCUCCCAAACUUGUACAAGUCUGCUAUACGCUAUCUCUAAAAUAACCAGUGCUCUUGGUUGAUCAAAGAAGUGAUCUGGUAUGGACUUUAAAGGGCAUCCAAACCAACGCAACCAUAUUAACUCUUUGGAAAGAUGUUUGUAUUCUCCAUUGAGCUGCACGUUGUAGAGCUGCAGCAGUCUCAGUUUCUUCAUAUUGGCAAAUGCUUCUGUACUGAAGCUUCGAAGCCUUUGCAGCCAAUGAUCUCCAGAAAAAUUAAGAGCAAGUCCUUUAACUUCUUCAGUUCCCUGUUAACAAAAGGUUAUAUUCAUGUGUAAGAAACGGAAUAUUUGCAUAUGUUUACAUGUAUGAAUACAUGCAAGUACUAUUGUUGGCUAAUUGAGAUGAUGUUACUUAAUGUAUAAUACACAUCCGUGAGUUAUAUGUGCUUUUCAUGUACGAUGCAUCAAUUCAGAAUUUUAUUGGGACUAUACUUACAAAUUUAUCUCUCAAUACAUCAAUGACCUCUUGCUGGUUCCACAACCUACUCCAUUCUCCAGGGUGACGAGGGGAUUUUUCAGAAAUGAUUAAUUUGGCCAUUUCUUGAAGCAAAUCAUGCAUAUUCAACUUCUUGUGUUCAAUAGUGAUAAGGCAUCGUUCACAGAGGACAUUGAUUCCUAUUGUUGCAAAAAACUUACAUCCAUCUAAUAUUUUUGCGACAUAGUCCUUAUCCCAUCCAAUAAAGAAACAAGAUAUGUCAAGGAAUAUAUCCUUUUGUGUAGGAUCUAGCCUUUCAAAGCUUACUCUUAGUGGUUUCAUUAUUCCUUCAUCAGGAAAUUUUUUCAAUUUCUCCAACUGACUUUUCUACUCUGUUGGUGUUCUUUCAAUCAUAAAAGAAGAACCUAAAACUGCAAGGGCUAGUGGCAAACCACCACAGUAAGAAACAACCUCUUUUGAGAGUUCAAGAUAUCCUUCAUUAGGCCAACUCUUUCCAAAGGCAUGCCAACUAAAGAGCUUCAGAGCUUCUUCUUCAUUCAUUUCCUUAAGUGAAUAUGUCUUGUCCACUUUCAUGUUCACUUGCUUUAGAAAACGUUCAUCUCGUGUCGUUAUGAUAAUUCUACUUCCUGGGCCAAACCAAUCACGAUUUCCAGCUAUUGCAUCUAGUUGUUCCACUUUGUCUACAUUGUCAAUAAUGACAAGCACGCUUCUACGUUGGAGAUGAUUUUUUAUCAGACUGAUACCUCUAUCAACACUGGUUAUCUUAGACUCGGUAUGUUUCAAGAUGUCAGAAACAAGUCUUCCUUGCAAAUCAACCAGAUCACAUUCACUAACGUUGGCAAGGAAACUUUUGAAUUGGAACUUAUGAUGAAGUUGGUUAUAAAUGGCUUUGGCAGCUGUUGUUUUACCCAAUCCACCAAUCCCCCAAAUUCCAACCAUGCGAACAACAUAUGAUCCACCAUUUGAAAGAUAAGUGAUGAUAUCUUGAAUGCGAGUAUAUAUUCCAACUGGGUGCUUGGCCAAAUGUAAAUUUUCUGCGCUCGGAAGCCAUUUUGGGAUAAUCUUGUCAACAAUUUCUCUAAUAAGCUUUGCUUCGCGCCUGAAAAAUUGAAUUGGUAAGCUUAGUAAGUAGGCUCAGUAGGAGCUAUUAGUACUAAUAUAAACAAUUUUCUUUCCUUCUUUCCUUCGUGUGUGUGUGUGUGUGUGUACAUAUAUGUACACAAACUAGCUACUAGCUAGUACGUGAUUUUGUGACCAACUUCAAUAAAAGAAACAAGUUCAUUCAUUGAUAUAUUAAAGUUUGGUGCAUCAAUUAAACUCCAAUUAUGGUUUAGAUUUUAGAGGAAAUUAGAGAAAUGGUCCUUGAACUAUGAUCAAAUUGUGGCCUUGGUUCUUAAAACUAAAAAUUCAAUAAAUCUCCUCCCUGAACUUAACAAAAUAUGAAGCAUUGGUCCCUAAAUGUUAACACCGUAUGAUUUUCUGUUAAUUUGAUUAUGUCGUCUUUGUGGGCUCCAUAUUAUUGUUUACUAGAUGGCACGUGGCUUGAAAAGUCAAAAUAAAAGAAAAUAAAUACAAACAUAGAGAAAGAAAGAGAGAGAAAAAAAAACUUUAAAUUAUAAAAGUUAACUCUCUCUCCCAUCCUCCCUUCCGCCUCACCUCCUCCAAACCCCAACCACACCAUUGUAGCACUUUCCCAACAGCCAAAACAAAAGAAAGUUUCUAAUCCAAUUUUGGAACACGUCUCCGUUUGCAAACGAAUUCACAAUGACAUCCAUUCACGCUGUCUCGACAGGUAAGAUUCAAGAAAUUUGUGGGAUGCGGGUUCGGGGUUCGGGUGAAGGCUGUGGUCCGUGGGCUACAGUUUGGAGUCGGCUGGAGAGUGGGAUUAGGGAUUGGGGGUUGGAAGUGGGAGGUUGACGGGGUGUGAAUCAAAGAUUGAAGGUGAAGGGGUGGCUGCGAGUGUUGGUGGGAUGAGGUAGGUGAAACUAACAUGUAAAGUUGUAAACCCUUUUAACUAAAAUUUAAAGGAAUUGGUUACGAAGGACUAACGCUCCAUAUUUUAUCAAGUUCAAGGGCAAAAUGUAAUGAAUUUUUAGUUUAGGAACCACAGCUACAAUUUUCCUCUAGAUUUUAUAUGAGAGAUUAAGGCGUAUUAAUUAAGCAUGAUAAUUAGAGUAAUACAACUUAAAUACUGAAAGCACAUGAAUGAUUACCUAUUAUCAGUGAUUUGAAGAUGGUAGCCAGACAAAUUUGCAGCUUUUGUAAGAACCUCUCCCCACUGCUUUACCUCUUCUUGUUUAGCUUCACGUUUCUUGUCAUCCUUUUCUUCACCGACGCCUUCUUCGUGCUUUUGAAAUUCUUCGGCUGACUUUGCAGCUUCUGUAAGAGCCUUUAUCCACUGCUCUACCCUUUCUCGUUUUUCUUCACGUUUCUUGUCAUCUUUUUCUUCACUGAUGUCAUUUUUGUGCUUCUGAAAUGCUUGGGCUAAAACUCCGUUCUGCUUCCUGACAUGUGAAGGAUCAAUGUGAUAGAAUAUUGGCAAAACAUGUCGCCCCAGUUUGUCUCUGCACUCCAUGAUCUUCACCAGCUCGUUAAGACACCAACUCGAAUCCGCAUACCUCUCUGAGAAGACAAUGAUAGAGGUCUUCGAUUCUUCGAUUGCCUGGAGCAGUUCUUUUGGUAUUUCUUCCCCUCUUUUGAGAUCGUCCUCAUCAAUAUAAGCCUGGUAUCCCCUGUCUGUUAAUGCCGCGUGGAGGUGGCCCGUGAAGCCAUUGCGUGUGUCUACACCGCUAAAGCUCAAGAACACGUCGUAAUUCCAAAGUUUUGACUUGGAGGAGGAUGAAGAGGAGGCUUCGUGGGUUGUCAUGGCGGUAUCCACCGUUAUGGCACUGCAGUGGUUCAGAUCACGACUGAAGAAUGGUAGUAGUUGUGUUCGUGCAUUCAAACGGAUGAUCCUGAAAUACCUAAACGCAAGUCAAGCUCCUUCAGUCAACAAGAACAAAGUUUAUAAUAUAAUAAUUUUGGCGUAUGGACUUGAGAAACGACAUAGUGUUGGCCGGAAGGUGCAGAAAAAGAGAGAGGAAAAAAGAAAAGAAAGGAACGAAAGGACAAAGACCAUCCAAAAGAUUCUUGGCUGUGAUUACAGCUAUUCAUAGGAGAAACAACGGACAUAUUUUCAUAGGAGAAACAACCUUCCCAUCUUCAUAUAUAAUGCAUUUCAACGGACAUAUUUUAAUAGGAGAAACAACUUUAGUUUGUACUAGAAAUUUUUACCCGCACGUUGAUGCGGCAUUUGAAAUUGUAUGAAAGAUUAUCUUUGAAAUAUAUAAUAGAUUGUGUGAUUGAAGAUUAAUACUAUUUACAUUGAAAACGUUGGAAAAAGUUUUACAUAUAAAAGAUUUUAUGAUACAAUCCACGUAUAAAAGAUGGUAAAUUUUGUUCUAUCUACAUGCAUUAUGUUAUGGAAUGAUAUAUAUAUAUAUAUAACUAAGUUCCAGAAUAUGUAAACUUCAUAACUUGGAAAUUUUUUGACAAAUUAAUCAGAUUCAACUGUGGGUUAGCAAGGUCGCCUAUAAAGUUUGAAGUCGUAGAAGCAUAAAGGACAAAUAACAAAUGAGUUUUGAGAAAUUAUUCCACAAAUGUCAUUCUGCAAAAUGUAUUAAAGACGAUUGGUAUAAGAUUAGCAAUCAUGAGUAGUGUAACAACAUCAACAAAAUAACCAUAAACCAUAACAUAAUUCAAAUUUUGUUUGCAAAAACAAAAGAAAAAGAAAAGAGACUUACAAUAAUUCAACCUUCAAUCUUGAAGUCCAGCUCAAAGAGCCAAACCUAAAUGCAAGCUUUCUGAAAUUUCCCAAACAAUACAGAUAAAACGGUAACACCCUAGUCAGAAAUGAACCAAGGUGCGAGCUUUCUAAGAAACCCAGAUGACAAAAUCAACAAAAUAGAAUGGAAAAAUGACUUACACUUUGAAGGCAUGCUCGAACCUUGAUCUAAAAUUGGUGGUGGGUCGAUUGUUGGUCACCAACUCUAAAUGAAGAAUUCAUCAGAACCUAGAAAUUUAAAACAAAGAAUUUUCCAAAAUCAACAUUUACUAAAAACCAGUUGCUUGGUUAUCAUGCAUGAUGGCUUGACAAAGACUGAAUUAAGGAAUGCAAACUUUACUUUCAUGAUUAUUUUUAAUGACAGCUAAAAGGUCAGAUCCAAAUGAAAAUAAAAGUUAGGACUUCACAAAACCAAUUAAAAAUCUAAUUCUAAAGUUAUAAGCACCCACAAAAUGAUUCCAGAUAAAGUUUUACACUCAAGGUCAAACCCAAAUGAAAUUAAAAGUUAGGACUUCACAAAACCAAUUGAAAAUCUGAUUCCAAAGUUCCAAACACCCACCAAAUGAUUCCAGAUAAAGUUUAAACUCAAAAACCCAAUAGAAACAAAAGCACUGGUAUAAAUUAACUGUAUCUAAUUGAAGAAACUAAAACAAAAGUAAAGCAAAGUAUAUACCUCAAAAUGUCAAGCAACUAAGUUCUUCCUCCGACGACCCAAAACUCUGAAAAUUCCACACAAAAAAAAAGGCAAAUCCAUUAGCAAUUCAUAGCUUUCAAAAUUAGCAAAAACUUGGGCAACAAUAAAGAUGUGUCUAGAACCAUCAAUCUUUCUCCUUAUGCAUUUGAAAAGAUAUGUUAUAAGCAGUUUAUGUAGUCAUUCUGAACAUGUUGCAUAUAAAUUCCUUUUCUACAGGGUUCAAAAAAAUAUGGCAGUUUAUGGAAUCUGUUGAAUGACAUAGUUGAAAGAUUUAAAAUUGAUACAUUCAAUUUUUAUGUGUAAAACUAUAACAUAUAGCUAAAGCUAUUGGGUCCAUAUCAGUCAUGUCGUAAUUGAAUGUUUAUCGAUGUAAAUAGAUGAUUUCAGUCAUGGGAUAACAUGUUUCUUGAUAGUAUACGCUGAAGUUUGGUCUAAGUUGGAUAUAAAUCGACCAAAAUCUUAAUAAGAGACUUUUUUAACUUUUAACCAAAAAAUGAGCACCACAAUACUACACUUAUAAGUUUUAUCAUGCACAAAAUACACAGCACUGAUUGCCACUUUUAGAGCAAGAACAAUACUUUACCAAAAGAAAACAACAAAACACCCAAAACCCAGAAACAUAAACACACUUAGGACUCAAACUCCUCAAAAACAUGAGAAAGAGAGAGAGUGUGUGAGGAGAAAGAAUAAAAAAAAAAAUUAUUUUUCACACAAACUCAAAAUUGCUUAUAAAAUUACAAAUGAAUGCAAAUCCAAAAUUGCCCUAAAUUAAAUCUGAUUAGUUAAAUGUUUGUUGCCCCAGAAAUUUCGUUACACCUCACAAAACUUGCUUUGAAGUUGAUAUUUUGGUCAAUCCAGGGGAAAAGGAGUUAUUGGUUUUGGAGCAGUUGUCAUGGAGAAUACCAUCUCCCUGUAGAAUGAUCUAAAAAAGGACUUACAGCUUAUGGUGGCCAUAAUAAUUUAGGAGGCCCUUCUCUCCAAAUUUUCUCAAUAACUUUCCUUUUCGUAGCUGGUAAGAUUGCAACUCCGAGAAUUGCUUUGAAGAGAUAUACACAAACAAAAUACCAAAACUAAGCUAUUGGAAGAAAUUUAGAAAACACAAGCACCAUUACAACUCAGAGUUAAAAGUCAACAGAAACCAAAUGGUACAAGUUGAAAAAAUAUAUGGUCAUGAAUCGAGAACUUCAUCAAACUAACAGCAAUAAAAUCUCAUAUAAUCCGUCAAAAACCAAAAAAGAGAUUCAAGACCUUGUAACGUCGAGGCCUCGUACAGUUGUAGUAAUAAUUUAUGGUUGAUGCACCUGUUGCUCAAUCAAAUCCUUCGUCUGGCUAAAAAAAUAAAAAUCUAUAAAUACAUUCACGUCCAAUUUAUGAGAAAUCAUGGGAAAGAAAAUGUGAAUAUGAAGAACUUAACAAAAAGAAAAAGAAAACUUCUUAUAGUGUGCUAAGAACAUCCUCCUACUCCUAGCAAAUUUUUUAUGGCAUUAUCCACUUCUCAAUUCAUAAUUCAACCAGUAACUCAAAGUCUAUAGUGUAUGAAAAAGUGAUAUCUUAGUUGAUCACGAUGAUAAUCAAAAAGGAAGAAACAACCAAACAAAAUUAUUAGGUCUGGGAUAUACCUUUAUCUGAAACACCACAAUCAUCAAAGUGAAACACAAACAAUCCAAAAAUUUGUGGAAAAUACCAAUAAAUGCUCAACUAAAAACGAAAGAAAAAGUAGAAUAAGUUUACCUGUUCCUCCCCUAAUUAAACUGCAAUACAAUUCACCACUGAUAUUCUCGUCAUCCUCUUCAGCCUGAAAAAUUUAGUAGAAAAUAAUGGUAAGAAUCUAGCAGUAUUUCCAUUGUUCAAAACCCAAAUUCCAGAAAUCAUGAAAAAUGGAAACUUUAUAUGGAAAUUGAACCCCCAAAAUCACAAAAAGGAAAAUUGAACAGAAAAUAAAUUUGCAAAUCCAAAAUCACAAAAACGAAAUUGAAACACCCACACUGAGAAAGCUGUAAAACUCACAAGGAAACGCUAGCUUUUCUGGGUAAAAAAAAUUGUUCGAAUCGAAUUGAAGAACCGAGGAAAAUUCUACAGGUUCAGUGGUUUUUCCAGCAAGAAAGCACCUUGUUUGUAAGUCGUGAGAGGUUGGAGAGCGAGAGAAGCCGAUUUGGGAACCAAAGAAAGCGAGGUUGGAGACCGAAAGAGGCUGCGAAUUGCGAGAGAGAAAAACGAAAAGGAAAGGAAAAGCGGAGAAGAAGUCACGAUUAUCGACGCGUGGGUAGGAUUCCACUGUGAGAGGAUUGCAUUCUUUUAAGAGUGUUUCCUUAUUACAAUUUUAUGCUACUAGAUCCAUCCUAUUGUUCCAUUUCUAAACUUUAUAUUAUAAUAUCACCCAUCGUAAAAAAUUAAAAUCCUAUUAAUCCACCCCAAUUAUUUCUAAAAUAACCUCAAAUAUCUAAAUCCAUUUUUAUUUCACCCCAAUUGCAUGAUCAGGCCUCGAUUUGAAGCUAGUUGACGUUGGCCCAAAUGCCAAAUUGUUUGAAUUUCCAAUAAACAUAUUAUAAUUAUAAAAGGAUGGUGAAGAUAUGAAUCAAAUUUGAAAGAGAGAACAUUACUUGGUGAAGGAGGUGAUAGGUGAUGUUGGUAUGGGUUAUGCAGUCACCAUUGGACAUGAGAGGCUUUCUCCUCAAAAUUCCUUCUACAUCUACAGCAUGCAAAUCGAAUGAUGAUAGGUUUAUCGAAGCCCUAAUACCAACUUUAUGACAAAUCUGAACGGACCAAUAAACAACCAUGGAACGAUCUUGAGACGCGACCACUGCGCGUGAGACUCAACCAGGAAUAACUAGACCAUCAGCCGCCGUCGUCAAUAUUGUAGAGGUAGAUGGUGGGUCCGAGAACUCGAUUUUCUUGGAGCAGUUUGAGAUUGACGAAGGGACCUGACGAGGGGUUGGGGUUGUUGGUGACCGAGAGUAUAUGGGUUUGACGAUGGUGGUGGUGGUGGUGGUGGUUUGCAAUCUCUCUCUUUCCUUUUCUUGGGGUUGGACAUUCGGGUGACAGCCGCCUUGGGAUCGGAUGUCAAUGGGGACGUGCUUGAGAGCCAUGAUGACGACGCGAGCGUGGGUGGGGAGAAUUUUCCAGGUCCUUUGAUGUAAUUUUACAAAAGGGUAAAAAUGGAAGUAAAAAAAUUAUAAACUAGUGGGGUGGGAAGAUAAGACAACGGGGUUGUUGUGGUCUAUUUUUAUCUGAUAAAGCAAUAGGGCCGGCGGCAGGGGGAGAGAGAAAAGAGAGAUGUGUGUUUGUAGAAUUGUAGGGGAAUGUGUGUUGUUAUCUCUCAUACAUUGUGCCUUUAUUUAUAGUAGUAAAAGGAGAGAAGAUAUUCCUUCUUCUCCAAGUAAUAUAAGUUGUAAUAGGAAAGAAUAACUAGAAUCAAAUCUAAUAUAGGAUUUACACAAUUUACAAGUUGUUAUCCCUCCUACAUUGUGCCUUCUUCUUCAUAAGAGUUUGAAAGAAGUAUGAAAUAUUGACUUGUUGAUGAUGAAGUUGAUAGUGAAAUGUAGUAACGGUUAAUUUAACAGAAUUUUUAACGGAUGUAUGAAAUUAAAAAAUAAUAUAAGUAAAUGUAUGAAAUUAAAAUGUUUUAAAGAAAUUGUAUGAAGUUGCAAUUGACCCCAAAUACGAGAGAUAAAACAUAAUUUACACAAAAAACAAAGAUCAGAUUUGUAAAAAUGCACCACAUAGUAGUUAAAACAUCCGGACGUAAAUGAAUGGUUUGAGAUACCAUCAUAGUAGCAUCUUUCAGUGUAAGUUUUUCUCAUAUCGGAUCACUUACCAGUAGAAAAGUGUAAUACCGUGUCGGGAAAGGAAGUCAAUGAUGAAAAGAGAGCAAUUUAGCUUUAAAAAUAAGGAAAACUAAUGAAAAGAGUUUGAAAACUUUGCGUUUAAUGAUAAGGACAAAAUAAAAGGAUAAAGUGAAUAGUACUAUGAUUGAUUUUUUAGUGUAAAAAUAUGGUUUUUCGUUAAAGUUUCCUUAAAAAUAUUGCGUCCUCCGUAUGAUGUUUGCAACAUGUGUCGCCAGAGUAUCAACUUGAAGCUCUCCACAUCUCCGUCGUCAAAUGUUUUGUAAGCAGCAUUGUUUAAGUUCUCUCUGUCAGGGAAACUGCAGAUGGGUUUGAUGAAGAAGAAUGGAAAAUAUAAUUUUUAGAAAAUGAGAAAGAAAAUUAUAAAACUUCAUUAAUGAAAUUUCUUUAUCAACAAAAAAAGAUGAAAAUAUAUCUUUGUCUUCUAUCACAACAAAAAAGUUAAGGACAGUAACGUAAUUUUACAAGAUAAAAUUUUACUUUUUUUUUAAAUCUCACAUAUAUGUAAGUUUAUCAUCUUUAAUUUAAAAAAUAUAAAAAAACCUCUCUUCCACGUUCUCUCUCACUCUCUUCCUCUCCUUCAAAUUUAACAACCAAAGUAAAAAAAUUCAUACGCUUUGUGUGUGGACAUAUACUAGUUGAAAUUUAAAAAAGGAGACUUAAAAAGAGAGAUUUAAUAUUUUCUAGGUUGUCUUGGGAGUUGGCAAUGACAGUAAGAGAGGAGAAUCUCGGGUUCCACUGGAAAGGAGGAAAUUUUUCAAAGCGAGAAGGUAGGGGUUUUUUCACUUGCUCUCUUGGUCUUUGGGCUUUUGGAUUGGAUUGGGACAAUUCCAAUUACCCCAUCCCAACUUACGACUUUUUAUCGGUCUAUAUUGGCUAAAGUGAACGUACUAAAAUAGAAAUUUGAGAACUUGAAUUAAGGUCUUGAAUUAGCGAAUGAAUGUCCAGUAAGAAUGUCAUGUAGUCGGACUUGUAAGGCUACCCUUAAUAAGUAGUCACGUUUGUCAAAACUGGUCUAUCUGAUUAUAAUUGUAACCAUAUUAUGUGUGACACAUGAUCAAACUUGAAGGGUUGUCCAAUAAGAAGUUGUCAUGUUGUCAAGCGUAGGGCCAAAGGUGAGCACUUUCCUACCAAAGUGUUUUCUUUUUCCCCUUUUCAAGGGAUUUGUGUCACCAUUAGAUAGGAGAUUCAAACACAAGACCUUGAAUUUAGAGGCAAACGCUUUAAAAAAGCUUCUCUGAUUCAUCUCCUCUGACUUUGACGGGUUCCACUUCGGAUUCUGCAUUGACAGGAAACCGAAGCCAAAGAUAAAGAUCCGUUCUGAUAUACAGAAAGUAAGAUGAUUAUCAACUGUAGGUCUAGUAGAGGCUGUAAUUGUUCUGUCACUUUAUAGUAAGGAAUCUUGAGCAUAAUUAACGAACCUGAUCCUUGUCCACCAAAACUGCCGUACACCUUCAGCAAAAUCAUUCCGCAAAUACAAUCUUAUAGCAAUGCGAUAUUCAGUUUCAUCACACCAGUUAGUAUUGGUCAAGUAAAGCACAUGUUACUUUCUGAAAAUUUGAAAUACUACAACGCAAAACCUAUCAAAAAGAUGCAACCAUGUGAUGCAAGAAACGAAAAGGUAGAAAGUCCAGACUCACUGUGGAUAAUUGAUUGUCAUUUUUCCCAAGCGCAGAUGCAAUUUUAGCGAAUUAAUUUUGUCCCAAAGAAAGUGAGAACGGAGCUCCCUUUCCAAGACAUUAAAGAGCUUCAUUAGCCCACUCACCACUGCAAUAGAAACAAUUUGAUACAAAAUACUUGACAGCAACCAUACAAGCCGCUCAAUAGACAAAUGACAUUGACAAACAUACCAGUAGCAUCUGAACCUGCUGCUGCUUUUUAAGUUCAUCAAUUGUCUCAAGAACCGACUUAUUUGCACCAAACGCUGAAGUUAUUUGAUGUAAAAGACUUGAGUUGCGCUUCAGAAUCUGGGUUGCUGGUGAAUUUCGCCGCAGUUGUUUCAAUGUCCCCAUGGGGAUCCUAAGAACCGUAUCAACAAUGGAGUAUCUUUUAUCUCAAGAACGCAUUGGACAAUGGAGCAUCAGAAAUUGCGUCUGAGGAUAGAAAAGGCAUACCUGCAGAUCCUCCUCCCGUACUCCUUGCCGCUACAUGUGAAAACCCAUCUGGCAUAGCAAGAACAGUCCUCUGAAAUGUAUCCAUACAAAGUUAGACGCACAAAAUUUGAAAAGCCAUUGCAAUGUAAUUGACAACAUUGACAAUCUCUGUCUGACAGGGCAAAAUACCUUUGUAAUGAUCCGGUAGUGACCGUGACCUGAUAGGUCAACACCAAAGACCAUUGUUAUGCGAUCAAUGAAGCUUAUAAAGGGCUUCUUGUACUCAGAGAUUUUGCAUAUUAGAGAAUACUCAGCAGUGGAUACCUGAACGCAGCACAAAUAUCAUAUCGUUAGCCUCUCAAUAUUAAGAAAACUACAAAUGGUAGCUUAGAAAAGAAAUGAAUCCUCUCCAACCAAAUACAAAUCAUAUUACCCCAAGUUCAAGCAAAAUCAAGACUAAACAAAUGAUUAGAUGUUGUAGGUUGCCCGAGAAUGUCAACCAUGAAAUUACAAAAGAAAAAAAUAACUGUAUGUAUUGAACAUUAAUAAAUACAUGCUGAAAGCACAAUCUCAGCCGCAAUUUAUGACAUUUAUACGAGAUUGAAUCGCUAAAGCAAUUGAAGAAAUUGCAGAGCUCAUAUAAGUGAUUUUCACUUUGAAUUUUUAGGCUUAUCAACAAAUACAUCAUUACGAUUCUAAUGCAUGAAUUUUGUUAAAAGGGGCUUGCUUGCUUGUAUUAAGGCUUAAUCAUCAAUGAAUUUGCAAGAAGCAAUCGAUUUGCUAGUUGUAAAUCUAUUCACUAAUUACCAAAAUUACAUCUAAACGGUAGUGAAGGAAGUCAUCUUAUAUUAUCUGGAUUUUAGAAAACUGUGUAAGGUUAUAAGUCUGUUAUUAUAUAUAGUUAAAAGGGACACAAUUAGACCUCAAUCAUAUUUGGUGGUUGGUUUUUGGCCAUGAUCUGCUUCACAUCACCCCCUGCAAACAAAAAUGAACACUAAGAGAAACAAUAAACAAAUGACAUGAAACAACACGAACAUCAAAGACCAACAAUCUAUCACGUAAGUACCUAAACAAGAAACAACUUUAGUUCAAAGCAAAGCGUAAUGUAGAAACCUUCGGCACAAGAGGUGUGUUUUUGUCCUUUUGAAUUUCGGCAACAACCAUUUUAAUGUCCUUUCCUGCAAUUACCAUGAUUGGUCACUCUCAAAACCUUACCUAAGAGACCCAAAAACAAAAAUAACCGCCGAAAAAUUUAUUUAACUACAUGCUAAAAUGGAAGUGUAAUAUUGCCAAGAAAGAUAAGAAACUAUUCAAAUACAGAUUCUGGGCUUACCGCACAAAAGGCACGAGCCUAGCGGCUACCAAAAAGAACACACUUCACAUUUGGGUGAGAUUCCCAUUCAUCCAGAUAGCUCUUGUAUUUCACAUCCAUAUCUGCAUUUUCCAACAAUUCCCACUUAAACAGAAAUACAAAAUUCUUUGAAAAAAAGCUAACUUCUUCGAAAUGCGAAUCCAACGUUUCGUCUUAUAACAAAUGCAAUAACAUAGAUUUGUAAUCAAUACGAUGCCAUAAAGUUCAAGCUCCAAAAUUCAAAUCAGCUCCAAAUCAAAAGCAUUUACAGAUAUAUACAUAUAUACAUGUGUGUGUGUGUGUGUGUGUGUGUUUAUCUACAUACCUAGGUUCAUGGCGUUGAGAGCUUGGGGGCCGACCGAGGGUGAUGACGGCGACGCCAUUUGGGUGGACGCUGCCCUUGACGAACGCGUCGGCGGAGGCCAUGAUCCCGAAGGGGCGGAGGAGGCGAGGGGAUUUGGAUGGUUGGAAAAGAGAAAGCUUCGAAUUUGGAUUGAGGAAGAAGAAAGCGGACGACGAUUUGCUCAGAAUUUAGGUCGCUCCUCCCAAUAAGCUUCCCAUUACUUCCGGUCGGGAGUGACUGCAUCAGUGUAGAGAGAUAAAGAUAUUUUUGGUGCUUCUGGGCCGGACUACCCUUGAUGUUUCGGUUAAAUAACCGGGAAAAACAACUGCCGCAGGGAAAUUUGAAAGAGGCGUUUGACGAACUGAUUGUGAUCUGACUCAAACAUGUGAUGAUGACGAUGCAUCACCACCUUGAUUGUGUCUCUGGAUGAAAAACCUACCAUCAAGAUCAAAAUCGUGCAUAUUUUCCUUCAUAGGUUUGUCCCAUACUAGAUUAACCCCUAUUCCCUUAGCUUUCGCAUAAUUAAAUGCAUUAGUUUUCGCAUAAUUAAAUGCACCGCCUUUCAUUGGUAUUUCAAAAGUUAUAUCAACUUUAUCCCCGCUUUGCAAAUUGAGCUUAUCGUUUGAUAUUUGACCUUGCCAAAGAUAACAGCUUUCAAAUACAAUAUCGCGCAUUUUUGUAACCCAAUCUUCCUUGCCUAUGCAAGUCUGUAACUCAGUACGCUUGGUAUUAUUUAUAUCAAUACUAGCACGAGGAUGACCAUCUUUACCUCUCAUAUAAGGUCUUGGCCGAUCAAGAUAAGAGCGGUAAAAGCAUAACAGAGUUAGCCCUUCAAAACUACGACCAUCACCCGGGGGAAUAUCAAAGCUAACUUCAUUACCAUCAUUGACAAACUCGAACCAAUCAGGAACAUAAUUCCCAUUGAGAAAAAUGCCACCAUAUCCGCAAGAAGUCCAUCCCUAUAUAUAUAUUGCAAGUGUCAUAACUAUAUACAUACAUGUACAUGUGUGUUGUGUGUGUGCAUGUGCGCAAUAGGAAGACAAUUAAAGAGAGAGAGAUACCUUUAGGACGUUCCUCCUUAAAUCAGCCGUGAGUUUGGUGCACUUACUCAUAUCAAUCCAUGUCAUGGAGUUUAAUGACUUAUCCAAGUCUGGAACCUCAGUGAGUUCGUGUGAAUCACAUACAUUCAGUUCCCUCAUAUUUGACAUUUUCGAAAAAUUGGGCAUUGUUACCAAACGAUAGCAACUAGAUGCAUCCAGAAAUUUCAAAUUUGUUGGUAAAUCAUAGAUUGUAUGAAGCUGGGAGCAAUAACUUAACCACAAACUUUCAAGUUUUGAAAGACCACUGAGGCUGGGUAGGGUAUGAAAAUAAUUGACUGAGAGAUCUAAAUUUCUUAAAGAGUCUAAGCCGUGUAACGAAUCGGGAAAUUGCAAAGGAAACUUCGAUCCCACAAAAUUAUUGAGAGAUAAAUGAGUGAGAUUCUUCAAUCUUACUGUGGAACGCGGUACUUGUCUUAUGGCUGUAGUAGAUGCUUUAAGUACUCUCAAUGAUAUCAUCUUCCCUAAACCCUCGGGCAAUUCACUGAAUUGCCAACAAAAAUCAAGAACAAGAGUCUGAACGGAUUUGGACCUGUAGAAAUCCCCAGGAAGAGAAAUAAGAUUCUUGCAGCGUGUGAGGUUCACCAAAGAAAGUUUUUUAAGAUGACCAAUGGAGGGGUGAAUAUCGGACAAACUCCUACACCUUUCCAAUAUCAACUCUUCAAGAUUUGGGAGAUUUGAAAAGUCUGGUGAUUUUUUUAAGUCAGAGCAACUUCCAAGAUUAAGGACCUUCAAGUUUUCAAGUGACUGUUGCACAAAAUCAAAGAAAAAUUAAAAUUAAUAUCCAAAAGGACUAUCUCAGAAAAAAAGAAGGAAAUCCAAAAAACAAAUACAAACAUAACAUCAUCAUGUGUAAUCGAUUGUACCUUGGAGCCCUCCCAAACUUGUACCAGGUCGCUAGAUGUUAUCUCUAAAAUAACUAGUCUUGGUUGAUCAAAGAAGUCAUCUGGUAUGGACUUUAAAGGGCAUCUUUCCCAACACAACCAUAUUAACUCCUUGGGGAGAUGUUUGUAUUCUCCAUUGAGCUGCACGUUGUAGAGCUUGAGCAGUCUCAGUUUCUUCAUAUUGGCAAAUGCUUCUGUACUGAACCCAGGCAUGUUAGACCUUGGAGGCCAAGGAGGAGGGAUACCUAGAGCAAGUCCUUCAACUUCUUCAGUUCCCUGUUAACAAAAGGUUAUAUUCAUGUGUAAGAAACGGAUUAUUUGCAUACGUUUACAUGUAUGAAUACAAGCAAGUACUAUUGUUGGCUAAUUGAGAUGAAUGUUAAUGUAUAAUACACAUCCGUGAGUUAUAUGUGCUUUUCAUGUACAAUGCAUUAAUUCAGAAUUUUAUUGGGAAUGUACUUACAGAUUUAUCUCUCAAUACUUUAAUGACCUCUUGCCGGUUCCACAACCUACUCCACUCUCCAGGCUGACGAGGGGAUUUUUCAGAAAUGAUUAAUUUGGCCAUUUCUCGAAGCAAAUCAUGCAUAUUCAACACGUUGUCUUCAACAGUUAUAAGGCAUCGUUCACGGAGGUCACUGAUUCCUAUUGUUGCAAAAAAGUUACAUCCAUCUAAUAUUUUUGCGACAUAGUCCUUAUCCCAUCCAAUAAAGAAACAAGAAAUGUCAAGGAAUAUAUCCUUUUGUGUAGGAUCUAGCCUUUCAAAGCUUACUCUUAGCGGUUUCAUUAUUCCUUUAUCAGGAAAUUUUUUCAAUUUCUCCAACUGACUUUUCCACUCUAUUGGGGUUCUUUCAAUCAUAGAAGAACCUAAAACUUCAAGGGCUAUUGGCAAACCACCACAGUAAGAAACAACCUCUUUUGAGAGUUCAAGAUAUCCUUCAUUAGGCCAACUCUUUCCAAAGGCAUGCCAACUAAAGAGCUUCAGAGCUUCUUCUUCAUUCAUUUCCUUAAGCGGAUAUGUCUUGUCCACUUUCAUGUUCACUUGCUUUAGUAAACAUUCAUCUCGUGUCGUUAUGAUAAUUCUACUUCCUGGACCAAACCAAUCACGAUUUCCAGCUAUGGCAUUUAGUUGUUCCACUUUGUCUACAUUGUCAAUAAUGACAAGUACGCUUCUACGUUGGAGAUGAUUUUUUAGCAAACUGAUACCUCCAUCAACACUGGUUAUCUUAGACUCAGUCUGUUUCAAGAUGUCAGAAACAAGCUUUCCUUGCAAAUCAACCAAAUCAUAUUCACUAACGUUGGCAAGGAAACUUUUGAAUUGGAACUUAUGAUGAAUUUGGUUAUAAAUGGCUUUGGCAGCUGUUGUUUUACCUAAUCCACCCAUCCCCCAAAUUCCAACCAUGACAACGUCAUUUGAUCCACCACCUGAAAGAUGAUUGAUAAUAUCUUGAACGCGAGAAUUGAUUCCAACCGGGUGCUUGGCCACAUUUAAUUCGUUUGCACCCGGAAGCCAUUCCGUAAUGAUCUUGCCAACAAUUUCUCUAAUAAGCUUUGCUUCGCGCCUAGAUGUUGAAUUUGUAAGCAUUAGCGGGACUCAAUGAACAGUAGGAGCUAUUAGUACAUAGACAAUUUUCUUUCCUUCAUACAUAUUCUAACUAGCUACUAGCUAGCAUGUGAUUUUUUUACCAACUUGAUAAAAGAAAGAAAUUCAUUCAUUAAUUAAACUCCAAUUACGGUUUAGGUUUUAUAUGAGAGGUUAAGGUGUAUUAAUUAAGCAUGUUAAUUAUAUGAGAGAUUAAGUCAUUCACUAAAAUGUGUCAAAUCUUUAAAAGCAGGUGAAUGAUUACCCAUUGUCAAUGAUUUGAAGAUGUUGGCCAGACAAAUUUGCAGCUUCUGUAAGAGCCUUUCUCCAUUGCUUUACCCUUUCUUGUUUAGCUUCACGUUCCUUGUCAUCUUUUUCUUCACGAAUGCCCUCUUCGUGCUUCUGAAAUGCUUGAGCUAAAUCUCCGUUCUGCUUCCUAACAUGUGAAGGAUCAACAUGAUAGAAUAUUGGCAAAACACGUCGCCCCAGUUUGUAUCUGCACUUCAUGAUCUUCACCAGCUCGUCAAGACACCAACUCGAGUUCGCAUAACUCUUUGAGAAGACAAUGAUAGAGAUCCUCGCCUCUUCAAUUGCCCGGAACAGUUCCUCUUUUAUUUCUUCCCCUCUUUCUAGAUCGUCCUCAUCGAUAUAAGCCUGGUAUCCCCUCUCUGUUAAUGCCGCAUGGAGGUGGCCCGUGAAGCCAUUGCGUGUGUCCACACCGCUGAAGCUCAAGAACACGUCGUAAUUCCAAAGUUUUGACUUGGAGGAGGAUGACGAGGAGGCUUCGUGGGUUGUCAUGGGGGUAUCCACCGUUAUGGCACUGCAGUGGUUCAGAUCACGACUGAAUUAAGGAAUGCACAACUUUACUUUUAUGAUUAUUUUCAAUGACAGCUAAAGGUCAGAUCCAAAUGAAAAUAAAAGUUAGGACUUCACAAAACCAAUAAAAAAAUAUAAUUCCCAAGUUACAAAUACCCACCAAAUGAUUCCAGAUAAAGUUUUAAACUCAAGGUCCGGCCCAAAUGAAAUUAAAAGUUAGGACUUCACAAAACCAAUUGAAACAGAAACCAAAUGGUAGAAGUUGAAAAAAAUAUAUGGUCAUGAAUCGAGAACUUCAUCAAACUAAUAGCAAUAAAAUCUCAUAUAAUAUGUCAAAAACCAAAAAAGAGAAAGAGGUAAUUUCAAGACCUUGUAACGCCGAGGCCUCGUACAGUUGUAGUAAUAAUAUAUGGUUGAUGCACCUGUUGCUCAAUCAAAUCCUUUGUCUGGCUAAAAAAAUAAAAUCUAUAAAUACAUUCACGUCCAAUUUAUGAGAAAUCAUGGGAAAGCAAAUGCACUGAGAACGGAAUCAUGAAUAUGUAGAACUUGCCAAAAAGAAAAAGAAAACUUUUUAUAGUGUGCCAAGAACAUCCUCCUACUCCUAGCAAUUUUUUAUGGCAUUAUCCACUUUUCAAUUCAUAAUUCAACCAGCAACUCAAAGUCUAUAGUGUAUGAAAAGGUGAUAUCUUAGUUGAUCACGAUGAUAAUUAAGUAGAUUAAAUGACGACCCAUAAAGCAUACAAAUUCAGAAAAGAAAAGGUACGAAACUGCCAUAAGAAAACGCAGAAUAUAUAAACCGGAAAUCAAAAGAAGAGAAGCGAAAAAGGAAGAAAAAAAAAACCAAACAAAAUUAUUAGGUUUGGGAUAUACCUUUAUCUGAAACGCCACAAUCAUCAAAGUCAAACAUAAACAAUCCAAAAAUUUGUGGAAAAUACCAGUAAAUGCUCAACUAAAAACGAAAGAAAAUGUAGAAUAAGUUUACCUGUUCUCCCCCUAAUUAAACUGGAAUAACAUUCACCACUAAUAUUCUCGUCGUCAUCCUCUUCAGCCUGAAAAAUUUAGUAGAAAUACUCAAUGAAGACGCUUAAUGUAGACAGUAAUAUUAGCAAUGGAGGAAUUGAAUUGAUAACCAAAACUGCAAGACCAAAUGACUAUUUAGGUUCAAAACAGAAACUCGUCUGCUAGAUGUCUCAUCUUUAGGCAGUGCCUUGUUCUUGUUUUUUUUUCUUUUUUUUUUGUUGUUGCAUGUCUUGUGAAGUUCAUGUAAAUCAACAAAAUUGAUACUUUUGACACAACCAACAAUGGAGAGGUAAAAAGUUAAAAACAUUAGGAAUGUCUUCAUUUUUGUAAUGGAUUUUGCAAGUCAGAAAUUCUGUUCGAGAAUUUGCAACCCAGAAAGUCCGCCAGAAAUUAUUAACAAUCACAGAUAAGCACCGAAUGAAGGCCAAUCUAAUAAGCCAAAAUAUGUAGGGCACUAAAGAAAUUACCCAGUAACAAUAAUAGAUAAGCACAUAUGAAACUAAAGAAAUUUUUCAUUACUAUCAACUCCCAAAAAAAAAAAAAAAAAAAACUGUGCAAUCCAAAAAAUGUUGAUACAUAGUUGGAGUAUCAAUGCCUGAAAUUGGUAUUUGAACCACGAAUAUGUUUGUUAGCUUAAAGGUUUGGGUUGAAGUUGUGAAAGGAAAUGUAAUUUCUUAAAAGAAGGAGAGAAUGCAAAGAUGAAUACAGAAUGGUUCAUGUGGCCACCUUGUUAAGGCACAGAAAAAGACAUCAAAUUUUAUACUUGUUGCAUCCAAGGUAUGCAACAGCCUCCCACAGAAAUUACAGAAAUCAAAUCAAGAAAAAAGAUAAUUACACAAUAAUUACACCUUCACUAAGAAAAUAAAUUAUAAAAACGAAGACCGUGAGAAUAAUUACCUUACCUUUGUACGGUGAUUGGCUGCCAAAAAAAAAAAUAAUGUCAUAUACAUUAAGCCUGCCAAUUACUAAAAACAAAACAUUUUGCCAUGAGGAGAAGUAAGAACAUACCGAAACUUGUUUGCAAAUAGAUGAGAAAAACUUAUUCCUGAAACAGAUGGAAAAUUUAUUAGGAAAGAUAAAUCAGCCCACAUGUGUGUAAUCUAUAUACAAAAAACCACUCUCUUCAAUAGCCAAAUCGUUUCACAAAUCCAAAAACACAUAAUUAUAUCUUGAACAAUGCCAAUUAAUGAUUUCCCAUUUACUUAAGCCAACAACAAAGCCAAUGAACUGAUGAAAGAGCAAAACAGAGAAACAAAAAACCUCAAUUAAGUAAUUAAAUGGAGUAUUACUUGAUAGAGCUGGAAAAUUACCCAGUUCCUCAGAGAGAGGAUCAAGAGUGACUGAUGAGAGUGCAGAGAAAAGAAUGAUUGAGAAAUUCAAGUUCUGAGCUCGAAGUUGGGGCUUCCACUUUCCAACUGGGGAAGAAAUAACAGAGAAAACACAGAGAGCCAAUCCACCAAAUAUUAAUCAAAUGGGUUUCUUCUAAUUCAAAAUUUGGACCACCCAAAUUCCAAUGAAGCAAUAACCAUUCAAAAUCCAACAGAUUGAAGCCCUCACAGACUACUAAUUAUCAAUACCCAGCAAUAAAAAAUUUGAAAACAGUAAUAAUGAAGGAAAAAGAAAUUAAAGCUGCAAGCCAUUCUCUAAAUCUCAGGCACCAAUCCAAAUCACCAGUAAUUUGCACAUAAUGAUAAGAAUCUAGCAGUAUUUCCAUUGUUUAAAAACCCAAAUUCAAGAAAUCAUGAAAAAUGGAAACUUUAUUUGGAAAUUGAAGCUUUACCUGCAGAUCAGCAGCAGCAAACGGAAUCCAACGGCAUGUACCUCAAAAGUGAGAGAGAGAGAGUUGAGAGAUGAGUGAGAGAAUCGAUAAACAAAACCCCCCAAAAUCACAAAAGGAAAAUUGAACAGAAAACAAAUUUGCAAAUCCAAAAUCACAAGAACGAAAUUGAAACACCCACACUGAGAAAGCUGCAAUACUCACCAGGAAGCUAGCUUUUCUGGGUAAAAAAAUUGUUCGAAUCGAAUUGAAGAACCGAGGAAAAUUCUACUGGUUCAGUGGUUUUUCCAGCAAGAAAGCACCUUGUUUGUAAUUCGUGAGAGGUUGGACAGCGAGAGAGAAAAACGUAAAGGAAAGGAAAAGCGGAGAAGAAGUCACGAUUAUCGACGCGUGGGUUGCAUUCCACUGUGCCAAGUUCGAAAAUGAACGGGGAAUGGGGAGCUUGGCCGAGGGAGACAGAAUUCGAGAAGCAGCGUUCUGAUUAAUUUUUUUUUUUUUUUUUUUAUGAGAGAGGGAAAGCGGAAUGAAGAGAAUCGAGAAGAGGAUGAACCAUUUCAAUUUUUAAGCGAUGAUCGACGCGUGGGACUUGAGGGCAAAUUUGCCAUUUUGCUGUGAACCCAUGAAGCAUCAGAAUACACAAAAGUCAAGACUUGGCUUGGUUUAUAUAAUUAAUCAAUAAUAUUCCUAACAAGAGCUAGGUCCAUAUAUUAUACGAACAAUACUUAGCUGCUGAAUUCCUACUUUCAACCAAUCAAAUUUUGACACGUGUCCAAAUAAUGAAAUUAUAAAUACAAAUUGAACACGUGUCCAAAUAUGAUUGGGUGAAAAUAGGAAUGGCUGUUGAAUUUUCAGCCGCCAAGUAUUGUUCUUAUACAAGGUUCUAAAUCUAAUAGAUGUUGUGGCUAGACGAGGCUUAUUGACUAGACGGAUUUAAGUAAAUUUAUUCUAUAUUAUAAAUAAAUGUUUUUUUAUACUUAAAAUGACACAUAAUUGUAUUGAGAUAUAUAAAUUGUAAAAUAAAAUAACAUAUAUAUUAUAAAGUAUUGGAACAUGAGAGAAAAGACCUAAAUGUGAAACGACAACUAUAAACAAUUAUUCAAGAUGAACGAUAAAUGAUUCAACCAUUUACAAGAUUCAAAACAUGAGAUCACGAUCUACUGAAUGAUUGCAUUAACUAUUAAGCGGUGCCCUAAUAUAAUACAUCCAAAUGGGGGUGGACCACAUAAUACACCCAAUGGAUCGUUUUUAAGCUACUCCACUGCUAAAACUAUUGCAAAAUGCGUUAGGAUUAUACUUCUAUUAGCUGCGCCUUUCCUUACUAGGCAAAUGGGGGUGGACCACAUAAUAAUGUUAAAACUGCUAUGUCUAUUGGGUUUCUCUGUUUAUUUCAUGUACUAGUUUAUGUUCCUUUUAUUGUAUAAAUAACUUGUACUUGGGAUGUUGCAGAACAAGUUUGAUUUGAAUGAAAUUACUACUAUUGAGUUAGCUGUCAAGCUUCUCUUUAUUCCAAGCUUGCAUUUUGUUCUACCUUUUCCAAUUCUCUACAUCCCUAAGAGGACUGUAUCAGAUGUUAUACACAUUGGAGUUUGAGCAGAAUUCUUUUUGUUAUCUUGUCUCACAUUGCUAGAAUUGAAAAGUUCAUAAUAUAAUAACAUUCGCGUAUGAACUUGAGAAACAACAUACUACUGGUUGGCCUGGAAGGUGCAGUGAAAGAGAGGAAAGGAAGAAAGAAACAAACACGAAAGGACAAGGACUAUCCAAUAGAUUAUAAACAAUGACUUAUUGGGGAUGAUUACGGCUAUUAAAUCAUCAAUAAUGCAUUAUUUUAGUUUGGAAUUUGGAAGCAUUUGAGAAGUAAAAUGACAACAACUACAUAAUAAACAAAGGUGAUUAGAAAAAAGACCCAAAUGUGAAAGAAUAAUUAAAAACAAUUACUCAAGAUUAGUGAUAAAUGAUUCAACCAUUUACAAGAUAUGAACUUAGAACAACAAUCUAUUAGAUUGUUGUAUUAAUGAUUAAGUGAUGCUCUAAGAUAAUAGAUCCAAAUGGGGACGGACCAUAUAAUACACCCAAAUGGAUGCAAUCAUGCCAUAUAUAAACAAUGUUUUGAAAGGACAAGGUAGCUAAAGCUGCCUUUUUAUAUAUGUAAGCAACAACCCUAAAUCUUACUGGAACUAAUUAACUAAUGUAUUUAUUAGACAGUUGGAUUCCUUAGCAAGUGGUUAACUAGUUUUGUUUAGUUUAGUAGUCAGGUCGUAAUUAAUUAGUCAAAUGAAAAUGCAUAUAACACACCCAAAUGGAUGCCAUAUAUGCAUACUAUUUUUGUUUAGUUUAGUAGUCAGGUCGUAAUUAAUUAGUCAAAUGAACCUGCAUAUAACACGCCCAAAUGGAUGCCAUAUAUGCAUAUAUAAACAAUGUUCUCAAAGGAUGAAAUGACUUUCUUGCCGGUAUGGGGGAAGAGGAAAGAAACUAGCACGAAACUGCAGACCCUAUCGAUCCAUUAUAAUAAAUUUCAAUGGUCCAAUUUGUAAGUUAAUUGUGCAACAUAAAAACUUAUUUACAGUUAUCAACUUAACCACGUACCUGUGAAAGACAUUAUCUCAGAAAACUAGGAUUAAGAACCAAAGUUCUCCUGGAACUCUACACAACUUAAGGCUCGCUCAAUGGGGCUUGAGUUUUUUGUAAACUUGCGUAUUUUUGGAAACGCAUCAAAUAGUAGUUAAAACAUCCGGCCGUAAAUAAAGGGUUUGAGAUACCACCAUAGUGAUAUCCCUCAGAUGUGAGUUUCUCACGUAUCAAAUCACUUAUUGUAAGAAUAUUAGUAGUGAAAGUUAAAUACCCGUGUUGGGAAAGGAAGUCGAUGAUGACAAGAGAGAAAUUUGGCUUGAAAAAUGUAUGAUACUUGCAACAUGCGUCACCGGAGUAUCAACUUGAAGCUUUCCAUCUCUCCGUCGUUAAAUGUUUCGUAAGCAGCGUUGUUGAAGUUCUCUAUGUCAAGGGGAAACUGAAGAUGGUUUUAAAUGAAGAAGAAUGGAAAAUAUAAUUUAGAAAAUGAGAAAGAAAAUUAUAAUUGAAACUAAAAAAAUAAGAAAUAAAAAGAGAGAUUUACUAUUUUCUAUGAGGUCUUGGAGUUGGCCGUGACAGUAAGAGAGGAUAAGCGAAUGAAUUGGGCCAAUUACUUGCUCUCUUGGACUUUGGGCUUUUGGAUUGGAUUGGGCCAAUUACUUACUUGGGCCCCAUCCCAACUUAUGACUUUUUGUCGGUCGGUAUUGACUGAGGUGAACGUGCUAAACUAGAAAUUUGAGAUUUUGAAUUAGCAAAUGAAUGUUAAGUAAGAGCGUCAUGAUCAGACUUGUAAGACUGUCUUUGUUGCGUUUUGUCAAAACCGGUCCAUCUAAUUACAAAUUGUAACCAUAUUAGUUGAGUAUAUAUAUGCUACAUCACAUUAGUGAAUAUUCAGUACGGGUGACACAUGGUCAGACUUGUAGGUUGUUCAUUAAGAAGUUACCACGUUCUCAAGAGUGGAGCUAGAGGGGAGCACUUCCCUACCAAAGUGUUUUCCUUCUCCCCUUUACAAGGGAUUUGUGUCACUAUUAGAUAGGAGAUUCGAAUACAAGACCUUGAAUUGAGAGGUCACACUUUUACAAAGCUUCUACGAGCACCUUCUUGUUUACCAAACUCAUUGAGACUAAAGGAGGUCUUAACGCCAUUUUGGCUAAUACUAUUCUAUAUAUUUACGAAUGGUUUUAAGUUUGGGUUUAAUUGGAUAAUCAGAGAGUAGUGCAUCAAACUAUGGAUAUUCAGAAACCGAAAGCAUAAUUCAUAUUCCUCCAACAAGUCCACGCAAAUAACCACAAUCAGAAUGUUAGUUCAUAACUGGCCAUAUAGAACGCAGUACAAAAGCACUAAAAGCGUCCAAGUGAAAGUGCUUUCUCCUCAUGCAGUUUCAUUUAACUUAGUUUCACAUGCCAGUCCGUCACACACUCAACUCCUCAACGUUCGGGUUCAAAGCAUUCUUUAUCCUUUCUGUACGAGAGACAAUAAAUUUAAAGUUCUUGUGAUGAAAUCAUGUAAAACAUUCAGAAAUCUUGAUUUAAUCCUUUCUCAAGAUCAUAGGUUGUGUCAUCUCAACUUAUAUCUUAGGUCUUAUGAGUGCUCGUAAUACACUAAUACGGCACUUGUUUUCUGGCCAGGACAGAAACAAAAUCAUGUAGGAAAUUGUCAUGACAAUAAAGGUCGUACCCAGUGCACAAGGCUCCCGCUUUAAGCAUGACAAUAAAGGAAAUUGUCAUGUAGGAAAUUGUCAUGACAAUGUAAGUGUAAAAUGAGACCGGAAAAACACUAAACAGGAUGACUAUGCUCUCUUAGCGUAAACCUUAACAACAAAGACUAUACCGUAUCUGUCACCAAGGGCGGAGCCACCAUAGGCCUAGGGGGGCGGAUGCCCCCACUGAGAUUUUUCUGAUGCUGGCAUGAUGACCUUCAGAUGCUUGAGAUUCGGCAAUGGUGGAGAGCAGAUCUUUCUAAAUUUCUUUGGAAAGAAGAGAUCCUAAACCAAGCACACAAACAAAAAUUUGAGAACAGCAAAUACAAAAAUUCGACAGUGAUCAAACCCAUCAAGCAUGCAUAUAUAGAUACAUGUUAUAUUUAUAUACCAUAGCAUCAUGAACUUUUAGUGUAAUUUUUCUGAAGCAGUCAAAACUUUCAAGAUAAUCUCGUGCUGCUCAAAUUGAUAUGGUUCUACAGCAGCAAAGCCCACACUGCGAUUUUUCUGGUUCUACUCUCCGAUCUGGUUCUGUAGAAGCAGAGCUGGGUCUUAUUUUAUUUUUUUUCAAAACCAAGCCAAAACGACAUCGUUUUGGUCCUGGUAAAAAAAAAUUUAAAAAAUGUAAACGAAACGGUGUCGUUUCGUAUAUGUUUGAAAAAAUAUGUUCGAGGAUGCCCCCAUUCACCCAAAUGUCUGGCUUCGUCCCUGUCUGUCACAGUGAUAUGCGACCAUAAGCCCAACUCCAAGGAUCAGCUUUCCAAGAACUUUGAAGGCUACAAAUCAAAAGUUACAUGCAGUGAUGACAUAAUCAUGAAAAAAUACAAUCAUAAAUUAAAGGAAAACAUACCGACUUCUAGUUCUGGCAAUUCACUAUUGGCCCAUAUAUUUGAACCACAAUAUGAUGGAUACCCAAUACAGAUCACAAAUAAAAUCUGAGCAGACACAAAGUAUUAUGUUUUGUUUACGCAAAAUCUGUAAGUUCUCAAGUAGGAUAAAUAAAGAUAAACAUAUCCCAGCAUAAAGACGACUUGUCCUGGCUAAUUCUAAGAAAGCUUGUAUCAAAUGUAUGAUAGUUAUUCAUAACUAACACAAACAACAGUUUGGCCAAACAUUACUGGUCUGAGCCAUAUACUGUGUGACCUCAGACAAAACAGAUCCCACAUGUACUCAGAUUAUGAUUGAUGUCCCAAUAGACUUUUAGGCGGUGCUCUGAUAUAAUACAUCCAAAUUGGGGUGGACCAUAUAAUACACCCCAAUGGAUCGUUUUAAGCUCCUACACUGCUAAAGCUAUUGCAAAAUGCGCAUUAGGAUUAUAUUUCUAUUAGAAGCGCCUUUCCUUACUAGGCAAAUGAACCAUAUAAUACACCAAGAUGGAUGUUAUACACGUUAGCGUUUGGGCAGAAUUUUUUUGGUUAUCUCAUUGUCUCACAUUACUAGAAUUGAAAAGUUUAUAAUAUAAUAACGUUCGAAUAUGAACUUGAGAAACGACAUACUGCCGGUUGGCCGUAAAGGUGCAGUGAAAGAGCGAAAAGGAAGAAAGAAACAAACAUGCAUGAAAGGACAAAGACUAUCCAAUAGAUUAUAAACAAUGACUUCUUGGGAUGAUUACAGCUAUUCAACCAUCAAUAAUGCACUAUUUUAGUUUGGAAUUUGGAAGCAUUUGAGAAGUAACAUGACAUCAAUCACAUAAUAAACAAAAGUGAUUACAAAAAAACCCAAAUGUGAAGGAAUAAUUAAAAAAAAUUAUUCAAGAUAAGCGAUAAAUGAUUCAACUAUUUAUAAGAUAUGAACUUAGAACAACAAUCUAUUGGAUCGUUGUAUUAACUAUUAAGUGGUGCUCUAAUAUAAUAUAUCCAAAUGGAGACGAACCAUAUAAUACACCCAAAUGGACCAUUUUUAGGCUCCACUGCUAAAAACUAAUGCAAAACGGGCAUUAGGAUUAAACUAUAAGAACUAGGAUUGCAGGGAAGACAAAACACGCAGGAAAGCUAUAAGACUACACAAGGUUUUCACUGUGAUUGCAUACCCUCAACGUUGUAGGGAGCAACCUUUUUAUAAUCACUUUUCAGAUUACAUCAGGGUUUCAAAAACCCUAUUAACAAGCUUACAUUUUGAAAUUCAAAUACUAUAACUAAUUCUGACAAAACAAAUAUUUAAAAAUUCAAAUGAUUUUAACAGAAGCUCUACUUGAUAAGUGUUGUUGACUGAGUAAACCAACUGAAGAGUUUCUGUUUGAACAGGAAACUUGACUCCGUCUAACAUAAACUUGUAUUAGCUAGCUUUCCUAGUCAAAUGAACCAUAUGAUACACCCAAAUGGAUGCCAUCAUGCCAUAUAUAACCAAUGUUUUGAAAGGACAAGGUACCUUAACACUGUCUUUUUAUAUAAUGUAAGCAACAACCAUAAAUCUUACACAAAUCCUGGUAAGUCUACCACAAGUGUCAAUCCUUAUCUCCUUAUCAUUCCACAUCACCAAGUGUUUGCUCUCGUAUAGAACUUACAAAAAUCUCAUUUAGUUUCAUCUAACUUAUUUUUCACAACGGUGAAUAUAUUUCAAUGGCUUGGUUUUCACAUGCCAGUCAGUCACAUGCUCAACUCCUCAAAGUUCGGGCUCAAUGGCUCGAAGAGAGCUUCCACUUCACUCUGAUUCACCUCCCUCUUACUUUGACGGGUUCCACUUCGGAUUCUGCAUUGACAAAAAACAGAAGCAAAAGAUUGUUGAGAGUUGUCCCACGUUGGUGAGGGACAAGGCUUGCUAUGUACUUAUAUGAAUUUGGGCUACUUUCAAUAUUGUCAAUUGGUUUUAUGGUGGAACCUCAAUUUCAUCAUGGUAUCAGAGCCAAGUUGUUGACGUGUGAAGCCCAAUGGCCACACGCACUUCACGUCACCUAGCUGUUGUCCACGUGUAGGCUUGAAAAUCCGUCACACGUGCGGGGACGUGUUGAGAGUUAUCCUACAUUGGUGAGGGACAAAGUUUAGCUAUGUGCUUAUAUGAUAUUGGGCAACUUCCCAUAUUACCAAUUGAUUUUAUGAUGAACCUCAAUUUCAUCAAAGAUAACGACCUGUUCUCAUACAAGGAAAGUAAGAUGAUUAUAUAACUGUAGGUCUAGUACAGGCUGUAAUGGUUUAUGUUGCAGCAACUCCGUCAGCAAGUGAUUUUCAAGUAAGGAAUCUUGAGCAUAAUUAACGAACCUGAUCCUUGUCCACCAAAACUGCCCGCACACCUUCAGCAAAAUCAUUCCGCAAAGACGAUCUUCUAGCAACGCGAUAUUCAGUUUUCAUCACACCAGUUAGCUGGUAUGGAUCAAGUAAAGCACAUGUUACUCACUCAGAAAAUGUGAAAUACUACAACACAAAAUCUAUCAAAAGGAUGCAACCUUGAAGAGCUUCAUUUGCCCACUCCACCACUACAACAGAAACAAUUUGAUAGAAAAUACUUGACAGCCACGUACAAGCCUCUCAAUAGAAGAGUAAGACAGAUUUCAUUUCAUCAUCGAUAAACAAAUGGCAUUGACAAACUUACCAGUAGCAUCUGAACUCUGCUGCUGCUUUUUAAGUUCAUCAAUUGUCACAAGAACCGACUUAUUUGCACCAAAUGCUGAAGUUAUUUGAGGUAAAAGACUCCUGAGCUGCGCUUCGAAUCUGGGUUGCUGCUGAAUUUUGCCACAGUUGUAAUUGACAACAUUGACAAUUGUCUCUCUCGCAAUAGUACCUUCGUAAUGAUCCGCUACUGACCUUGGCCCGAUAGGCCAAUACCAAAGGCCAUUGUUAUGGCCACGAAGCUUAUACGUGGCUGUCAAGCCCGACACGUGAAUAGCAUACUCUACUACUGUGUUACAUUGUGAGAAUUUUAUCCAAAAUUAAUUGACAAUAAGUGAAUAAGUUGAAAGAUUAUGUAUGACUUUAAUUAUGCAAAGAGUGAAGAGGCAAUUUUCACCAAACCCCAGUAAAAAAUUUGGGCCUCACAAAUCACUAAACCCAAUAUGCUUUUCUCUUAUGCCUUUCGUUCAUGGUUUGAUAUUCUGGCGUCCGAGGACCCUGACAUGACAAGUUCCAACCUUUUUGUUCAAUUUCUUGACGAAACAAUCACAUUUACCCUUACGGCACGGCACGGUUCCGGGCAUAGAAUAUGGGUUGGGUUCCGCCACAGAUCCAACACUAAUUAGCACUGUAGAGAAGGAAGUAAAGACAACUAUUGAUUUCUUACAACGUAGCGAGUCUCUUGACAUGACUCCUGCUGUUUUGUUCUUAUUUCACGUCCUGUUUCUCGAGCUUGGUGUUUCCGGCAGGGCCGGUCUAAAGAUUUUUGAGGCCCGGAGCGACGUAAAAAAAUAUGCCCUCACUUAUAUAAGAAAAUUAUUUGUUUUCACAUGUAAGACAUCGAUAAAAUUAUACUUACAAAAACACUUAAAACUUAAUAAUUUAGAAACAAGGAAAAACUAAUUUAUUUUGUAUCGUGAGAAUGAUCCAAAAAAACUCUGGGUUUACAAGUAGAUAGAUAUGGGUUUACAAGUUGCGGAUUGCUUUGCUAACUAUGAUGUUGAUCUGGCUGGGGUUCAUUGGUGAGAUUCUUGAUUUCCUUGUGCUACUUUGACAUAUCACCAUAAGUUGUCUUUUUUGCCUUGUUAUAGUUUCGUGUGGGGUUUUUUUUCUUCUUCUAAUGCUGAUUGGGUUCUUUUCUUCCAACUCCUGCCCACUCAUUAUUGUCUGAACCACACCUAGUAUUACCCUCAUAUCCACUAAAACUUCAAGCUUUACCAAUUUGUCACAAGCGAAGAUGGUAGCUCCCAACACCAAUGAGGUUCCAAACAAUUACGAUCGAAAACGCGAAGUGAAAGCUUUUGAUGAGACAAGGGAAGGCGUUAAGGGUCUUGUUGAUGCCGGGGUAGCCGAGGUUCCUAGAAUUUUUCAUCAACCACCACAAUUGGACGAUCAGUACUCCAUCAACAAUACAAGCACUGACUCAGAAGCCACCCAGUUUAGCAUUCCGCUAAUAGACCUUGAAGACCAUGGUAAUCCAACUAAGCGCAAUGAGAUUGUUGCAAAGUUGGAGAGGCAUCAGAGACUUGGGGCUUCUUUCAAAUAGUGAAUCAUGGGAUACCUGUAGGUGUUCUGGAGGCGAUAAAGGAUGGGGUACGUGGGUUUUAUGAGCAGGACACUCGAGUCAAGAAAGAGUUUUUACACUCGUGAUCACUCUAAACCUUUGUUUUACAAUAGCAACUUUGAUCUUUAUAGUUCACUGGCAACGAAUUGGAGGGAUACUUUUAAGUGUUACAUGGCUCCAUAUCCUCCUAAGCCAGAAGACUUGCCAGAAGUAUGCAGGUAUUUGACAACCCAAUUCUCUGGUUUAAUUGGUGACAGUAACCUGGUGCAGAUUCCUUCCUUGAUGGAUUAGAUCAUUAAACUCCAUACUUUUGACAAGUUUAAUGUGCUUUCCUGGUUUUCAACUUGCAGAGACGUACUGAUCGAGUAUUCAAAGCGAGUAAUGGAGUUGGGGAAAUUGUUGUUUGAGUUGUUGUCGGAGGCCCUUGGGCUAAAGCCAAGCCACUUGAAUAGCAUAGAUUGUAGUAAGGGGCUACAGGUUUUAGGCCAUUACUAUCCUGCUUGUCCACAGCCAGAGUUAACUUUGGGCACAAGCAAGCACGCUGAUGAUUCCUUCCUUACGGUCCUUUCUGCAAGAUCAUAUUGGUGGUCUGCAAGUUGUUGAUCGUCAAAAUAAGUGGAUUGAUGUACCCCCUGUGCCUGGGGCUUUAGUGGUGAACAUUGGAGAUCUUUUACAAGUAAGCACACGUAUACAAUUGCCCUUUUUUUUUCUCCCUAAAAACUACUAUUAAAUUAAGAGAAUAGUAUCGUAAACUAAGCUAGUUUGUUAAUGACUAAUACUCGAGACAAGCUUUGGUCGCAUGUUAGCGUUCUCUUAGAAUAUGUCUUAGAAUUCUUCGAUUAUCAUAAUUAGGUCUUUUAUGUUCAAUUCUUUUUGGGAUUUUCAGCUCAUAUCAAAUGAUAGAUUCAAAAGCGUAGAACACAGGGUAUUGGCGAACCGUGAAGGUCCAAGGAUAUCCAUUGCCAGCUUCUUAGCACAGGUUUGCUACCAUUUACAAAUCUCUAUGGACCUAUUAAGGAGUUGGUAUCAGAAGACAACCCUCCAAAGUACAGGGAGACUACUGUGAGGGACUACGACACCCAUUUCUAUGACAAAGGCCUAGAUGGAACCUCUGCCUUAUCUCAUUUUAAGAUCCCAACUUAGACAUGGAGGAGCACAGAAGCAGAGACCGCAACGAACAAAUCCUGUCUACUAAAUAAUUUGGCAUGAAAAUAUAUAUUGGUUUGUUUAAUCUGAAAGCACUUUCGCACCACAAAAUUCUGGAUAUGCAUAUUAUUUUGUUUUCUGUUUGCAUAUGGUCUAAUAUACUUGUAGAAAGGGUUGGGUUUCUACCCUUGCGUCUCAGGUACGAAACUUCCCCUCCUAUAAAUUAUUGUAAUAGCUUCGAACUCUCUAUCUUCCGCAAAAAAAAAAAAAAAAAAGGGGGGUUUUCUAACACUUCUAUUCAUCAUGUUUACAGUUUUUGUGGCAUGCGCUUAACGAAUUCAACUGUGGUUGUGGUUGCGGUUGCGGUUGCAUAUCAAUACUAUUAUACCAUAAGUGUGGGCUUGUUUGAGAAUGUUUUUGUUUGUAAGAAGCGGUUUUACACAGUAGUUAAAAUAUAUAUAUGUAGAAAGAAAACAUACAAGUUGGUUGACAAAAGGGGAAGAAAAAUUGAGAGAUACAGAGAAUAAGAAAAGAAGAAAAUCGAUGCAAAUUUUAAUAUAUAUGUAGUAGAUCCAGGUAUCCAAAGGAUUCGGGGCUAAUGUACCUGCAUUGAUGAAAAAACAAAGAUGAGAUUUUUUGAAACGCAUCACAUAGUAGUUAAAAUACCUGGCGGUAAAUGAACGGUUUGAGAUAACGCCAUAGUGGCAUCCCUCAGGUGUGAGUUUCUCUCGUAUCGGAUCACUUAUUGUAAGAAUAUCAAUAGUGAAAGUUAAAUACCCGUGUCGGGAAAGGAAGUCGAUGAUGACAACUGACAAGAGAGAAAUUUGGCUUGAAAAAUGUAUGAUGUUUGCAACAUGCGUCAUGAAAACUUAAGUGUCAUGAAAACUUAAGUGUAAAAUGCGACCGGAAAAACACUAAACAGGAUAGCUAUGCUCUCUUAGUGUAAACCUUAACAACAAAGACCAUACCGUAUCUGUCACAGUGAUAUGCGACCAUAAGCCCAACUCCAAGGAACACCUUUCCAAGAGCUUUGAAGGCUACAGAUCAAAAGUUACAUGCAGUGAUGACAUAAUCAUGAAAAAAUACAAUCAUAAAUUAAAGGAAAACAUACUGACUUCUAGUUCUGGCAAUUCACUAUCGGGCCAUAUAUUUGAACCACAGUAUGAUGGAUACCUACAAUACAUAUCAUAUCACAAAUAAAAUCUGAGCAGACACAAAGUAUUAUGUUCUGUUUACGCAAAAUCUGUAAGUUCUCAAAUAGGAUAAAUAAAGAUAAACAUAUCCCAGCAUAAAGACGAUUUGUCCUGGUUAAUUCUAGGAAACCUUUAUCAAAUGUAUGAUAGUUAUUCAUAACUAACACAAACAACUGUUUGGCCAGACAUUACUGGUAUGAGCCAUAUACUGUGUGACCUCAGACAAAAUAGAUCCCACAUGUACUCAGAUUAUGAUUGAUGUCCCUAUUGACUUUUACCUUUGAAUUAGAGAUUCAUCUGUUGUAGGGCUAUCCAAUAUUGGAUUUGCAUAAAACGAGCCUUUUAACGUAUCUGCAAAACCAGAACACAAACGGAAAAUGAAUGAUCCUAAGUUCUUAGAGUUUCCAAAGAAACAAAAUUUAAAACAAAGAACAUAAAGUGAUACCAGGCUUUCCAGAUUCCAGCUUCUCUUUUUCCAUGACUCCAUCCAAAAUUGUACCUAAACAUGGAUGGCAGGUAAAAAGAAGAUAAGCAAUAAAACUUUGUAAAGAUUCCCAAGAAAAGCAAUAAAACUACGUAAAUUAUUAGUUAAUAAUGUCAAGACCAUAGUCUCUGAAAAUCCAAGAGUUGAGAUGCGGCAGGGAUUUUUGGAAUUUUUCUCUAUUGUAAGUAAAACAUAGAUUGAUGUUUGUGUUUACACGAAAAUUAUGCCAACGGCUUAAGAGAAAUCAAAGUAUAACAAUGGGACUAAAAUGACUUACCUACUAUGAGGAUCUUCAAGUUCCUUCUUCACCUCUUCGGGCAGAUUGGCUAAUCUAAUAAACAAAAAGAAAACUCCCAUGAGCAGUGCUAUAACAAACUAUCUUCCUAAAUUCAUUAUGAAUUGCAGUUAAAACUUAAAAUGAACAUGAAAAUCCUACGUAGAAGGGAUAUACCUAGGUGACAAGCCUAGAAGAUUCCCGCGCAAGGAAGAAUAUCCCGGAACCUGCAAUUGAAAACUCAAAGAAACAAUUACAAAGAUGCUAGAAAGAAAAUACGUAUCAGUUUACAACAAAACGCUAGCUCUCACAAGAAUCGAUUAGGUAUGAAGCAUCAAAACAACAGCAUGAGACAUCAUAAUUUAUGAGCUAUGAAUGGAAUAAUGGAGCAAAAUAUCGUUGCCCAAACAGCACAAUCUACAAUCUACAUGACGGAGAAAGUACCCCGACAUUACAUAUGCAAGUUCAUGUGGUUUAUGUGGUUUAUCUUUUUAACCGAUUCGUUAACAAAUUCUUUCUGCACAUAUAGUUUUAACUUACCAAAACUGGUAAUGGAAGAGAUAAUCAGUAAUUAACAACGGUAAUCGCAUAACGAAAUCAUACUUGAGUGAUUGAUAGGAUUCCCAACCCAUUUGGUCCAAAUCCUUCUUCAAUCUUCACUGACAAAUCUUUGUCCCUGUCCUGUAUCAAUCCAAAAUCAAAAAACGAUAAUUAGAAAAAUCGAAUUCUCGACAUGAUCGACGAGUUAAAACAUAGCAAUUAAACAAAACUAUGAAUAAAACAAUUAGAUUCUGUUUGGUUGCUGAGAAUGAAGAGAAUAACAACCACAAAGUCAACUGAAAUAAAAUUUUGCUCUAACUUCAACGAAUUCUCUUGAGUUUCUGAGCACCCAAACAGAAAAAAAAAAAUUAUAGGCAAUCAAACCAAACUCUCAUGCUCAAUUUUCUCGGCAACCACAAAAAGAACUUAGAGGAGGGGGAGAGAGAGAGUUACUUGGAGCUCGGAGUAGGAUAUGGUGACUGGUGUGACGGUGGGGACGACGGGGUCGGAGGACGGAGGCAUAGUUCGACAAUAAAUUUGGCGGGAAAGACGGCGGUUGGAGUGUGACGAUGGGGAAGAAUCCGUGGGAACGAAGAGGAAUUUUGGUGCGGAAGGAGGGUCUUUAUAUCGGAGGGAGGGAGGGAGGGAGAGAGGUUGAGAGCGAAAGGCGUGAUUGUCAAUUUCAAAUUUUUUUUUUUUAGGAAUAAAGAAAGAAAGAGAGGUUGAGUAUCAAUUCCCUUUCCCUCCAAACCAAAGAAUACAUUCACGAUCAUGAUGUGUGUGGCAAAAAUUAAAGGUGGAGACAAAUAAAUUAAAGAGAAUUUUCACGAAAAGUUCAUGGUACGAUUUAUUUUAAUGAAAAAUUAUAUUUUUAUACUAAAAAGUCAAUUUUGAUACUAUUUACUUUACAUUUUAUUUUUGUCAUUAUCGUUAAAACUAAAAACAAUUGAAGCAUUUUUUUACUAUUUUUCCUUAUAUUAAAUAGGUAUAAGUAUUAGUUAAAUUUAAAAUUAAUUGUGUACUAUUAAAAAUUUGUUUGAAAAUGUUUUUAAAAUGACUGAAAGCAUUUUUGAUUAAAAUGUUUUUUAAAUCAAUCCUUAGUAAAACCAAGUGGAUUCUAAAAAGUCAUUUGGAUUACUUUCUACAAAAACCACAUAUCUUGAGCACUUGAAGCACUUUUGGAAUCCAAAAUUAAUUUAACAAAGGUGUGUCUAGUCUUUUUAAUUUUUGAACAAACAAUAUUAUUUAUUUUAAGGGAGGAGAUGAGCUUAACCUCACAAUGGACUAUCAUAUUAAUAAUGUUGUUCAAAUCCACCUUUAUCCAAAAUCAAAUCUAAAACAUCUUACUCACAACUGAAGAGGAAUACCUUUACAUCGUAAUACUAAGCGACAUGUUUUUUUAUUUUUAAGAGACGUGUUUAUUCAUUUUUAAAAGACUUAAAAACCAGCACUAAUUUGUAUUAAAUUCUAAAACCUUUGAAUUGGGAUGUAAUAUGCAUUGGGUCUUUAAUAAUAUUUAAGUUGUUUUCGGCAAAAAAUAAGGGAUUCAAUUGGGAAAAAUAACAAAAUAUGAAAUAAGGAUAUUCUAAUUAAGGUUUUUAUUAAUUAUUUAAGGCGGAUGGUUCAUGUGAAGAUUAUGAAACGCUUUAAUUCUCUAAUGUGCGAUUCCAUUUCGAUCCAAAGUUAAACAGUGACAAAUACAAUUAAGGUUGUUAAUUUUUUUUGGUAAAAACAAUUAAGGUUGUUAUUAAUAUCAAUUCAUGUAUAUUUCCGCAUGUGCCACAUUAUUAAGUUAGGCAGUGAAAAAUAUAUAUCGGAUGUUAUGAGAACAUGUGUGGCUGUCAAGCCCUACACGUGAAUAACAUGCUCUCUACUGCUUUAUUACACCGUGAAGAUUUUAUCCAAAAUUAAUUGACGAUGAGCGAAUAAACUGAAAGAUUAUGCGCAACUUUGAUUAUGCAACGAGUGAAGAGGCAAUUUACACCAACCUCCAGUCAAGAAUUUGGGCUCACAAUCACUAGCCAAUAUGCUUUUUUCUCACAUUUACCCUGACACGGCAAGUUCAUAGUUCAAUAUUCUGGUUCUGGUGUCCUAUGACCCUGACACGGCAAGUUCCACUUUUUGUUCAUUUUCUUGACGAAACCAUCACAUUUACCCUUACGGCACGGCACGGUUCCGGGCAUGGAGUAUGGAUUGGGUUCCGUUGCAGUCCCGACACUACAUAGCACUGUAGAGAAGGAAAUACAAAGACAACUUUGGAUUUCUUACAACGUAUUGAGUCUCUCGUCAUGGCUCUUGCUGUGUUGUUCUUAUUUCACGUCCUGUUUCUCGAGUUUGGUGUUUCCGGUUGCAAAUUUUGGUUCGGCAGUGUAGUGCUCAGGAGAGGGGACUGUCUCACGUUGUUCCAAGCAGACAGAGGCGGUUGACAACGAUUGCGACAAUGUGUUUUUCUACUGGGAGAACAUACAGCAGUCAACAGUUAUCUUUUCACAACCGUCUUCAGUAUUUGGAGGCACCUCAAGAAAUUAUCAAGGACAAACGAAUGUAGAAAAGAAGAAAUAUCAAAGUUAGUUGACAAAAGGGGACGAAAAAUUGUGAGAUACAGAUAAGAAGAUAAGACGAUACUCGAUGCAAAUUUUAACGAGCGAUACAGAGAAGAAACAGCUGCAUUUGGAGACAGCUGCUUUAGUUGCCUUGUUUGUAACAUUAGCUUUCUGCAAUUCCGGGGAAGAAACAGGAGUAAAAAAAACAGAGUCAGGCAGUACCAAAAAAGAAAAAUAUACAAUUAGGAACAAUCGUCACUUCUCAAACUUUGUAGUAGAUCCAGGUUUCCGAAGGACUCGGGGCUAAUGUACCUGCAUUAACAAGAAACAAAGAUCAGAUUUGUGGAAGGGAGUCGCAUAGUAGUUAAAAUACUUGGCCGUGCAUGAAUGGUUUGAGAUACCAUCAUAGAGGCAUCCUCCAGGUGUGAGUUUCUCUCGUAUCUGAUCACUUAUUGUAAGAAUAUCAGUAGUGAAAGUGAAAUACCCGUGUCGGGAAAGGAAGUCAAUGAUGACAAAAGAGCAAUUUGGUUUGAAAUAUUGUGUCCUCGGUAUGAUGCUUGCAACAUGCAUCACCGAAUCCACUUGAAGCUCUCCACCUCUCCAUCUGUUAAAUGUUUCAUAAGCAGCAUUGUUAAAGUUCUCUUUAUUUGGGGGGAUAUUGCAGAUGGUUUUGAAUGAAGAAAGGCAAAAAUUCAUGCUGAAGGCAUAGUUUACAACUAGUAUUUGUAAAAGCUAAGCUCUAAAGUGAGCCUUGAUUCUUUGGCACAAAUAGCUAAAGUUUUGAGAUGGGACAAAAUGGGUCCACAUACAGCGCAUCCGAUGGUGUUGAAAUCCUUUUCCCAGUAAGUCAAAGAUAAGCACCAAGAAAGACAUGACAGUGUUAAACUUAAAACAAAUACAGAACUAAGAAUUGAUGCAUGAAUCAAACAGAGAAAUGGUACAGGCCAUUCUCUUUAUAUUCUUAUAAUCUAAACAUUUCUCCUUAUCAACACUGGAAAAACAGCUUGCUUCAGUCAUAGGAAAUAAAUUGCGCCUAGAGUAUAGAAAAGACAUACCUACAGAUCCUCCUCCUGGACUCUUUGCCGCUAUACGUGAAAACCCAACAUCUGGGAACAACCAAAUUACAUUCUCUGGCAUGGCAAGAACAGUCCUCUGAAAUGUAUCCAUACAAAGUUAAGACACAAAAAACUCAAAAAGGCAAUGUAAUUCACAACAUUGACAAUCUCUGUCUGACAAGGCAAUAAUACCUCUGUAAUGAUCCGGUAGCGACCGUGACCUGAUAGGCCAACACCAAAGCCCAUUGUUAUGCCAUCCAUGAAGAUAGGGCUUCUUGUACUCAGAGAUUUUGCAUAUUAGAGAAUACUCAGCAGUGAAUACCUGAAAAACAUGCAGCACAAGUAUCAUACCGGUAGCCUCUCAAUCUUAAGAAAUGGUAGCUUAGAAAAGAUAUGAAUCCUAUCCAACCACUACAAAUCAUAUUACCCAAGUUCAAGCAAAAUCACGACUAAACAAAUGAUCAGAUGUUGUAGGUUGCCCGAGAAUGUCAAACAUGAAAUUACAAGAAAAAAAACAAUCGUAUGUAUUGAACAUUAAUAAAUACUUGCUGAAAGCACAAUCUUAGCUGCCAUUUAUGACAUUUAUACGAGAUUGAAUAGCCAAAGCAAUUAAAGAAGUAGCAGAACUCAUAUAAGUGAUUUUCACUUUGAACUUUUAGGCUUAUCAGCAAAUACAUCAUUACGAUUCUAACGCAUGAAUUUUGUUAAAAGGGGCUUGCUUGCUUGUAUUAAGGCUUAAUCAUCAAUGAUUUUGCAAGGGUCAAUCGUCUUGAUAGUUGUAAUCUAUGCACUAUGAAAAUUACCAAAAUUACAUCUUAUAUGGUAGAGAAGGAAGUCAUCUUAUAUUAUCUGGAUUUUAGAAAACGGUGUAAGGUUAUAAGUCUGUUAUUCUAUAUAGUUUAAAGGACACAAUUAGACAACAAUCAUAUUUGGUGGUUGGUUUUUGGCCGUGAUCUGCUUCACAUCACCGCCCGCAGGUAAUCUAAAUCUGGGUUAUUACUUAUCAAUGAAUCAAAGUGCCAACUUAUCGGACACCAUCUAUCUCUAUAUGGCAAAAAAAAUAACACAAAAAGGAACAAUGAAGUGAAACAAUAAACAACAUGACAUGAAACAGCACGAACAUCAAAGACCAACAAUCUAUCACAUAAGCACCUAAACAAGAAACAACUUUAGUUCAAAGCAAAGCGUAAUGUAGAAACCUUCGGCACAAGAGGCGUGUUUUUGUCCUUUUGAAUUUCGGCAACAACAACUUUAAUAUCCUUACCUGCACUUACCAUGAUUGCUCACUCUCAAAACCUUACCUAAGAGACCCCAAAACCAAAAUAACUGCCAAAAGAGCUGAACAUACAUAUCUAGAAAAAACUUAUUCAACUACAUGCUAAAAUGGAAGUGUAAAAUUGCCAGGAAAGAUAAGAAACUAUUCAAAUACGAGUUCUGGGCGUUACCGCCACAAAAGGCACGAGCCGAGCGGCUAUCAACAAGAACACACUUCACAUUUGGGUGAGAUUCCCAUUCAUCCAGAUAGCUCUUGUAUUUCACAUCCAAAUCUGCAUUUUCCAACAAUUCCCACUUAAACAGAAACACAAAAUUCUUCCAAAAAAAGCUAACUUCUUCGAAAUUUGAAUCCAACGUUUCGUCUUAUAACAAAUGCAAUAACAUAGAUUUGUAAUCAAUACGAUGCCAUAAAGUUCAAGCUCAAAAAUUCAAAUCAUCUCCAAAUCAAAUGCAAUUACAGAUAUAUACAUAUAUACAUAUACGUUUGUGUGUUUAUCUACAUACCUAGGUUUAUGGCGUUGAGAGCUCGGGGGGUGACCGAGGGUGAUGACGGCGACGCCAAAGGUGCGGAGAAGGCGAGGGGAUUUGGAGGGUUUUGUAAAGAGGGGAUUUGCUCAGAAUUUGGGUCGCUCGUCCCUCUUAUGGGAGUGACUCAAAAAUCGAAAAAGUUGAAAUUUAUUGAUUGUGAUCUGACUCAAACAUGUGAUGAUGACGAUGCAUCACCACCUUGGUUGUGCCUCUGGAUCAAAAACCUACCAUCACCAUCAAAAUCGUGCACAUUUUCCUUCAUAGGCUUGUCCCAUACUAGAUUAACCCCUGUUCCCUUAAUUGUCACAUUAUCAGAUGUACUGUUUCAAAAGUUAUAUCAACUUUAUCCCCGCUUUGCAAAUUGAGCUUAUCGUUCGAUAUUUGUCCCUGCCAAAGAAAACAUUUUCCAGAUACAUUGUGCAUUUUUAUAACCCAAUCUUCCUUGCCUAUGCAGGUCUGCAACUCAGUACGCUUGGUAUUAUUUAUAUCAAUACUGGCACGAGGAUGACCAUCUUUGCAUGUGAAAUAAGGUUUGCUAUGAAUUGAAUAUUUAGGAAUAAAGCAGUAAAAGCACAACAGAGUCAACCCUUCCAAAUUACGACCAUCACUCGGGAGAAUAUCAAAACUGACUUUAUUACCAUCGUUGACAAACUCGAACCAAUCAGGAACAUAAUUCCCUUUGAAAAAAAUGCCACCAUAUCCGCAAGAAGUCCAUCCCUAUAUAUACAGUGCGAGUGUCAUAUAUAUAUAUACACACACAAACACAAUGUACAUGUGUGUGUGUGCAUGUGCGCAAUAGGAAGACAAUUAAAGAGAGAGAUACCUUUAGGACUUUCCUCAUAAAAUCAGCGGUGAGUUCGGCGCAAUCCGUCAUAUCAAUCCAUGUCAUGGAGUUUAAUGACUUAUCCAAGUCUGGAAUCUCAGUGAGUGCGCGUGAAUCACGUACAUUCAGUUCCCUCAUAUUGGACAUUUUCGAAAAAAUUGGGCAUUGUUAACAAACGAUGGCAACAAGACGCAUACAGAAAUUUCAAAUUUGUGUUGGUAAACCAUAGAUUGUAUGAAGGUUAAGGCAGUAAUCUAACCGCAAACUUUCAAGCUUUGAAAGAUCACUGAGGCUGGGUAGGGUAUGAAAAUCAUUAGAUGAGAGAUCUAAAUCUUGUAAAGAAAUUAGACUCCCAAAACCCUUUGAUAAUGGAUCAUCGCUUAACCUCUGGAAUAAGAGAUCUAAAUUUCUUAAAGAGUCAAAGCCCUGUAACAAAUCGCGAAUUUGCAAUGCAAAUUUGGCUCUUCUGGAAGGAAGACCCCCAAUUAGAGAUAAAUGAGUGAGAUUCUUCAAUCUUACUGUGGAACGCGGUACUUGUAUUAUGGCUGUCUCAGAUGCUUUAAGUACUCUCAAUGAUAUUAUAUUCCCUAAAUCCUCGGACAGUUCACUGAAUUGCCCACAAAAAUCAAGAACAAGAGUCUGAACGGAUUUGGACCUGUAGAAAUCCCCAGGAAGAGAAAUAAGAUUCUUGCAGCCUGUGAGGUUCACCAAAGAAAGUUUUUUAAGAUGACCAAUGGAGGGGUGAAUCUCGGACAAACUCUCACACCAUUCCAAUAUCAACUCUUCAAGACUUGGGAGAUUUGAUAAGUCUGGUGAUUUUUUUAAGUCAAGGCAAACACUGAGAUUAAGGAUUUUCAAGUUUUCAAGCAACUGUUGCACAAAAUCCAAGAAAAAUUAAAAUUAAUAUCCAAAAGGAAUAUCUCAUAAAAUAAAUAAAUAAAUAUAGAGAGAAGGAAAUAUAAAAACAAAUAGAAACAUAACAUCAUCAUGUGUAAUCGAUAGUACCUUGGAGCCCUCCCAAACUUGUACCAGUCUGCUGUGCGUUAUCUCUAAAAUAACUAGUGCUCUUGGUUGAUCAAAGAAGUCAUCUGGUAUGGACUUUAAAGGGCAUCCUUCCCAACACAACCAUAUUAACUCUUUGGGGAGAUGUUUGUAUUCUCCAUUGAGCUGCACGUUCUUGAGCAUGAGCAGUCUCAGUUUCUUCAUAUUAGCAAAUGCUUCUGUACUGAUACAACUAGACUUUAAAGGGAAUUCUCCAUGGAGCUGCACUUUAAUGCGCUGGAACAGUAUCAGUUGCCACGUAUCGGCAAAUGCUUCUGUACUGAUACUUGGAGACAGAAGAUCAGGGAAACCUACAACAAGUCCUUCAACUUCUUUGGUUCCCUGUUAACAACACAUUAUACUGGGUAAGAAAAGGAUUAUGUGCAUCUAUUUUACGUGAUUUUGCUAAUUGAGCUUCUUAAUGCAAAUACAUAUAUUUACACAUGAAUGUUUUUAAUGUAUAAUAGGCAUACGUGGGUUACAUAUAUGUUUUUCUUGUACGAUGCAUUAAUACAAUUUUUUUUUGGGAAUCUACUUACAGAUUUAUUUGUUAGUACAUCAUAGACAUCUCCAGGGAUCCACAACCUGCUCCAUUCUCCAGGGGGACGACGGGAAUUUCCAGAUAUGAUUACUUUGGCCAUUUCUCGAAGCAAAUCAUGCAUAUUCAACUUGUUGUCUUCAACAGUUAUAAGGCAUCGUUCACGGAGAUCACAAAUUCCUGCUGUUGCAUAAAAUUUACACCCAUCUAAUAUUUUUGCGACAUGGUCCUUAUCCCAUCCAAUAAAGAAACAAGAUAUGUCAAGGAAUAUAUCCUUCUGUGUAGGAUCUAGCCUUUCAAAGCUUACUCUUAGCGCUUUCAUUAUUCCCUCAUCAGGAAUUUUUUUCAAUUUCUCCAACUGACUUUUCCACUCUGUUGGGGUUCUUUCAAUCAUAGAAGAACCUAAAACUUCAAGGGCUAGUGGCAAACCACCACAGUAAGAAACAACCUCUUUUGAGAGUUCAAGAUAUCCUUCAUUAGGCCAACUAUUUCCAAAGGCAUGCCAACUAAAGAGCUUCAGAGCUUCUUCUUCAAUCAUUUCCUUAAGCGGAUAUGUCUUGUCCACUGUCAUGUUCACUUGCUUUAGUAAACGUUCAUCUCGUGUCGUUAUGAUAAUUCUACUUCCUGGGCCAAACCAAUCACGAUUUCCAGCUAUUGCAUUUAGUUGUUCCACUUUGUCUACAUUGUCAAUAAUGACAAGUACGCUUCUACGUUGGAGAUGAUUUUUUAUCAGACUCAUACCUCGAUCAACACUGGUUAUCUUAGACUCAGUCUGUUUCAAGAUGUCAGAAACAAGUUUUCCUUGCAAAUCAACCAGAUCAUAUUCACUAACGUUGGCAAGGAAACUUUUGAAUUGGAACUUAUGAUGAAUUUGGUUAUAAAUGGCUUUGGCAGCUGUUGUUUUACCCAAUCCACCCAUCCCCCAAAUUCCAACCAUGACAACGUCAUUUGAUCCACCACUUGAAAGAUGAUUGAUAAUAUCUUGAAUGCGAGAAUUGAUUCCAACCGGGUGCUUGGCCACAUUUAAUUCGUUUGCGCUUGGAAGCCAUUCCGGAAUGAUCUUGCCAACAAUUUCUCUAAUAAGCUUUGCUUCGGGCCUGAAAAUUGAAUUCGUAAGCAUUAGCAGGACUCAAUGAACAGUAGGAGCUAUCAGUACAUAGACAAUUUUCUUUCCUUCAUAUAUAUUCUAACUAGCUACUAGCUGGUAUGUGAUUUUUUGACCAACUUGAUAAAAGAAAGAAGUUCAUUCAUUAAUUAAACUCCAAUUACGGUUUAGGUUUUAUAUGAGUGGUUAAGGUGUAUUAAUUAAGCAUGUUAAUUAAUGUUUAAUUAGCUUCUGUAAAAUGUUAAUUAUAUGAGAGACUAAGUCAUUCACUAAAAUGUUUCAAAUCUUGAAAAACAGGUGAAUGAUUACGCAUUGUCAGUGAUUUGGAGAUGUUGGCCAGACAAAUUUGCUGCUUCUGUAAGAGCCUUUCUCCAUUGCUUUACCCUUUCUUGUUUAGUUUCACGUUCCUUGUCAUCUUUUUCUUCACGGAUGCCCUCUUCGUGCUUCUGAAAUGCUUGAGCUAAAUCUCCGUUCUGCUUCCUAACAUGUGUAGGAUCAACAUGAUAGAAUAUUGGCAAAACACGUCGCCCCAGUUUGUAUCUGCACUCCAUGAUCUUCACCAGCUCAUCAAGACACCAACGAGAGUCCGCAUAACUCUUUGAGAAGACAAUGAUAGAGAUCCUCGCCUCUUCGAUUGCCCGGAACAGUUCCUCUUUUAUUUCUUCCCCUCUUUCUAGAUUGUCCUCAUCAAUAUAAGCCUGGUAUCCCCUGUCUGUUAAUGCCGCGUGGAGGUGGCCCGUGAAACCAUUGCGUGUGUCUACACCACUGAAGCUCAAGAACACGUCGUAAUUCCAAAGUGUUGACUUGGAGGAGGAUGAAGAGGAGGCUUCGUGGGUUGUCAUGGCGGUAUCCACCGUUAUGGCACUGCGGUGGUUUAGAUAACGACUAAAAAAUGGCAGUAGUUGUGUUCAUGCUGUCGAACAGAUGAUCCUGAAAUACCUAAACCCAAGUCAAGCUCCUUCAGUCAACAAGAACAAAGUUUAUAAUAUAAUAAUGUUGGUGUAUGGACUUGAGAAACGACAUAAUGUUGGCCAGAAGGUGCAAAGAAAGAGAGGAAAAGAGGAAAGAAAGGAACGAAAGGACAAAGACUAUCCAAAAGAUUAUUGGCUGUGAUUACAGCUAUUCAUAGGAGAAACAACCUGCCCGUCUUCAUAUAUAAUACAUUUCAACAGACAUAUGUUAAUAGGAGAAACAACUUUAGUUUGUACUAGAAAUUUUUACCCGGGCGUUGCUACAGGAUUUGAAAUUGUAUGAAAGAUUAUCUUUGAAAUAUAUAAUAGAUUGUGUGAUUGAAGAUUAAUACUAUUUACAUUGAAAACGUUGGAAAAAGUUUUACAUACAAAAGAUUUUACGAUACAAUCCAUAUAGUCUCCUAUAAAGUUCUGAAGUCGUGGAAGCAUAAAGGACAAAUAACAAAUGAGUUUUGAGAAAUUAUUCCACAAAUGCCAUUCUGCAUAAUGUAUUAAAGAAGAUUGGUAUAAGAUUAGCAAUCAUGAGUAGUGUAACAACAUCAACAAAAUAACCAUAAACCAUAGUUGAACAUAAUUCAAAUUUUGUUUGCAAAAACAAAAGAAAAAGAAAACAGACUUACAAUAAUUCAGUCUUCAAUCCUGAAGUCCUACUCAAAGAGCCAAACUUGAAUGCAAGCUUUCUGAAAUUUUCCAAGCAACACAAAAAAAAAGGUAACAUCCUAGUCAGAAAUGAACCGAGGUGCGAGCUUUCUAAGAAACCCAGAUGACAAAAUCAACAAAAUAGAAAGGAAAAAUGACUUGCACUUUUUAAGGCAUGUCCAAUCUUGAUCUAAAAUUGGUGGUGGGUCGAUUGUUGGUCACCAAAUCUAAAUAAAGAAUUCAUCAGAACCUAGAAAUUUAAACAAAGAAUUUUCCAAAAUCAACAUUUACUAAAAACCAGUUACUUGGUUAUCAAGCAUGAUGGCUUGCCAAAGACUGAAUUAAGGAAUGCACAACUUUACUUUUAUGAUUAUUUUCAACGACAGCUAAAAGGUCAGAUCCAAAUGAAAAUAAAAGUUAGGACUUCACAAAACCAAUUAAAAAUCCAAUUCCAAAGUUACAAACACCCACCAAAUGAUUCCAGAUAAAGUUUUAUACUCAAGGUCAGACCCAAAUGAAAUUAAAAGUUAGGACUUCGCAAAACCAAUUGAAAAUCUGAUUCCAAAGUUCCAAACACCCACCAAAUGAUUCCGGAUGAAGUUUAAACUAAAAAACCCAAUAGAAACAAAAGCAUUGGUGUGAAUUAACUGUAUCUAAUUGAAGAAACUAAAACAAAAGUAAAGCAAAGUAUAUACCUCAAAAUGUCAAGCAACUAAGUUCUUCCUCCGACGACCCAAAACUCUGAAAAUUCCACACAAAAAAAAGGUAAAUCCAUUAGCAAUUCAUAGCCUUCAAAAUUAGCAAAAACUUGGGCAACAAUAAAGAUGCAUUGAUAAAUAUCACUCUUUCUCCUUAUGUAUUUGAAAAGAUAUUUUAUAAGCAGUUUAUGUAGUCAUUCUAAUCAUGUUGCAUAUAAAUUCCUUUUCUACGGAGUUCAAAAAUAUAUGGCAGUUUACGGCAUCUGUUGAAUAACAUGGUUGAAAGAUUUAAAAUUGAUACAUUCAAUUUUUAUGUGUAAAACUAUAACAUAUAGCUAAAGCUAUUGGGUCUAUACAUCCAUAUCAAUCAUGUCGUAAUUGUAUGCUUAUCAAUGUAAAUAGAUGAUUUCAGUCAUGUGAUAACAUGUUUCUUGAUAGUAUAUGCUGAAGUUUGGUCUCAGUUGGAUAAAAAUCAACCAAAAUCUUAGCAAUAGACUCUUUUAACUUUUUUUUUUUUUUGGCGAACAAAGGUGGGGGGGAUGCAACACGAGGACUUCCCAGGAGGUCACCCAUCCUAGUACUACUCUCGCCCAAACUCGCUUAACUUCGGAGUUCUGAUGGGAUCCGGUGCAUGUGAGUUGGUAUGAUCGCAUCCAAAAAAUGAGCACCACAAUACUACACUUAUAAGUUUUAUGCACAAAAUACACAGCACUGACUGGCAAAACAAUAAAACACUCAAAACCCAAAAACAGAAACACAAUUAGGACUCAAAACUCCUCAAAAACAUGAGAGAGAGAGAGAGAGAGAGAGAGUGUGUGUGUGUGAGAGAGAGGAGAGAGAAUAAAAAACAAUAUUAUUUUUCACACAAACUCAAAAUUGCUUAUAAAAUUACAAAUCAAAACAAAUGAAGGCAAAUCCAAAAUUGCCCUAAAUUAAAUCUGAUUAGUUAAAUGUUUGUUGCCCUACAAAUGUCAUUACACACGACAAAACUUGCUUUGAAGUUGAUAUUUUGGUCAAUCCAGGGGAAAAGGAGAGAUUGGUUUUGGAGCAGUUGUCAUGGAGAAUACCAUCUCCCUGUUGAAUGAUCUAAAAAAGGACUUACAGCUUCUGUGGCCAUAAUAAUUUAGGAGGCCCAUCUCUACAGAUUUUCUCAAUAACUUUCCUUUUCGUAGCUGGUAAGAUUGCAACUCCAAGAAUUGCUCUGAAGAGAUAUAUACAAAAAAAAAUCAAACUAAAACUAAGCUAUUGGAAGAAAUUUAGAAAACACAAACACCACUACAACUCAGAGCUAAAGUCAACAGAAAGCAAAUAGUAGAAGUUGAAAAAAUAUAAGGUCGUGAAUUGAGAACUUCAUCAAACUAACAGCAAUAAAAUGUCAUAUAAUCUGUCAAAAACCAAAAAAGAGAGAGAGGUAAUUUCAAGACCUUGUAACGCUGAGGCCUCGUACAGUUGUAGUAAAAAUAUAUGGUUGAUGCACCUGUUGCUCAAUCAAAUCCUUUCUGGCUGAAAAAAUAAAAAUCUAUAAAGACAUUCACGUCCAAUUUAUGAGAAAUCAUGGGAAAGCAAAUGCACUGAUAACAGAAUCAUGAAUAUGAAGAACUUGCCAAAAAGAAAAAGAAACUUUUUAUAGUGUGCCAAAGAACAUCCUCCUACUCCUAGCAAUUUUUUUUAUGGCAUUAUCCACUUCUCAAUUCAUAAUUCAACCAGUAACUCAAACUCUAUAGUGUAUAAAAAUGUGAUAUCUUAGUUGAUCGCGAUGAUAAUUAAGCAGAUUAAAUGACGACCCAUAAAGCAUACAAAAAUUAAGAAAAGAAAAGGUUCGAAACUGCCAUAAGAAAACGCAGAAUAUAUAAACGGGAAAUCAAAAGAAGAGAACCAAACAAAAUUAUUAGGUCUGGGAUCAUCAAAGUCAAACACAAACAAUCCAAAAAUUUGUGGAAAAUACCAAUAAAUGCUCAACUAAAAACGAAAGAAAACGUAGAAUAAGUUUACCUGUUCUUCCCCUAAUUAAACUGAAAUACAAUUCACCACUAAUAUUCUCGUCAUCCUCUUCAGCCUGAAAAAUUUAGUAGAACAUAAUGAUAAGAAUCUAGCAGUAUUUCCAUUGUUUAAACCCCAAAUUCCAGAAAUCAUGAAAAAUGGAAACUUUAUAUGGAAACUGAAGCUUUACCUGCAGAUCAGCAGCAGCAAACGGAAUCCAACGGCAUGUACCUCAAAAAUGAGAGAGAGAGCUGAGAGAUGAGUGAGAGAAUCGAUAAACAAACCCCCCCCCCCCAAAAUCACGAAAGGAAAUUUGAACGGAAAACAAAUUUGAAAAUCCAAAAUCACAAAAACGAAAUUGAAACACCCACACUGAGAAAGCUGUAUAACUCACCAGGAAACGCUAGCCUUUCUGGGUAAAAAAAUUAUUCGGAUCGAAUUGAAGAACGGAGGAAAGUUCUACUGGUUCAGUGGUUAUUCCAGUGUGUCAAGACUUGGCUUGGUUUAUAUAAUUAAUCAAUAAUAUUCCAUACCAAGAGCUAGGUCCAUAUAUUAUACAAUGUUCUAAGGGUUUAACGGAUAGGCGAGGCCUAGUGUCUAAGCAAAUUUAAGUAAAUUUAUUAUAUAUUAUAUAAACUUAAAAUGAUAAAUAAUUGUAUUAGGAUAUAUAAAUUACAAAAUAAAAUAAUAUAUAUUAUAAAGUAUUAAAACAUAGGAGAAAAGACCCAAAUAUGAAUGGGAGAAAAGACCCAAAUAUGAAAAGACAACUAUAAACAAUUAUUCAAGAUGGACGGUAAAUGAUUCAGUCAUUUACAAUAUUCAAAACGUAGGAUCACAAUCUACUGGAUGAUUGUCUUAACUAUUAGGCCAUGCUCUAAAUAUAAUACAUCCAAAUGGGGGUGGACCGCAUAAUACACCCCAAUGGACCGUUUUAAGCUACUCCACUGCUAAAACUAUUGCAAAAUGCGCAUUAGGAUUAUACUUCUAUUAGCUGCGCCCUUCCUCACUAGGCAAAUGAACCAUAUAAUAGUUUCCAAAAAAAAAAAAAAAAAAAAGAACCUUAUAGUACACCAAGAUGGAUGUUAUACACGUUGGAGUUUGAGCAGAAUUCUUUUUGUUAUUUCAUUGUCUCACAUUGCUAGAAUUGAAAAGUUUAUAAUAUAACAAUGUUCACGUAUGAACUUGAGAAACGACAUACUACCGGUUGGGCGGGAAAGUGUGAAGUGAAAGAGAGGAAAGGAAGAAAGAAACGAACACGAAAGGACAAGGACUAUCCAAUAGAUUAUAAACAAUGAUUUAUUGGGGUGAUUACAGUUAUUCAAUUAUCAAUAAUGCAUUAUUUUAGUUUGGAAUUUGGAAGCAUUUGAGAAGUAACAUGACAACAACCACGUAAUAAACAAAAGUGAUUGGAAAAAAGACCGAAAUGUGAAAUAAUAAUUAAAAACAACUAUUCAAGAUUAGUGAUAAAUGAUUCAACCAUUUACAAGAUAUGAAUUUAGAACAACAAUCUAUUAGAUCGUUGUAUUAAUUAUUAAGUGGUGCUCUAAUAUAAUAGAUCCAAAUGGGGACGGACCGUAUAAUACACCCAAAUGAACAACAAUCUAUUAGUUUUUAGGCUCCACUGCUAAAAACUAAAGCAAAAUAGGCAUUAGGAUUAAACUUGUAUUAUCUAUCUUUCCUUACUAGUCAAAUGAACCAUACAAUACACCCAAAUGGAUGCCAUCAUGCCAUAUAUAAACAAUGUUUUGAAAUGACAAGGUAGCUAACGCCGUCAUUUUAUAUUUGUAAGCAACAACCCUAAAUCUUAUUGGAGCUAAUUAACUAAUGUAUUUAUUAGACAGUUGCAUUCCUUAGCAAGUGGUUAACUAUUUUUGUUUAGUUUAGUAGUCAGGUCGUAAUUAAUUAGUCAAAUGAACCAUAUAAUACACCCAAAUGGAUACCAUAUAUGCAUAUAUAAACAAUGUUUUCAAAGGAUGAAAUGACUUUCUUGCCGGUAUGGGGGAAGAGGAAAGAAACUAGUGUUGUGUUUGACUCAUAUAUUUGUGUGUAAUUAUGAGUCAUGUGUUGACAACAAUUGAAGACCAUGUGAAUGCUACAAGGAAAUGGCAGCAACCUUGACUUUGUGUGCAUGCUUUCGGAGUAGUGGCCAAAUGUGGCCAAAUCUACCUUCGGCUAAUAGUGGAAGAUAGUGGAAGACAAUGAUGAUGUUUGCUUGAGAUUCUUUUCUUUGGCCUUUUUCUGUUUCCCAUUUGAAUGCCACGUGAGUGGCUAUGGGGUUUGAUUAAAAGGCAAAGCAGGGAGCAUGAUACAUCAUGAUUGUGUUUGUGAAAAAAGGGAAAGUUGAUUCCUUUUUGCUUUUGCUAUUUAUUUGCUAAGAACCGAAGAGAGCUAGAGUAAAGUGAGAAGCAUACAAGGGGAAGAGCAUUCGGCUCUCCCAUGGGAAAGGUUGAAUAUGAGUUGAGAGAAAAUCAAGAGAGCUAGAGUGAAAAGUAUUCUAGUGAAAGAACUCUUGGGGUAGAGUGAGGUUCUUGGGAAAAUUCUAUGAGUGGAUGUACAAGGGAUUUGGGAUUGGGUUAUGUCGAUUUAACUCAUGUGUACUUGUACUGUUAUUCUCAUAGUGAAGAGCAAUAUCUCUCCGGGGAUGUAGGCAGGUUUUUGCCGAACCUCGUAAAUUUCUCGGUGUCUUUAUUUUUUGUAUUUUAUUCUGUUCAACUGAGUGUGAUUAUGGUGAGGUUGUAAUUUGAAUAUCGAUUCCGCACUAACGAACGGGCCAAGGCACAACAACUAGCACAAAAUUGCAGACCCUAUCGAUCCAUUAUAAUAAAUUUCAAUGGUCCAAGUUGUAAGUUAAUUGUGCAAGAUAAAAACUUAUUUACAAUUAUCAACUUAACCACGUACCUAUGGAAGACAUCGUCUUGGAAAACUAGGAUUAAGAACUGAAGUUCUCCUGCAACUCUACACAACUGAAAGCAAGGCUUGCUCAAUGGGGCUUGAGUUUUCUAUAAACUUGCGUAUUUAGUGGAGAGAGCAGGGACCUCAUUUUUAUACAUGGAAUUCAAUAAGGAUCCCUCCCAUUAAGUGAUCCUUAUCAAAGAGUAGCAUUAUCACCGUAAAACACUUAUGCAUUAUAUCAGUUAAAAGAGUUUUAGUUUUAUUGGGAAUGUAUCUGAGUUGAAACUGUAAAGAUAUACAACUCCUGAUAAGUCUACCACAAGUGUCAAUCCUUAUCUCCUUAUCAUUCCACAUGUCUUUAAUCAAAUCACCAAGUGUUUGCUCUCAUAUAGAACUUACACAAGUCUCAUGUAAUUUCAUCUAACUUAUUUUCUACAACAGUAAAUAUAUUUUAAUGGCUCCGGUUUUCACAUGCCAGUCAGUCACACGCUCAACUCCUCAACGUUCGGGCUUAGUGGCUCGAAGAGAGCUUCCACUUCACUCUGAUUCACAUCCCUCUUACUUUGACGGGUUCCACUUCGGAUUCUGCAUUGACAAAAAACAGAAGCAAAAGAUAACGAUCUGUUCUGAUACAAGGAAAGUAAGAUGAUUGUAUAACUGUAGGUCUAGUAGAGGCUGUAAUGGUUUAUGUUGCAGCAACUCCGUCAGCAAGUGAUUUUAUAGUAAGGAAUCUUGAGCAUGAUUAACGAACCUGAUCCUUGUCCACCAAAACUGCCUGCACACCUUCAGCAAAAUCAUUCCGCAAAGACGAUCUUAUAGCACCGCGAUAUUCAGUUUUCAUCACACCAGUUAGCUGGUAUGGAUCAAGUAAAGCACAUGUUACUCGCUCAGAAAAAGUGAAAUACUACAACACAAAAUCUAUCAAAAGGAUGCAACCAUGCGAUGAAUGAAACGAAAAGGUAGAAAGUAAGACUCACUGGAUAAUUGAUUGUCAUUUUUCGCAAGCGCAGAUGCAACUUUGGAGAAGUAAUUUUGCGUCAAAUAAAGUGAAAGGGGAGCACCAUUUCCAAGACCUUGAAGAGGUUCUUUAGCCCACUCCACCGCUGCAACAGAAACAAUUUGAUAGAAAAUACUUGACAGCCACGUACAAGCCUCUCAAUAGAAGAGUAAGACAGAUUUCAUUUCAUCAUAGAUAAAUAAAUGGCAUUGACAAACUUACCAGUAGCAUCUGAACUCUGCUGCUGCUUUUUAAGUUCAUCAAUUGUCACAAGAACCGACUUAUUUGCACCAAAUGCUGAAGUUAUUUGAGGUAAAAGACUCCUGAGCUGCGCUUCGAAUCUGGGUUGCUGCUGAAUUUCGCCACAGUUGUAAUUGACAACAUUGACAAUUGCCUCUCUGACAAGGCAAUAGUACCUUCGUAAUGAUCCCGGUACCAACUGUGGCCCGAUAGGCCAAUACCGAAGGCCAUUGUUAUGCCCAUGAAGCUUAUACGUGGCCGUCAAGCCCGACAAGUGAAUAGCAUACUCUAGUGCUGUAGUACAUUGUGAGGAUUUUAUCCAAAAUUAAUUGACAAUGAGUGAAUAAGCUGAAAGAUUAUGUACUGACUUUAAUUAUGCAAAGACUGGAGACAAUUUUCACCAACCUCCAAUCAAGAAUUUGGACCUCACAAAUCACUACCCAAUAUGCUUUUCUCUCGUGCCCUUCAUUCAUGGAUCGAUAUUCUGGUGUCCUAGGACCCUGACAUGACAAGUUCCAACUUUUGUUCAAUUUCUCGACGGAACAAUCACAUUUACCCUUACGGAACGGCACGGCUCCGGGCAUAGAAUAUGGGUUGGGUUCCGUUACAGCUCCAUCACUAAUUAGCACUGUAGAGAAGGAAAUAAAAAGACAAGUUUGGAUUUCUUACAACGUUUGCGAUGAUGUGUUUUCUACGGGGAGAACAUACAGGAGUCAGCAGUUAUCUUUUCGCAACCGUCUUUGAUUAUGAAGGAAAGGAAAGAAAAGAAAAAAAACGAAUGUAGAAAGAAAACAUACAAGUUGGUUGACAAAAGGGGAAGAAAAAUUGAGAGAUACAGAGAAUAAGAAAGAAGAAAAUCGAUGCAAAUUUUAAUAUAAAUGUAGUAGAUCCAGGUAUCCAAAGGAUUCGGGGCUAAUGUACCUGCAUUGAUAAAAAACAAAUAUCAGAUUUUUGGAAACGCAUCACAUAGUAGUUAAAACACCCGGCCGUGAAUGAAAGGUCUGAGUUACCGCCAUUUUGGCUAAUACUAUUCUGUAUAUUUACGAAUGGUUUUAAGUUUGGGUUUAAUUGGAUAAUCGGAGAGUAGUGCAUCAAACUAUGGAUAUUCAGAAACCGAAAGCAUAAUUCAUAUUCCUCUAACAAGUCCACGCAAAUGACCACAAUCAGAAUGUUAGUUCAUAGCUGGCCAUAUAGAACGCAAUACAAAAGCACUAAAAGCAUCCAAGUGAAAGUGCUUUCUCCUCAUGUAGUUUCAUUUAACUUAGUUUCACAUGCCAGUCCGUCACACACUCAACUCCUCAACGUUCGGGCUCAAAGCAUUCUUUAUCCUUUCUGUACGAGAGACAAUAAAUUUAUAGUUCUUGUGAUGAAAUCAUGCAAAACAUUCAGAAAUCUUGAUUUAACCCUUUCUCAAGAUCAUAGGUUGUGUCAUCUCAACUUAUAUCUUAGGUCUUAUGAGUGCUCGUAAUACACUAAUAUGACACUUGUUUUCUGGCCAGGACAGAAACAAAAUCAUGCAGGAAAUUGUCACGACAACUUAAGUGUAAAAUGCGACCGGAAAAGCACUAAACAGGAUAGUUAUGCUCUCACAGUGUAAACCUUAACAACAAAGACUAUACCGUAUCUGUCACAGUGAUAUGCGACCAUAAGCCCAACUCCAAGGAUCAGCUUCCAAGAGCUUUGAAGGCUACAGAUCAAAAGUUACAUGCAGUGAUGACAUAAUCAUGAAAAAAUACAAUCAUAAAUUAAAGGAAAACAUACUGACUUCUAGUUCUGGCAAUUCACUAUUGGGCCAUAUAUUUGAACCACAGUAUGAUGGAUACCUACAAUACAGAUCACAAAUAAAAUCUGAGCAGACACAAAGUAUUAUGUUCUGUUUACGCAAAAUCUGUAAGUUCUCAAAUAGGAUAAAUAAAGAUAAACAUAUCCCAGCAUAAAGACGAUUUGUCCUGGUUAAUUCUAAGAAACCUUGUAUCAAAUGUAUGAUAGUUAUUCAUAACUAACACAAACAACUGUUUGGCCAAACAUUACUGGUAUGAGCCAUAUACUGUGUGACCUGAGACAAAACAGAUCCCACAUGUACUCGGAUUAUGAUUGAUGUCCCUAUUGACUUUUACCUUUGAAUUAGAGAUUCAUCUGUUGUAGGGCUAUCCAAUAUUGGAUUUGCAUAAAACGAGCCUUUUAACGUAUCUGCAAAACCAGAACACAAACGGAAAAUGAAUGAUCCUAAGUUCUUAGAGUUUCCAAAGAGACAAAAUUUAAAACAAAGAACAUAAAGUGAUACCCGGCUUUCCAAAUUCCAGCUUCUCUUUUCCAUGACUCCAUCCAAAAUUGUACCUAAACAUGGAUGGCAGGUAAAAAGAAGAUAAGCAAUAAAACUUUGUAAAGAUUCCCAAGAAAAGCAAUAAAACUACGUAAAUAUUAGUUAAUAAUGUCAAGACCAUAGUCUGUGACAAAUCCAAGAGUUGAGAUGAGACUAUCUUUCUGGCAGGAAUUUUUGGAAAUUUUCUCUAUUGUAAGGAGAUAGAUUGAUGUUUGUGUUUACACGAAAAUUAUGCCAACGGCUUAAGAGAAAUCAAAGUAUAACAAUGGGACUAAAAUGACUUACCUACUAUGAGGAUCUUCCAGUUCCUUCUUCACCUCUUCAGGCAGAUUGGCUAAUCUAAUAAACGAAAAGAAAACUCCCAUGAGCAGUGCUAUAACAAACUAUCUUCCUAAAUUCAUUAUGAGUUGCAGUUAAAACUUAAAAUGAACAUGAAAAUCCUAUGUAGAAGGGAUAUACCUAGGUUAAAAGCGUAGAAGAUUCCUGCGCAAGGAAGAAUAUCCCGGAACCUGCAAUUGGAAACUCAAUGAAACAAUUACAAAGAUGCUAGAAAGAAAAUACUUAUCAGUUUACAACAGAAUGCUAGCUCUCACAAGAAUCGAUUAGGUAUGAAGCAUCAAAACAAUAACAUGAGACAUCAUAAUUUAUGAGCUAUGAAUGGAAUAAUGGAGCAAAAUAUCGUAGCCCAAACAGCACAAUCUACGAUCUACAUGACGGAGAAAGUACCCCGGCAUUACAUAUGCAAGUUCAUGGGUUCACAUGUAAGCAUGUGGUUUAUCUUUUUAACCGAUUCGUUAACAAAUUCUUUCUGCACGUAUAGUUUCAACCCGAAACCUAAAAUUCCAUAGUCAAACAAAUAUGCAUAAUAGCAGAAUUAAGUAAAAAAACAACAUAUCACCAUACUGAUACUGAUGUGAUUCAGAAUUAAGCAUUUUAACUUACCAAAACUGGUAAUGGAAGAGAUAAUCAGUAAUUAACUAGGGUAAUCGCAUAACAAAAUCAUACUUGAGUGAUUGAUAGGAUUCCCAACCCAUUGGGUCCAAAUCCUUCUUCAAUCUUCACUGACAAGUCUUUGUCCUUGUCUUGUAUCAAUCAAUCCAAAAUAAAAAAACGAUAAUUAGAAAAAUCGAAUUCUCGACAUGAUUGACUGAGUUAAAACAUAGCAAUUAAACAAAACUAUGAAUAAAACAAUUAGAUUCUGUUUGGUUGCUGAGAAAAUGAAGAGAAUAACAACCAAAAAGUCAACUGAAAUAGAAUUUUGCUCUAAUUUCAACGAAUUCUCUUGAGUUUCUGAGCACCCAAACAGAAAAAAAAUUAAAGCCAAUCAAACCAAACUCUCAUGCUCAAUUUUCUCGCAACCACAAACAGAACUUAGAGGGAGAGACAGAGUUACUUGGAGCUCGGAGUAGGAUAUGGUGACUGGUGUGACGGUGGGGACGGCGAGGUCGGAGGACGGAGGCAUAGUUCGACAAGAAAUUUGGCGGGAAAGACGGCGGUUGGACUGUGACGGUGGGGAAGAAUCCGUGGGAACGAAGAGGAAUUUUGGUGCGGAAGGACGGCUUUUAUAUAGAAGGGAGGGAGAGAGGUUGAGAGCGAAAGGCGUGAUUGUCAAUUUCAAAUAUUUUUGAAGGAAUAAAGAAAGAAGGGAGGUUGAGCAUCAAUUCCCUUUCCCUCCGAACCAAAGAAUACACGCAACUUUAACGAAAAGUUUUCGGUACGGUUCAUUUUUACACUAAAAUGUCAAUCUUGAUACUAUUCACUUUACUCUUUAUUUUGUUCUUAUCGUUAAAACUCAAAGUUUUCAAGCCAUUUUCAUUAGUUUCCUUAAGAAUAUAUGCACGAUCACGAUGUGUGGCAAAACUUGAAGGUGGAGACGAAUAUAUUAAAUACAUAUAACUAUUACUGUAUUAGUUCAAUUUAAAAUUAAUUACAUACUUUAAGGAUUUGUUUGAAAGUAUUUUUCAAAUAAUUAAAAGUGUUUUUGAUUAACAUGUUUUUUAAAUCAAUCUUUAGUAUAACUAAGUGGAUCUUAAAAAAGAACUUGAGGUGCUUUCUACAAAAAAAUACAUGUCUGGAGCACUUGAAGUGUUUUUGGAACCCAAAAUCAAUUUAAUAAAAGUGGGUUUAAUCUUUUUUUUUUUUUUUUUUGAACAAACGAUAUCAUCUAUCUUUAAGGUGAGAAAAUAGGCUUAACCUCACAAUGGCCUAGCACAUAAAUAAUGUGAUUCAAAUUCGCUUUUGGUGAGAAUCGAAUCUAAGACUUCUCACUUACAAAUAAGGAGGAAUACCCUAAAUCAUAGUACUAAGUAAUGUGUUUAGUUAUUUUUAAAAGACUUCAAAACAAGCCCUAAUUUGUAUCAAAUUCAAAAAAUUUGAAUUGGGCGGAUGUAAUAUGUAUUGGGUAUUUCCUCAUUCAAUAAUAUUUACGUUGUUUUCGGCAAAAAAGAAAGAAUUCAAUUGGAAAAAAAUAAAAAAAUGGGAAAUAAGGAUAUUCUAGUUAAGGUUUUUAUUAAUUGUUUUAGGUGGAUGGUUCAUAUGAAGAUUAUGAAAACGCUUUAAUUCUCUAAUGUGAGGUUCCGUCUCGAUCCAAAGUUAAUCAGUGAAAAAUAUAAUUAAGAUUGUUAUUAAUUAUCAAUUCAUGUAUAUUUCCCCAUGUAUUACGUUACUAAGUUAGACAAUGAAAAAUACAUAUAAGGCGUUAUGAGAAUAUGCGUGGCUGUCAAGUCUGACACGCAAAUAGCAUGCUCAACUUGAAUUACUCUCUAAGGAUUUUAUCCAAAAUCGACGAUGAGUGAACAAGUUGAAAGAUUAUGCACGACUUUCAUUAUGUAACAAGUGAAGAGGCAAUUUUCGCCAACCCUGACACGACAAGUUCCACUUUUUGUACAUUUUCUUGACGAAACAAUCACAUUUACCCUUACGAUUCCGGGCAUAGAGUAUGUGUUGGGUUCCGUUACAGUUCCGACGCUACUUAGCACUGUAGAGAAGGAAAUAAAAAGACAACUUUGGAUUUCUUACAACGUAUUGAGUCUCUCUUCAUGGCUCUUGCUGUGUUGUUCUUAUCUCACGUCCUGUUUCUCGAGCUUGGUGUUUCCGGUUGCAAAUUUUGGUUCGCCGGUGUAGUGCUCAGGGGAGGGGACUGUCUCACAUUGUUCCAAGCAGACAGAGGCGGUUGACAACGAUUGCGAUAAUGUGUUUUUCUACUGGGAGAACAUACAGCAGUCAGCAGUUACCUUUUCACAACCGUCUUCAGUAUUUGGAGGCACCUCAAGAAAUUAUCAAGGACAAACGAAUGUAGAAAAGAAGAAAUAUCGAAGUUGAUUGACAAAGGGGGCCGAAAAGUUGAGAGAUACAGAGAAGAGGAAGAUAAGAAGAAACUCGAUGCAAAUUUUAAGCUAGAUUAGUUAUUUUUCAUUAACGAGCGAUACAGAGAAGAAGAAACAGCUGCAUUUGGAGAUAGCCGCUUUAGUUGCCUAGUUUGUAACAUUAGCUUUAUGUAAAUCCGGGGAAGAAACAGGAGUAAAAAAAACACAAUCAGGCAGUACCAAAGAAGAAAAAUGUACAGUUACGAACAAUCACCACUUCUCAAACUUUGUAGUAGAUCCAGGUAUCCGAAAGACUCGGGGCUAAUGUACCUGCAUUAACAAAAAACAAAGAUCAGAUUUGUGUAAGGGAGUCGCAUAGUAGUUAAAAUACUCGGCCAUGCGCGAAUGGUUUGAGAUACCACCAUAGAGGCAUCCUCCAGGUGUGAGUUUCUUUCGUAUCGGAUCACUUAUUGUAAGAAUAUCAGUAGUGAAAGUGAAAUACCAGCGUCGGUAUUGAAAAAUUGUGUCCUCCGUAUGAUGCUUGCAACAUGCAUCACCGAAUCAACUUGAAGCUCUCCACCUCUCCAUCUGUUAAAUGUUUCAUAAGCAGCAUUGUUAAAGUUCUCUCUGGUUGGGGCGAUAUUGCAGAUAGUUUUGAAUGAAGAAAGGCAAAAAUUCAUGCUGAAGGCAUAGUUUACAACUAGUAUUUGUAAAAGCUAAGCUCUAAAGGUCUCACCUUGAUUCUUUGGCACAAAUAGCUAAGUUUUGAGAUGGGACAAAAUGGGUCCCAAGACCCACAUACAGUGCAUCCGAUGGUGUUGAAAUCCUUUUCCCAGUAAGUCAAAGAUAAGCACCAAGAAAGACAUGACAGUGUUAAAACAAAUACAGAACUAAGAAUUGAUGCAUGAAGCAAACAGAGUAAUGGUACAGGCCAUUCUCUUUAUAUUCUUAUAAUCUAAACAGUUUCUCCUUAUCAACGUUGGAAAAACAGCUUGCUUCAGUCAUAGGAGGGAAAUUGCGCCCGAGUAUAGAAAAUACAUACCUACAGAUCCUCCUCCUGGACUCUUUGCCGCUAUACGUGAAAACCCAACAUCUGGGAACAAACAAAUUACAUUCUCUGGCAUUAGCAAGAACAGUCCUCUGAAAUGUAUCCAUACAAAGUUAAGACACAAAAAAUUCAAAAAGGCAAUGUAAUUCACAACAUUGACAAUCUCUGUCUGACAAGGCAAUAAUACCUCUGUAAUGAUCCAGUAGCGACCGUGACCUGAUAGGCCAACACCAAAGCCCAUUCUUAUGCCAUCCAUGAAGCUUAUAUAGGGCUUCUUGUACUCUGAGAUUUUGCAUAUUAGAGAAUACUCAGCAGUGAAUACCUGAAAAACGUGCAGCACAAGUAUCAUACCGGUAGCCUCUCAAUCUUAAGAAAUGGUAGCUUAGAAAAGAUAUGAAUCCUAUCCAACCAAUACAAAUCAUAUUACCCAAGUUCAAGCAAAAUCAAGACUAAACAAAUGAUCAGAUGUUGUAGGUUGCCCGAGAAUGUCAAACAUGAAAUUACAAAAGAAAAAAAAUAAUCGUAUGUAUUGAACAUUAAUAAAUACAUGCUGAAAGCACAAUCUUAGCCGCAAUUUAUGACAUUUAUACGAGAUCGAAUAGAAAAAGCAAUUAAAGAAGUAGCAGAACUCACAUAAGUGAUUUUCACUUUGAACUUUUAGGCUUAUCAACAAAUACAUCAUUACGAUUCUAAUGCAUGAAUUUUGUUAAAGGGGGCUUGCUUGCUUAUAUUAAGGCUUAAUCAUCAAUGAUUUUGCAAGGGUCAAUCAUCUUGCUAGUUGUAAAUCUAUUCACUAUGAAAAUGACCAAAAUACAUCUUAUAUGGUAGUGAAGGAAGUCAUCUUAUAUUAUCUGGAUUUUAGAAAACGGUGUAAGGUUAUAAGUCUGUUAUUCUAUAUAGUUAAAAGGACACAAUUAGACCUCAAUCAUAUUCGGUGGUUGGUUUUUGGCCGUGAUCUGCUUCACAUCACCGCCUGCAGGUAAACUAAAUCUGGGUUAUUACUUAUCAAUGAAUCAACGUGCCAACUUAAUGGACACCAUCUAUCUCUAUAUGGCAAAAAAACAACACAAAAAUGAACAAUGAAGUGAAACAAUAAACAACAUGAUGUGAAACAGCACGAACAUCAAAGACUAACAAUAUAUCACAUAAGCACCUAAACAAGAAACAACUUUGGUUCAAAGCAAAGCGUAAUGUAGAAACCUUCGGCAGAACAGGGGUGUUUUUGUCCUUUUGAAACAACCACUUUAAUAUCCUUUCCUGCAUUUACCAUGAUUGGUCACUCUUAAAACCUUACCUAAGAGACCCAAAAACAAAAAUAACCGCCGAAAGAGCUAAACAUACAUAUCUAGAAAAACUUAUUUAACUGAAUGCUAAAAUGGAAGUGUAAAAUUGCCAAGAAAGAUAAGAAACUAAUCAGAUACGAAUUCUGGGCGUUACCGCCACAAAAGGCACGAGCGGAGCGGCUAUCAACAAGAACACACUUCACAUUUGGGUCAGAUUCCCAUUCAUCCAGAUAGCUCUUGUAUUCCACAUCCAUAUCUGCAUUUUCCAACAAUUCCCACUUAAACAGAAUCACAAAUUUCUUAAAAAAAAAGAAGCUAGCUUCUUCGAAAUUUGAAUCCAACGUUUCGCCUUAUAAAAUGGAAGUGUAAAAACCUACUAUCACAAUCAAAUGCUUAUUUAACUGCAUGCUAAAAUGGAAGUGUAAAAUUGCCAAGAAACACACUUCACAUUUGGGUCAGAUUCCCAUUCAUCCAGAUAGCACUUAAACAGAAACACAAAAUUCUUAAAAAAAAAAGAAGCUAGCUUCUUCGAAAUUUGAAUCCAACAUUUCGUCUUAUAACAAAUGCAAGAACAUAGAUUUGUACUCAAUAAGAUGCCAUAAAGUUCAAGCUCAAAAUUUCAAAUCAGCUCCAAAUCAAAAGCAUUUACAGAUACAUACAUAUAUACAUAUACGUGUGUGUGUGUUUAUCUACAUACCUAGGUUCAUGGCGUUGAGAGCUCGGGGGGCGACCGAGGGUGAUGUCGGCGACGCCAUUUGGGUGGACGCUGCCCUUGACGAACGCCUCGGCGGAGGCCAUGAUCCCGAAUGUGCGGAGAAGGCGAGGGGAUUUGGAGGGUUUGUAAAGAGAGAGCUUCAAAUUUGGAAUGAGGAAGAAGAAAGCGGACGACUAUUUGCUCAGAAUUUGGGUCGCUCGUCAAUAAGCUUCCCAUUACUUCCGUUUGAGAGUAACUGUCAGUGUCGAGAGAGACAGAUAUUUUUGGUGCUUCUGGACCGGACUACCCUUGAUGUUUCGGUCAAAUUACCGGGAAAAGGAACCGCCGCAGUGGCUAUGGAGGGAAAGUUGGAAUUUGAAAGCAGUAAGUAUGGACUUGCCUUCAUUUAUUGAACUGAGAAAUCGAAAACUGAAAGAGGCGUUUGACGAACUGAGAAAUCGAAAACAUGUGAUGAUGACUAUGCAUCACCACCUUGGUUGUGCCUCUGGAUCAAAAACCAACCAUCACGAUCAAAAUCGUGGAUAUUUUCCUUCAUAGGUUUGUCCCAUACUAGAUUAACCCCUGUUCCUUGAAUUGUCGCAUAAUAAUUUUUAUAGUCCAUCUCUGGCAUUUCAAAAGUUAUAUCAACUUUAUCCCCGCUUUGCAAAUUGAGCUUAUCAUUCGAUAUUUGUCCCUGCCAAAGAAAACAUUCUUUAUAUACAACAUCGCGCAUUUUUAUAACCCAAUCUUCCUUGCCAAUGCAGGUCCGCAACUCAUUACGCUUGGUAUUAUUUAUAUCAAUACUGGCAUGAGGAUGAGCAACUUUACAUCUGAUAUGAGAGCUUGACUGAUGAAGAUCUGAGGAGUAAAAGCAUAACAGAGUCAGCCCUUCAAAAUUACGACCAUCACUCGGGGGGAUAUCAAAACUGACUUUAUCACCAUUGUUGACAAACUCGAACCAAUCAGGAACAUAAUUCCCAUUGAGAAAAAUGCCACCAUAUCCACAAGAAGUCCAUCCCUAUACAUACAGUGCAAAUGUCAUAUAUAUACAUGUGCGUUGUGUGUGUGCAUGUGCGCAAUAGGAAGGCAAUUAAAGAGAGAUACCUUUAGGACGUUCCUCCUAAAAUCAGCUGUGAGUUUGGGGCAAUCCCUCAUGUCAAUCCAUGUCAAGGAGUAUAAUGACUUAUCCAAGUCUGGAACCUCAGUGAGUGCGUAUGAAUUACAUACAAUCAGUUCUCUCAUAUUCGACAUUUUCGAAAAAUUGGGCAUUGUUACCAAAUGAAGGCAAUUAGGCGCACCCAGAAAUUUUAAAUUCGUUGGCAAAUCAUAAAUUGUACGAAGCUCCAAGCAAUCAUGUAACCAGAGACUUUCAAGCUUUGAAAGAUCACUUAGGCUGGGUAGGGUAUGAAGGUGAUGGAAGUUCCUUAACCGCAAACUUUCAAGCUUUGAAAGACCACUGAGGCUGGGUAGGGUAUGAAGGUGAUGGCAGUUACUUAACUGCAAACUUUCAAGCUUUGAAAGACCACUGAGGCUGGGUAGGGUAUGAAGGUGAUGGCAGUCACUUAACUGCAAACAUUCAAGCUUUGAAAGACCACUGAGGCUGGGUAGGGUAUGAAGGUGAUAGCAGUUACUUAACUGCAAACUUUCAAGCUUUGAAAGACCACUAAGGCUGGGUAGGGUAGGAAGGUGAUGGCAGUUACUUAACUGCAAACUUUUAAGCUUUGAAAGAUCACUGAGGCUGGGUAGGGUACGAAGGUGAUAGCAGUUACUUAACUGCAAACUUUUAAGCUUUGAAAGACCACUGAGGCUGGAUAGGGUAUGAAGGUGAUGGCAGUCACUUAACUGCAAACUUUCAAGCUUUGAAAGACCACUGAGGCUGGGUAGGGUACGAAGGUGAUAGCAUUUACUUAAUUGCAAACUUUCAAGCUUUGAAAUACCACUGAGGCUAGGUAGGGUACGAAGGUGAUGGCAGUCACUUAACUGCAAACUUUCAAGCUUUGAAAGAUCACUGAGGCUGGGUAGGGUACGAAGGUGAUGGCAGUCACUUAACUGCAAACUUUCAAGCUUUGAAAGACCACUGAGGCUGGGUAGGAUAUGAAGGUGAUAACAUUUACUUAACUGCAAACUUUCAAGCUUUGAAAGACCACUGAGGCUGGGUAGGGUUUCAAGGUGAUGGCAGUCACUUAACUGCAAACUUUCAAGCUUUGAAAGACCACUGAGGCUGGGUAGGGUAUGAAGGAGAUAGCAUUUACUUAACUGCAAACUUUCAAGCUUUGAAAGACCACUGAGGCUGGGUAGGGUAUGAAGGUGAUGGCAGUCACUUAACUGCAAAUUUUCAAGCUUUGAAAGACCACUGAGGCUGGGUAGGGUAUGAAGGUGAUAGCAUUGACUUAACUGCAAACUUUCAAGCUUUGAAAGACCACUGAGGCUGGGUAGGGUAUCAAGGUGAUGGCAGUCACUUAACUGCAAACUUUCAAGCUUUGAAAGACCACUGAGGCUGGGUAGGGUAUGAAGGAGAUAGCAUUUACUUAACUGCAAACUUUCAAGCUUUGAAAGACCACUGAGGCUAGGUAGGGUAUGAAGGUGAUGGCAGUCACUUAACUGCAAACUUUCAAGCUUUGAAAGACCAUUGAGGCUGGCUAGGGUAUGAAGGUGAUAGCAUUUACUUAACUGCAAACUUUUGAGCUUUGAAAGACCACUGAGGCUGGGUAGGGUAUGAAGGUGAUGGCAGUCACUUAACUGCAAACUUUCAAGCUUUGAAAGACCACUGAGGCUGGGUAGGGUAUGAAGGUGAUGGCAGUCACUUAACUGCAAACUUUCAAGCUUUGAAAGACCACUGAGGCUGGGUAGGGUAUGAAGGUGAUAACAUUGACUUAACUGCAAACUUUCAAGCUUUGAAAGACCACUGAGGCUGGGUAGGGUAUGAAGGUGAUGGCAGUCACUUAACUGCAAACUUUCAAGCUUUGAAAGACCACUGAGGCUGGGUAGUGUAUGAAGGUGAUAGCAUUUACUUAACUGCAAACUUUCGAGCUUUGAAAGACCACUGAGGCUGGGUAGGGUAUGAAGGUGAUGGCAGUCACUUAACUGCAAACUUUCAAGCUUUGAAAGACCAUUGAGGCUGGGUAGGGUAUGAAGGUGAUAGCAUUUACUUAACUGCAAACUUUCGAGCUUUGAAAGACCACUAAGGCUGGGUAGGGUAUGAAGGUGAUGGCAGUUACUUAACUGCAAACUUUCAAGCUUUGAAAGACCACUGAGGCUGGGUAGGGUAUGAAGGUGAUGGCAGUCACUUAACCGCAAACUUUCAAGCUUUGAAAGACCACUAAGGCUGGGUAGGGUAUCAAAAUCAUUGUUUGAGAGAUCUAAAUUUCUUAAAGAGUCUAAGCCGUGUAACGAAUCAGGAAAUCGCAAGGGAAACUCUGAUCCCACACCUGCUAGAGAUAAAUGAGUGAGAUUCAUCAACCUUACUGUGGAACGUGGUACUUGUCUUAUGGCUGUGAAAGAUGCUUUAAGUACUCUCAAUGAUAGCAUCUUCCCUAUAUCCUCGGGCAGUUCACUGAAUUGGCAACAUUCAUCAAGAACAAGAGUCUGAACGGAUUUUGACUUGUAGAAAUCUCCAGGAAGAGAAAUAAGAUUCUUGCAGCCUGUGAGGUUCACCAAAGAAAGUUUUUUAAGAUGACCAAUGGAGGGGUGAAUCUCGGACAAACUCACACACCAUUCCAACAUCAACUCUUCAAGAUUUGGGAGAUUUGAAAAGUCUGGUGAUUUUUUUAAGUCAAGGCAACUUCUGAGAUCAAGGAAUUUCAAGUUUUCAAGCGACUGUUGCACAAAAUCAAAGGAAAAUUAAAAUUAAUAUCCAAAAGGAAUAUCUCAUUAAAAAAAGAGAAGGAAAUCCAAAAGCAAAUAGAAUCAUAACAUCAUCAUGUGUAAUCGACUGUACCUUGGAACCCUCCCAAACUUGUACAAGUUUGCCAGACGUUAUCUCUAAACUAACUAGUCUUGGUUGAUCAAAGAAGUCAUCUGGUAUGGACUUUAAAGGGCAUCCAGACCAACUCAACCAUAUUAACUCUUUGGAAAGAUGUUUGUAUUCUCCAUUGAGCUGCACUUUGCAGAGCUGGAGCAGUCUCAGUUUCUUCAUAUUGGCAAAUCCUUCUGUACUGAAACAACUAAACUUAGAAGAAUGCUUCUGUACUGAAUCUGGAGCAAGUUCAACUUCUUCAGUUUCCUGUUAACAAAAGGUUAUAUUCAUGAGUAAGAAACGGAUUAUUUGCAAAUGCUUCUGUACUGAAAGAACUAGACUUGUUAGAGCUUUGUACCCGAGGAGGAGGGCCAUAUAGAGCAAGUCCUUCAACUUCUUCAGUUCCCUGUUAAGAAAAGGUGAUAUUCAUGUGUAAGAAACGAAUUAUUUGCAUACGUUUACAUGUAUGAAUACAUGCAAGUACUAUUGUUCGCUAAUUGAGAUGAAUGUUACUUAAUGUGUAAUACACAUCCGUGAGUUAUAUGUGCUUUUCAUGUACGAUGCAUUAAAUUCAAAAUUUUAUUAGGAAUGUACUUACAGAGUUAUCUCCUAAUACUUUAGUGACCUCUUGAUGGUUCCACAACCUACUCCAUUUUCCAGGGUGACGAGGGAAUUUUUCAGAAAUGAUUAAUUUGGCCAUUUCUCGAAGCAAAUCAUGCAUAUUCAACCUGUUAUGUUCAACAGUUACAAGGCAUCGUUCACGAAGGUCACUGAUUCCUACUGUUGCAAAAAACUCACAUCCAUCUAAUAUUUUUGCGACACGGUCCUUAUCCCAUCCAAUAAAGAAACAAGAUAUGUCAAGGAAUAUAUCCUUCUGUGUAGGAUCUAGCCUUUCAAAGCUUACUCUUAGCGGUUUCAUUAUUCCUUCCUCGGGAAAUUUUUUCAAUUUCUCCAACUGAUUUUUCCACUCCGUUGGGGUUCUUUCAAUCAUAGAACCACCUAAAACUUCAAGGGCUAGUGGCAAACCACCACAGUAAGAAACAACCUCCUUUGAGAGUUCAAGAUAUCCUUCAUUAGGCCAACUAUUUCCAAAGGCAUGCCAACUAAAGAGCUUCAGAGCUUCUUCGUCAUUCAUUUCCUUAAGUGGAUAUGUCUUGUCCACUUUCAUGUUCACUUGCUUUAGUAAACGUUCAUCUUGUGUCGUUAUGAUAAUUCUACUUCCUGGGCCAAACCAAUCACGAUUUCCAGCUAUUGCAUUUAGUUGUUCCACUCUGUCUACAUUGUCAAUAAUGACAAGUACACUUCUACGAUGGAGAUGAUUUUUUAUCGGACUGAUACCUUCAUCAACACUGGUUAUCUCAGGCUUGGUCUGUUUCAAGAUGUCAGAAACAAGUUUUUUUUACGAAACAACCAGAUCUUUUUCACUAACGUUGUCAAGGAAACUUUUGAAUUGGAACUCAUGAUGAAUUUUGUUAUAAAUGGCUUUGGCAGCUGUUGUUUUACCCAAUCCACCCAUCCCCCAAAUUCCAACCAUGCAAACAACAUCUGAUCCAGCAUUUGAAAGAUAAGUGAUGAUAUCUUGAAUGCGAGUAUAUAUUCCAACUGGGUGCUUGGCCAUUUGUAAUUCUUCUGCGAUCGGAAGCCAUUUCGGGAUAAUCUUGUCAACAAUUUCUCUAAUAAGCUUUGCUUCGCGCCUGAAAAUUAAAUUUGUGAGCAUUAGUGGGACUCGAUGAACACUAGGAGCUAUCAGUAUAUAGACAAUUUUCUUUCCCCCAUGGCCCCAUAUAUAUUCUAACUAGCUACUAGCUAGUAUAUGAUUUUUUGACCAACCUGAUAAAAGAAAGAACUUAAUUAAACUCCAAUUACGGUUUAGGAUUUAUAUGAGAGGUUAAGAUGUAUUAAUUUAAUUAAGCAUGUUAGCCAAUGUUUAAUUAGCUUCUGUAAAAUGUUAAUUAAGCAUGUUAAUUAUAUGAGAGAUUAAGUCAUUCACUAAAAUGUUUCAAAUCUUGAAAAGCAGGUGAAUGAUUACCCUUUGUCAGUGAUUUGAAGAUGUUGGCCAGACAAAUUUGCAGCUUCUGUAAGAGCCUUUCUCCACUGCUUUACCCUUUCUUGUCUAGUUUCACGUUCCUUGUCAUCUUUUUCUUCACGGAUGCCCUCUUCGUGCUUCUGAAAUGCUUGAGCUAAAUCUUCAUUCUGCUUCCUAACAUGUGAAGGAUCAACAUGAUAGAAUAUUGGUAAAACAUGUCGCCCCGGUUUGUAUCUGCACUCCAUGAUCUUCACCAGCUCAUCAAGACACCAACUCGAGUCCGCAUAACUCUUUGAGAAGACAAUGAUAGAGAUCCUCGCCUCUUUGAUUGCCCGGAACAGUUCCUCUUUUAUUUCUUCCCCUCUUUCUAGAUCAUCCUCAUCGAUAUAAGCCUGGUAUCCCCUGUCUGUUAAUGCCGCGUGGAGGUGGCCCGUGAAACCAUUGCGUGUGUCUACACCGCUGAAGCUCAAGAACACGUCGUAAUUCCAAAGUUUUGACUUGGAGGAGGAUGAAGAGGAGGCUUCGUGGGUUAUCAUGGCGAUAUCCACCGUUAUGGCACUGCAGUGGUUCAGAUCACGACUGCAAAAAUGGCAGUAGUUGUGUUCGUGCUGUCGAACAGAUGAUCCUGAAUUACCUAAACCCAAGUCAAGCUCCUUCAGUCAUCAAGAACAAAGUUUAAAAUAUAAUAAUGUUGGCAUAUGGACUUGAGAAACGACAUAAUGUUGCCGGAAGGUGCAGAGAAAGAGAGAGGAAAAGAGGAACGAAAGGACAAAGACUAUCCAAAAGAUUCUUGGCUGUGAUUACAGCUAUUCAUAUGAGAAACAACAGACAUAUUUUCAUAGGAGAAACAACCUGCCCAUCUUCAUAUAUAAUACAUUUCAAUGGACAUUUUAAUAGGAGAAACAACUUUAGUUUGUACUAGAAAUUUUUACCCGCGCGUUGCUGCGGUAUUUGAAAUUGUAUGAAAGAUUAUCUUUGAAAUAUAUAAUAGAUUGAGUGAUUGAAGAUUAAUACUAUUUACAUUGAAAAUGUUGGAAAAGUUUUACAUACAAAAGAUUUUACGAUACAAUCCACAUACAAAAGAUGGGAAAUUUUUUUCUAUCUAUAUGCAUUAUGUUAUGGAAUGAUAUAUAUAUAUAUAUAUAUAUAUAUAUAUAUAUAUAUAUAUAUAUAUAUAUAACUAAGUGCCAGAAUACGUAACUUCAUAACUUGGAAAUCUUUAGACAAAUUAAUCAGAUUCAACUGUGGGAUAGCAGCGUCGCCUAUAACGUUGUGAAGUCGUGGAAACAUAAAGGACAAAUAACAAAUGAGUUUUGAGAAAUUAUUCCACAAAUGUCAUUCUGCAAAAUGUAUUAAGAUUAGCAAUCAUGAGUAGUGUAACAACAUCAACAAAAUAACUAUAAACCAUAGUGGAACAUAAUUCAAAUUUCGGUUGCAAAAACAAAAGAAAAAGAAAACAGACUUACAAUAAUUCAGUCUCCAAUCCUGAAGUCCUACUCAAAGAGCAAAACUUGAAUGCAAGCUUUAAUCUUCCAAACAAUACAGAUAACAAGGUAACACUCUAGUAAAAAAUGAACCGAGGUGCGAGCUUUCUAAGAAACCCAGAUGACAAAAUCAACAAAAUAGAAUGGAAAAAUGACUUACAUUUUUAAGGCAUGCCCGAAUCUUGAUCUAAAAUUGGUGGUGGGUCGAUUGUUGGUCACCAACUCUAAAUGAAGAAUUCAUCAGAACCUAGAAAUUUAAACAAAGAAUUUUCCAAAAUCAACAACAACAACAACAACAACAAAGCCUUUUCCCACUAAGUGGGGUCGGCUAUAUGAAUCCUAGAACGCCAUUGCGCUCAUUUGUGUCAUGUCCUCCGUUAGAUCCAAGUACUCAAGUCUUUUCUUAGGGUCUCUUCCAAAGUUUUCCUAGGUCUUCCUCUACUCCUUCGGCCCCGAACCUCUGUCCCGUAGUCACAUUUUCGAACCGGAGCGUCAGUAGGCCUUCUUUGCACAUGUCCAAACCACCGGGACCGAUUUUCUCUCAUAUUUCCUUCAAUUUUGGCUACUCCUACUUUACCUCGGAUAUCCUAAUUCUCAAUCUUAUCCUUUCUCGUGUGCCCAUACAUCCCACGAAGCAUCCUCAUCUCCGCUACACCCAUUUUGUGUACGUUGAUGCUUCACCGCCCAACAUUCUGUGCCAUACAACAUCGCUGGCCUUAUUGCCGUCCUAUAAAAUUUUCCCUUGAGCUUCAGUGGCCUACGACGGUCACACAACACGCCGGAUGCACUCUUACACUUCAUCCAUCCAGCUUGUAUUCUAUGGUUGAGAUCUCCAUCUAAUUCUCCGUUCUCUUGCAAGAUAGAUCCUAGGUAGCGAAAACGGUCAUUUUUUUGUGAUCUUCGCUAGAUUGCUCCGGUCAUUAGUGUGGAUAAGUAUAUAAAAUGGAUAGAGAUAGGAAAGCAAACACAAGAUGUACGUGGUUCACCCAGAUUGGCUACGUCCACGGAAUAGAGGAGUUCUCAUUAAUUGUGAAGGGUUUACACAAGUACAUAGGUUCAAGCUCUCCUUUAGUGAGUACAAGUGAAUGAUUUAGUACAAAUGACAUUAGGAAAAAUUGUGGGAGAAUGAUCUCGUAGCCACGAAACUUCUAAGUACCGGAGUGUGGUAUCGUCUUGACUUGCCUUAUCUGUCUCAUAGGUAGAUGUGGCAUCUUCUCUGGAAGUACUCUUCCUCCAUCCAGGGGUGGUAUCUGUAACUGGUGGAGAUGCACAAGGUAAUGUAUCAAUUUCACUUGAAGCUUACUUGUAGUUUCAUGCUUGGUCAAGCGAGAUACAAACCAUGUAGUAGGAGUCCCCCAAGUCGCCGAGCUGGGGGAUCUGCUGAAAGAGGUGACAGACAAGGUAAGCAAUCAGAGCUCCGGCUGAUUGUUCACAUUCUCCCUAUCUUGCAGGCAGCAUGAAGGAUAAAGAGAAGAAAAAUGAGGAGAGAUGAUAUGGGAUACUUUUGCUUUUGAAGAAGUAACUUUCCACAGGCUUAUUCUUGAACUGGGCUGGAGGGUUUUCUGGUUUCCUCCAGAGUAUAAGGCCGACUGAAGAAUUUGAGGGUCAAAACAAGUCCAUCAAAUCUAGAGUACGUUCGACCCUGCUGAUAUGGGAUACUUUUGCUUUUGACAGAGUAGUGGAUGUAUCGGCACGUGUGCUGUUACGCUUGUCUCCACAUGCUUCCUUGUAUCCUUCUCACUUGCCCUAUCUGUUCCUCAGGCAGAUGCGGUAUCUUCCCUGGAAGCAUAAGAUGUUGAAGAUGAGUACUCGAGAGCAAUGCCAGGUAAGUAAUCAGGUAAGGGGUUCCAGGCAGUCAGUUCCUGGCUGGAAGCUUGAUUCCAAGUGCUGACUGAUUGCUCUCUUUCUCCUUGUCUUGCAGGUAAGAACAAGGCCAAAGGAAAAGACAGGGAAAAAGCAUGAUAUGGGAUACUCUUGCUUUUAACCCUGAUGAUAUGAGAUAUUCUUGCUCUAGUAUAGCUUGUUUACAGAGGUAUUAUCGGGGGGAAAAAAAGCUAAAUAUUUCGAAAGGCUUUGUUGGGAGUGCCCUCUCAGAUAAGAGAAAGGGUUGAGCAUUUUUGCAGGUCUGCCUGUCCGUUAGGGAUGGAAGGUCGACAUAUAUAGGAGUCUCCCUAACAUCAAGUAAUAAUGCUAUUCCUUUACCCUGCUUGGUUAUAGCACGGUAGUGGGAGCUGCCAGCUUCACAUGUUUUAACUCUGUCAGAGCACUUUGAAAAAGUGGUCUGUGGUAUCUGGAAAGCUGAUGUUGCGUGUGAAGAUUACAGACAAGCUGUCGGGGGUCUGGCUCUCGAGAUUCGGAGAACGAUGCCUCUUCGAUUUUUGAGAAAGCAAUCCUGCUGGGGGUCUGGCUCUCGAGAUUCGGAGAGCGGUGUCUCUUCGAUUUUUGAGAAAGUAAUCAUGUUGGGAGUCUGGCUCUCGAGAUUCGGAGGGCGGUGCCUCUUCGAUUUUGGAGCAAGCAAUCUUGUUGGGAGUGUUUUCUCGAAUGUGAGUAAAGGUUGGGCAUGUUUGCUAGUCUACCUUGCCACGAAGCACAGAGGUUGACACACAGGGACUUUCCAAUUAUCCAGCAGUGGUACUGUUCCUUUACCCUCUCUUCGAUUUUUGAGAAAGUAAUCAUGUUGGGAGUCUGGCUCUCGAGAUUCGGAGGGCGGUGCCUCUUCGAUUUUGGAGCAAGCAAUCUUGUUAGGAGUGUUUUUUUCUCGAAUGUGAGUAAAGGUUGGGCAUGUUUGCUAGUCUACCUUGCCACGAAGCACAGAGGUUGACACACCGGGACUUUCCAAUUAUCCAGCAGUGGUACUGUUCCUUUACCCUUGUGGGUAAUAAUAUGGUAGCUAGACCUUCAAAAUUUAUGUGUCUAAACUUUGUUAGUGUUGUUUCUUUGCAAUUCUUUUACCCUUCUUGGUCAGAGCGAUGUAGUGGGAGCUGCAAGCUUCACGUGUCUCAACUUUGUCAGAGAACUUUGGCAAAGUUAUCUGUGGUACCCAUGAGCUACUGUUGCGUGUGGGAAGUGGGUGAUUGAACAGUACGAUUCAUGUGCUUUCUACUUCGCCAGAAAUCUUCGACAGAAUGCCCAUAAUUUCCGCAAAGCUGAGUGUGCGUGUGACAGGUGCUGACAAGGCUGGAAAAGUAGGUGCCUCUUCGAUUUCUGAAAUCGGCCCUCGUGGUCUCUGAGCAGCCCAGCUUUUGAGAAAGCAAGCCUCUUCGAUUUUCUGAGAUCGGCCUUUGUGGUCUUUGAGCAGCCCAGCUUUUUGAGAAUCUCUGAGCAGCCCAGCUUUUGAGAAAGCAAACGCCUCUUCGAUUUCUGAGCAGGCGCCUCUUCGAUUUCUGAAGCUUCGUCGAGUGCAGAUUUUUAUAGGGGCUGACAUUAAGUUCCAAAGCACACUUGAAUAUCCACCAGUAGAAGCUCCAUUCUUGCACUUCUAAGAUCUUGAUUUGUCCGACCUCUUCUCUCUUCAACACCUUUGAAAAUGUCUGGCCCCUCCGACCGUCGUUUUGACUUGAACCUUGUUGAAGAGGCAGCCCCGCCUUCUCCAGACAACAUAUGGCGCCCAUCCUUCGUCUCCCCUACUGGUCCUCUUACCGUUGGGGAUUCCGUGAUGAAGAAUGAUAUGACCGCUGCGGUAGUGGCCAGGAACCUUCUCACUCCCAAAGAUAACAGACUAUUUUCCAAACGGUCUGAUGAGUUGUCUGUUAAGGAUUCUCUGGCUCUCAGUGUUCAGUGUGCAGGUUCUGUGUCUAAUAUGGCCCAACGCCUAUUUGCUCGAACCCGCCAAGUUGAAUCAUUGGCGGCUGAAGUGAUGAGUCUCAAACAGGAGAUUAGAGGGCUCAAGCAUGAGAAUAAACAGUUGCACCGGCUCGCACAUGACUAUGCUACAAACAUGAAGAGGAAGCUUGACCAGAUGAAGGAAUCUGAUGGUCAGGUUUUACUUGAUCAUCAGAGAUUUGUGGGUUUGUUCCAAAGGCAUUUAUUGCCUUCGUCUUCUGGGGCUGUACCGCGUAAUGAAGCUCCAAAUGAUCAAUCCUCUGAUGCCUCCUCCUUCUAGGGUUUUGUCCAAUACUGAGGCUCCGAAUGAUCCCCCUCCGGUGCCUUCUCUUUCUGGGGCUCUACCGACUGCUGAGACUUCUCCUAAGCAACCUUUGUGAAGGCUCCCUCUUGUUUGUUUAUUUUGACUCAAGUAUAUGUACAUAUUUGUAACUUAUCGGGGAUAUCAAUAAAUAAGUUUUUCCUUCAUUUCAACGUAUUGUGUUAAAUACACCAAAGCCUUCUUCGCUAAGUUCUUUGAAUUUUCUUUUGUUGAAGCUUGUAUGUUGAAGCUUUGUGAGUGGAGCAUAUAGGUUGAGGUAGUGUUCCCUUAAUUUCCCGAGUGAGGAAAACUUCUCGGUUGGAGACUUGGAAAAUCCAAGUCACUGAGUGGGAUCGGCUAUAUGAAUCUUAGAACGCCAUUGUGUUCUGUCCUGUGUCAUGUCCUCCGUUAGAUCCAAGUACUCUAAGUCUUUUCUUAGGGUCUCUUCCAAAGUUUUCCUAGGUCUUCCUCUGCCCCUUCGGCCCUGAACCUCUGUCCCAUAGUCGCAUCUUCUAAUCGGAGCGUCAGUAGGCCUUCUUUGCACAUGUCCAAACCACCGUAACCGAUUUUCUCUCAUAUUUCCUUCAAUUUCGUCUACUCCUACUUUACCCCGGAUAUCCUCAUUCCUAAUCUUAUCCUUUCUCGUGUGCCCACACAUCCAACGAAGCAUCCUCAUCUCCGCUACACCCAUUUUGUGUACGUGUUGAUGCUUCACCGCCCAACAUUCUGUGCCAUACAGCAUCGCCGGCCUUAUUGCCGUCCUAUAAAAUUUUCCCUUGAGCUUCAGUGGCAUACGGCGGUCACACAACACGCCGGAUGCACUCUUCCACUUCAUCCAUCCAGCUUGUAUUCUAUGGUUGAGAUCUCCAUCUAAUUCUCCGUUCUUUUGCAAGAUAGAUCCUAGGUAACGAAAACGGUCGCUCUUUGGUAUUUCUUGAUCUCCGAUCCUCACCCCUAACUCGUUUUGGCCUCCAUUUGCACUGAACUUGCACUCCAUAUAUUCUGUCUUUGAUCGGCUUAGGCGAAGACCUUUAGAUUCCAACACUUCUCUCCAAAGGUUAAGCUUUGCAUUUACCCCUUCCUGAGUUUCAUCUAUCAACACUAUAUCGUCUCUGCGAAAAGCAUACACCAAGGAAUAUCACCUUGAAUAUGUCCUGUUAACUCAUCCAUUACCAACGCAAAAAGGUAAGGACUUAAGGAUGAGCCUUGAUGUAAUCCUACAGUUAUGGGAAAGCUUUCGGUUUGUCCUUCAUGAGUUCUUACGGCAGUCUUUGCUCCUUCAUACAUAUCCUGUAUAGCUUGGAUAUAUGCUACUCGUACUCCUUUCUUCUCUAAAAUCCUCCAAAGAAUGUCUCUUGGGACCCUAUCAUACGCUUUUUCCAAAUCUAUAAAGACCAUGUGUAAAUCCUUUUUCCCAUCUCUAUAUCUUUCCAUCAAUCUUCGUAAGAGAUAGAUUGCCUCCAUGGUUGAGCGCCCUGGCAUGAACCCGAAUUGGUUGUCCGAAACCCGUGUCUCUUGCCUCAAUCUAUGCUCAAUGACUCUCUCCCAGAGCUUCAUUGUAUGACUCAUUAGCUUAAUUCCCCUAUAGUUCAUGCAAUUUUGUACAUCGCCCUUAUUCUUGUAGAUAGGCACCAAAGUGCUCAUUCGCCACUCAUUCGGCAUCUUCUUCGUUUUCAAAAUCCUAUUGAAAAGGUCAGUGAGCCAUGUUAUACCUGUCUCUCCCAAAAUUUUCCACACUUCGAUUGGUAUCGUCUGGGCCUACUGCUUUUCUAUGCUUCAUCUUCUUCAAAGCUACACCCACUUCUUCCUUCCGGAUUCUACGAUAAAAAGAGUAGUUUCUACACUCUUCUGAGUUACUCAACUCCCCUAAAGAAGCACUCCUUUCAUGUCCUUCAUUGAAAAGAUUAUGAAAAUAACCUUUUCAUCUGUCUUUAACCGCGUUCUCUGUAGCAAGAACCUUUCCAUCCUCAUCCUUGAUGCACCUCACUUGGUUUAGGUCCUAAAAUCAACAUUUACUAAAAACCAUUUACUUGGUUAUCAUGCAAGAUGGCUUGCCAAAGAUUGAAUUAAGGAAUGCACAACUUUACUUUUAUGAUUAUUUUCAAUGACAGCUAAAAGGUCAGAUCCAAAUGAAAAUAAAACUUUGGACUUCACAAAACCAAUUAAAAAUCUAAUUCCAAAGUUACAAACACCCACCAAAUGAUUCCAGAUAAAGUUUUAAACUCAAGGUCAGACCCAAAUGAAAUUAAAAGUUAGGACUUCACAAAACCAAUUGAAAAUCUGAUUCCAAAGUUCCAAACACCCACCAAAUGAUUCCGGAUAAAGUUUAAACUCAAAACACCAACAGAAACAAAAGCAUUGGUGUGAAUUAACUGUAUCUAAUUGAAGAAACUAAAACAAAAGUAAGCAAAGUACAUACCUCAAAAUGUCAAGCAACUAAGUUCUUCCUCCGACGACCCAAAACUCUGAAAAUUCCACACAAAAAAAAAGGUAAAUCCAUUAGCAAUUCAUAGCUUUCCAAAUUAGCAAAAACUUGGGCAACAAUAAAGAUGCGUUGAGAACCAUCACUCUUUCUCCUUAUGUAUUUGAAAAGAUAUUUUAUAAGCAGUUUAUGUAGUCAUUCUGAUCAUGUUGCAUAUAAAUUCCUUUUCUACAGAGUUCAAAAAUAUAUGGCAGUUUAUGGCAUCUGUUGAAUAACAUGGUUGAAAGAUUUAAAAUUGAUACAUUCAAUUUUCAUGUGUAAAACUAUAACAUAUAGCUAAAGCUAUUGGGUCUAUAUAUCCAUAUCAAUCAAGUCGUAAUUGAAUGUUUAUCGAUGUAAAAAGAUGAUUUCAGUCAUGUGAUAACAUGCUUCUUGAUAGUAUAGCUGAAGUUUGGUCUAAGUUGGAUACAAAUCGACCAAAAUCUAUAAGAGACUCUUUUAACUUUUAACCAAAAAAUAAGCACCACAAUACUACACUUAUAAGUUUUAUCAUGCACAAAAUACACAGCACUGAUUGCCACUUUUAGAGUAAGAACAAUACUUUACCAGAAGAAAACAACAAAACACUCAAAACCCAGAAACUAGAAACACACUUGGGAUUCAAACUCCUCAAAAACAUGAGAAAGAGAGAGAGUGUGUGUGAGGAAAGAGAAUAAAAAACAAUAUUAUUUUUCACACAAACUCAAAAUUGCUUAUAAAAUUAGAAAUCGAAACAAAUUAAUGCAAAUCCAAAAUUGACCUAAAUUAAAUCUGAUUAGUUAAAUGUUUGUUGCCCUACAAAUGUCAUUACACGUUGAUAUUUUGGUCAAUCCUGGGGAAAAGGAGUUAUUGGUGUUGGAGCAGUUGUCAUGGAGAAUACCAUCUCCCUGUUGAAUGAUCUAAAACAGGACUUACUGCUUUAGCUGGCCAUAAUAAUUUAGGAGGCCCUUCUCUCCAGAUUUUCUCAAUAACUUUCCUUUUCGUAGCUGGUAAGAUUGCAACUCUAAGAAUUGCUCCGAAGAUAUAUAUACAAACAAAAUCAACCUAAAACUAAGCUAUUGGAAGAAAUUUGGAAAACACAAACACCACUACACCUCAGAGUUAAAGUCAACAGAAACCAAAUGGUACAAGUUGAAAAAAUAUAUGGUCAUGAAUCGAGAACUUCAUCAAACUAACAGCAAUAAAAUCUCAUAUAAUCUAUCAAAAACCAAAAAAGAGAGAGGUAAUUUCAAGACCUUGUAACGCUGAGGCCUCGUACAGUUGUAGUACUAAUAUAUGGUUGAUGCACCUGUUGCUCAAUCAAAUCCUUUGUCUGGCUAGAAAAAAUAAAAUUCUAUAAAUACAUUCACGUCCAAUUUAUGAGAAAUCAUGGGAAAGCAAAUGCACUGAUAACAGAAUCAUGAAUAUGAAGAACUUGCCAAAAAGAAAAAGAAAACUUCUUAUAGUGUGCCAAGAACAUCCUCCUACUCCUAGCAAAUUUUUUAUGGCAUUAUCCACUUCUCAAUUCAUAAUUCAACCAGUAACCCAAAGUCUAUAGUGUAUGAAAUAGUGAUAUCUUAGUUGAUCAUGAUGAUAAUUAAGCAGAUUAAAUGAGGACCCAUAAAGCAUACAAAAAUUCAGAAAAGAAAAGGUCCAAAACUGCCAUGAGAAAACGCAGAAUAUAUAAACGGAAAAUCAAAAUAAGAGAAGCGAAAAAGGAAGACAAAACCAAACAAAAAGGCCACAAUCAUGAAAGUCAAACACAAACAAUCCAAACAUUUGUGGAAAAUACCAAUAAAUGCUCAACUAAAAACGAAAGAAAAUGUAGAAUAAGUUUACCUGUUCUUCCCCUAAUUAAACUGAAAUACAAUUCACCACUAAUAUUCUCGUCAUCCUCUUCAGCCUGAAAAAUUUAGUAGAACAUAAUGAUAAGAAUCUAGCAGUAUUUCCAUUGUUUAAAACCCAAAUUCCAGAAAUCAUGAAAAAUGGAAACUUUAUAUGGAAACUGAAGCUUUACCUGCAGAUCAGCAGCAGCAAACGGAAUCCAACGGGAUGUACCUCAAAAGUGAGAGAGAGAGGUGAGAGAUGAGUGAGAGAAUCGAUAAACAAAACCCCCCAAAAUCACAAAAGGAAAUUUGAACAGAAAACAAAUUUGAAAAUCCAAAAUCACAAAAACGAAAUUGAAACACCCACACUGAGAAAGCUGUAUAACUCACCAGGAAACGCUAGCCUUUCUGGGUAACAAAAUUAUUCCGAUCGAAUUGAAGAACGGAGGAAAGUUCUACUAGUUCAGAGGUUAUUCCAGUGUGCCAAGUACGAAUAUGAACGGGGAAUGGGGAGCUGGCUGAGGGAGACAGAAUUUGAGAAGCAGCGUUCUGAUUCUUUAUAUGAGAGAAAGCGGAAUGAAGAGAAUCGGGAAGGGGAGGAACCAUUUUAAGCGAUGACGGACGCGUGGGAAUUGAGGGCAAAUUUGCCAUUUUGCUGUGAACCCAAAAGUCAAGACUUGGCUUGGUUUAUAUAAUUAAUCAAGGGUAAAAGACUGUUUACUACCCUCAUGUUUUGUGGUUUUCAACAUUUAGUACAUCCUUCGUGGUUUUCAACAUUUAGUACAUCAUGUUUUUUUCGUCUCAGAGUCAUACCUAAAGUGUAAAUUUUGGGACAGUCUCAUACAUCCGUUAGUCAAACUGUUAAGUUUUUCGUUAACUGUGACGUGGCGCACUGGCUGGGCGCCACGUGUCAUCCACGUUUUCUUCUUCUUCUUCUUCUUCUUCUUCUUCUUCUUCUUCUUCUUCUUCUUCUUCUUCUUCUUCUUCUUCUUCUUCUUCUUCUUCCUCUUCUUCUUCUUCUUCUUCUUCUUCUUCUUCUUCUUCUUCUUCUUCUUCUUCUUCUUCUUCUUCUUCUUCUUCUUCUUCUUCUUCUUCUUUUUCUUCUUCUUCUUCUUCUUCUUCUUCUUCUUCUUCUUCUUCUUCUUCUUCUUCUUCUUCUUCUUCUCUUCUUCUUCUUCCUUCUUCUUCUUCUUCUUCUUCUUCUUCUUCUUCUCUUCUUCUUCUUCUUCUUUCUUCUUUUCUUCUUCUUCUUCUUCUUCUUCUUCUUCUUCUUCUUCUUCCUUCUUCUUCUUCUUCUUCCUUCUUCUUCUCUCUUCUUCUUUCUUCUUCCUUCUUUCUUCUUCUUUCUUCCUCCUCCGACUGUAACUUUUUUUUUUUUUUCUUCUUCCUUCGCCUUCUUCUUUUCUUCUUCUUCUUCUUCUUCUUCUUCUUCCUCUUCUUCUUCUUCUUCCUCCUUCUUCUUCUUCUUCCUUCUUCUUCUUUCUUCUUCUUCUUCUUCUUCUUCCUCUUCUUCUUCUUCUUCUUCCUCCUCCGACUGUAACUUUUUUUUUUCUUCUUCCUUCGCCUUCUUCCUUCCUUCCUACUUCCUUCCCUUUCUUCCCCUUCUUCCUUCUUCUUCCUUCUCAUUCUCCUUCUUCUUCCCGAAUCUGGGUCUCAGAGUCAUACCUAAAGUGUAAAUUUUGGGACAGUCUCAUACAUCCGUUAGUCAAACUGUUAAGUUUUUCGUUAACUGUGACGUGGCGCACUGGCUGGGCGCCACGUGUCAUCCACGUUUUCUUCUUUCUUCUUCUUCUUCCUCUUCUUCUUCUUCUUCCUCCUCCGACUGUAACUUUUUUUUUUUUCUUCUUCCUUCGCCUUCUUCCUUCCUUCCUACUUCCUUCCCUUUCUUCCCCUUCUUCCUUCUUCUUCCUUCUCAUUCUCCUUCUUCUUCCCGAAUCUGGGUCUCAGAGUCAUACCUAAAGUGUAAAUUUUGGGACAGUCUCAUACAUCCGUUAGUCAAACUGUUAAGUUUUUCGUUAACUGUGACGUGGCGCACUGGCUGGGCGCCACGUGUCAUCCACGUUUUCUUCUUCUUCUUCUUCUUCUUCUUCUUCCUUCUUCUUCUUCUUCUUCUUCCUCCUCCGACUGUAACUUUUUUUUUUUUUCUUCUUCCUUCGCCUUCUUCCUUCCUUCCUACUUCCUUCCCUUUCUUCCCCUUCUUCCUUCUUCUUCCUUCUCAUUCUCCUUCUUCUUCCCGAAUCUGGGGAAGCUUUUUUUUUUUUUUUUUUUUUUUUUUCUCUUCUUCUUCUUCUUUCUCUUUCCUCCUUCCUUCUUCUUCUUCUUCUUCUUCUUCUUCUUCCUCCGAAUCUGCCCAGAUUCAGUUUUUUUUUUUUCUUCCUCCUUCUUCUCCUUCUUCCUUCCCCUUCUUCGUUCUUCUUCUUCUUCCUCCGAAUUUGGGGGAAGAUGAAAGUGUUUUUUUUUUUUUUUUGAGGAAGAAGAAGAAGAAGAAGAAGGGGAAGGAAGAAGGAGAAGGAGGAAGAAAAAAUUGCAGUCGGAGGAAGAAGAAGAAGAAGAAGGAAGAAGAAGGAAGAAGGAGGAAGAAGAAGAAAGAAAGAAAAAAAAAAAAAACCAAACUUCCCCAGAUUUCGGAGGAAGAAGAAGAAGAAGAAGAAGGAGAAGGAAGAAGGGGAAGGAAGAAAAAGGAAGAAGAAGAAAGAACAAAAAAAAAAAAAAAAAAAAACAAACUUCCCUAGAUUUCGGAGGAAGAAGAAGGAGAAUGAGAAGGAAGAAGCAGAAGGGGAAGAAAGGGAAAAGAAGGAGGAAGGAAGGAAGAAGGAGAAGGAAGAAGAAAAAAAAAAAAAAAGUUGCAGUCGGAGGAAGAAGAAGAAGAAGAAGGAAUAAGAAAAGAAAAGAAAGAAAAAAAAAAAAGAAAAAAAAAAAAACAUGGAUGACACGUGGCGCCCAGUCAGUGCGCCACGUCACAGUUAACGAAAAACUUAACAGUUUGACUAAUGGAUGUAUGAGACUGUCCCAAAAUUUACACUUUAGGUAUGACUCUGAGACGAAAAAAACUUGAUGUACUAAAUGUUGAAAACCACGAAACAUUAGGGUAGUAAACAGUCUUUUACCCAUUAAUCAAUAAUAUUCCAUAACAAGAGCUAGGUCCAUAUAUUAUACAAUGUUCUAAUAGAUGAUAGACGCUCGUCGUGCGGUGAGUUAGGGUUUAACGGAUAGGCGAGGUCUAGUGUCUAGGCAGAUUUAAGUAAAUUUAUUAUAUAUUAUAUAAACUUAAAAUGAUAAAUAAUUGUAUUAGGAUAUAUAAAUUACAAAAUAAAAUAAUAUAUAUUAUAAAGUAUUAAAACAUAGGAGAAAAGACCCAAAUAUGAAUAGGAGAAAAGACCCAAAUGUGAAAAGACAACUAUAAACAAUUAUUCAAGAUGGACGGUAAAUGAUUCAGCCAUUUACAAGAUUCAAAACGUAGGAUCACAAUCUACUGAAUGGUUGUCUUAACUAUUAGGCCAUGCUCUAAAUAUAAUACAUCCAAAUGGGGGUGGACCGCAUAAUACACCCCAAUGGACCGUUUUAAGCUACUCCACUGCUAAAACUAUUGCAAAUUGCGCAUUAGGAUUAUACUUGUAUUAGCUGCGCCUUUCCUUACGAGGCAAAUGAACCAUAUAAUAGUUUCCAAAAAAAAAAAAAAAAACCUUAUAGUACACCAAGAUGGAUGUUAUACACGUUGGAGUUUGAGCAGAAUUCUUUUUGUUAUCUCAUUGUCUCACAUUGCUAGAAUUGAAAAGUUUAUAAUAUAACAAUGUUCACGUAUGAACUUGAGAAACGACAUACUACCGGUUGGGUGGGAAAGUGUGAAGUGAAAGAGAGGAAAGGAAGAAAGAAACGAACACGAAAGGACAAGGACUAUCCAAUAGAUUAUAAACAAUGAUUUAUUGGGGUGAUUACAGUUAUUUAAUUAUCAAUAAUGCAUUAUUUUAGUUUGGAAUUUGGAAGCAUUUGAGAAGUAACAUGACAACAACCACAUAAUAAACAAAAGUGAUUGGAAAAAAGACCGAAAAUGUGAAAUAAUAAUUAAAAACAACUAUUCAAGAUUAGUGAUAAAUGAUUCAACCAUUUACAAGAUAUGAAUUUAGAACAACAAUCUAUUAGAUCGUUGUAUUAAUUAUUAAGUGGUGCUCUAAUAUAAUAGAUCCAAAUGGGGACGGACCGUAUAAAACACCCAAAUGAACAACAAUCUAUUAGUUUUUAGGCUCCACUGCUAAAAACUAAAGCAAAAUAGGCAUUAGGAUUAAACUUGUAUUAGCUAUCUUUCCUUACUAGUCAAAUGAACCAUACAAUACACCCAAAUGGAUGCCAUCAUGCCAUAUAUAAACAAUGUUUUGAAGGGACAAGGUUGCUAACGCUGCCUUUUUAUAUAUGUAAGCAACAACCCUAAAUCUUAUUGGAACUAAUUAACUAAUGUAUUUAUUAGACAGUUGGAUUCCUUAACAAGUAGUUAACUAUUUUUGUUUAGUUUAGUAGUCAGGUCGUAAUUAAUUAGUCAAAUGAACCAUAUAAUACACCCAAAUGGAUACCAUAUAUGCAUAUAUAAACAAUGUUUUCAAAGGAUGAAAUGACUUUCUUGCCGGUAUGGGGGAAGAGGAAAGAAACUAGCACGAAAUUGCAGACCAUAUCGAUCCAUUAUAAUAAAUUUCAAUGGUCCAAGUUGUAAGUUAAUUGUGCAAGGUAAAAACUUAUUUACAAUUAUCAACUUAACCACGUACCUAUGGAAGACAUCGUCUCAGAAAACUAGGAUUAAGAACUAAAGUUCUCCUGCAACUCUACACAACUGAAAGCAAGGCUUGCUCAAUGGGGCUUGAGUUUUCUAUGAACUUGCGUAUUUAGUGGAGAGAGCAGGGACCUCAUUUUUAUACAUGGAAUUCAAUAAGGAUCCCUCCCAUUAAGUGAUCCUUAUCAAAGAGUAGCAUUAUCAAUGUAAAACACUUAUGCAUUAUAUCAGCUAGAAGAGUUUUAGUUUUACCGAGAAUGUAUCUGACUUGAAACUGUAAAGAAAUACAACCCCUGAUAAGUCUACCACAAGUGUCAAUCCUUAUCUCCUUAUCAUUCCACAUGUAUCAAAGCACCAAGUGUUUGCUCUCAUAUAGAACUUACACAAGUCUCAUGUAAUUUCAUCUAACUUAUUUUCUACAACGGUAAAUAUAUUUUAAUGGCUCCGGUUUUCACAUGCCAGUCAGUCACACGCUCAACUCCUCAACGUUCGGGCUUAGUGGCUCGAAGAGAGCUUCCACUUCACUCUGGUUCACAUCCCUCUUACUUUGACGGGUUCCACUUCGGAUUCUGCAUUGACAAAAAACAGAAGCAAAAGAUAACGAUCUGUUCUGAUACAAGGAAAGUAAGAUGAUUGUAUAACUGUAGGUCUAGUAGAGGCUGUAAUGGUUUAUGUUGCAGCAACUCCGUCAGCAAGUGAUUUUAUAGUAAGGAAUCUUGAGCAUAAUUAACGAACCUGAUCCUUGUCCACCAAAACUGCCCGUACACCUUCAGCAAAAUCAUUCCGCAAAGACGAUCUUAUGGCAACGCGAUAUUCCGUUUUCGUCACACCAGUUAGCUGGUAUGGAUUAAGUAAAGCACAUGUUACUCACUCAGAAAAUGUGAAAUACUACAACACAAAAUCCAUCAAAAAGGAUGCAACUACGCGAUGAAUGAAACGAAAAGGUAGAAAGUAAGACUCACUGGAUAAUUGAUUGUCAUUUUUCCCAAGCGCAGAUGCAACUUUGGAGAAGUAAUUUUGCGUCAAAUACAGUGAAAGAGGAGCACCCUUUCCAAGACCUUGAAGAGCUUCAUUAGCCCACUCCACCACUACAACAGAAACAAUUUGAUAGAAAAUACUUGACAGCGACGUACAAGCCUCUCUAUAGAAGAGUAAGACAGACUUCAUUUCGUCAUCGAUAAACAAAUGGCAUUGACAAACUUACCAGUAGCAUCUGAACUCUGUUGCUGCUUUUUAAGUUCAUCAAUCGUCACAAGAACCGACUUAUUUGCACCAAAUGCUGAAGUUAUUUGAGGUAAAAGACUCCUGAGCUGCGCUUCAAAUCUGGGUUGCUGCUGAAUUUCGCCACAGUUGUAAUUGACAACAUUGACAAUUGUCUCUCUGACAAGGCAAUAGUACCUUCGUAAUGAUCCGGUACUGACCGUGACCCGAUAGGCCAAUACCAAAGGCAAUUUUUAUGCCCAUGAAGCUUAUAAGUGGCUGUCAAGCCCGACACAUGAAAGAUUAUGUGCGACUUUAAUUAUGCAAAGAGUGAAGAGGCAAUUUUCACCAACCUCCAGUCAAGAAUUUGGGACUCACAAAUAACUACCCAAUAUGCUUUUCCCUCGUGCAUUUCGUUCAUGGUUCGAUAUUCUGGUGUCCUAGGACCCCGACAUGAAAAGUUCCAACUUUUGUUCAAUUUCUUGACGAAACAAUCACAUUUACCCUUACGGCACGGCACGGUUCCGGGCAUAGAAUAUGGGUUGGGUUCCGUUACAGCUCCACUAAUUAGCACCGUAGAGAGGGAAAUAAAAAGACAAGUUUGGAUUUCUUACAACGUAGUGAGUCUCUCGACAUGGCUCCUGUGUUGGAUGCUAAACACUUCCAGGUGGAUCGAGAAGGGAUGCAGCAGCAACAUCAAAUGAAGCUAACGGCUAGUUUUUUUAAUUUGUAACGGCUAGUAAGUUUUAGUAAUAGUUUUUGACAAGUGUAAAGCUUAGAUUAAAAGCUCCAAUGAAGGGCUUAGAUUAGCUUUGUACUAUCAGGUUGUUGUGGUUUUUGUCAGCUAGCUCCAAUGGAGAUAAGGGCUGACUGUACACACCAAAACCCUACUGACACCAUAUAUAUAUGAGUGUUAUGUGCUGCUGCAAUGAAAGACUGCAUAUAGCCGAAAUUCCCCUUCCAUAUUUCUGUGAAGAACAUUACCAUUCUCCAUAACACAAACCUUUCAAAACAAUCAUACAAAAUAUAAACCUUAUAAAACACUAACAUGGCCUCAGAGCUUAGUUCCUGAUCUCAGAAAUCUGGGCGUUGUGGAAUCUGUAUUUGGGGUUGUUCAGGUAGAGGCUGAAACCCUAGGUGUCAAUACAAGUCGAAGAUGAAAGGAUCUGUGAGUGGCGAUCUUAAAGCUCUAAUCUUUGAUGGAGAAAACUAUGACUAUUGGAGGAUCCGGAUGACAACCAUCUUCAAGUCGUAUGAUCUCUGGGAAAUGGUUCAACAUGGAUAUGAACUACCAGAAAUGGAGAUUGAUGCUCUAGAAGAGGAUCUUACAGAGAAGCAGAUAGCUACACUGAAGGAGAAUAGGAUGAAUGAUGCUAGAGCGUUGGGAAUCAUUCAAGGGGCUGUCUCAGACUUCAUAUUUCCCAGGAUAGCAAAUGAAGAAACUGCUAAAGCUGCUUGGGAUACUCUGCAACAAGAAUACAGAGGAGAUGUGAAGGUACGGAAAGUAAAACUCCAGUCUCUUAGACGUGAUUUUGAAUAUACACGCAUGAGAGAAGAUGAGCCACUUAAAGACUAUUUUUCUAGGCUGUUUGAUGUUGUGACUCAAAUGAAAACUUAUGGAGAAGAACUGCCUAAUGAAAGAAUAGUGCAAAAGCUUCUAAUUAGUUUGACUAAGCCUUAUGACUCUAUUGUGAGUGUAAUAGAAGAAACUAAGGAUACUGAUACACUCAGUGUGCAAGAUGUGAUGGCUUCCUUGAGAGCUUUUGACCAAAGGCUCGAAAGACAUGCUGAUGGGACAACUGAGAAGGCUUUCCAGUCACUUAACAUAGGGGCUUCUAGUCAUUCUAAUCAACAUCAAAAUAGACCGAGGAAAGAUUGGAAAGGAAAAAAAUAAGAAAUGGGAAGGAAGACCAAGUGGGGAGAAUAGACACAACAGUGGAAACAACAGUGGUGGUAAAAUUAAACCAUUGUGCAAAUACUGUGAUAAAGCACACUUUGGUGAAUGUUGGUUCAAGGGAAAACCAAAAUGUCACAAAUGCAAUAGAUUUGGUCACCUACAGAAAGAUUGCAGAUCAAAUACUACUCAGCAAGUGAACAUUGCAAAUCGAGUACAAGAUGAAACAAAUGUUUUUUUGUGCUUUUAGUGCCAGUGUUGUAAAAGAUAGUGAAGUUUGGUAUAUAGACAGUGGGUGCAAUAAUCAUAUGACUGCCCACGAGUCUCUAUUGACAGACACUGACACUACAUAUACUGGAAAAGUAAAAAUGGGAAAUGGCAAUAUUGUGGAAGCAACUGGCAGGGGCACUCUCAUCAUAGAAACCAAGAGAGGAAGAAGACACAUUAAGGAAGUCAUGUUGGUACCUGGUCUGGAGGAAAACCUUUUAAGUGUUGGACAGAUGAUGGAACAUGGUUAUUUCUUACUGUUUGGAGAUACUAUGGUUGAAAUAUAUGAUGAUAGAACUCUGUCGAAUCUGGUUGUGAAAGUUCAAAUGAAAAACAGAAGCUUCCCAUUAUUGCUAAAGUGCUUGGAAGAAGUGGCAAGAAAGGCAAGCACAAUUGACUCAGAGAGAUUAUGGCACAAAAGAUUUGGACACUUGAAUGUGCAAAGUUUGAAAAACCUGCAGAAACAUGAAAUGGUGCAAGGUUUGCCCCAACUGGAUGAAAUGAAUGAAGUUUGUGAAGGCUGUGCAUUUGGAAAACAACACAGGGACAAUUUCGAAAUUGGAAAGGGUUAGAGAGCUGCAAAACCACUAGAACUAAUUCACACUGAUGUGUGUGGUCCAAUGAAGAAUGCAUCCAUCAGUGGGAACAAGUAUUUUUUGACUUUCAUAGAUGACUACUCAAGAAUGUGUUGGGUAUAUUUUAUGAGAUUCAAAUCAGAAGUCUUUAAUAUUUUCAAGAAGUUUAAAGCAAUGGUGGAGCUGCAAAGUGGGUAUCAAAUCAAGAAGAUAAUGAGUGAUAGGGGAUGUGAGUAUACCUCACUGGAAUUCAAUGCUUUCUGUGAGGAAUUGGGUCUAGAAAGGCAACUCACAGUAGCAUACACUCCUCAACAAAAUGGCACUGCAGAGAGAAAUAACAGAACUAUAGUGGAGAUGGCAAAGUCCAUGCUGCAUGAAAAGAAAAUGCCCUAUUCAUUUUGGGGAGAAGUUGUGAACACUGCUGUGUAUAUCUUGAAUAGAUGUCCCACCAAGGCUUUGGAGAAAUGAACACCAUUUCAAGUGUUCAGUGGAAGAAAGCCUGGAGUCAAGCAUUUGAAAGUUUUUGGCUCUGUGUGUUAUGCACUUGUGCCAUCACAACUCAGACGUAAAUUACAAGAAUCCAGCAACAAGUGCAUCUUUGUUGGAUAUGGUACAAAUGAGAAAGGCUAUAGAUUGUACAACUUGAAAACUCAGAAAAUCAAUCUCUUAAGAGAUGUGAUUUUUGAUGAAGAAACAUUGUGGAAUUGGGAAACAAAAGCAGUGGAAGAAGACAAAGUAUUACUGCAAAUUGGUGUUACUGAACAAAGAAUUGCACAAAAUGGAAGUGGUGCAACUCAUGAAUUUGAAGAAGGAAGCAUACAAAGCUCUCAGAUUUCACCAUUUCAAACUUCUCAAAGUUCACAGAACUCAAGUGCAAGUUCAAUGUCUCAACAGGAAGAGCAACAAAGCUCAAGCUCUAGCUCGGGAUCAACACCAAUUAAGAUGAGAAGCUUGGAUGAAAUCUAUGCUGCUUGCAAUUUUUGUGUUACUGAACCAGAAACUUUUGAAGAAGCUGAAAGUGACAAGGCAUGGCAGAUAGCAAUGGAAGAUGAAAUCUCAAUGAUAAAGAAAAAUGGAACUUGGACUCUAGUUGAUAGACCAAGUGAUAAACCUGUGAUUGGUGUGAGAUGGGUUUAUAAAACCAAGUUGAACUUGGAUGGAUUUGUGCAAAAGAACAAGGCUAGAUUGGUGGCUAAAGGAUACUCCCAAAAGCCUGGAAUUGAUUUUAAUGAGACAUUUGCACCUGUGGCUAGACUAGAUACAAUUAGAACUCUAAUUGCAUUAGCUGCACAGAAAGGUUGGCAGCUAUAUCAGUUAGAUGUUAAGUUUGCAUUCCUAAAUGGUGUGCUAGAGGAAGAGGUCUAUGUGGACCAGCCACAAGGUUUUGAAGUCAAAAGGUCCGAGAGCAAGGUGUAUAGACUAAAGAAGGCACUCUAUGGCCUGAAACAGGCACCAAGAACCUGGUACAGUGAGAUUGAUGCACAUUUAACUAAGUGUGGGUUCAAGAAAAGCCUCAGUGAAGCAACACUUUACAUCAAGGUUGAAAACAAGUCAGAAAUUCUCAUAGUAUCUAUCUAUGUGGAUGAUGUGGUCUUCACUGGAAACAGUAAGAAAAUGAUGGAUGAAUUCAGAAAUGAAAUGAUGGGAAAAUAUGAGAUGACAGAUUUGGGGCUACUUCAUCACUUUCUUGGAAUGGGGGUGAUUCAAAAGUCGGAUUGCAUUUUCAUUCAUCAGAUGAAAUAUGCACAAACACUUCUAGAUAGAUUUGGUCUUAAGGGAUGCAAACCAGUAAGCACUCCCUUAAUUGCAAAUGAAAAACUCAAAAGUGAAGAUAGAAGUGAACCAGUAGAUGCAAAUCUCUACAGGAAAAUUGUUGGCAGCCUGUUAUAUCUCACAGCAACAAGAUCGGACAUCAUGUAUGCUGCAAGCCUACUAUCAAGAUUCAUGCACAAUCCUACCAAAACACAUUUGGGAACCGUUAAAAGGGUUCUUAGGUAUGUGCAAGGGACAAUCGAUUUUGGAAUCAAGUAUGAGAAAGGACAGACAACUAUAUUAGUCGGUUUCUGUGAUAGUGACUGGGGAGGCAAUGAAGAUGACAUGAGGAGCACAUCGGGGUAUGCAUUUACAUUUGGCUCUAGUGUAUUCUCGUGGGCCUCAGUUAAGCAACAAAGUGUUGCACUAUCAACAACCGAAGCUGAAUAUGUGAGUGCUGCAGAAGCAACAUUUCAAGCAAUCUGGCUAAGAUUUGUUCUCAAAGAUUUUGGGGAACUGCAGGUUGAACCAACUAAGCUAAUGUGUGAUAAUACCUCAGCAAUAGCAAUGACAAGGAAUCCAGUAUUUCAUCAGAAAACACGACACAUCAAAAGGAAGUAUCAUUUUAUCAGAGAUGCAAUACAAGAGAAUGUCAUUGAACUAAUGUACUGCAAAACUGAAGAUCAGGUAGCAGACAUCUUUACAAAAGCACUACCAAAAGAAAGGUUCACUUACCUCAGAAGCCUACUUGGAGUCAACACCAGGAAGAGUUUAGAGGGGAGUGUUGGAUGCUAAACACUUCCAGGUGGAUCGAGAAGGGAUGCAGCAGCAACAUCAAAUGAAGCUAACGGCUAGUUUUUUUAAUUUGUAACGGCUAGUUAGUUUUUUAGUGAUAGUUUUUGACAAGUGUAAAGCUUAGAUUAAAAGCUCCAAUGAAGGGCUUAGAUUAGCUUUGUACUAUCAGGUUGUUGUGGUUUUUGUCAGCUAGCUCCAAUGGAGAUAAGGGCUGACUGUACACACCAAAACCCUACUGACACCAUAUAUAUAUGAGUGCUAUGUGCUGCUGCAAUGAAAGACUACAUAUAGCCGAAAUUCCCCUUCCAUAUUUCUAUGAAGAACAUUACCAUUCUCCAUAACACAAACCUUUCAAAACAAUCAUAUAAAACAUAAACCUUAUAAAACACUAACAUCUUGCUGUUUUGUUCUUAUUUCCAGUCCUGUUUCUCGAGCUUGGUGUUUCUGGUUGCAAAUUUUGGUUCGCCGGUGUAGUGCACAGGGGAGGGGAUUGUCUCGCAUUGUUCCAAGCAGUUAGAGGCGGUUGACAACGGUUGCGAUGAUGUGUUUUUCUACAGGGAGAACAUACAGGAGUCAGCAGUUAUCUUUUUGCAAUCGUUUUCGAUUAUGAAGGACAAGAAAGAAAAAAAAAUGAAUGUAGAAAGAAAACAUACAAGUUUUAAUAUAUAUGUAGUAGAUCCAGAUCAGAUUUUUGGAAACGCAUCACAUAGCAGUUAAAACACCUGGCCGUAAAUGAAGGGUUUGAGAUACCGCUAUAGUGGCAUCCUAGGUGUGAGUUUCUCUCGUAUCGGAUCACUUAUUGUAAGAAUAUCAAUAGUGAAAGUUAAAUACCAAUGUCGGGAAAGGAAGUCGAUGAUGACAAGAGAGGUUUGGCUUGAAAAAUGUACAAAGUUUGCAACAUGUGUUAUCGGAGUAUCAACUUGAAGCUGUUUGGGAUAAAAUCUGAACUUUGGGCCAGAGAGAAAGUCGGCCCAAACCCAAGGCCCAGAGGAAAACUUAGGAGGCAGGAAAGAGGCUUUCGGCUGGGCACAAGUUACAAAGGCCACCUGCUUACCUGCUCAAAGACCACAGGGGGUAGGUUAUUCAGUCACUACACAGCCCAAUAAAGUACUUUAUUGGUGGCAUUCAUGUAAAAAAGCUAGUGAGUCAUCACCAAACCGCAUUCGGGCAACCGCUAUUGCUACAGGAACCCAAGCUGAAGUCGUCUAUAAAAGGAGGAAGAGAAGACAGAAUUAAAGACACUCAAUCAAACAAACAAAAGCCAAAACUCUGCUCAAGCUAGAUUUGCCUUCAACGAAGCUGUAGUCAGCACAAGCCUUCAUCCAUUCGGGAUAAACCUUCCCAAACCCCUGUAAUAGCUCUGCUACCUUGUUCAUGGUGGUAUCGAUUCAUUUUGUAUCCUCUUCUCCCCCGUCAACCCCUCUAAAAGCUUUCAGACCUUUGACAGAGCCACAAGGAUAGAUUUUGUAAGAAGUUCAGCCUUGGCCAAUAAGGUUCAAACUUACCCGACUAUCUUUGCUCUGUCUUUGUCUUUUCUUUCUUUUAAAAGCACAAUAACAUGUUAUAUAUUCCCAGUUAUAUACAAGUUAUUUCUAGCAAAGUCAUAAUGAAAGUAAGUCUUCAGCACUUGAAUCCGAUCUGAAUCGCGUCAGAGUUCAAAUCAGAUCUAAGUCUUAAGCCCGCGGGCAUGUAAUUUAAAGAUCAGUUUAAAAGUCCUUGGCCUCAAGGCAUAAAAAAGAACUCUAUGUGGACUCAACCCAUCCACGACAAUCCUUGAUAAGCGAGAAGUCCGAAGUUACUUGGGGCGCAAGUAAUCAACCUAUUUCUCCGUUUUGUUGCUAUUAUAUCUUGAUUCAUAGAAAAGGCUUAAGCAGGGAGUGAAUUCUGAUAGAAAGCCUCAAGGCCUACACCUAAGGCCCCACGAAGGCAUCUAUUUAGCUUCAUUUCAUGUUGUGGUCUAGUUGGUCCGAGUAUAAGGAUUAACUCUGAUGGGAAGCCUCAAGGCCUAUACCUAAGGCCCUACAAAGGCACUCAUUUGGGUUCGUCCUACCUCUUGGAUUCAGAUAAUCAAAAGUAUAAUAGUGAUAAGACUCUGGCAACCAUAAAAGACCAAAUAUGAUACAUCCAAGCGCUGGUUUAGUUUGACAGGAAGCCUCAAGGCCUAUACCUAAGGCCUCACAAAGGCACCUGUUAUAUCUAACUUGGUUUCUCGGGCGUAUACAUAUUCAAUCAAAGCUUAACACCCAUUCAACAUCUGCCAUACUGAAGAUGGCAGUGGCACGCCUGAGCACGACAAAGUUAAUCUUGAUUGUGAGCCUUAAGGCCUACAUCUAAGGCCCCACAAAGGCACCCUUUCAAAUUAACUCUGUCCUUCUCUUUCAGAACUGCCCGACGAGCCUUGCCCGAAGUGUGUCUUGCCCGACCAAGAUCUGCCCGACAAAGGCUUGCCCGAGCGAGCCCGAGAAGAAAGCAGAAGUACGACAGAUACCCUCAACCGACGCCAUUCUCCCAGGGGAGCUGUGUGCUCGUCCGCCAGGAGAUUGCGACGAACAGAAGCUCUUCAUCUCUCCGUCAUUAAAUGUUUCGUAAGCAGCAUUGUUAAAGUUCUCUACAGGGGGAAACUGAAGAUGGUUUUGAAUGAAGAAGAAUGGAAAAUAUAAUUUAGAAAAUGAGAAAGAAAAUUAUAAUUGAAACUAAUAAAAUGAGAGGAUAAGCUCGGGUUCCAAUGGAAAGGGGGAAAUUUUCAGAGCGAGAAGGAAGCGGUUUUUUCACUUGCUCUCUUGGGCUUUGGGCUUUGGGCUUUUGGAUUGGAUUGGGCCAAUUACUUACUUAGGCCCCAUCCCACCUGAUGACUAUUUGUCGGUCUAUAUUGACUAGAGUGAACGUGCUAAACUAGAAUUUUGAGGUCUUGAAUUAGCGAAUGUCAUGAGCCAGACCUAUAAGGCUGUCUUUAAUAAGAAGUUGCCGCGUUUUGUCAAAACUGAUCCAUCUAAUUGCAAAUUGUAACCAUAUUAGUUGAGUGCAUAUGCUACAUUACAUGUAAUGAAUAUUCAGUACGGGUGACAAGUGAUCAGACUUGUAGGGUUGUUCAAUAAGAAGUUAUCACGCUCUCAAGAGUGGAGCUAGAUGGGAGCACUUCCCUACCAAAGUGUUAUCCUUCUCCUUUACAAGGAAUUUGUGUCACCAUUAGAUAGGAGAUUCGAACACAAGACCUUGAAUUGAGAGGUAAACGCUUUUACAAAGCUUCUACAAGCACCUUCUUGUUUACCAAAAUUAUUGAGACUAAAGGAGGUCUUAACGCCAUUUUGGCUAAUACUGUUAUGUAUAUUUACGAAUGGUUUUAAGUUUGGGUUUAAUUGGAUAAUCAGAGAUUAGUGCAUCAAACUAUGGAUAUCAAAAACCAAAAGCACAAUUCAUAUUCCUCUAACAAGUCCACGCAAAUAACCACAAUCAAAAUGUUAGUUCAUAACUGGUCAUAUAGAACUCAGUACAAAAGCACUAAAAGCGUCCAAGUGAAAGUGCUUUCUCCUCAUGUAGUUUCAUUUAACUUAGUUUCACAUGCCAGUCCGUCACACACUCAACUCCUCAACGUUUGGGCUCAAAGCAUUCUUUAUCCUUUCUGUACGAGAGACAAUAAAUUUAAAGUUCUUGUGAUGAAACCAUGUAAAACAUUCAGAAAUCUUGAUUUAACCCUUUCUCAAGAUCAUAGGUUGUGUCAUCUCAACCUAUAUCUUAGGUCUUAUGAGUGCUCGUAAUACACUAAUAUGACGCUUGUUUUCUGGCCAGGACAGAAACAAAAUCAUGCAGGAAAUCGUCAUGACAACUUAAGCGUAAAAUGCGACCGGAAAAACACUAAACAUGAUAGCUAUGCUUUCUUCGUGUAAACCUUAACAACAAAGACUAUACCGUAUCUGUCACAGUGAUAUGCGACCAUAAGCCCAACUCCAAGGAUCACCUUUCCAAGAGCUUUGAAGGCUACAAAUCAAAAGUUACAUGCAGUGAUGACAUAAUCAUGAAAAAAUACAGUCAUAAAUUAAAGGAAAACCUACCAACUUCUAGUUCUGGCAAUUCACUAUUGGGCCAUAUAUUUGAACCACAGUAUGAUGGAUACCUACAAUACAGAUCACAAAUAAAAUCUGAGCAAACACAAAGUAUUAUGUUCUGUUUACGCAAAAUCUGUAAGUUCUCAAAUAGGAUAAAUAAAGAUAAACAUAUCCCAGCAUAAAGACGACUUGUCCUGGCUAAUUCUAAGAAAGCUUGUAUCAAAUGUAUGAUAGUUAUUCAUAACUAACACAAACAACAGUUUGGCCAAACAUUACUGGUCUGAGCCAUAUACUGUGUGACCUCAGACAAAACAGAUCCCACAUGUACUCAGAUUAUGAUUGAUGUCCCAAUAGACUUUUAGGCGGUGCUCUGAUAUAAUACAUCCAAAUUGGGGUGGACCAUAUAAUACACCCCAACGGAUCGUUUUAAGCUCCUCCACUGCUAAAGCUAUUGCAAAAUGCGCAUUAGGAUUAUACUUCUAUUAGAAGCGCCUUUCCUUACUAGGCAAAUGAACCAUAUAAUACACCAAGAUGGAUGUUAUACACGUUAGCGUUUGAGCAGAAUUUUUUUGGUUAUCUCAUUGUCUCACAUUGCUAGAAUUGAAAAGUUUAUAAUAUAAUAACGUUCGCAUAUGAACUUGAGAAACGACAUACUGCCGGCUGGCCAGGAAUGUGCAGUGAAAGAGAGGAAAGGAAGAAAGAAACAAACAUGCAUGAAAGGACAAAGACUAUCCAAUAGAUUUCAAACAAUGACUUCUUGGGGUGAUUACAGCUAUUCAACCAUCAAUAAUGCAUUAUUUUAGUUUGGAAUUUGGAAGCAUUUGAGAAGUAACAUGACAUCAACCACUUAAUAAACAAAAGUGAUUAGAAAAAAACCCAAAUGUGAAGGAAUAAUUAAAAAAAAUUAUUCAAGAUAAGCGAUAAAUGGUUCAACCAUUUACAAGAUAUGAACUUAGAACAACAAUCUAUUGGAUCGUUGUAUUAACUAUUAAGUGGUGCUCUAAUAUAAUAUAUCCAAAUGGAGACGAACCAUAUAAUACACCCAAAUGGACCAUUUUUAGGCUCCACUGCUAAAAACUAAUGCAAAACGGGCAUUAGGAUUAAACUAUAAGAACUAGGAUUGCAGGGAAGACAAAACACGCAGGAAAGCUACAAGACUACACAUGGUUUUCACUGUGAUUAAAUACCCUCAACGUUGUAGGGAGCAACCUUUUUAUAAUCACUUUUCAGAUUACAUCAGGGUUUCAAAAACCCUAUUUACAAGCUUACAUUUUGAAAUUCAAAUACUAUAACUAAUUCUGACAAAACAAAUAUUUAAAAAUUCAAAUGAUUUUAACAGAAGCUCUACUUGAUAAGUGUUGUUGACUGAGUAAACCAACUGAAGAGUUUCUGUUUGAAGAGGAAACUUGACUCCGUCUAACAUAAACUUGUAUUAGCUAGCUUUCCUAGUCAAAUGAACCAUAUGAUACACCCAAAUGGAUGCCAUCAUGCCAUAUAUAAACAAUGUUUUGAAAGGACAAGGUACCUAACACUGUCUUUUUAUAUAAUGUAAGCAACAACCAUAAAUCUUAUUGGAGCUAAUUAACUAAUGUAUUUAUUAGACAGUUGGAUUCCUUAGCAAGUGGUUAACUAUUUUUGUUUAGUUUAGUAGUCAGGUCGUAAUUAAUUAGUCAAAUGAACCAUAUAAUACACCCAAAUGGAUGCCAUAUAUGCAAUAUAAACAAUUUUUUCAAAGGAUGAAAUGACUUUCUUGCGGGUAUGGGGGAAGAGGAAAGAAACUAGUACGAAACUGCAGACCCUAUCGAUCCAUUAUAAUAAAUUUCAAUGGUCCAAGUUGUAAGUUAAAUGUGCAACGUAAAAACUUAUUCACAAUUAUCAAUUUAACCAUGUACUUGUGGAAGACAUCGUCUUUGAAAACUAAGAUUAAGAACUGAAGUUCUCCUGCAACUCUACACAAUUGAAAGCUCGCUCAAUGGGGUUUGAGUUUUCUGUAAACUUGCGUAUUUAGGGGAGAGAUCAGGGACCUCAAUUUUAUACAUGGAAUUUAAUAAGGAUCCCUCUCAUUAAUUGAUCCUUAUCAAAGAGUAGCCUUAUCACUGUGAAACACUAAUGCAUUAUAUCAACUAAAAGAGUUCUAGUUUUAUCGAAAAUGUAUCUGACUUGAAAUUGUAAAGAAAUACAACUCCUGGUAAGCCUACCACAAGUGUCAAUCCUUAUCUCCUUAUCAUUCCACAUCACCAAGUGUUUGCUCUCAUUUAGAACUUACACAAAUCUCAUGUAGUUUCAUCUAACUUAUUUUUCACAACGGUGAAUAUAUUUCAAUGGCUUGGUUUUCACAUGCCAGUCAGUCACAUGCUCAACUCCUCAAAGUUCGGGCUCAAUGGCUCGAAGAGAGCUUCCACUUCACUCUGAUUCACCUCCCUCUUACUUUGACGGGUUCCACUUCGGAUUCUGCAUUGACAAAAAACAGAAGCAAAAGAUUGUUGAGAGUUGUCCCACAUUGGUGAGGGACAAGGUUUGUUAUGUGCUUAUAUGAUCUUGGGCUACUUCCUAUAUUGCCAAUUGGUUUUAUGAUGGAACCUCAAUUUCAUCAAAGAUAACGAUCUGUUCUGAUACAAGGAAAGUAAGAUGAUUAUAUAAUUGUAGGUCUAGUACAGGCUGUAAUGAUUUAUGUUGCAGCAACUCCGUCAGCAAGUGAUUUUCAAGUAAGGAAUCUUGAGCAUAAUUAACGAACCUGAUCCUUGUCCACCAAAACUGCCCGCAUACCUUCAGCAAAAUCAUUCUGCAAAGACGAUCUUCUAGCAACGCGAUAUUCAGUUUUCAUCACUACCAGUUAGCUGGUAUGGAUCAAGUAAAGCACAUGACAACUCACUCAGAAAAUGUGAAAUACUACAACACAAAAUCUAUCAAAAGGAUGCAACCUUGAAGAGCUUCAUUUGCCCACUCCACCAAUACAACAGAAACAAUUUGAUAGAAAAUACUUGACAGCCACGUACAAGCCUCUCAAUAGAAGAGUAAGACAGAUUUCAUUUCAUCAUCGAUAAACAAAUGGCAUUGACAAACUUACCAGUAGCAUCUGAACUCUGCUGCUGCUUUUUAAGUUCAUCAAUUGUCACAAGAACCGACUUAUUUGCACCAAAUGCUGAAGUUAUUUGAGGUAAAAAACUCCUGAGCUGCGCUUCGAAUCUGGGUUGCUGCUGAAUUUCGCCACAGUUGUAAUUGACAACAUUGACAAUUGUCUCUCUCGCAAUAGUACCUUCGUAAUGAUCCGGUACUGACCUUGGCCCGAUAGGCCAAUACCAAAGGCCAUUGUUAUGGCCACGAAGCUUAUACGUGGCUGUCAAGCCCGACACGUGAAUAGCAUACUCUACUAUUGUGUUACAUUGUGAGAAUUUUAUCCAAAAUUAAUUGACAAUAAGUGAAUAAGUUGAAAGAUUAUGUAUGACUUUAAUUAUGCAAAGAGUGAAGAGGCAAUUUUCACCAAACUUCAGUAAAAAAUUUGGGCCUCACAAAUCACUAAACCCAAUAUGCUUUUCUCUUAUGCCUUUCGUUCAUGGUUUGAUAUUCUGGCGUCCGAGGACCCUGACAUGACAAGUUCCAACAUUUGUUCAAUUUCUUGACGAAACAAUCACAUUUACCCUAACGGCACGGCACGGUUCCGGGCAUAGAAUAUGGGUUGGGUUCCAUCACAGCUGCAACACUAAUUAGCACUGUAGAGAAGGAAAUAAAAAGACAACUAUUGAUUUCUUACAACGUAGCGAGUCUCUUGACAUGGCUCCUGCUGUUUUGUUCUUAUUUCACGUCCUGUUUCUCGAGCUUGGUGUUUCCGGCAGGGCCGAUCUAUAGAUUUUUGAGGCCCGGAGCAACGUAAAAAAAUAUGCCCUCACUUUAUAUAAGAAAAUUAUUUGUUUUCACAUGUAAGACAUCGAUAAAAUUAUACUUACACAAACACUUAAAACUUAAUGAUUUAGAAACAAGAAAAAACUAAUUUAUUUUGUAUCGUGAGAAUGAAACAAAAAAACUCUGGGUUUACAAGUAGAUAGAUAGAUAUGGGUUUACAAGUUGCGGAUUGCUUUGCUAACUAUGAUGUUGAUCUGGCUGGGGUUCAUUGGUGAGAUUCUUGAUUUCCUUGUGCUACUUUGACAUAUCACCAUAAGUUGUCUUUUUGCCUUGUUAUAGUUUCGUGUGGGGUUUUUUUUCUUCUUCUAAUGUUGAUUGGGUUCUUUUCUUCCAACUCCUGCCCACUCAUUAUUGUCUGAACCACACCUAGUAUUACCCUCAUAUCCACUAAAACUUCAAGCUUUACCAAUUUGUCACAAGCGAAGAUGGUAGCUCCCAACACCAAUGAGGUUCCAAACAAUUACGAUCGAAAAAGCGAAGUGAAAGCUUUUGAUGAGACAAGGGAAGGCGUUAAGGGUCUUGUUGAUGCCGGGGUAGCCGAGGUUCCUAGAAUUUUUCAUCAACCACCACAAUUGGACGAUCAGUACUCCAUCAACAAUACAAGCACUGACUCAGAAGCCACCCAGUUUAGCAUUCCGCUAAUAGACCUUGAAGACCAUGGUAAUCCAACUAAGCGCAAUGAGAUUGUUGCAAAAGUUGGAGAGGCAUCAGAGACUUGGGCUUCUUUCAAAUAGCGAAUCAUGGGAUACCUGUAAGUCUUCUGGAGGGGAUAAAGGAUGGGGUACGUGGGUUUUAUGAGCAGGACACUCGAGUCAAGAAAGAGUUUUACACUCGUGAUCACUCUAAACCUUUGUUUUACAAUAGCAACUUUGAUCUUUAUAGUUCACCGGCAACGAAUUGGAGGGAUACUUUUAAGUGUUACAUGGCUCCAAAUCCUCCUAAGCCAGAAGACUUGCCAGAAGUAUGCAGGUAUUUGACAACCCAAUUCUCUGGUUUAAUUGGUGACAGUAACCUGGUGCAGAUUCCUUCCUUGAUGGAUUAGAUCAUUAAACUCCAUACUUUUGACAAGUUUAAUGUGCUUUCCUGGUUUUCAACUUGCAGAGACGUACUGAUCGAGUAUUCAAAGCGAGUAAUGGAGUUGGGGAAAUUGUUGUUUGAGUUGUUGUCGGAGGCCCUUGGGCUAAAGCCAAGCCA